AUGAAGCGACAUGAACCAGGCUUGUCAACACACCAUGACCACAUCCUUUUACUGUCAUAACUCUGAGUAAAGGUAGUUUUUCAAGUGAGACUUCAACCAGAUUAGGACAAAAUAGAAUAAGAAGCUUUUUAAGGCAUGGAAACACUGCUGCAUCUACAACCCCAUUGUUAUUGGUUGACCAUACCUCCCAUGUUGGCAUACUAUCAAAAGUCAGAAUUUCAAGGGAAGGGAAUGCAACACCUGUUCCAAGCAACUCCCAACCUACAACUUUCACCUUACUCAUCUUCCCAAUAUACAAGUCCUUAAGUGAUGGUAGUUGCCCAAGUUCUGGUAGAGAUGUACAUUCUUCACACCCAUAUAUCGACACGUGAGUCAACCCAAGAAAUGAAGGAUCGCCAACCCAAUUAGGAAACUCUCUACCCGCAUAUGACACAAUUUCAAGCUUCUUCAAACUAUCAGCUUGAGGCUUCAGGUCAGUAAGGACCUCAUUAUCAUGUGUCUGCUUUCGAAAAACGUUCAACUCAGAAUCUCCAAAACUCACAGCAAACUCCAACAUACUAAGCCUCUUUUGCAAUAACCCAUAACCCCAAUCCAACUCUAACUCAGUAAGCCUCUUUUGUGAUAAUUGUGAGCCACGUGCCUCCUUUUCAUUUUGUACAUUGCCCAGCCCCCAAAUGGAAAUUUUCCCAUGGAGAUUUUGCAAGUUUUUAAGCUCGGUUAUUGCAAAUCCGUUUUCACCUCCAAUUAUGAUCUUGGAGAGAGUUUGUAGGCCUUUCAACUCACCAAUCCCUAAGGGCAUCUUCUUCAAACUUGGAGUAUUCCUAAUGUCCAAAUGCCUCAAGUUUUUAAGCUUUAAGAAGCUGUUGGGCAACUUAGUUAAACUUUCACAGCCAAAAAGGAUCAAUGUCUGGAGAUUAUAAAGAUUGCAGACAUUUUCUGGUAAAAGCUUGAUAUCAGUUCGAGAUAAAUUCAGAUACCGCAAGUGCUUUAGACUGCCAAUGAAUUCGGGUACCUCGCUUAUGCCAAGAUGACUCAAACUUAGGACCCUUAACAAUGGAAACUCCUGAAGUAAGUUCUUCAGGACCUUAUUCGAUAAGUAGAAUCUUUGCCAACUUUUUAUCACCCCAACAGAUACCGCUAAUAAUGUUCUCAAACUUUUAGCUCCUUUUAGUGGCUCGAACCUUGCGGAAACCAUAUAUUGCUCACGAACAAAUGACAAAUGGCGGUACUUUUCAAAUGAUUCAUCCCUAUAUUCUUUCUCCGCCCCAAUGUCUACCCUUGAAAAAAACUCUCCAGCAACAGAUGUGGCCAAGUCACUCAUGAGAUCAUGCAUCACAAACAACGAUCUGUCAUUUGGUGCAGGUUGAAAAAAUGACCUUGACCACAACGCAUUAAAAUACUCGAGACCCAAGCGUUCCAUUGUCUUGUUUGUCGUUGAUUGCAAAAAACCUUCUGCCAUCCACAACAUAAUCAACUUCUCCUUGUCAAACUCAAAGUCCUUGGGGAACAAGGAGCAGUAUGCAAACAACUGCUUCAAACAUGGAGAGAGAUCAUGGUAGCUUAAUCUGAGAGCUGGAACAAUCCCAUCUCCCUUUUCUAGACUCCAUAUCUCACUAUUCAGCACUUCUUUCCAGUCUUCCUCAUCUAUUUUUGUCCUUAAUAACCUCCCAAGUGCUUUCAAAGCCAACGGCAACCCAUUACAUUUUCUGACAAUACAUUCACCAUAUGGUUUAAGUAUCGGAUGUGAAUCAAAGUUUUUAUCUCCCAAUGCAUGCUGACAAAAUAAGGAUAAAGCACUUUCAUCAGAUAGAAUAGGCAAAUGAUAAGGUUCAUUGUUACCAAGUUGGGUUAACAACGACAUCUUCCGGGUCGUCAUGAUAACUUUACUUCCGGGUGCCCCUGCAAGAAAUGGCCCUGCUAGGAUUUCCCAAUCCGUAUAGCUUUCACUCCACACAUCAUCUAAAACAAGCAGAAAUCGCUUAUUUGAGAUCUUCUCUCUUAAAGCUACUUGAAGUAGAUUUAAAUCCUUAAAUUCUUGGUUGCCCCCGCCUAUUGAUUGAAAAAUAAUAUUGCUUAUAUUGAAGAUAUCAAACUCAUCAGAAACACAGACCCACGCCAUGAGUUCAAAAUGAUCCUUCCCUUGCAUUUCAUCAUACAAAAGUCUAGCGAGAGUGGUCUUACCUACCCCACCCAUACCAACUAUGGGCACGAUGCUAAAGUUUCUAUCACAUGGUUCAUAUAGCUUGUGGAUCAAAGCAUCCUUUUCAUCUUUGCGUCCAAUAAUACUAGAUGCAUCUACCAGAGAGGUCUCUAACCUUCUAUUUCUAUGUUUUGGGCUUUCACCUAUCACACUCAAACCAAGCUUAUAUUUUUCCUCAAACAGUUCUUGUAACUUGAUGGUGAUAUUUCCAAACUUGUCAUGCAUUCUAGCACUUGGUAAGAGCUUUCUUACCUUGCUUGAGGUUCCGGAUUCCUCUGUGAACUCACGAUGCAUAGCUUCCGUUGACAAUUCGUCAAGUAGAUCGUCUAUGUCGUAAGCCAAAUGUUGGAGACUAUUCAGCCAUUCUUUAACAGCUUCCUGACGUAUUUCCUUCUGAGAAGCAUCAUUAAGCAGAUCUUUGAUCUUGAUUAAUGAUAUCUUUAACUUCUCCACGUCGUCGGCAUCAAUUUUCUUGAAACGAGCAAACUGCUUGAAGGCUUCGGAGGCCAGCUUGUCACAGAACAAAGAGUACAGGGCAGAAAUGAUUCCAGCCAUUGCUUACGAUGAAGGCGUAGGUAUGAAUGAUAGAGAUGAAGAUGAAUUGAGCGUGACUUUUGAUUGAAAAGAACGAUCCAAGUUGUCCAUUGUUUAUUGGUCAACGCCUUUUUGCCACCGCUUUACUUUUAAAUAGUCCAGCGGAUCGUCUAGACGAAAUUUCAUAAAUAAUCCCUUAGUUUAUCAAAUAUUAUAAUUUUAGUUCUAGCUUUUUUAUUUGUAUCAAUUGGGUCGGUGUUGUUUUCAGUUUUGCAAAAGCAAUCCAUCUUCUGUUCGAUCUAACCGGUCUAUAGUUAGAUUGUUCUUUAUGACAUUGUACCGUUAAACCAAAUUUGCAAUUAAUUAUUUAUUAGAAUAAAUUACAUGAAUCGUCUCUUAUUCAAGUGUGAAAAUACAUGUUUAGUCUCUCUUUCUAAAAAUUAACUCGGACUAUCCUUGCAUUUUUUUUUUCAAUCGGGUCUUCCCAGUAGACAUAAAAUGACUAAAACAUGUUAGUUUUCAUUUGCAUUAAGUAGUUUUUAAAUUAUUAAGACAUAUACUAAAAUAUGCUUAAGCAGAAGCAACUUAUAAGACCUUAAACUCUACACUACUCAAAGCAAGAAAGGAGAAGGAAAAGCGCCAUGGUGGUCUCGGUUUUUUAAGAUGAAAAAUAAAAAAGAAUAACUAGUUCAAGCCUCCUACCUCCUUUAUAUACUCAUAUACUUAGAUGAAAGUUGAUUCUUUCAUUUAAUGGGAUCAUGAUUUACAAGCAACUCAUGAAGUAUAAGAACAUAAAAGUCAAAGAAACAACCACCAUGUCUCACUAAACAUGGAGUAUGAAAAGAUUAUGAGUGGAAUCCACAUCAUCACUCUUAUAAAUAUAGACAAUAUAUAAAAUUGUCUUUUAUAAGUCAAAUAUUAUGUACAUUGUUGGGCUGAAGAUAGUUUUGAUGUUGCGUCUUUUGGGCUCGUUAGUUUAGCCUUGUAUUCUCCGGGUUGGGCCUGUCCAACCGAGAGUCUUUUAUGUAUUGUAUAUAAGUUAAAUGCUUGCAUGCAUAUUAGGUUAAGAUUGCAGAGAUUAUCGAAAUAGGGAUUCAUCAGAGUAUAAUAUUUUUCCUGUAAUCGUUCUUGUAAUCUUCUAAUCCUUUACAGUUGAUGUUCUUAAUCGAGCUCUUCUAAGGAUUUUAUUUAAUCAUUCGACACGAUUGAUUCAAGCUGUUUGUUCUUAUUAUUGUGUUUUUACUAUUUCAUAUUCAUAUACUUGUUCAAGAUCUAAUCGAUCUUCGUAGAUUAAAAGUUGUAUUAAUCCCAUCAUACAUAACAUUAUAAUCAUACCAUAUGUCGUCCCAAAAACCAAGGUAAACAUUUUUCAAAUUUUAAAAUGAAUUAAAAUCCAUUUCAUAAAAGUUAAACACCAUAAAUUCAUUCUUUUACCAAAUGGAGUCAAAAUCAAAGUAUCAAAUAAUAAAGUCUACUGGAUAUUGUGUAUUGUCACACCGUCGCCUUGCCUUUAUCUUCAGAAGUCCCUGAAACAUUUAAAUCCACAACGGUAAGCCAAAGCUUGGCGAGUUCCCUACAAUACCUCAGAUAACAAUAAACAUAUAAUGCAUCCACACAAGGUUAGAUUGCCACAUGGGUGUAACACCCUGUUUCAGAUUGUUUUGUGAUUCAAGAUCAUGGACCGCGAUUUAAUUAUAUGUAGGCUUUGGGGAUUUUAAAGAAGUAAGCUUUGGACUUUAUUGAAAGAUGUUAUUGCUGGUAAUGGGAUCCAGACCUAUGAAUCGUGUAUUCGAAACUGAGGAUAGACUGGGGAAAUAUGUGUCAGGCCGCUUGGGUAACGCCCCAUUUCUGGUAUGUAAUUUAAUUGUGCAUUUUUCAGUUUUCAAGAGGAACUCGACGAGUCAGUAGCCCGACUCGUCAAGUAGAGACGGGAUUUUGAGCAUGUUUAAGUAGGCAACUCGAUGAGUCCAUAUUCGUGGACUCGGCGAGUCCGCCUGUCUGGAAGAAACCCUAAUUUCAAGGGUUUGCACCCUAUUUAAACAACUUUUUGGGGCUCAAGUCAGCCCCCAUCACUUCCAGAACACUCCUCUCGAAACCCUAGCAUUCCUUAUACCUUUUGAGUAUAUUUUGUGUGGUUCUUUGAAGAUUUGGAGAGAAGAAGGAAGGUAGAUCCAAAGGAAAAGAAGAAGAUUAAAGAUCUUGAGUCCAUUUAGAAGCUUUGAGAGGUAUAACUCGAACAUCUACUGUUUCCAUGCUUAAAUCUCCAUUAAAACCCCAAUAUAAUCAUUUCUAGGACAUUUCUUAGCUUGUUAGUGAAUAGAGAGCUCAUAUGAGCAAAAGGACAUCAGAUCUAGUCAUAAUCGAGCUCUAGAAGCUCAGAUCCACUGCCUUUAUUGAGUCAAAUUCGUAUGCAAGCCUAGAUCUACACUUUGAAUCCAUUUAGAUCCCUUUAAACUCUUGUAUAUGCAUGCAUGCAUGUAAAGUUGGAAACUUUACGUGUAAAAACCACCCUAGGAACCCAGAUCUAUGAGUUGAAUGUGUUGGAAUCGAUCAAAAUUGGUUGUAUGGUAUUUGCAUGCAAGCGACUCGGCGAGUUGUUCAUCAGACUCGACGAGUCGAGUCGCGAGUCCCCAAUUUUCCCCCUUUUGAUUUAAUUGAGUGGAACCAGUGAGUUAGAGGUGGACUCGGUGAGUCGAGAGCCGGACUCAAUAAUGGAAAGACUCGGCGAGUAAAUUCCCUAACUCGACGAGUCCAAGGCAAUCUUAUUGCCUCAAGAACAGACUCGACGAUAUGAUGAANACCAGAGUGUUCUUAUGAUGAAGGAGAACUCGACGAGUUGUUCAUACAACUCGGCGAGUCAGAUGAAAAUAGACUGAUUAUUCGCAUCGAAGAGGAACUCGUCGAGUCUAUGCCAAACUCGACGAGUAGUAACGGACAGGAAUUAAAAAUGAGAGCAUGGACACGACGAGUUGGCGUCCCAACUCGGCGAGUCAGGUCAACUGUAUGUUGACUUUGACCAUAGUGUUGACUUCCUCCAGGGGUAAGAUAGUCAUUUUACCCUCAGAUUAGUUAUCAGUAUUUGAUUGAGUGUGUUUAUGGGAAUUAUAGCCGGGGAGAUACCGGAGCAGCAGCAGAGAGUUCCCAAGUAGAUUUUCAGCAGCCAGCUUUCGAGGUGAGUUUCCUUCCAGUAGGAACGAGUCUACGGCCAUAAUGCCAGCUUGUUUAGUUAGCAAUGGUUCCGGACUUCGGUCCGAUGCAGUAGUUCAGGGUGCUUGAUGUCUUUGUGAUUCAAGCAUGUCUUUGUGUUAUGUGUUCCGGACUUCGGUCCGAUGCAGUAUACAGUAUAUGUGUUUAUGCUAGUUGAUAUGUGUUUAUGCUAUGCUAUGAUCAGUCAGUUCCGGACUUCGGUCCGAUGCAGGGGACAAGGUCCCAGUCAGUUCCGGACUUCGGUCCGAUGCAGGGGACAAGGUCCCAGUUAGUUCCAGACUUCGGUCCGAUGCAGAGGGCAAGUCCCUGGUUAGUUUCCGGACUUCGGUCCGAUGCAGUUUCCAGACUUCGGUCCGAUGCAGUUUCCGAACUUCGAUCCGAUGCAGUGGGCAAGGCCCAGUAUGUGCUUUAUAUAUUAUUGUAUGGUAUGUGGUAGUUUGGGGGAGCUCACUAAGCUUUGUGCUUACAAUUUUCAGUUUUGGUUUCAGGUACUUCCGCUAGCAAAGGGAAGAGCUCGGGAUGACGGCAUCGCACACACCACAGCCUCAGUUUUAUCCUGGGAGUUUUAAUUGGAUAAUGUUAUGAUCGAUACAAUUUUUGUUUAGACACAGUUACUAUGAAAUUUGAGUUACUCAUUUAAUGGUUUUUAUUAUUUAUGAUAUCCGAUGAUGUGAUUUUAGUAAUAUUAAAACAGAAAUUUUUGAGUUGUAUUUUGGGUCAUUAUAAGCUGGUAUCAAAGCCUUGGUUUGAGGGAUUUAAGCACACUUACGGGUAUCACUAAACUCAAACUAAGGAAAUAGUAAAAGGUUUUUGAAAGAAAAAUGUUUUCAAAAGAAUUUUUGAAAAAGAGACUUAAAAAUAAAAGAGUUUUGAAAACGAGAAAAAGGUGUGGUGCAUGCAAUCAGCCAAGCUCAAGUAAGUACUCCCAAAUUACCCAUACAAGUUUACAUUAUGAGUAUCUGUUUCAGUUUCAGUAGAACAGCAUGCUAGAAUAGGACUAAGGAUCUAGGGAGAUGCCUUAUGCGCCUGCUAUAUGUGUUUCAGCUUUAUGAGAAUUGCAUGCUAGUACUGAGUAGACAGUAGUAGGAUAGCCUGUUUAGGUUAUGCCUGAUAGUAUGAGCUUAGCAUUGUAUGCUAGUACAGUUUCUUUUUAUGAGGAUAGAGUUGCUUGAGUAGUUUCCUGUGUUCAAAUGCUGCUUGCUUUGUGCUUUGUGGGACUCUGAGUAAUGGGAGUUAUCCAUUAGGUGAAUACAUCACAUCGCAUGUGAUCAGGGUUGAAUAAUCUCAGAGUGUUGGAUUUGGCCCUACUACGAAGCUCUUGUUUCCAUGCUUAAAUCUCCAUUAACACCCCAAUAUAAUCAUUUCUAGGACAUUUCUUAGCUUGUUAGUGAAUAGAGAGCUCAUAUGAGCAAAAGGACAUCAGAUCUAGUCAUAAUCGAGCUCUAAAAGCUCAUAUCCACUGCCUUUAUUGAGUGCAAUUCGUAUGCAAGCCUAGAUCUACACUUUGAAUCCAUUUAGAGCCCUUUAAACUCUUGUAUAUGCAUGCAUGCACGUAAACUUGGAAACUUUACGUGUAAAAACCACCCUAGGAACCCAGAUCUAUGAGUUGAAUGCGUUGGAAUCGAUCAAAAUCGUUUGUAUGGUAUUUGCAUGCAAGCGACUUGGCGAGUUGUUCAUCAGACUCGACGAGUCGAGUCGCGAGUCCCCGAUUUUCCCCCUUUUGAUUUAAUUGAGUGGAGCUAGUGUGUUAGAGGUGGACUCAGUGAAUCGAGAGCCGGACUCAAUAAUGGAAAGACUCGGCGAGUCAAUGCCCUAACUCGACGAGUCCAAGGAAUUGUUCUUGCCUCAAGAACCGACUCGACGAGUUGUUCAUACAACUCGACAAGUCUCAGACCAGAGUGUUCUUAUGAUGAAGGAGAACUCGACGAGUUGUUCAUACAACUCGGCGAGUCAGAUGAAAAUAGACUGAUUAUUCGCAUCGAAGAGGAACUCGUCGAGUCUAUGCCAAACUCGACGAGUAGUAGCGGACAGGAAUUAGAAAUGAGAGCAUGGACUCGACGAGUUGGCGUCCCAACUCGGCGAGUCAGGUCAACUGUAUGUUGACUUUGACCAUAGUGUUGACUUCCUCCAGGGGUAAGAUAGUCAUUUUACCCUCAGAUUAGUUAUCAGUAUUUGAUUGAGUGUGUUUAUGGGAAUUAUAGCCGGGGAGAUACCGGAGCAGCAGCAGAGAGUUCCCAAGUAGAUUUUCAGCAGCCAGCUUUCGAGGUGAGUUUCCUUCCAGUAGGAACGAGUCUACGGCCACAAUGCCGGCCCGUUUAGUUAGCAGUGGUUCCGGACUUCGGUCCGAUGCAGUAGUUCAGGGUGCUUGAUGUCUUUGUGAUUCAAGCAUGUCUUUGUGUUAUGUGUUCCGGACUUCGGUCCGAUGCAGUAUACAGUAUAUGUGUUUAUGCUAGUUGAUAUGUGUUUAUGCUAUGCUAUGAUCAGUCAGUUCCGGACUUCGGUCCGAUGCAGGGGACAAGGUCCCAGUCAGUUCCGGACUUCGGUCCGAUGCAGGGGACAAGGUCCCAGUUAGUUCCAGACUUCGGUCCGAUGCAGAGGGAAAGUCCCUGGUUAGUUUCCGGACUUCGGUCCGAUGCAGUUUCCGAACUUCGAUCCGAUGCAGUGGGCAAGGCCCAGUAUGUGCUUUAUAUAUUAUUGUAUGGUAUGUGGUAGUUUGGGGGAGCUCACUAAGCUUUGUGCUUACAAUUUUCAGUUUUGGUUUCAGGUACUUCCGCUAGCAAAGGGAAGAGCUCGGGAUGACGGCGUCGCACACACCACAGCCUCAGUUUUAUCCUGGGAGUUUUAAUUGGAUAAUGUUAUGAUCGAUACAAUUUUUGUUUAGACACAGUUACUAUGACAUUUGAGUUACUCAUUUUAUGGUUUUUAUUAUUUAUGAUAUCUGAUGAUGUGAUUUUAGUAAUAUUAAAACAAAAAUUUUUGGGUUGUAUUUUGGGUCAUUACAAGUUGGUAUCAAAGCCUUGGUUUGAGGGAUUUAAGCACACGUACGGGUAUCACUAAACUCAAACUAAGGAAAUAGUAAAAGGUUUUUGAAAGAAAAAUGUUUUCAAAAGAAUUUUUGAAAAAGAGACUUAAAAAUAAAAGAGUUUUGAAAACGAGAAAAGGGUGUGGUGCAUGCAAUCAGCCAAGCUCAAGUAAGUACUCCCAAAUUACCCAUACAAGUUUACAUUAUGAGUAUAUGUUUCAGUUUUAGUAGAACAGCAUGCUAGAAUAGGACUAAGGAUCUAGGGAGAUGCCUUAUGCGCCUGCUAUAUGUGUUUCAGCUUUAUGAGAAUUGCAUGCUAGUACUGAGUAGACAGCAGUAGGAUAGCCUGUUUAGGUUAUGCCUGAUAGUAUGAGCUUAGCAUUGUAUGCUAGUACAGUUUCUUGUUAUGAGGAUAGAGUUGCUUGAGUAGUUUCCUGUGUUCAAAUGCUGCUUGCUUUGUGCUUUGUGGGACUCCGAGUAAUGGGAGUUAUCCAUUAGGUGAAUACAUCACAUCGUAUGUGAUCAGGGUUGAAUAAUCUCAGAGUGUUGGAUUUGGCCCUACUACGAAGCUCUUGUUUCCAUGCUUAAAUCUCCAUUAAGACCCCAAUAUAAUAAUUUCUACGACAUUUCUUAGCUUGUUAGUGAAUAGAGAGCUCAUAUGAGCAAAAGGACAUCAGAUCUAGUCAUAAUCGAGCUCUAGAAGCUCAGAUCCACUGCCUUUAUUGAGUCAAAUUCGUAUGCAAGCCUAGAUCUACACUUUGAAUCCAUUUAGAGCCCUUUAAACUCUUGUAUAUGCAUGCAUGAACGUAAAGUUGGAAACUUUACGUGUAAAAACCACCCUAGGAACCCAGAUCUAUUAGUUGAAUGCGUUGGAAUCGAUCAAAAUCGUUUGUAUGGUAUUUGCAUGCAAGCGACUCGGCGAGUUGUUCAUAAGACUCGACGAGUCGAGUCGCGAGUCCCCGAUUUUCCCCCUUUUGAUUUAAUUGAGUGGAACAUGUGUGUUAGAGGUGGACUCAGUGAGUCGAGAGCCGGACUCAAUAAUGGAAAGACUCGGCGAGUCAAUGCCCUAACUCGACGAGUCCAAGGCAAUCUUCUUGCCUCAAGAACAGACUCGACGAGUUGUUCAUACAACUCGACGAGUCUCAGACCAGAGUGUUCUUAUGAUGAAGGAGAACUCGACGAGUUGUUCAUACAACUCGGCGAGUCAGAUGAAAAUAGACUGAUUAUUCGCAUCGAAGAGGAACUCGUCGAGUCUAUGCCAAACUCGACGAGUAGUAGCGGACAGGAAUUAGAAAUGAGAGCAUGGACUCGACGAGUUGGCGUCCCAACUCGGCGAGUCAGGUCAACUGUAUGUUGACUUUGACCAUAGUGUUGACUUCCUCCAGGGGUAAGAUAGUCAUUUUACCCUCAGAUUAGUUAUCAGUAUUUGAUUGAAUGUGUUUAUGGGAAUUAUAGCCGGGGAGAUACCGGAGCAGCAGCAGAGAGUUCCCAAGUAGAUUUUCAGCAGCCAGCUUUCGAGGUGAGUUUCCUUCCAGUAGGAACGAGUCUACGGCCACAAUGCCGGCCCGUUUAGUUAGCAGUGGUUCCGGACUUCGGUCCGAUGCAGUAGUUCAGGGUGCUUGAUGUCUUUGUGAUUCAAGCAUGUCUUUGUGUUAUGUGUUCCGGACUUCGGUCCGAUGCAGUAUACAGUAUAUGUGUUUAUGCUAGUUGAUAUGUGUUUAUGCUAUGCUAUGAUCAGUCAGUUCCGGACUUCGGUCCGAUGCAGGGGACAAGGUCCCAGUCAGUUCCGGACUUCGGUCCGAUGCAGGGGACAAGGUCCCAGUUAGUUCCAGACUUCGGUCCGAUGCAGAGGGAAAGUCCCUGGUUAGUUUCCGGACUUCGGUCCGAUGCAGUUUCCGAACUUCGAUCCGAUGCAGUGGGCAAGGCCCAGUAUGUGCUUUAUAUAUUAUUGUAUGGUAUGUGGUAGUUUGGGGGAGCUCACUAAGCUUUGUGCUUACAAUUUUCAGUUUUGGUUUCAGGUACUUCCGCUAGCAAAGGGAAGAGCUCGGGAUGACGGCGUCGCACACACCACAGCCUCAGUUUUAUCCUGGGAGUUUUAAUUGGAUAAUGUUAUGAUCGAUACAAUUUUUGUUUAGACACAGUUACUAUGACAUUUGAGUUACUCAUUUUAUGGUUUUUAUUAUUUAUGAUAUCUGAUGAUGUGAUUUUAGUAAUAUUAAAACAAAAAUUUUUGGGUUGUAUUUUGGGUCAUUACAAGUUGGUAUCAAAGCCUUGGUUUGAGGGAUUUAAGCACACGUACGGGUAUCACUAAACUCAAACUAAGUAAAUAGUAAAAGGUUUUUGAAAGAAAAAUGUUUUCAAAAGAAUUUUUGAAAAAGAGACUUAAAAAUAAAAGAGUUUUGAAAACGAGAAAAGGGUGUGGUGCAUGCAAUCAGCCAAGCUCAAGUAAGUACUCCCAAAUUACCCAUACAAGUUUACAUUAUGAGUAUAUGUUUCAGUUUUAGUAGAACAGCAUGCUAGAAUAGGACUAAGGAUCUAGGGAGAUGCCUUAUGCGCCUGCUAUAUGUGUUUCAGCUUUAUGAGAAUUGCAUGCUAGUACUGAGUAGACAGCAGUAGGAUAGCCUGUUUAGGUUAUGCCUGAUAGUAUGAGCUUAGCAUUGUAUGCUAGUACAGUUUCUUGUUAUGAGGAUAGAGUUGCUUGAGUAGUUUCCUGUGUUCAAAUGCUGCUUGCUUUGUGCUUUGUGGGACUCCGAGUAAUGGGAGUUAUCCAUUAGGUGAAUACAUCACAUCGUAUGUGAUCAGGGUUGAAUAAUCUCAGAGUGUUGGAUUUGGCCCUACUACGAAGCUCUUGUUUCCAUGCUUAAAUCUCCAUUAAGACCCCAAUAUAAUAAUUUCUACGACAUUUCUUAGCUUGUUAGUGAAUAGAGAGCUCAUAUGAGCAAAAGGACAUCAGAUCUAGUCAUAAUCGAGCUCUAGAAGCUCAGAUCCACUGCCUUUAUUGAGUCAAAUUCGUAUGCAAGCCUAGAUCUACACUUUGAAUCCAUUUAGAGCCCUUUAAACUCUUGUAUAUGCAUGCAUGAACGUAAAGUUGGAAACUUUACGUGUAAAAACCACCCUAGGAACCCAGAUCUAUUAGUUGAAUGCGUUGGAAUCGAUCAAAAUCGUUUGUAUGGUAUUUGCAUGCAAGCGACUUGGCGAGUUGUUCAUCAGACUCGACGAGUCGAGUCGCGAGUCUCCGAUUUUCCCCCUUUUGAUUUAAUUGAGUGGAGCUAGUGUGUUAGAGGUGGACUCAGUGAAUCGAGAGCCGGACUCAAUAAUGGAAAGACUCGGCGAGUCAAUGCCCUAACUCGACGAGUCCAAGGAAUUCUUCUUGCCUCAAGAACCGACUCGACGAGUUGUUCAAAAAACUCGACGAGUCUCAGACCAGAGUGUUCUUAUGAUGAAGGAGAACUCGACGAGUUGGUCAUACAACUCGGCGAGUCAGAUGAAAAUAGACUGAUUAUUCGCAUCGAAGAGGAACUCGUCGAGUCUAUGCCAAACUCGACGAGUAGUAACGGACAGGAAUUAGAAAUGAGAGCAUGGACUCGACGAGUUGGCGUCCCAACUCGGCGAGUCAGGUCAACUGUAUGUUGACUUUGACCAUAGUGUUGACUUCCUCGAGGGGUAAGAUAUUCAUUUUACCCUCAGAUUAGUUAUCAGUAUUUGAUUGAGUGUGUUUAUGGGAAUUAUAGCCGGGGAGAUACCGGAGCAGCAGCAGAGUGUUCCCAAGUAGAUUUUUAGCAGCUAGCUUUCGAGGUGAGUUUCCUUCCAGUAGGAACGAGUCUACGGCCACAACGCCGGCUCAUUUAGUUAGCAGCGGUUCUGGACUUCGGUCCGAUGCAGUAGUUCAGGGUGCUUGAUGUCUUUGUGAUUCAAGCAUGUCUUUGUGUUAUGUGUUCCGGACUUCGGUCCGAUGCAGUAUACAGUAUAUGUGUUUAUGCUAGUUGAUAUGUGUUUAUGCUAUGCUAUGAUCAGUCAGUUCCGGACUUCGGUCCGAUGCAGGGGACAAGGUCCCAGUCAGUUCCGGACUUCGGUCCGAUGCAGGGGACAAGGUCCUAGUUAGUUCCAGACUUCGGUCCGAAGCAGAGGGCAAGUCCUUGGUUAGUUUCCGGACUUCGGUCCGAUGCAGUUUCCGAACUUCGAUCCGAUGCAGUAGGCAAGGCCCAGUAUGUGCUUUAUAUAUUAUUAUAUGGUAUGUGGUAGUUUGGGGGAGCUCACUAAGCUUUGUGCUUACAAUUUUCAGUUUUGGUUUCAGGUACUUCCGCUAGCAAAGGGAAGAGCUCGGGAUGACGGCGUCGCACACACCACAGCCUCAGUUUUAUCCUGGGAGUUUUAAUUGGAUAAUGUUAUGAUCGAUACAAUUUUUGUUUAGACACAGUUACUAUGACAUUUGAGUUACUCAUUUUAUGGUUUUUAUUAUUUAUGAUAUCUGAUGAUGUGAUUUUAGUAAUAUUAAAACAAAAAUUUUUGGGUUGUAUUUUGGGUCAUUACAAGUUGGUAUCAAAGCCUUGGUUUGAGGGAUUUAAGCACACGUACGGGUAUCACUAAACUCAAACUAAGUAAAUAGUAAAAGGUUUUUGAAAGAAAAAUGUUUUCAAAAGAAUUUUUGAAAAAGAGACUUAAAAAUAAAAGAGUUUUGAAAACGAGAAAAGGGUGUGGUGCAUGCAAUCAGCCAAGCUCAAGUAAGUACUCCCAAAUUACCCAUACAAGUUUACAUUAUGAGUAUAUGUUUCAGUUUUAGUAGAACAGCAUGCUAGAAUAGGACUAAGGAUCUAGGGAGAUGCCUUAUGCGCCUGCUAUAUGUGUUUCAGCUUUAUGAGAAUUGCAUGCUAGUACUGAGUAGACAGCAGUAGGAUAGCCUGUUUAGGUUAUGCCUGAUAGUAUGAGCUUAGCAUUGUAUGCUAGUACAGUUUCUUGUUAUGAGGAUAGAGUUGCUUGAGUAGUUUCCUGUGUUCAAAUGCUGCUUGCUUUGUGCUUUGUGGGACUCCGAGUAAUGGGAGUUAUCCAUUAGGUGAAUACAUCACAUCGUAUGUGAUCAGGGUUGAAUAAUCUCAGAGUGUUGGAUUUGGCCCUACUACGAAGCUCUUGUUUCCAUGCUUAAAUCUCCAUUAAGACCCCAAUAUAAUAAUUUCUACGACAUUUCUUAGCUUGUUAGUGAAUAGAGAGCUCAUAUGAGCAAAAGGACAUCAGAUCUAGUCAUAAUCGAGCUCUAGAAGCUCAGAUCCACUGCCUUUAUUGAGUCAAAUUCGUAUGCAAGCCUAGAUCUACACUUUGAAUCCAUUUAGAGCCCUUUAAACUCUUGUAUAUGCAUGCAUGAACGUAAAGUUGGAAACUUUACGUGUAAAAACCACCCUAGGAACCCAGAUCUAUUAGUUGAAUGCGUUGGAAUCGAUCAAAAUCGUUUGUAUGGUAUUUGCAUGCAAGCGACUCGGCGAGUUGUUCAUAAGACUCGACGAGUCGAGUCGCGAGUCCCCGAUUUUCCCCCUUUUGAUUUAAUUGAGUGGAACAUGUGUGUUAGAGGUGGACUCAGUGAGUCGAGAGCCGGACUCAAUAAUGGAAAGACUCGGCGAGUCAAUGCCCUAACUCGACGAGUCCAAGGCAAUCUUCUUGCCUCAAGAACAGACUCGACGAGUUGUUCAUACAACUCGACGAGUCUCAGACCAGAGUGUUCUUAUGAUGAAGGAGAACUCGACGAGUUUGUUCAUACAACUCGGCGAGUCAGAUGAAAAUAGACUGAUUAUUCGCAUCGAAGAGGAACUCGUCGAGUCUAUGCCAAACUCGACGAGUAGUAGCGGACAGGAAUUAGAAAUGAGAGCAUGGACUCGACGAGUUGGCGUCCCAACUCGGCGAGUCAGGUCAACUGUAUGUUGACUUUGACCAUAGUGUUGACUUCCUCCAGGGGUAAGAUAGUCAUUUUACCCUCAGAUUAGUUAUCAGUAUUUGAUUGAAUGUGUUUAUGGGAAUUAUAGUCGGGGAGAUACCGGAGCAGCAACAGAGAGUUCCCAAGUAGAUUUUCAGCAGCCAGCUUUCGAGGUGAGUUUCCUUCCAGUAGGAACGAGUCUACGGCCACAAUGCCGGCCCGUUUAGUUAGCAGUGGUUCCGGACUUCGGUCCGAUGCAGUAGUUCAGGGUGCUUGAUGUCAUUGUGAUUCAAGCAUGUCUUUGUGUUAUGUGUUCCGGCUUCGGUCCGAUGCAGUAUACAGUAUAUGUGUUUAUGCUAGUUUAUAUGUGUUUAUGCUAUGCUAUGAUCAGUCAGUUCCGGACUUCGGUCCGAUGCAGGGGACAAGGUCCCAGUUAGUUCCAGACUUCGGUCCGAUGCAGAGGGAAAGUCCCUGGUUAGUUUCCGGACUUCGGUCCGAUGCAGUUUCCGAACUUCGAUCCGAUGCAGUGGGCAAGGCCCAGCAUGUGGUUUACAUAUUAUUGUAUGGUAUAUGGUACUUUGGGGGAGCUCACUAAGCUUUGUGCUUACAAUUUUCAGUUUUGGUUUCAGGUACUUCCGCUAGCAAAGGGAAGAGCUCGGGAUGAUGGCGUCGCACACACCACAGCCGCAGUUUUAUCCUGGGAGUUUUAAUUGGAUAAUGUUAUGAUCGAUACAAUUUUUGUUUAGACACAGUUACUAUGACAUUUGAGUUACUCAUUUUAUGGUUUUUAUUAUUUAUGAUAUCUGAUGAUGUGAUUUUAGUAAUAUUAAAACAAAAAUUUUUGGGUUGUAUUUUGGGUCAUUACAAGUUGGUAUCAAAGCCUUGGUUUGAGGGAUUUAAGCACACGUACGGGUAUCACUAAACUCAAACUAAGUAAAUAGUAAAAGGUUUUUGAAAGAAAAAUGUUUUCAAAAGAAUUUUUGAAAAAGAGACUUAAAAAUAAAAGAGUUUUGAAAACGAGAAAAGGGUGUGGUGCAUGCAAUCAGCCAAGCUCAAGUAAGUACUCCCAAAUUACCCAUACAAGUUUACAUUAUGAGUAUAUGUUUCAGUUUUAGUAGAACAGCAUGCUAGAAUAGGACUAAGGAUCUAGGGAGAUGCCUUAUGCGCCUGCUAUAUGUGUUUCAGCUUUAUGAGAAUUGCAUGCUAGUACUGAGUAGACAGCAGUAGGAUAGCCUGUUUAGGUUAUGCCUGAUAGUAUGAGCUUAGCAUUGUAUGCUAGUACAGUUUCUUGUUAUGAGGAUAGAGUUGCUUGAGUAGUUUCCUGUGUUCAAAUGCUGCUUGCUUUGUGCUUUGUGGGACUCCGAGUAAUGGGAGUUAUCCAUUAGGUGAAUACAUCACAUCGUAUGUGAUCAGGGUUGAAUAAUCUCAGAGUGUUGGAUUUGGCCCUACUACGAAGCUCUUGUUUCCAUGCUUAAAUCUCCAUUAAGACCCCAAUAUAAUAAUUUCUACGACAUUUCUUAGCUUGUUAGUGAAUAGAGAGCUCAUAUGAGCAAAAGGACAUCAGAUCUAGUCAUAAUCGAGCUCUAGAAGCUCAGAUCCACUGCCUUUAUUGAGUCAAAUUCGUAUGCAAGCCUAGAUCUACACUUUGAAUCCAUUUAGAGCCCUUUAAACUCUUGUAUAUGCAUGCAUGAACGUAAAGUUGGAAACUUUACGUGUAAAAACCACCCUAGGAACCCAGAUCUAUUAGUUGAAUGCGUUGGAAUCGAUCAAAAUCGUUUGUAUGGUAUUUGCAUGCAAGCGACUCGGCGAGUUGUUCAUAAGACUCGACGAGUCGAGUCGCGAGUCCCCGAUUUUCCCCCUUUUGAUUUAAUUGAGUGGAACAUGUGUGUUAGAGGUGGACUCAGUGAGUCGAGAGCCGGACUCAAUAAUGGAAAGACUCGGCGAGUCAAUGCCCUAACUCGACGAGUCCAAGGCAAUCUUCUUGCCUCAAGAACAGACUCGACGAGUUGUUCAUACAACUCGACGAGUCUCAGACCAGAGUGUUCUUAUGAUGAAGGAGAACUCGACGAGUUUGUUCAUACAACUCGGCGAGUCAGAUGAAAAUAGACUGAUUAUUCGCAUCGAAGAGGAACUCGUCGAGUCUAUGCCAAACUCGACGAGUAGUAGCGGACAGGAAUUAGAAAUGAGAGCAUGGACUCGACGAGUUGGCGUCCCAACUCGGCGAGUCAGGUCAACUGUAUGUUGACUUUGACCAUAGUGUUGACUUCCUCCAGGGGUAAGAUAGUCAUUUUACCCUCAGAUUAGUUAUCAGUAUUUGAUUGAGUGUGUUUAUGGGAAUUAUAGCCGGGGAGAUACCGGAGCAGCAGCAGAGAGUUCCCAAGUAGAUUUUCAGCAUCCAGCUUUCGAGGUGAGUUUCCUUCCAGUAGGAACGAGUCUACGGCCACAAUGUCGGCCCGUUUAGUUAGCAGGGGUUCCGGACUUCGGUCCGAUGCAGUAGUUCAGGGUGCUUGAUGUCUUUGUGAUUCAAGCAUGUCUUUGUGUUAUGUGUUCCGGACUUCGGUCCGAUGCAGUAUACAGUAUAUGUGUUUAUGCUAGUUGAUAUGUGUUUAUGCUAUGCUAUGAUCAGUCAGUUCCGGACUUCGGUCCGAUGCAGGGGACAAGGUCCCAGUCAGUUCCGGACUUUGGUCUGAUGCAGGGGACAAGGUCCCAGUUAGUUCCAGACUUUGGUCCGAUGCAGAGGGCAAGUCCCUGGUUAGUUUCCGGACUUCGGUCCGAUGCAGUUUCCAGACUUCGGUCCGAUGCAGUUUCCGAACUUCGAUCCGAUGCAGUGGGCAAGGCCCAGUAUGUGCUUUAUAUAUUAUUGUAUGGUAUGUGGUAGUUUGGGGGAGCUCACUAAGCUUUGUGCUUACAAUUUUCAGUUUUGGUUUCAGGUACUUCCACAAGCAAAGGGAAGAGCUCGGGAUGACGGCGUCGCACACACCACAGGCUCAGUUUUAUCCUGGGAGUUUUAAUUGGAUAAUGUUAUGAUCGAUACAAUUUUUGUUUAGACACAGUUACUAUGACAUUUGAGUUACUCAUUUUAUGGUUUUUAUUAUUUAUGAUAUCUGAUGAUGUGAUUUUAGUAAUAUUAAAACAAAAAUUUCUGGGUUGUAUUUUGGGUCAUUACAAGUUGGUAUCAAAGCCUUGGUUUGAGGGAUUUAAGCACACUUACGGGUAUCACUAAACUCAAACUAAGGAAAUAGUAACAGGUUUUUGAAAGAAAAAUGUUUUCAAAAGAAUUUAUGAAAAAGAGACUUAAAAAGAAAAGAGUUUUGAAAACGAGAAAAAGGUGUGGUGCAUGCAAUCAGCCAAGCUCAAGUAAGUACUCCCAAAUUACCCAUAGAAGUUUACAUUAUGAGUAUCUGUUUCAGUUUCAAUAGAACAGCAUGCUAGAAUAGGACUAAGGAUCUUGGGAGAUGCCUUAUGCGCCUGCUAUAUGUGUUUCAGCUUUAUGAGAAUUGCAUGCUAGUACUGAGUAGACAGUAGUAGGAUAGCCUGUUUAGGUUAUGCCUGAUAGUAUGAGCUUAGCAUUGUAUGCUAGUAUAGUUUCUUGUUAUGAGGAUAGAAUUGCUUGAGUAGUUUCCUGUGUUCAAAUGCUGCUUGCUUUGUGCUUUGUGGGACUCCGAGUAAUGGGAGUUAUCCAUUAGGUGAAUACAUCACAUCGUAUGUGAUCAGGGUUGAAUAAUCUUAGAGUGUUGGAUUUGGCCCUACUGCGAAGCUCUUGUUUGAGUCUAACCAUUGUGGCGACGAGUCUUUUACUCGAAGGAUUAUCCGAGCCUCGUCAGAUGUGAUGGUAUUCAGGUGAUGACUAAUUGGUAUUACAAGGAGGCCUUCAGCGGCUGAGGGCUGGUUUUGGUCGAGUCAGAGAUUUCCCUAGGGCAAGCCUAGGAUGAGAGUAGGGGUUUCAAAAAAACCCGAACCCGAUUAACCCGACCCGAACCCGAACCCGAAUAAGGUAAUUAGGGUCGGGUUUAAUAGGGUCAGAACUCUUAAUCGGGUUAUUCAGGUUAACCCGACUAACCCGGAUUAUUAUUAGGGUCGGGUUUAGGGUUGAUUUUUUCAAAGCAAUUCGGGUUUCGGGUCAACCUGAAUAACCCGAUUAAGAAUUUAUUACCAAAACUUUUUUUUUAUUGCGUUGAAUGACAUGAAUUCAAGAUGCCAUGAGAUUUUAAAAGUAAUACAUAUUUAUUAUUUAAACAAACCAGGUAGUAAAAUUACUAUGUAUAGAGAUGUAUAAUAUGACAUAACUUUCCUCUCUUCUUAAUGCAGUACGGUUGUGUUGUAACAGUUUUACGAAUUUUAUUAACUGUUUACGUUACUAAUAUGGUAAAAGAAACUCCAAAAAUUCAUAUCGUAUACCAACUUUACAUUUUAAGUUCCUAUACAUGUGGAUUAUAUAUAAAAAUGGCACAACAUAAAUUCAUCUUACAUUUCAACUUCAACCCGACUAACCCGAUUAACCCAACCCUAAAACCCGAAACUCGGUUAGCCCGAACCCAGCUAACCCGUACCUUAUUAGGGUCGGGUUUCGGGUGAAUAUUUUUUCUAGAAAAACCCGACUAACUUGACCUGUUUAACCCGAAACCCAAUCGGGUUAACCCGAUUAACAGCCCUAGAUGAGAGUAGCAGAGAUCAGUAGCAGUAGUAGUGACUUGGUGGAGUCGAAGCAGUUCUUGAGGAAGGUACAGAUAGAUGUGGAAGGAGGUAGGGGCCCAUACUACUGGAAGCAGAGGAUCUGUACUUGAAUCAAGGAAGGCUGAGAUGAGACCGGGAAACCUAUAGUAGUAGCGAUCCCUUGAGAUAUAUCAGUGUUUCUGACGUUUAUCGUAAUGUGUUUUUAGAAUGGUGGUUUUACGCCCAAGACCAGCAGGAAACAAUUCAGGUGCCGGGGAGGGAUCAGGAUCAGGCUCGGGAGCCGAGCAGUUAGAUGAGCAGACUAGGGAUUUUUUCACUUUAGAGGUUACCCGUAUCAUACUUGAGCAGACUCUGGUGAUCUUUGGUUCGAUCAAGGAGGGUAUCUUAGAGUUGAUGGAUGAGAAGUUGAGCACGUUCCGCGCUGAGGUGGCGGCCAUGAUGGGGUCGCACACACACACCUUCAGGGAGUUCCGAGCUUGUGGAGCUCCAGACUAUCAUGGGGCGCGGGACCCCAUUGCGAGUACCAGGUGGUUGGCAGACGUUGCCAACGCUUUCCGCACGAGCAGAUGUCCCGAGGGGGACAAGGUCAAAUUAGGAUCCUGUCUUUUGAAGGACAGGGCACGUGACUGGUGGGAAGAAGUUGGGCAUGUCAUCGGGGAUGACGCAACGCUUGAGGCCAUGACUUGGGCUAAUUUUACUACCAGGUGUGACAUCCCCAUUUUCAUGGCCAGAAAAGACCGAUUUUGUUUAUGCUUUAUAAAAAUCAGAGUUCUUCUUUUAAUAAAAAUGUUGCGGAAUUUGUUCCCAGAAAAACACGAUAAAUACGUUAUUAAAACAUUUUCGAAGAAACGUAUUUUAUUCAUUUUAAAACGUUUGGGAUGUCAUCGUUAAUACAGAAACAUAAGCAUAAACAGAACUUACAUUUUCGAAGAAACGUAUUUUAUUCAUUUUAAAACGUUUGGGAUGUCAUCGUUAAUACAGAAACAUAAGCAUAAACAGAACUUACAUUUAUUUACACUAGUGAUUUACAUCUCUUUAAAUAUCUCAGUGUAAUGUGACUUCAUAUCAACACCUAUGAUAUAAAUAAACUGAGUGGGUCAGGUUGGGAAACUUGGUGAGUACAUGGGGUUUUCAACCCAUAAUUAUAUAAUUAUUAUGUUUAAACAAUCAAAUAAUCAACCCAAUUACCCAUCCCCAUUAUCUUCUUUACUCUUAAGGAUUUAUCCUAAGAGUCAUCUAUCCUACAUUCGUUUAUUCCUAAGUCCCUUACUUCCAGGGUUAUAGGACUGGCACUAAAUCCAUGGCUGCCAAUGUUCGUUCGUAAAGCACUAAUUCCAUAGUUGCUAUGGUCUACUCAUCGGGUACUAAAUCCAUAGCUACCAGUGUUCAAUAGGUACUAAGUCCAUAGCUACCAAUUCCUAACAGGUACAAAGUCCAUAGCUACCAGCAUCUAAGUAAUAGGUACUAAAUCCAUAGCUACCAAUUCCUAACAAGUACNAAUCCAUAGCUACCAAUUCUUAACAGGUACUAAGUCCAUAGCUACCAGUGUUUGUCCAAUAGGCACUAAGUCUAUAGCUGCCAAUGUAUACUCUCAUCAUCUUAUAUCUCUCAUCAUUCAUCUACCCAUGUCAUACCCAACAUAUUCGUAUAUAUAAAAUACAUAUACAGUUUAAAUCAUUUAAAACAUGUAUAAAACGUUCAUCCAGCAUAGACAGCAAGUACUCAAAUAAUAUGCACACUUAACAUGUAAUUUAUAUAAAAUACUUCAUAUCUAUGUGUAAGAUGAAAGUAACUAUGCACUCACCUGAGUAGGUGGUGACUCAGCACUCGGACAGCGCUUCGAUACUCUUAAAACAAUUUUCCUUCGAUAAAACCUAGUACCAAUACCACUAGGGUUUAGUCUAACGAUAACCGCGACAAAUUAAUAGUCUGACUAUUAUUAUUAUUAUACAAGCGUUAAUAACACUCAAUAUAACUCAUAAUAAUAGCCCAAAUAAUUAUUUUAAAGACCUAAUAACAUUACUAUAUAGAAACAUAAGCUACGCUAAAGAUAGGGUAAGCGUAGCUCACUUACAUCGGGUUUUCUCGAAAAUCGAGCUUUGCUUGAGUAGCGUUUCCGAGCCAAAAUACCCUUUUUCUCGGGACUCCGGGAGCCUCGGGGCUUCCUUCGGGUGCUAGGGGUUUACCUAGGCUUUAGGGGGCUUAAGGGAAGUUAGAGAGAGAAAGAAUGUUGGAGAGGUGUGAAGAGAAGUGAAUGCCCGACACCACUAUUUAUAGGGGUGCUGACUGACCUACUUGCCGAGUAGGAGGACCUACUUGCCGAGUUGGUGCAUGUGGCAACCUUCUGGUGGUGCCACGUGUCCAAUUCUGGUUGUGCCACGUCACCCCUUAUCGCGUAUCAGCCUUCAAACUUAGAAAAAUCAUAACUCUUGCAUACGAGCUCCGUUUUCGAAGUUCUUUAUAUCCACGCGUAGGUAAAAUCAAGAUCUAUAACUUUCGUUUAGACUCCGUUGGCUAAUUCUGGACCGGUAUCAAAUUUAACAAUAGGAGGCGUUUAGACUGUUAAAUGACCUCGAAGAAUUCGUAACUCCUUCAUACGGAGUCCGUUUUCGUCCAUCUUUUUACCGUUGAGUUCCUAUUAAUGAGAUCUUCAACUCUCAUUUAGGUCGCAUAAGCCAAAAACCGCUCGAACUAAAAUUCGAGUUUCGGGCUGUACAUUGCUAAGCCGAAUCUUAGAAAAAUCAUAACUUCUUCAUAUGAAGUCAGAUUUGGGCGUUCUUUUUAUGGAUUUUAUCGGUUUAACAUAUUCUAUGACUUUCGUUUAGAUCACUAAGGCUAAAUCUCGCUCUAUCGUAAAUUCACUUUUUACGCUUCCCGGUGCCGUGCCGGUUCCGUCGCGAAACUUCGAGGGUCAUAACUUCUUCGUUAUAACUCGGAUUUCGGUGUUCUUUAUAUGUAUGGAAACCUUGUGACAUACACUAAAACUUGGUUCAAAUUAUUUAUUCUAAAUAAUCUUUUGUCGAAAUGACAUUUUCGACCCCUAUUAUCUCUAAAUUGACUAGCCCGGAUCUACGGGCGUUACACCAGGUUCAGAGCCGAGUUUGCACCAGUUAUUGAGGUGCAACAGUUAGCCAGAGAGUUCCAUGAUAUUACUCAGACUACAGAGAUAGUGGCAGAGAUUACUGCCAAGUUCAGGGAGAGGGCUCUUCUUGUUCCUCAGUACGCAGCUGAUGAGGAAAUGAAGAAGGGCCGAUAUCAUGAGAUGUUGCGGAAUGAUAUCUGCCAGUUUGUGAGCCGGUCCAGCUGUAAAAUGUUGGAUGAUAUGAUUGCAAGGGCUCAAGAGAGAGAUUGAUUUAGAGAUGGAGAGGAAGAGGAAGCCAGAGACAGUAUCUGGCACAGGGAGUUCGGACAAAAAGCCCAAGGUAUCAGAUCACAGAUCUAGAGGACAGCAGAGCCAAAUUCGGUGUGGCAAGUAUGGGAGAUUGCACGAUGGGGCAUGCAAGGCAGGGAGUCCAGGUUGCUACAAGUGCAGCCGGAUCGGACAUAUGAGCAGAGAUUGUACAGCUACUCCCACCAUUACCGCAACAUCUGAUCUGAUUUGCUUCCAUUGCAAUCAGAGGGGACAUAAAAAGUCCCAGUGCCCGAACUUAGCAGCAAUAGGGAAGGUGUCAGCACCUGCCCCUGCUACAUUGAGGAUUACGGACGGUCGUUAGGGCUGGGCCGAGGCGCCAGUGGCGAAGAGUAGAGCUUUUCAGAUGACAGCAGAGGAGGAGCGAGCGACUCCUGACGUGGUGACGGGUAUGUAUUUUCCUUUUAUCUCUGCAUUUAUUAUUGAUUGUUUCUAAUGUUUUAUGUUUGCGUAUAGGGUCGUUCUUAGUGAAUGACAUUUUAGCUACAGUGUUAUUUGAUUCGGGGGCUACCCGAUCAUUUGUCUCUCUUGCGCUUAGCAAGUGGUUUAGCAGAGCUCCAGGGGAGCUGGAUUGUCCACUCGAGGUGGAGGUAGCCGAUGAUAGGACCGUCGGGGUCGUGAGAGUGCACAAUGCAUUCUCGCUGCAGCUAUUCGAUGAGCAGUUUUCAGUAGACCUGGUCCCUAUUCCUUUGUGAGGGAACAAGGUCAUAGUAGGCAUGGACUGGCUGAGCCCCAAUGGGGCGAUGAUUGAUUGCGAGUUGCAGCAAGUGAGGGUUUGCACUCCCAGCGGGGGAGAGUUAGUGAUUCAGUACGAGAGGCCACAGCGCGGACCGAUUCUUUUUUCAACAGCUAGAGCGAGACGCUACUUCCAGCAGGGUUGCGCAAGGUUCAUCGUCUACGUUUUGGAUGCUCGGGAGAAGGGCAAGGUGACAGUCGACGAUGUACCGGUAGUGCGAGACUACCCGGACGUAUUCCCGGAGGAUCUGCCUGGGAUACCUCCGGAGAGACAGGUUGAGUUCAAGAUUGACUUGGUUCCUGGUGCGACUCCUAUAGCUAAGGCAUCGUAUCGGUUGGCUCCUCCAGAGAUGCAGGAGUUGUCUAAGCUGCUGCAGGAGCUGCUAGACAAGGGUUUCAUCAAACCGAGUAGUUCACUAUGGGGAGCCCCGAUCCUGUUCGUGAGAAAGAAGGAUGGGUCGCACCGUAUGUGCAUAGAUUACCGGGAGUUGAACAAGGUAAUAAUGAAGAACCGUUACCCACUCCCGAGGAUAGACGAUGUUGAAAGAAAAACUUUGAGACACACUUGAACAAAAGUUAGAACAAGUAUAUUGUGGAAUAGUUAAUCUCGAAGGAUCUAAUAACUCAACAAUAAUAUUUAAGUUAGAUGAUUAGAGAGUUAGUUGCGGAAAAUAAAUAAAUGAAAAUGACAACAAUUGUUAUAUCAAGUAUACACGUAAGUUGAUUCAUAACGAGGAAUGCAUUCAAGCCAAGUUAAUAAGUGAGAUUAAACCUAGUGAUUAAGUCACAAAGGACUUUCUCCGAAGAUAGAUUGUAACCAGUUAUGAGAGAAUAUGUAAUGUGAAUAAGUAAGAAAGAGAUAGACAGGAUAAAUCCAGAGAUAUAUAUAUUAGAAAUUGAUAGAUGCGUAUGUGUUACAAAGAGAAUGAGCUCUAUUUAUAGAGACUCAAGAGUUACAUCAGACUCACUCUCUAAGAGUAGCCAUGAAAGGCAUACUGGACAAUAGAGAGGAUUGUAGUAAGACAAAACAAACUGAAUAAUAAAGAGAGAUUGCGGUUCGUUCAGACUUCGGUUGCGGUGGCUAGGAAGAGAUCUUGACUGCGGGUGAACUUAUAACUGCGGUAGCCAAAAAGUUCAAGAGGGUCACUUUUUAUGAUUCAACAAUUUCCCCCUAAGUGACCUCUUUAACUUCCGAUCAUCUAUCAAGUUGAAGAUACUUGAUCAAAAUCCACCAAAACUUCCUGAUGUUCUCCAACCUGGUGAUCCUUCUCAAAAUUUCGAACUUGACCUCUACGGUAGUGAACUUAGAUUUUUCAACUGCGAUUUUGCAGAUGUCAAGUUGCUUCCUGGUGAGCCGAUGCAUGGCAGUUAUAGGAAUGAAGUAUUUGACAUUGUCGGUCUUCCUUUUGAAAAUGAUGCCAAGAUCAGGGAAGUUGGUUGCACCUAAUGAUCUGUCUUCAAAACUUUUGGUGGGCAUUGGUGCGGGGUUGAGCGGUGGCAGAUCAAACUUCUUGGAAAUGAUGGGAUGGAUGUCCGCGUCAAUUUUGGCAAAAUCACAGACAGUUCCCUUCAAGAAGAUGUUGGCCCUUUCAAGUGCAAUCUUCAUCUUCGGAUGCUUCUUUGUUUUGUUCUGAAACACCUUUGCGAUGAGAAAGACUUCCUCCGGAUUCAUGCAAGGGAAGUCCGCCUGGGAGCAAACAUAGUCAUGUCCCCUUCUGGUGAGGGUAUACUGGAUGAACUCUGCCUUCAUAAACUUCCGAACUUUGAAGUUUAUGACUGAGGAUGGUGUGUCGUUGGACCAUAUAUGUUGUAUGGGAGAGGCAUGCUUAGCAUGAAAGCGACUUAGUCUUUCAAAUUCCAUCGGCAGUCGUUGGGCUUCGGGAAGGCUGAGAUCAAAAUACUCAAACACUGUGAAGUAUUUGGAAUUUGGGGAGAUUGGAACAUCCCAGUAACCAUCCGGAGGGGGUUCAACAUAAGUGAUGUGCGGUCUGUAAUCUUCAUCCAGCAGCCUGCGGUGAGGAUUGAUCCAGGAGUUUAUCAAGGAUUCAUCGAUUGAAGUAUCAAAACAACAUUCAUUCCAGAUGAUCUCUGCAAGCUUAGAUGCCUUCCAAUAUUUUUUCUUUUGAGCUAUGGCAGGGGUAUCAUUUGAGCUCGGAGAUGACAUGAAAUCCGCAAGGUUUUUGAUAUGAGGGGGAGUCUUUGGUUUUUCUGGAGUGUUUUCAAAUGGCGGUGGAGAGUUGUGAGGUGGAGUGUGAUGGGAUGGUUGAGGUGAAGGUUGUGGUGUAGCAAUAUUUUCAGUAGGGAUAGGUGAAGUUUGAUGUUGUGAGAUAGAUUGAUUGGAGUGAUGGAAUUCUUAUUCGUUUCCCCCUCUAGAGGAGUUUAGACUCGGAGCCUCCUCAAGCCAUUGACGAAGGCCAUCAACUUUGGCAAACACUUCUUGGAAUUUGGCAUUAACGGCUUCGGCCAGUUGUUGAUUGUUGGGGAUAGAGGGGUUGAAGAGUAGCUUGUGGAUCUCCUUGAUGAGAUGAAGAAUUUCAGGACCAUGGAAAUUUGCAGUCAAAGAACGCUGUAGACGGUUGAUAGUCGAAUGAAGAACGGAGAUUGCAGACUCAUAAGUUGUGUGAGUCUCAGCGAUCAGUUUUUCAGAGUUGGAGGCUUGAUCACCCAGACGUUUUUGCCGUCUGGUUCGGGGAUGUGACAUAAAUAGUAGUGAGCGAAGCAUCGAAGGAGGCAAUAUGGUUGAAGAAGUUCAUUGGAGACCUCGGAGUUGUACCAACCAUAUAGGAGCCUCUAACGUCCCAAAAUUCAAGACUAAAAUUUCUUUUAUAAAACAUCACUUAAAACAUAAUUUUCAAUCCAUAACAUAAACAGAGUAUUAAUUUCCAAAACAUAUGUUCGUUAUCAGAGUAAAACAUCCCAGGCUGUCUAAUCUAUGGUGUGUGCCAUGCGAUCACCCCGAGCUCUUCCCUUCGCUACCGGAAGUACCUGAAACCAAAACUGAAAACCUUAAGCACAAAGCUUAGUGAGUUUCCCCAACCUACCACAUACCAUGCAUAACCACAUAUUGCACAUACUGGGCCACGCCCGCUAUUCAGGGCCUCGCCCCCUACCUCGGGCCUCGCCCGCNCCCCCCCCCCCCCGGGCCCCCCCCCGCCACACCCCCCCCGCCGCUCCAGGCCCCGCCUGGCUUCGAGCCCCGCUCGGACACAAAUCUGUUUCACUUAGGCCUUGCCUAUCACUGGGCCUCGCCCUCUAACAUAUAAUAGCACAUAAACAUAUCACAACACAUAAGCUAAAUAUAUACUAAUGGAUCUUGUCCUAAGGCCUCACCUAUCCUGGGCCUUGCCCUUGUCCUGCUACUGAUGAGCCAUGGAACCCCAUCCACGCUCCGACUGAUAGUGAGUUACGGGCCCAUCCCACACUCACUCUUUNUCGCCCCUGUUCUACUGCUAAUGAGAUGUGGAACACCAUCCACACUCUGCUAUUGGUGAGAUAUGGGACCUCACCCACACUCACCUCCCUACCAGGCACAUACAUGUAUCACACAGACAACAAGUAUAAACUAUCACAUAAAUCAUUCCUUGGGCACCCACCCGCUAUCAUUGGACCUCGUCCUGAAUAUCAUACUAGCAUACUGUGCCUAGGUCUAACCCCCGGGUCUUCUACUCAUAACUACAUGGGUCGACAUUGUGGCCUUAGACCCAUUCAUACAAAGGGAAACUCACCUGCACUUGCUAAACUUGCCGAUAACCCCUCUAGCUGCUGCCCGGUAACUCUCUGAACUCUGCUCCACUAGCUCCCCGAGCUACCAAUAUCAAUGCAACACUUAGUCUAACUGUUCUCCGAAAGUCAACUAAGUCAACUCUGGUCAAAGUCAACCUUCCAGGUCAACCCUACUCACUGAUUCUACCUACUAACUCGCCGAUUUCAUAUGCUCAGAGUCCUUCCAUUCGCGACUCGACUCGCUGAGUCAGUCCAUGACUCGCCGAGUCCACCGAUUUCCGAGUCCUGACCUGUCCAACUCACCGAGUCCCCACUCAACUCACUGAUCCAAGUCUUAACUUGAAGGGUUUGGGAUUUCGCGACUUGACUCGCCGAGUCCAAGAACAAACUCACCGAGUCCAAGGCAAUCUUCAAUAGACUCGCCGAGUUGUUCUUCCAACUCGCCGAGUCCACCCGUGUGACUCGUCGAGUCUCUCCAGUUCUUAAUCCAUUCAGUGGCUUUUCGAGCCAUGCAGGGGCUCCAAAUAAUAGAUCCAUACUUCCAAAGCCUAUUCCUCACGUAAAGUUGCAAACUUUACGUGUAGCUAAGGAGAUCUAGGCCCAAAACACUCCAUACUCUGGUUUAAGACAACCAUGCUUCACCUACACCCCCAAGACUGAUACUUUAUGACUCUCUAGGCCAGAAUACACUUAGAUCUGAAGUAGCAACUUCAUAUCUAGACUUCUAACUCCAAUUGGCUCUUGGACAUGGCAUAAAAGCCCCAAAUAUCAUGACAACAAGGAAACUAUGAGCAAAGGAGUGAAGGUAAUGACUUCUUACCUUUAAAUGCUCUGAAAAGUCACACCAACACUAGAUCCAAGGCUUCCUCUUGCACCACUAUGAACUUCCUUCUCUUCCAAGCUUCAAAUCACAAUACCAAGGCUAGAUCUUUGCUCAAAAACGGAUAUGGUGGCUAGGGUUCGAGGUUCUGGAUGAGGGAAGUUGUAAAGGAACCCUAAGGAAGAGAAUGAGGUGCUUAAAUAGUGCACAAAGUCCCGAAUUUAGGGUUUCACUCUUCAGACCGGACUCGCCGAGUUCAUUCUCCGACUCGCCGAGUUGGUCACUUACUCCUCGACCCGGAUCCCGCUCGGACUCGCCGAGUUCCUCCUUCGACUCGACAAGUCGGCCCUUUAACUUAGGGUUUUCCUUUCCUUUCUUGGUCUUUCUGAUUAAGGGUGUUACAGAGCCUGUGGAGAUUUUCUGUAAUAACGAAUGAGUGAUUGCCUUAACUGUUACACCCCCGAACCAGAACGGCGGAAACGUCCGGAGGCGGGUGACGUCAUUAUGAUGUAUCAUAACAAUUGAAUAUAAAUGAAACAUAGCAAAUACAAACAUCAUACAUUAAGAUAACAAACUUACAUUGUAUUACAUCAUGUUUAUGUUCUCAAAUUACACAAAAGAGACAUUAGUGAGUAAGUUCCAAACUACAACAAAAUAAUCCUGAAGUUCGCGCCCCCAUUAACCUGCUUACUGAUUUCCUGAGAAUACAAGUCGUUUGAAAAGCGUCAAGAGGGUAUCGUCAGAGGAGAACCUAGCAGACCCCCUCACAAAGGGUCUAAGCAGGGUUAAGCAUUACAACAUGCGAGGAGCAUUGGUCUGAAGGACGAUAUUAGUUUUAGUGAUUAGAUAGUUGCUUAGAAAGUUGUAAUAGAUAAAAUGUAAUUGACAUUUGAUGAUUAAAAAAAAGGAGUUUUAUUUAUGAGUAAAGUUACUAUCUUGUGUCAAUUAUUUAAUAUUGCUUCACUUUUGCAUGUUUUGACUUCCUGGAUAAUAGGAUUAUUCGAAUUAUCCACAGUCAACGAUACUUUGGAAGUAAGUUAUGAGGUUAGACUGUCAUGAAUUGGUUUGUAGAUUGUCUAAGUGUUUAGACAUAGCAAAGGUUUGCUGCAACGUUCAUGAGUACUUACAAAAUAAGAUUUGAGUAUUGGAUUAAAACCACACUCAUUUGAAUCACUUCAUGGAAUUUAUCACGAGUGAUUGUGAGACGAUAAUAUCGUAUAAUCUUUAAACCGAGAUAUGUGAGUUGUUGUUUACAAGUUGGUUGUGCAUUGAUAAUGCGUAAACACAUCAGUAACUUGAUGUUAUAAAACAUGUUGCUGUGUACGAUUUGAUGAGUAAAUAGUACAAGCAUAUAAGUCAAAGUCUAUAUGUUCCUUUUAUCCUAAGAGGGUAAAAGCGAUAUCUUAGGCCCCUCGAUGAUUUUGUGUUGACUUAUGUGUCGGGCCUUGUUAGGACUGAAUUGAUGUGUUUAAUCAAGUUCUAUGUCAAACAAAUCAGAAGUCGGGAAACAAACUAUUGGACAGUGACAAUGAUUAUGUUCCAUGUCUUUGUCCACAUGAUAUCUUGCAAAACGGAGGAUUAUAUGAUCCCUUAUCUAAAGGACGCGUCAUUGACUAGGUCAAAGUUCGACAUCGGCUUUUGAGAGCUACGAUUGCUAACCGGAUUUUGAAGUGGUAUUUAUAGUUAUAGUUAUUAGACUUAUCCAAGUGGGAGACUAUUGGAUUAGGUGUCUCAGCCCAUAACUAUAAUUGGGAUGUACUUGACCCAAUGGUAGCAUGGUCCUUUUGGGUUGCCUUCACCAUAACAAUUUGAUAGGAUGAAUUAUGGAGAAAGAGGUUAAUUGUGAUUUAUUAAUGUAUUAUAAGAAUAAUAUAUUAAACUGAGAAAUCAUAUUAUUUAAUUAGUAUUGAUUAGAAAUUAAUUUGUAAUUAAUUCGGUGUUCAAAAGAGACUGAUUAAAUUAUAGGUUGAUGUUGCAAUUAUAUGAUAGUUGCAAGUUGGGCUUGUGGAUUCCUACGAAGGGGUGGACGAAAUUCUAUGUGUAGCCCACAUAGAUUUCGUCUAAAGGGGGGCUUUCUGGAACGAUAUAAUCGAUUGUUUAAGGCUUAAGCAAUUAGAUUAGGGUUUUACCUGAAACUCUAGCAACUCAGCUAUAUAAGGAACCCAUUGGCUUCUUGAAAUCGACCAAUGCAUCAAUCAAGAGAACCAUAUCCGAUUUUAGAGCCUCACCAUCUCUUUCAUAUUCUUCCAAUUGUUACUUGGUGUUUGUAACUCAAUAGAGGUGCAAAAUUUGAGGCACUAAGCUCUUGAACGUUAAGAUCUAUAAGCUACAAGGAAAAGGUAUUCAUCUAACUUUGUUUUAUGUUAUAAAUCUCGAAAAUUGUAUGCUAGAUAGGUUCAUGCUUUCGAUAAUUGAAAUUUCAUGUAUAACUUGAGAAAAACCUAGAUCCAAAGCAUUAGGGUUGCAUGUACACCAUAUGAAUGUUGUAAUGCUCAAAACCCAUCACGAAAAUCCUAAGGGGUAUAAGUCUAUUUAUAAUAUACUACAAGGGUUCUCUGGAUAACCCUAAUCUAAAUAUAAUAUUAAUAUUUCAAAUUGGUAAUUAACCAGCUCCUUAAUUAUCCACGUGGGAUAAUCUACAAACCCUAGAUUAUCCAUAUAGAAUUCGUCUACCCUUUCCCUAGGAAGGUUCUACAACCUCUUGUUCAACUAUUGAACAAUAGCACUUUAGACACUGCACUUUUAAUUAUUUCUUUUAAUCCCAAAAUUAAUUCCAUUUAAUUUCUUAUUAAAUAUUGCUAUUUCUAAUUAAUAUAUUAUUCUUAUAAUAUAUUAACAAAUCAUUAAUUUCAGUUUAUUAAUCAAAUAAUAAAUCCAACCUCUCUCUCCAAAGGUCAUCAUGUCUAGUUGUUAGUUUUGAGAGCAACCCAAAAGGACUGUGCUACUAUCAAUUUAAGUAUAUAUCAAUUAUAGUUAUGGUCUUAGACACAUAAUCCAAUAGUUUACAUGGAAUAGAUCAAUAAAGUUGGCAACUUUAUGGUCUCUAAGGGUCCCUUGAGAAUUAAAUCAUAUGGAUCUGAAGUUUAGUUGUGAUUUAUGAAUCUUGCAUGUGUUUGUGUAAGGAUAGUUUGGUUAGUUUUGUAUGUACUCUUCGUAUGUUUUGAUAUCUAUUUUACUAAGGCAUUUUAUAUGAAGCUUUGAUGUCUAUUCCUUAGUAUAUUUUUUUGUACGCUUUUACUCUCAUAUAAAUAGGAGUCUUUACUAGAGUUAGAUAAGGUUUUACAGUCUUAUCUACUUUUGUACUCUGUAAACCUAAAGCGUAAUAUAGAGCUGAAUCACGAUCUUAUUUACAUCGGUGUUAAAUAUUUCAUUCAAUUUCUGAUUACUUACUCUGAUUCAGAUUCAAACUCGAUUCUUAGAUUCUACAAUUGGUAUCAGAGCAGGAAUCAUAUCUCUGAUCUAAUUUUCAUCUUUUCAAAAGUUUUUGAAUCAAUUUUUGGUUUAAAAGUUUCCACACUUUUUGAAAAGUGAAAAGUUCAUUGGAUCUAAGUUUGUGAUUCGAUUCUACACUUGAAUUGUUGAAUUGAGUGUUCUCCUAGUUGUUUCAAUUUGAAUCAACUAGUUUGUUGUUAAAAAUCUCAAGUUUUCUUCAAAUUCUCAAAGUUUUCUUUCGUACAACAAUGGCGUCAUUCACUUAAUUCCAUGACUUCAUUCUCUCAUUUGUUGGAAUCAUCACAAAAAAAUUCCAAUGCUAAUUCCUGAGUAUUACGAUCAGUGGGCUGAUCGUAUUGAGGAUUAUCUCAAUGGUUUCGAUGAAGAACUGUGGACUUUUAUUUCUAGUAAUAUCAAUCCUCCAUCAAAUGUUCAACCACUUGGAGCGUCUUCUGCAAGUUCUGGAGUAGAGAAUCAAACUCAACGUAUGAAAAAGAUGGAGAAGAAAUGCAUGAGAGAGCUGAGAGGAGCUUUGCCUCCAGUUGUUUACAAUUAUGUGAGUAGUUGUAAAACUACAAAGGAAAUCUGGAACAACCUAAAGGAGAAAUUUCAAGGAAGUGAGAAGACAAGGGUUAAUUCUGUGAAACAAUGUUUGGUGGAAUUGAAAGACUUCAAAUAGAAAGAAAGUGAAACAAUAGAGGCGUAUUACGAUCGUCAGAAUGAAUUGAUCUGUCGAUGCAAUCGAUAUGGAAUCACCAGAUCAGUCAUGGAGUUCAAUCUCAUCUUUGUUAUGGGUCUGAGAAAGGAGUGGCGAAAUGUCAGCAUGAUGGUCAAAAAUCAACAAAGCUUUGAUACGUCAACUUUGAAUGAUAUGUACAAUCAGUUAAAAUCACACGAAAAUGAAGUGAACGAAAUUGCUGAAGAAACGAAGGCAAGCUUGGGAGGACCAUUAGCUUUGGUUUCAACAAUGACUGAGAAAGAAGUUCAUGAGAAAAGUGAUAUUGAUGGAGAAGAGGGAUUCAUCAUGAAUUCUAGUGAUGAAGCAAUAGCAUUUUAUUCAAACAAUUGAGUCAAAAAGUUCUUCAAAAAGCCAUUCAAUUCGAAGAUCAAUUCAUCUGAGAUCAAAGGAAGUUUUGUGAAUAAAACUGCAAGGGAUGAGAAAAAGAAGGAGGAGAAGAAGGAUGCAAAGAAUGUUGAGGGAAAGAUUGAGAAGAAAUUGAAAGGAGAUACUGGAGUAGACUGUCACUACUGUAACGGUGCCAAUCAUUUAGCCAAUGAUUGCAUGUUGAGGAAGAAAUAUGAGAAGAAAAAUAAGGUAAAAGAUAAAGCUUACUAUGCUGAAAGACUGGAAGAGGUUCGUGCGAAGGCAAAGAAAUUGUCAUUGGUUGCCAUGGGAGAACAAGAUGAUGGUGGAACUUAUCAAGUCUGGUCAUCUGGAUCAGAUGAUGAGGAGAUGCGAAAUCCAACACAUUGACUAAUGUUUGCGAAGAUUGAGGAGGAAUCGGAUGAGGAAGCAUACGAAGUUAAAAGAAGAUGCUUCGUAUCAAAGGAUGCAGACAAAUCUCCAAUGACAACAAAGGUACGCAACAUUCUUGAAUCUUUUAAUAUUCCAGUACAUGCUUAUAAUUUUGAAUUGGUAUCUUUUGAUGAAACUGUUACUUAUUUUGAUUCAAUUGUGGUGUCUGCUAGCAAUGAGGCUAAGAAGCUUUCUAUAUAGUUGUUAGAGACAGAGAAGAAGUUCGAAUUGAAAAACACAAAAGUAGAUUGUUUAGAACUUCAAAUUAUAAACAUUAUGAUUGAUAGGGAUAAUUUGGCAAGUGAAAUAAAAUUGUUGUUAGCACAAAGAAACAUUUAUUGUAAUUCAGCUAAAAGAUUGUAUGGGAAAUUAACAGAAUUGCAUCAUUCUUGUGAGAUAAGUAAAGAACAACAUAGAAAGUUAUUGCCUUUUUUAGCUUACGAAAGAGCUAAGGUAGAUAAUAUUUCGUAUGAUUGUGAGAAAGAAAUAGUUGAAUUUGACAAAAUUCCUGAUGAUAGAUAUAGAUAUGGAAUAGUCAAAGUAGAUGAAUGUCUUGUGCUAAUGAAUUAGUUGAAAUUGUAAAUGAUACUUUGACUAAGUCUGAACAAAUUCACAUUUUGAAAAAGACUGAAACUUCAACAUCUGAUGUUCAAUCUAAUUUUGCUGAUAUUGAAGAUAAUUCUAAUAAUAUCAAUGAAAUUAGUGAUCUUGAGGAUGUUUAUUGUUCUCAGUUGUCUAUUACUAAUGUUGCAUCUUCAUCUAAAGGGAAAGAAAAAGUUAAUGAUUUGUUGGUUAAGAAUGAUACUAAUCAACCCUCAACUUUGGAAGUUUAUGAUUUGGACUUCGUGGAAAUCAGAGACGGUCAAACAGAUGAUAGUGAUGAUGAAAAAGAUGAGCAACAUUCGAAGGAAAAGGUAUUUUCAAAGAGUGAAAAAAUUCCUCGAAUUGUAGUUGACCAGGUGUAUGGUGAUACACAAAAGUAUGAAAAAGUGUUGAAAGAACAAGGCGCUCUUUAUCUUGAAACAAAUACUGUGGUGUAUCCAAUUUUCAAGUGUUCAGAUGAUGUCGUGUUUCCAAACCAAGUGUUCGUAACAACUGGAAAUAUUGAAAAUGUUAUACCAGAAUUCAAGAAAAUGGUGGAACAAGACAAUUUGAAAACAUCAGAUGAAGGGUUCUUCACAAAUCAAAGCACAGUUGAAAAGAACCUAACGCAGAAUUCAUAUGUUUUCCAAAAACAAAAAUCUCAGAGAAAAUGGGUUGAAAAAUCAAAACCUGAAAAAGAAGUCACGAAACCAAUUUUUGAGGAAACAAAAAGUGGAGUCAAAUUAAAUUCAAAAGAAUUUAAAGAACAAAUUGAAAAAUUUUCAAAAUAAAAUAAUGUUUCAAAAUGACAAGCACGAAAGAAAAUAUUUUGGCAAACAAUCGAGUCUAGAAAAACGUCAACUGAUUUGUCAAAAACAGUUAAGUCUGUGAGUUCAAACCAUUAUUUAGACAAAAAGAAAACUCCUGCUUAUUCAAGCAAAAAUGUGUCUGAAUCAACGUCCUCAAAAUAUAUUUUCAAAGUGAAAAAAUCAUCUUUUUCAAAAGUAAACCAAGUUUAUAUUCCAAAAAUUCAUACUAAGUUUGAAGUGAAAACAACCCCAAAGUUUUCGAAAGUGUCAAAAUCCAACAUUUCAAGCAAGAUUUCUGAUAAUUCAUUGAAUUUUAAUUCAACAAAGUUUUUUUCUCCACGUCAACAUUUUAAAUCAACAGUUGAUACUUCCUAUGCUGAAUCAUUUGUCUCAAAACCAAAAAUUGAUUUUGUUCCUCAAAAGCCAAAUUUUCCUAAUCAUACGAAGAAACAAACAUUGAAAGCUUCGCAUGAAAAAGGGAUCACUUCACGAAAGAAUAUUGAUCACUGGCUCGAAGGAAGAGGAAGAAUUUAUCAAUCAAGUAAAUAUUCGAAAGAUCAAAUCAACGAAGCUUAUGAGAAGUAUGUAAAUACUUCUUAAAAUGGCAGUUCGUCAUCAAAGGAUUCGAAGAUUGUGGUAAAAGCAUGGAAACCAGUCAUAAAAGAGAAGACUGAACAAUCACAAACUCAGAAUCCGAAGGGUGAUAUAAGUAAUCAUACGAAACAAACAAAACUUUAUGUUUCAAUCCCUACAAAUGAAGAUGUGGACAUUAUUAAUAGUCUCAAAACUAAAGUUUGUGAUUUACUCAACAAUUAUUCUUUCAAAUCAUUGUUGAAAUGUAAUUUCCAAGGACCCAAAAAGCCUUGGGUACCUAAAUUCUUUCAAUGAUCGCAGGUACUUUGUGAUGAGCAAUAUGAUAAUAAAUGGUACAUCAAUAGUGGUUGCUCUCGUCACAUCACUGGGAAGAAGGAGAAUCUUAGAGACUUUCGAAGCUUGAAAUAUGUUGGAGUUGUUAAAUUUGGUAUUAAUCAAAAGUGUCAAGUCAAAGGAUAUGGGAAAAUCACGAAUGGAAAAUUCACAGUGAAUCGAGAUGCUUAUGUUGAAGGUUUACAACACAACUUGAUAAGUGUAUCACAACUUGUGGUAGGCACUGGAAAUCAAAUAUUUUUUAAUGAAGAAGGAAGCAUUAUUUCGAAUGUUUACACAAAAGAAGUUUUUUUGAAAUCCAAAUGGAAGGGUGACAUGUUUACUUUGGACAUCAAUCCAAUUGUGGGUAAACCUGUUGUAUGUCUUCUUUCAAAAGCAACAUCAGAUCUGAGCUGCCUUUGGCAUCAAAGACUUUCACAUCUCAACUUCAGAAAUAUCAACAAACUUGUUGUGCGAGAUUUGGUAAGACGUUUACCUGUACUUAAGUUUGAUAAUGAUUCCUUAUGUGCAGCUUGUGAAGUUGGCAAGCAACAUAAAUAAGGUCAUCCGAUCACAAUUGAUUCAAAAAUUGUCGAACCACUGGAGCUUAUACAUAUUGAUUUAUGUGGUCCUUCGACUGUUUCAAAUCUCAACAACAAACGAUAUAUCUUAGUUAUUGUUGAUGAUUUUUCCAAAUUCACGUGAGUUUACUUUCUCAGAUUAAAAUCCAAAGUGGUACAAAUCAUGAUUGACUUCAUCAAGAAAAUGGAACUAACCUUGAAAAAGCUUGUUCGCAAAAUCAAGAGUGAUCAUGGAACUGAGUUUAAGAACAAUGUUCUUGAUUCAUUUUUAGUGGAAAAAGGCAUUUCGUGUUUUACACAAAAAUCGAUCUUUAUGGGAAGCUGCAAGAACUAUGUUGGCAUAUGCGAACUUACCACAAUAUAUUUGGGCUGAGGCAGUUUCCACUGCGUGUUUUACACAAAAUCGAACUUUCAUUCAUCGACGUUUUAAUAUUACACCUUACGAAAUUAUAAAUAAUCGGAAACCAAAUGUGAAAUUCUUUCAUGUCUUCGGAUGCAGGUGUUUUAUUAUGAAUCUCAGGGAUAACCUUUCGAAAUUUCAAGCUAAAGCUAAUGAAGGGAUUUUCCUGGGGUAUUCGCAUAAUUCAGUGGCAUAUCAUGUAUUGAACAAGCGUACACGAAAAGUGGAAGAAACUUUUAAUCUUAUGUUUGAUGAUUAUUAUAUCAAACAAUCACAACAACAAUUUCAAAAUCUUCCAAUUUUGAAAGAAAAUCAAGAUGAAUCUGAACCAAUGCAAAUCUUGGAUAUUGAUUAUGAUUUGAUAUUUGGACUUUUAGAUCAUGCUGGAAAUGUAGAAAAAAAAGCUCAUGAUAAUCAUAUUCCUGAACAUUCAAAGCUUACUAAUGAUUCAACAUCAUCUCCUCAAGAAAUAGGCGAAAGUAUUCAAAAUGAUCCAAUGGAGGGGGAGCAUUUGGAUUCGAACACUCUGAUGGAGGGGGAGCAUUCUUUCGAGGGGGAGAAUGAGAGAGAUAAUGCUGAUACUGAUGGGGAGAGAUUAAAUGCUAACGGUGAGGAGGAGCUAUUACAAAAUAAUGAAAAUUAUCAUGAUGUUAAUGAUGUUUGUUCAAUUGCAGGUUCAGAUAAUGAUGAGUUGUACGAAGACGCACCUUUGGAUUUCGAUCCAGCUUAUCCACCAAUGGACAAAUGGAUAAAAGAUCAUCCGAAGGAACAAAUAAUUGGAAAUCCAAAAGAGGGAGUUUUAACAAGGGCUCAAAUUCGUACAAAGAAUGAGGUAUUAAAUACUCAUCAAGAGUUUUGCAUUUUUAAUGUUUUUAUUUCUAAAAUUGAACCAAAGACAGUAAAGAUUGCAAUGGAACACUUAGAUUGGGCUGUUGCAAUGCAAUCCGAACUGUCUGAAUUUGAAAGAAAUAAAGUUUGGAGAUUAAUUCCUAAGCCAAAUGAUGUUUCAUUUGUCGAGUUAAAAUGGAUUUUCAAAAACAAAACUGACAAAGAUGGAAAUAUCAUUCGAAAAAAGCCAGACUUGUUGUUAAGGGAUACUCUCAACAAGAAGGAAUUGAUUACGAAGAAACUUUUGCCCCUGUCGCAAGACUCGAGGCAGUUUGUAUAUUUUUAUCUUAUGCAGCUCACAAAGACUUUGAUGUUUAUCAAAUGGAUGUGAAGUGUGCUUUUCUGAAUGGAGAGCUCGAAGAAACUGUCUAUGUGGAACAACCUCCAGGUUUUGUUAACGAAGAACAUCCUAAUUAUGUUUAUAUUUUAGAUAAGGCAGUUUAUGGUUUGAAACAAGCACCACGAGCCUGGUAUGCAACUAUUACUUCAUUUUUGAAGCAAUCUAAAUUUAAACAAGGAUCAGUUGACCCCACAUUAUUUCAUAAGAAAGUUGGGAAUCGUCUGAUGCUUGUUCAAAUUUAUGUUGAUGAUAUUAUCUUUAGAUCAACUGACCCUGCUUUGUCUAAAGAAUUCGAAGACUUGAUGAAAAGUUAGUUCAAAAUGAGCAUGAUGGGAAAAAUUAAUAAUUUUCUUGGUCUAAAUAUUCGUCAAAGCAGAGAAGGAAUCUUCAUUAACCAAGAAAAGUAUACGAAGAAUCUGCUAGAGAAGUUUGGAUUAACGAAUAGCACAAAGUUACGAGUUCCAAUGGAAACUGGGAUCAAACUAACUCCUUUGUUAGAUAAACCUACAGUUGAACUUACUUUAUACAGAAGCAUGAUUGGAUUUUUACUUUAUUUAACUGCUAGUAGAACUGAUAUCAUGUUUUCUGUAUGUAAUUGUGCUAGGUAUCAAGCAAAUCCACGAGAACCACAUCUCACUUGUCACACCCCGAAACCGAUGGUGGAAACAUUUCGGGGUGGAGGAUGUCAUGUAAAGUAUCAUAACCAAUAUACAUAGUAAGCAUGGUAAACACAACCAUUACAUUACAUAGGAAAUUUACAUUUGUUUGAAAAGCAAAGUAAUACAUGUUUUAUCUAUACAUUAGUAUAACAAAAGUAAAGACGAGACUGCUAAAAUGCUCCAUCUUCUCCAAAAAUUUGCGGGAUACCUGUCUAACGUUGACCUGAGAAUACAAGCAAUUUUAGAAAUAUCAGCAUAAAGCUGGUGAGUUCAUAAGCGGUUUGUUUCUGUGAAAGAAAAAUGUUCCUUUAAGUUUGUGAAAAGUUGUUUCCAAGAAAAUCCCAUAUUUUGUUAUAAAAGAAGUUUGGUUAUCCAUUUGUUAAACAACCUAUCUAUGAAAAGUUAAGUUAUCCCAGGAAAAACCCUUAUUUUCCUAAAAAGUUGAUGGUUGGUUGUCGAUUCGGAAUGAAAUGUACAAGUAUCUACCAUACUUGUAGCGUUUAAGUAAAGUUUCCCUGAAAGUUUAGUUAUCCUUGGAAAGUAUAUUAGUUCUAACACGUAUAUAAAACUAAUAAGUAGGUUGUGAACUAAUACCUAAGGGUAUUACUGAUACCCUCUAGUAAUCAAAACAAUUAUUACUUUGAGAUUAGUUCACUAGGUUCAUUAUUACUAACAAGUAAAUCUCCGUUAUCUAAAUUGCGAGUUCCAUAAUCAUACAAUAGACUAGAUAUGGCAAUAAGAAGUCCAGUAUCAUCUUAUGACUUUUGUCACCCGUAGACCUGUCGGUCCCACUGUAGCUAGCAGCGAGGUGCGGGGUAGUCAGCCCCGUAUAGAUCUAUACACUCAAGUCACGCUCUCCAUCCAGGAGAUUCUGGUUACAGAGGCGAUCCUCCACUCGCGUAUCUCUGUGGAGUAUUUCAGAGGACAUGUCUCCAAUUUUUAAGAUUAACGAAUUUACAAGUAAUAAUGCGGAAAAUCCUGUUUUAGAUUCUGGUUACAAAGGUGGUCCUCCACUCGCGUAUCUCUGUGGAGUGUUUCAGAGGACAUAUCAAAAGUUCUAAUCUAAUGCUUUUAACAGUAAUGAUGUGGAAAAAUCAUUUGUGAAAUAUAAAAUAUAACAUUUUAUAUCGAGUUCACAAACAGUUUGAAAACUAACUCUACAAGUUAAACGGUUGGUUAAUACGGUUUCCAAUGUUAAAAACAUAAGGAAUAUGAAACAUUUCAAAUGAAAUAAUAAGUUUGAGUACAAUAUAUCCUUGUACUUUUGCUUGUAUUCCCCCCNNNNNNNNNNNNNNNNNNNNNNNNNNNNNNNNNNNGGGGUAUGAACUCACCAGACGAGAAAUGUGCCGGUUAGGAUGCUAAGUGUCAGUUCGGGGCUUGAACACGCGCGAGGUUCCUAUGUAACAUAAGGAGAUACAUAAUUGUAUCUAAUUAGACGUUGAACUACUAAUUAAUUAAGAAAAUACACUCCGAGGCACGAAAACACUUUAUCUCAACUGUUAAGAAUGAUCCAGGUUGCAUCUAAAGGUGUGUAGGGCCUAGAUAAGGAGUUUACUCUUCAAGAGUAAACCCUUAUGGGUGUUUACGGUCCAAAGACCAUAUCCCCUUGAUUUUAUGGCCAUAAAAUCAUGGUUGGUGUGUUCUUGGAUGUUUAAAGGUCUUACAAUGCACAAGGGAAGGUUCUACGGUUGAAUCAAAGGCUUAGGAAGUGAUCGGGACUUGAAUUGACCUUGGAAAAGGGGUUUACUGUUCUUGAAGGACCCUUGGGGAGUUUACUACCGUAAACACAUGAGUUUAUGGUCGUAAAAUCAAGCUUGGUUCAUUCUUCAUGCGUUUUGGUGGUUGUAGGUUAAGCAUACAAAGUUCUAGACCCAAAUAUAAGCAAUUCAAGGUGUUAAGGGCACUUAAACACCCUUUAUAGGUGUUUACAGUUUUGGGAGACCUUCCCAAACCAUAAACUCAAGUGUUGCUCAUUUGGGCAUGUUUUGGUGCAUCACAUGAAGGAAUACAAGGUUCUAGGCACUCAUGGAAGCUUUUGGAGGUGUUUAAGGGGCAAUUUAACACCUUAAAAGGUGUUUAUGGUCCAUGAAGGUGUGUUUAUGGUCCAAGAAUGUUCUUGGACCAUAAACUCACGUUUGCUACUCAACUGACAUGAUUUUGGUGUUCUAAGCUCGUACAUGCAAGUCCUUAAGUCUUUGCUAAACACUAGAAAGGAUUUUGAAGGGUUUUGGGGCUUCAAAACCCCCUUUAAGGGAGUUUACGGUUUUGGGAGAUGUUCCCAAACCGUAAACACAAGUUCUUGAGUGUUUUGGAUGAUUUAAACAUAGAUUUGCAUGCUUAACAAGUUAAACAACAAGCUAGGAUAGAUUACUUAUGAUUUUUGGAGUUUGAAGGGGCGUUUUUGGAUCAAAACUCGAGUUUUAAAGAGAGAGUAUAGAGAGAAAGUUAUGAGGAGGUGGGAAAAAGCUUAAAUGAAGUCAGUCAGCCUUUAUAUAAGGCUUGAGCUUGUAGCCAAGUGGGAAUCCACCCAAUACCGACGUUAAACGGGGGUUUACAAUUUUACCCAAUUAUAUUGUCGUAACCCGACUUAGUUGUAACUAAAACUGUUCCAAAUGAAUAUCGAGGGUGUUUUAACGUGUUUCUAAUGUGUUCCGACACUUAUGAAGUCAAAAUAAAAGUCCCAAUUUAAUUAACUUAAUCCAAAAGUUAACAGAAAAUUUUAAUAAAAAUAAAUUUUAUUAACGGAAAUGGAAUACAGUGACGGAAUAAAUUUAGAGUUGUCACAUCACUGUUGUAAAGAAUAUCCUUCGUUAUCUCAAAGGAACUUCUUCGCUAGGAUUGUGGUAUCCUUCGAAUACAGGGUUCUUUACUCAAGCAUAUUCAGAUGCAGAUUUGGGAGGUUGUAAUCUUGAUAGGAAAAGCCCAAGUGGAGGAUGUCAAUUACUCGAUGGUAAGUUAGUGAGCUGGCAAUCGAAAAAGCAGACAUGUGUUUCAAUCUCAACGGAUGAAGCUGCAUAUGUUGCUGAUGCUGCUUGCACCUCACAGAUAAUAUGGAUUCAAAGUCAAUUACGUGAUUAUGCAAUUAACAUGAAAAAGAUUCCUUUAUAUUGUGAUUCACUAAGUACAAUAAGAAUUUAUCAUAAUCAUGUGUAACAUUCAAAGACGAAACAUAUAGCUCUUCUUUAUCACUUCAUCAAUGAUCAUGUGGAGGAAGGAAAUAUUGAAGUACAUUUUGUGAAAACAACGGAUCCGUUGGUUGAUAUUUUCACAAAAGCUUUGGAUGAAAAAUCGUUUGCAGGGGAUGAUUGAUGGAAAUUCAAUUCCAUGCGAAAAAGACAAACAAUGAUUACAAGAAAACAACAAAGAAAAAUCAUUAAGUAUUCAGAGGUUACUGUUCACAAUCAACUCUUCAAAUGCUUCGAAUUCGUGUUAUUGGUAUUUAAAAAAAACUUCGAAUAUUUGCAACGAGUACUUUUAAUUGUUUUGUUCUUAAUUUUUGAAAAAUUUAAAAACAUCAAAAAGAUUUUCUUAUUAUUUUGUUCUUCUUUGUUGAAAAAUCAAAAACAACAAAAAGAUUUUGUUUUGUUUUUUUUAAGUAGGAUGUUGCAGAUUUUCAUGAAGAUACGAAGUGGACAAGGCUUACAGUUCUAGGGUGAGGUACAUUUUCAUUCUAUUCUUUGAAUUUUAAAUUUUUUAACUAGUUAGGAUGUCCCUAGAAGCAUGCUGCUGCAUGUUGUCCGAAGCCUCAAAAUGACUCAAUGUUUGAAAGCCUUAAUGAAAUUUUCAUACGAAGAUUUCUUCCCAAUUAGGCUUACAUUCGUAUUAUUCUACCUUACUCUUCUCACAUGAGUUAGGAGUUUUCUGUUUGGUCCAAUAUAACAGAGGUACAUGUUUCUUCGUAUACAAAUCUUUUUCAUCUUAAAGUUCUUACACCAUCACACACGAAGACAUAUGUCCAAGAGGUUGCUGAUCAAACCAAUCAAAACUUAGAUAUAUCACAAAUCUGUGUUUAUGAUCAGACAUCAUGAGACCAUGAUGGAAGUGAAACCCAAUUUAAUCAACCUUUAAGGAAUUAACGGGGAACUUAGUUCCAAAUUUUAACGAAACAUUUGUUUCUGUACCUUCGUUCGAAACUCCAAAUCAUAUUCAAUUCUUAUGUGUGGUCUUGAUCAAGCAUUCGAAACACAUGAUGUUUGUUACCCAACAGGAUCCAGAAUACAAUUUUUCUUGAAUAUGAUUUCAGAGUGAGUUUUAUCUGAAAUUCCUUGUUACUUAAAAGUUUUUCAAAGCAAACUUGUCACUGACUACACUGGUCAAACAAGUAAUUUCUGUUACAAUUACUCACCUUAUGUUUUGGUUGAUAUGUAACAAAAUUUAUUGAACCACCUCAAAAGCCUUUUAAAAGAAGCCCUUCGAUACUUAUUCACAAGUAUUCGAUUGUAAAUCACGGGAAAAUACACAAGCUGUUGAUUAUCUCUCUUGAUAAUUAACGAAGCAAUCUUUGCCCGGGGUUUAACUGCGUUCGUGUCAAAUUGAAUUUUUGACAUCACUAAAUAUCCAAAAAAAUUUAGUUUGCUUCUUAUCUUUAUUCUUUGACACACUUGACACACACGAAAUCCUUGAGGUUCUGAGUAAUACCAACUCAGGCUGAUGAUUUCAAAAAUCUGGCAAAUGAUUUUACUUUAAAACCAUAAAGUAAAAGACCCUUGACUCCAUCCGAAGGGUUCCGACGGUUACUAUUCUAUUGGGGCAAACAAUCCAGGCUGUUUGAAGUGACUGUUUGAAUUCUGUGCGGGUUUUGAGGAGAUGUGACAGUUACUUUAUCACACAUGGUUACUUUUUCAUCAUCACGACGCGGGUUUCACGGUGACACGUCACAGAUCAUUAAAUGCUUAUCCCGCUUUGAUUUCAAAAUUCAGCGUUACAUAUAAAAGGGGAUUCAAGGGUUCAUUAUCAGUUUACGCUUUCAUAUUCCCAAAUUUUCUCUGAUAAACAUCCAACUCUCAAACCCUAACAAUGCCGAUUGCUAAUCCUGAUGCAACUUUGUCUCAUACCACUAAUGAUGUAACUUCAUUGCCGAUCAUGUAGAUUCAAGGAACAAAUUAUCAAGUUGAAACCAACGUGUCUCACUAUCCUGAAGAAUUGAAAAUGCUUAUCGUUGCUUUGAAAAGUUCUGUUUUAUCCAAAGCCAUGUUCAACUCAUUCUCUGUUCCUCUCUCAUGGUUGUCUCAAGCGGGAUCAACAGCAACUUACUCUAAAGCCUUGGAUUCAAUUUUGUUUAAUCUGGUAUAUGAUAAGAAGGUUAGACUUUCCAAGAAGCUUUUCUGCCAAAUUCUCAAGAUACCUAUUUCUCCGCCAUACGUCUCUUCUACAUUCCCACAAAUUGUUCAUAUGUUAAAUGAAAUGGGUCAUCAACCCCAGUUGACAAAGAUUAGUGAUUUCAAGAAGUCAGGACUUCCGAGUGUAUGGAAUUUCUUGUUCGGAAUUUUUCUUAGAUGCUUAACCGGAAAAACUGUUGGGUUGGAUAAAGGGCGGAUGGAAGUUUAUGCAAUGGUUGCAGGUCUAUACUAUGAUCUUCAGGUCGAUUAUUCUACUCAGUUAUGGAAGGAGCUCUUGAAAAAAUAUAAAGAAUACGAAUGCUAUUAAUGGCAUUUCGUGUGCCCGUUAUUGGAGCUUGAUCUUACAGUAUUUUUAUGAGAAAGAAGGAGUUUUGGUACCAGCAAAUGAAGAAAAUGCGGUAUUUCAUAUAUAUAUUUGUCUGAAGGAUGCAGCUGACGAUACAAAUGAAUUCCCAUUUGUUGCUCGCAUUCUGGAUGCUAUGCUGAAGAGAGUUGAUCCCACCAACACCGUUCUUAUUACUUAUUUGCAAAACAUUGAUACUUCUGUUGAAACUGGGGUUCUAUUGGCUAGAGAGGAAGAGAAGAAAUCAAAACGUUCGAAGAAGGUUGUUGCUGAAUCUUCUACGAAAUCUAUUAAAGAAUCUACAUCUAGACCUGGCAAUGGGGCGGGUUUGGAGCGAAUCGACCUUGAUCCAAACCCUUUUAACAAAUUUCAAAACCCUAUCCAAACCCGCUCCGUAACCCGCAGGGUUUUAAAUAAUCAAACCCAUACCCUUAUCCACCGAAUCAACAGAUAUCCAAACCCGCCUCGUAACCCAUAAGUUUUUUGAAUAAUCAAACACAUUUUACUUAAAUCAUAAAAUCACAUUUAUUAAAUAAAACUAAGUUUUGAUUUAGAAAACACAUUAUGUACUCGAGGACUUUCUAUUGGAAUUAAAAUCAUUAUUUUAGUUACUUCCAGUUGGUUUUUGAUCGUCGAUUGCAUUGAUAGAGAAUAGCAAUUACAAACUUUCUUCUGGUUGAUAAAUUACCUUAUUGAUGUAUAAAUGAAAUUGGUGAUUACAUGAUGAAAUAUAAAUGAAAUGAAAUCAUGACUCUUGGGAGAAGACUGGAAGUCUACAAGUUAAGUCCUCGAGUCCUAUGUAAAAACAAUUUAGUCUUUAGCCUUUUCUCUUUGGACUUCUGAUUGGAAUUUAUUGUAAACUUUAGGUAAUAUAAAAUAUAAAUUUAUAUUUCCAAAAUUUAUAUGGGGCGGGUUAUAAACGGAGCGGAUCGGUGAUGAUCCAUACCCAACCCUUUUAAUAAAAGGGUUAGCGGGUACGGGUCGUUAACGGGUAAACGGAUCAAAAACUAUGCUCCAAACCCAUAUAAUAGUUAAGGGUUUGGAUCGGAUCAGGGUCAAAACCCGCUCCAUUGCCAGGCCUAUCUACAUCAGCAAAGAGUCCAAAGAAAGUACCAAUCUCGGAGCCUGAGCCAAUCCAACCAAAUGUUGAUAUUGCUGACACACCUGCGACUAAAAAGGAAAUUAUUCCUUCAAAGACUGGAGUUUUUAGAAGAAUCAAGAUAAAUUCUAAGCACAAGAGUCACUCACCAUUGACCAAUGUUGUUCAUAAACCACAGGUUUCGCAUCGAGUCAUUUUUCGUGAGAUUCCUGCCCCUGCAUCACCGUCUUCUAAUAAGCGAAGGGCAACAGACAUGGCCAAACAUAUUUCAAAAAAGAAGACGAAGGGAAGAGUGUUUAUUUCAUCCGAAUCUACAGCUAAUGAAAUUGAAACCAUUCCAGAGACACCAGAAGCUGAUCUUCAAAAAGAUACUGUAAUACCACCCGAAGUUUCGAUUGCCAAGACAGUUUCUGUGGAGGCACAAACUUCUGACAUUAUUGUAAACAUAUCUAAUAUGGAUGCAAGAGUCACAAUGGGUGAGGAUGCUUUGCAUGUUGAAUACAAAGGUAAAUCUUCGGAUGUUACACCAGACACAGUUGUUUCUUUAUCUUCACAGGUUACACCUAUCAUUCCAACAACAUCCACAACCGAUUCUCCUACUUUUGCAACUAUUAUUCAACAACCAUUCAUAUCUCUGUUUUCUUCACAAUCAAAUGAUCCACCUACCACUACUUUUCCAAUCAAAGAUUCUUCUUUCAUGGAAACAGAACACGACUCCGAAGGUUUUGGCGGAACCUUUGAAAAUUUAGAGUUUAAGGAAGAAGAGACAUACUUUCCAGAUCAUAUGCUAAUGACAAUGAAACAGUUCAAGAUAUUGAAUACCAAACUCAAUUCAAUUCUUCAGUCUCAGGCAGAUCUUGGGGGAGGAAAUUUUGUAACAAGUCUUGAAGUUGAUGGUAUGCUGAAGAUUAUUGAAGGAAGGCUUUCUUCGAAAGUUUCUGGCAUGAUUAAGGAUUCUGAGUCUCGUCUUCUCGACAAAAUUGACAUUUAUGAUCAGAAUAAUGAGCUGAGGUGCAAUGCUCAGAAAUCUACAUUUAAUGGUGAUCUGAAGUCGUUAAAAUCAAUUGCAAAGGAACGACAUAUUUUUUUUAUUCAAGAUGUGAAGAAGGUGAGAGAAGAUGUCAAUUACAAACUCCAAGAACUGCAUCAAGAUAUGGAGAAAGAGAUUGCAAAUGUUCGUACUGAAUUUGCAUCUCUAAAUCAAAAGGUGGGUAUCAUCUGCGAUGUUGUUACUAAAUUCGCAAAGUUGUACGAAAGUUUGAGUCCUCAAAUUACUCAACUUUCUACAAAUGAGAAUAAAAAUUUAAUGGAGGUUUUUUCAAUGCUAAAGGAGCUUAAAGCUUUAUCUUCUGCACAUGCUUCGUCUUCUUUACUCUCUUCUGAAGAUCUUAUCAACAAAUUUUCCAAAUUCAAAGCCUUACUUAUUCAGCAGUUGGCUCCUCUUUCCAGAAUAUCAAGCCUUCUUCCUACGAUGGAUGCCCCACCUGCUAGCACAGGGGUGCAAGGGGGAGAAAAGAAAUUCGAAGGUACGAAGGGUAGUGGUGAAGAUGCGAAGGUUGUGGGUAAGAUGUUUCCUUCCAAAAUUCCAACUUCAAAACCAGUGAUAGCAACUGCUGGUCCUAUCACUUCUACAAUUGUUAAAACUGUGCCAAUUACAAGACCAAUUUCGAAAGGUAUUGUGAUUGGUAAAUCUAUUGAUACUGGUAGAAGAGAAGUGAUAGAGGAAUCAUGUUCGAAGGCAAGGGGAAAGUCAAUUUUAAUUGAAAAAUCUAAAGAUGAAAAGAAGGCAGAGGCUGAUGCAGAAGUUGAGAAGAUAAGGAUGAUACAAAGCAUCAUGACUCAGAGGGCCAGUGAUCCUCCUGGUAUGAACAAGGGUGAUCCAUCGAAGAACUACAACUAUGAAACAAUUGAAGCCAAGGUUGCAUUCAAUCACAUGUAUUCGUUUGAGAAGAAGCCUAAACAGAGUUAUAUUGUCACGAAUACGGAUGCAAGCCAAUUGGUCUUUCCAAUUAACGAAAUGAUGUUCAUCAUGCCUCAAUUCAAAGCUGAAAGUAAAUUCAAGGAGAAGGAUGAAGGCACACACAUGAAGAUAAGAUUUCAUGCGGUUCUUGCCAAGCCUGCAGAAGAAGUGUGGUCCUUAGUCAAGAUCAAGAAGGUCAUCAGUAUAAAGAAGGAUGUGGUCUUCAAAAACACAGUCCAAAACAUUAAGUAUAUUGUAACCAGGGCAAAUGGAGAUUUGUGCGAGUUUACAAUAGCAGACUUUCCUUUGAUGAACUUGUAUGAUCUUAUACAAGUUGCAUUACUGCUGAAGGAAAGAUCAUUUUCAUAUCUUCAAAACACUGAGCCUAACGAAUACAAGCUGGGAGUUACUCACAUCAAAAUUUUUAUCGAGAAUUAUUAUGAAUGUCUGGCAAUGACAGAUGUGGAUUUGGCUACAACAAAAGGUCUGGAAAUUACAUCACCAAUGGCUCCUUCGAAGACUCAAGCUGACUUGAAGAAAUAUGCUGAUGGUGAAAUAUGCUUGAAGCCUUUUGGCUUAGUCUUCUUUGGGAAGGACAAGUCAGGAAAGUCUAAGAGAUUUUUGUUCCAUGCAAGUGAAGUUGAAAGAUAUUCUACUUCGCAAUAUACGAACUUAAUUGUUCGUAUGAACCAUUGAAAGAAGAAUAAUGAAGGUGACAAGAAGGAACUUAAAAAAAUUAUCUCUUGGUAUACUGAGAUACGAAGAGUAAUGUUGUACUCCAUUCAACUUCUUACAAACUGAAGUCUUCAACUCUAUUUACAAAGGGGGAGAAUGUAAGGGUAGUUUGGUUGUAAAGAGUCGAAGUUUUGUAUGUACUCUUCGUAUGUUUUGAUAUCUAUUUUACUAAGGCAUUUUAUACGAAGCUUUGAUGUCUAGUCCUUAGUAUAUUUUUUUAUACGCUUUUACUCUCCUAUAAAUAGGAGUCUUUACUAGAGUUAGAUAAGGUUUUACAGUCUUGUCUACUUUUGUACUCUGUAAACCUAAAGUGUAAUAUAGAGCUGAAUCAUGAUCUUAUUUACAUCGGUGUUCAAUCUUUCAUUUAAUUUCUGAUUACUUACUCUGAUUCAGAUUCAAACUCGAUUCUUAGAUUCUACAGUUUGGAACCAUUUCUUGCCAUUAGAUUUGAGUAGGGUUUAGGACAUAAAUGUAAGAGUUAGGUUUGAAAGUUGUAUGGAUUAAGAACAUUUGAGCUUGGUUUAUAGCUCCAGGACGUUCUUACGACGUGAGACAUGAGGUCUAGGUUGUAUGGAUUAAGAUUAUUGUAUUAAUUAAUUAAAAAGCUUGAAUAUUAAUUAAAUCCUAGAGAUUAAUUGAAUAUUCUAGAAGUUUCUGGAGCAUUGGAAUGGACGGUGCCUACAUGACCUUGGAUAGAGAUAUAGCAGGUUUUGAAUAUGAUAAGAUAGAUUGUAAGAGUUUAAAACCCUUGGUUAUUUGCAGCCUAUACCCCUAUUGGUUGUUUUUCCAUCUCAUAAUCAUCCAUAUGCUCCCCUUCUCUCUUAUAUACGAAAUUCAUAACUCCUCGCCUAGACUUACUGGAUUUCAUAUAAACCCUAAUUUAAGGUUUCUCCUUGUUAGCUUUUGGUGUUUCUGACUUGACUACAUUUGAGGGAAACCAUCAGACGUCACUGAUCUGUUCUUUACGGUCAUCGAUCUGCAGAGUUGUAUCAAGGAAAGAGUGGCAACGAUUGAUUCUUACGUCGUAAAUCACUAGAUGUUGCUUAGAAACCAUCAUACACCUAACCCUAAAAUCGUCGUUACCAUUUUCAUUUUGCAAACCAUACAUGGGGUGGGGUGUUGACUUAAGAGGGUGGCUGUUUUUUUUUUUUAAUUAAAAUAAUAAGAAAUUAAUUAAAAAAAAGGAAUCAAUUAAAGACAUAUUUGUCAUUUCAAGUAUGGUAUGGACCAAAACCAUGAAAAAAAAAAAGAUAACAAUUAGGACCAAAACCACAAAAAGAAUCCAAACUUUGACGACUUUUGCACCAAAUUUUUUUGGACAAAAACCACAUAAUUUUGACAACCACAAUAAGAGUUUAUAAUUUUAUCAAAUUUAUAACAUAAAAGUUAAAACAAGAGUCGGAUAAAGAGAAAUAAGAACCAUGCAUCCACACUAAACCUGCACUACAAAUGGCUGGAUAUACUUGCGAAGAAGCAUAUGCACAAAUCAAUGCAUCACUUGGGAAGGUAAAAUGAAUAAUGCCAAUUUUGCACUCACAUUUCUAUGCUGAGAUGUGAAAUUGUAACAAAAAUCUAUAAUGAAGAGGAAUAGGGAAAAAAAAUCAUGCAAAUAACACUCAACCGGAGUUAGAUAACAUGAAACAAGUUUUUACAUGCUGAUCUAUGAACUGAACUUAAAAUACAUUGAUCGACUGUACAUGCUUCUUCANGAAGCAACUGUUUCAUCACCAACACAGAGAUCUCGCUUUUGUAACCUUAAUCAUCACAAACAACAGUUUUUCCCUUGUUUCUUCUGCUGUUUUUCUGUUAUCAGAAUUUAGAAACAGUUCAUGUAAGUUAUAUAGUAUAUUAGUAUUGUAUAAAAUAAGUUGUAACUUAAGACAGUAUAGUGUAAUCAAGAUAUCAUUCCUAUGUUAGAUCCAGUUGUAAUCAGUAAAGUGAAGAUGAAAUUCAUGUAUUUGUUUUCCUGCAAUUGUAACUGUUUCUACUUUGUACUGUAAAGUCUAAUAAUUGAAGCAGUGAUUAAAGAUUCUAUCACUACAAAUAUUAUUCAGCCACAACCAACAGAAUGGUGAAAAAUAUUUGGUGGGAGCAUCAAAGUGCAACUAUUUUGAAAACCAUGGACAAUUAUGAUAACCCCCACACAUUUCAAAAUUGGCUGAAAUGAAUAAUUACUUUCAUUAUUGUAUUAAUGCACCCCUUCAUCAAUCGAUUGCUCCUAGUGUCAUAGAGUUAUGGAAACUACUCAAAAUUUUAUACUUACAGAAAGCCUUUGCAAAGAUACAUUUAAAAAAAAAAAAAACAAAUUAAAGACAUUCAAACAAGGAACAAGAAUGUCAAUAUAUAAUGUGAAAAGAUUAAGCAACUACAUGAGCAAUUGAAAUCAGUGAGCAAUUUUGUACCUAAUUGAGAUUUAGUUCUCAAAAGGAUAGUUGGACUAGUUUUCCAUUAUCAUUGUUCAACUUGACAGGUGUCAAAAUAUGUUUCUCAUCUCACAUACAAGCCUCAGUAACUAAUUCCAAGUAACUAAUAGCAAGUGGUAUUUCACCUCUACAUCUAAAUAAGAUUUUCACAAAUUCAGAACAUGUAAAAAUGAAAUCAACAGAAGUUGUUCAUUCUGAAAUGACUAAUGGAUACAUUAUGUCAAGUAAUUAUACAAGCACAAUUUAGCAAAUAUUUUACCAAAUAACAAAAGAACAGAGAAUUGAACAAUGACUCAAUGAGUCAUAAACAAUAAAACACAUCUCAUGGUCCCCCCCAAAGAAAUAAGCUAAAAAGAAAUACCAAAUAUGGUUUUAAAGGAAAAACUAUGCAACAAAUAAAUAUAUGGAAGUGAAAGAUAAAUAGCAUUUCUGUUCACAAUAAUUUCACAGAUAUACAAUAAUAUUUAGCUGUGUCAAAAUCAAUCCUACUAGAUGAGAAUUCCAUCCACUAAACCUUAAUGGGUUUAAUUAGUAUUAAUUCCGUUUAAAGAUAUUAUUAUUAUCAUCGUCAUUCCAAAUGGAAGUUGUGUAAUUUUAACAGACAACAAGUCUACACACCAACCCUAGUUCACCAUUUAUUUUGGAUAUCCGAAUGGAAUGAUUUUUUAAUUUCAAAGUAUUUGACUUGUUAACCAAUUUAAUUCAUUUUGCAGUCCAUUGUGACACUUCCAUGUUGACAACCCUAGUCAUAUUAAAUCAGUAAGCAUACCACGUUAACAAAAAAGUAUUGAGUCCCAAAUAGAACUUUUAUUGUAAAAUAUGCUUGGAUUAAGGUGAUAAUAUUUAAAUUUUUUGUUUGACUGAAAGUUAUUUAAUUUACACAUUAUGAAACAAAAAGAAGUUAAAAUACAUAGAGAAGGACGCACCUUCAAAUUAACAUAAAGUCAUCCCCAGAGGCAGGGGAUUAGAGAGACGACUGGCCAAUACGAGCCUCCUAUAUUAAUCUUUGUUUUCAGAUUUGGGCAUUCAAAAAUUUUCAAACUCACAAGCGAAGGCAACAACUUUUCUGGUAGAUCCAUCAUCUUUGGGCACUUGUCAAUGCUGAGAUGCUGGAGGGAGGUGAGGUGUUGGAGUCCCGUUGAAACUGAUUCCAAUUUCUCAAAUCUUUCUAUCCAAAGAGAAGUAAGAGAUGAAGGAAAAAGACCGGACAACCGACUAAAAUCAGUCACAUCUUCAUAUGGUCCGCCAUAUAGAUGUAGGUAACCAAGUGAGGUUGGAAAACUCUGUGGGCCCCACUCUGACAUGGGCUUCUUCAACCCUCCUAUGGUAAGGUAACACAGUUUUGGAGGCCAAAGCCCACCAGGAAAGGAAGCAUCCAUACUUGUACAGUUUUUUAUUUUCAAAUGUGUUAACAAGGCAAGAUUCGGCAACUCAUGGUCAGGAAAUGGAAAUGACUCUAGACUUGGACACUCUUCUAUUACGAAUGCUGUCAGUUGGAUGAAGUACUUCAAUUCAUUCAUCGAUUUAAGUUUCUUGCAGUCCCCGAUGAAAACUGACUUGAGCUUCUGCCCUCCUCCUGUUGGGAAAGACACAGAUGUAAUUGAAUCACAGGUAAAAAUAAACAAUGACUGAAGACUAUCUGGACAGCUGCAAUGCUGUAAGCUGGCACAACCAUAUACCCACAACAACCUAAGAGAUGUUAGGUUGCUCCCACAAUUAUCCUCCUCUUUCUCUCCUAAACUCACCAAAUUUGAACAAUAACGUACCUCCAACCUCCUUAAAUUCGCAAGAAGCUUACCUGCCUCUGCUUCAGAUUCCCACAAGUAUCUUAUUUCACUACACCUUUCUAUCGUUACUUCUUCAACUUCCCCAAGAUACUUCAUAACACCUCCCCACACCUCAUGAGUAAGACCUGAAAUAUCAUGUAAUAUCAACUUGGUGACUGAUGAAGCGACAUGAACCAGGCUUGUCAACACACCAUGACCACAUCCUUUUACUGUCAUAACUCUGAGUAAAGGUAGUUUUUCAAGUGAGACUUCAACCAGAUUAGGACAAAAUAAAAUAAGAAGCUUUUUAAGGCAUGGAAACACUGCUGCAUCUACAACCCCAUUGUUAUUGGUUGACCAUACCUCCCAUGAUGGCAUACUAUCAAAAGCUAGAAUUUCAAGGGAAAGGAAUGCAACACCUGUUCCAAGCAACUCCCAACCUACAAUUUUCACGUUACUCAUCUUCCCAAUAUACAAGUCCUUAAGUGAUGGUAGUUGCCCAAGUUCUGGUAGAGAUGUACAUUCUUCACACCCAUAUAUCGACACGUGAGUCAACCCAAGAAACGAAGGAUCUCCAACCCAAUUUGGAAACUUUAUACCUGCAUAUGACACAAUUUCAAGCUUCUUCAAACUAUCGGUUUGAGGCUUCAACUCUGUAAGGACCUCCUUAUCAUGUGUCUCCUUUCGAAAAACGUUUAACCCGGUAUCACUAUGACACAACCUAAGCCUCUUUUGCAAUAAUCCAUAACCCCAAUCCAACUCCAACUCACUAAGCCUUUUUUGUGUUAAGUGUGCAUCGCAUGCCUCCAUUGCAUUUUGUACAUUGCCCAGCCCCCAAAUGGAAAUUUUCCCAUGGAGAUUUUGCAAGUUCUUAAGCUCGGUUAUUGCAAAUCCGUUUUCACCUCCAAUUAUGAUCUUGGAGAGAGUUUGUAGGCCUUUCAACUCACCAAUCCCUAAGGGCAUCUUCUUCAAACCUGGAGUAUCCCUAAUGUCCAAAUGCCUCAAAUUUUUAAGCUUUAAGAAGCUGUUGGGCAAGUUAAUUAAACUUUUACAGCCAAAAAGGAUCAAUGUCUGGAGAUUAUAAAGAUUGCAGACAUUUUCUGGUAAAAGCUUGAUAUCAGUUCGAGAUAAAUUCAGAUACCGCAAGUGCUUUAGACUGCCAAUGAAUUCGGGUACCUCGCUUAUGCUAAGAUUACUCAAACUUAGGACCCUUAACAAUGGUAACUCCUGAAGUAAGUUCUCCAGGACCUUGUUUGAUAAGUAGAAUCUUUGCCAACUGUCUAUCACCCCAACAGAUACCGCUAUCAACGUUCUCAAACUUUUAGCUCCUUUGAGUGGCUCGAACCUUCCGGAAACCAUGUAUUCCUCACGAACAAAUGACAGAUGGCGGUACUUUUCGAAUGAUUCAUUCCUAUGUUCUUUCUCCGUCCCAAUGUCUACCCUUGAAAAAAACUCCCCAGCAACAGAUGUGGCCAAGUCACUCAUGAGAUCAUGCAUCACAAACAACGAUCUGUCAUUUGGUGCAGGUUGAAAAAAUGACCUUGACCACAACGCAUUAAAAUACUCGAGACCCAAGCGUUCCAUUGUCUUGUUUGUCGUUGAUUGCAAAAAACCUUCUGCCAUCCACAACAAAAUCAACUUCUCCUUGUCAAACUCAAAGUCCUUGGGGAACAAGGAGCAGUAUGCAAACAACUGCUUCAAACAUGGAGAGAGAUCAUGGUAGCUUAAUUUGAGAGCCGGAACAAUCCCAUCUCCCUUUUCUAGACUCCAUAUCUCACUAUUCAGCACUUCUUUCCAGUCUUCCUCAUCUAUUUUUGUCCUUAAUAACCUUCCAAGUGCUUUCAAAGCCAACGGCAACCCAUUACAUUUUCUAACAAUACCUUCACCAUGUGGUUUAAGUAGCGGAUGUGAAUCAAAGUUUUUUUCUCCCAAUGCAUGCUGACAAAAUAAGGAUAAAGCACUUUCAUCUGAUAGAAUAGGCAAAUGAUAAGGUUCAUUGUUACCAAGUUGGGUUAACAACGACAUCUUCCUGGUUGUCAUGAUAACUUUACUUCCGGGUGCCCCUGCAAGAAAUGGCCCUGCUAGGAUUUCCCAAUCCGUAUAGCUUUCACUCCACACAUCAUCUAAAACAAGCAGAAAUCGCUUAUUUGAGAUCUUCUCUCUUAAAGCUACUUGCAGCAGAUUUAAAUCCUUAAAUACUUGGUUUCCCCCACCUAUUGAUUGAAAAAUAAUACUGCUUAUAUUGAAAAUAUCAAACUCAUCAGAAACACAGACCCACGCCAUGAGUUCAAAACGAUCCUUCCCUUGCAUCUCAUCAUACAAAAGUCUAGCGAGAGUGGUCUUACCUACCCCACCCAUACCAACUAUUGGCACGAUGCUAACGUUUCUAUCACAUGGUUCAUAUAGCUUGAGAAGCAACGCUUCCUUAUCAUCUUUGCGCCCAACAAUACUAGAUGGAUCUACCAAAGAGGUCUCUAACCUUCUAUUUCUAUGUUUUGGGCUUUCACCUAUCACACUUAAGCCAAGCUUAUAUUUUUCCUCAAACAGUUCUUGUAACUUGAUGGUGAUAUUUUCAAACUUGUCAUGCAUCCUAGCACUUGGUAACAGCUUUCUUACCUUGCUUGAGGUUCCAGAUUCCUCUGUGAACUCACGAUGCAUAGCUUCUGUUGACAAUUCGUCAAGUAGAUCGUCUAUGUCGUAAGCCAAAUGUUGGAGACUAUUCAGCCAUUCUUUAACAGCUUCCUGACGUAUUUCCUUCUGAGAAGCAUCAUUAAGCAGAUCUUUGAUCUUGAUUAAUGACAUCUUUAAUUUUUCCACGUCAUCGUCAUCGAUUUUCUUGAAACGAGCAAACUGCCUGAAGGCUUCGGAGGCCAGCUUGUCACAGAACAAAGAGUACAGGGCAGAAAUGAUUCCAGCCAUUGCUAUUGUGAAGACGUAGGCCGGGAGCACUUGAAAUGUAUGAAACUAUGAAAGAUAGGAUGAAGGUGUAAUGAGUGGAUGGAAAUGGACGAUUCGAAACCCUUGUUUAUAGAGAUAAAGUCGUCUAUUGUUUUGGUAAACGUCUUUUUGUAAAUGUCUUUCUGUAAAUGUCUUUUUACUCAUGUAUUCCUUUUUCAUUUUCAAUUGAAAAAGUAAAGCAAAAUAAAUAAAUAAGUAAAUAAAUAUAAUUGGAAAAACAAUUGAUUUUGUAUUUAUUUUUUUCACAUAAACUAUUUAUGUUGAAAAAAGCUAUGGAAUUAAAUUGUUUUAACAUUGAAUAACAAGAAAUAAAUUUAGGUUUAGAACUAAAUAUUAAAAAGAGAAAUUAUGAAUGUUCCAUAGAUACUAAAAUAAUGGGUUGUCUUCUCGAGAUAAUUAUAUAUAUAAUAAAAGCACAUGAUGUAUGCGUAUGAUAGGUACCCGAGUUGGGUACUCUUCAAAAUUUGGCUGGCUCGGUUUUUGGAUUCCAACGAGGUUAACCCAUCCACGAAUCCAUCGCCUCUUUACUUCACGUGUUCAAUCUAUUUCUCUCACAACUGAUGAUUUGGGUCUGUAACUGCUCCACCACCUCGCCACCGCUUUAAUAUCUUUUAUGAACGGACCACUUUCCUGCUUCGUUCUCUAUUUAGGAUUAGAAGCGGCUUGGUUGCUGGAAUUCAGUCACCCCAAUCCCCCUUUAAACAAGAUAUUGCAACGGCUUCUCACAUUCGAUUUAGAAGUCAUCGCCUCCUGCGUUUCACCUAUAUCAACCGUCAACUUUGAAUUUCGUCUGUCGUCAUCGGUCAAUAAACCCCAUCUUUAGUUGUCAUUCUCCGCCCUAAUCCACCUCAACCCAUCGUCGACUCUGAUCUUACUUUUGAUCAGGUUAGAAGUUGUUAAAUGACUGAAGAAGUCGACAACGGAAGUCUUCAUGAAAUCCAAGGUUUAAUUUUUUUUCAAUAAUUGAAUCCAUGGCGGACAAUCGAAUAGAAAUUUGAAGGCAGGUUAUGGGGUUUGUAAAAUUUUAACUAAAAGAUUAAAUUUUACAAGUACUGCCUACAAGAAGAACCUGUUUAUCCUGAGAACUCAAGGUCGAGAUCCUCUCGAGGGGAAAUGAUGUGAAGCACAUAGAUGAUUAGAGAGAAACAUUUAUGGACAAGUAGGAGAAAGACAAAUGGGGUCAAAAGAGGCCCAACUUAAAACCGGCAUAACUUUUCAUCUAUUUUGUGUUACCAGAAAAAAGAACCCUAUGAUGCUAACCAUGAAGUUCACUCCAAAGUUGAAAAGCAAGAAAAUUAUGAAAAGUCCUACGCAAGUGUGUUGAAAGGAAGUUAUUAUGCUGCAAAGGAUACGGAAGAUAUGGUGGAUGUCAUGGAAAUCGCUUCUGGUGAUUUUAUUGUAGAAAAAAGAAAACUAGCAUGUCUGGUAAAGGCUAGAUACUUUCAUAAAUGGGAGAAUUUCAUAUAUGCCCUUCUUAAACAUCAAAAUAUCAUAUUUACCCAACUUAAUUUCUAAAUAUCAUAUUUACCCUUCAUAAAAUUUCUAAAUAUCAUAUUUACCAUUCAUAAAAUUUCAAAAUAUCAUAUAUGUCCUUUUUAAACAUCAUAAUAUCAUAUAUACCCUUCUUAAAUAUCAAAAUAUCGUAUAUGCACUUUUAAACAUCAAAAUAUCAAUGAUAAUAUCUAAAAUAUUCUUCAUCUACAACAUUAUCAACAAAAAAAACUAAACAAUCAAAAUAUACAUUCUAUAGAGAGAGUUGAAGAUGAAUAUUUUUGUUUGUGAAGAGGACGACAAUCCAACAAUUUAGAAGUUUACAUUCCAUUAUCAUAGACGUAAGGAUAAUAUCGUUAAAAUUUUUAAUUAUUAUAGUAAUUUUAAGUUAUAAAAAAUGAUUAUAAAAUAUUAAAAACAUUAUAAAAAAGGAUUUGGGCAAAUAUGAUAUUUUGAAGGUUUAUGAAGGAUAAAUAUGAUAUUAAGAAAAUAAGCUGGGCAAAUAUGAUAUUUUGAGGUUUAAGAAGGGUAUAUAUAUAAUUCUCCCUUCAUAAAUUGCCUAACCUCUGUAUACCAUGUUUUGAUGAGGGCUUUGAUGAUUUUCAUAUUCGCUAUGUCGGGAGUUUGUGGGUGAUGUUGGAGUUCAAGACAAAGGAAGCAUGUAAAAACUUUAUGUCAAAUGAUGCAAUUGAUCAUUGGAUCAUUGAGAAGCAUGCAUGAGAUAGGAAUUUUAUUCUUACGGAUCGAAUUGUAUGCGUAGAUAUUGAAGUUCCUAUACGUGCUUGGAGUAAGUCGACAUUUAGGAAGAUUGUGGCCAAAUGGGGAACUAUUUGUUCAUCUUGAUGAUUGGUUAGGUGAAGACAUUUACAAGAAUCGUGUUAGUAUUUUGACUAGUUUUUUUUGGAAUCAUUUCGGAGUUAAUGUAUAUUAGAGUGGAUGGUGUGGUGUUUCCAAUAAGGUUCAAAGAAGCUCCUGGCUGGAAUCCUUCGUUCUCAUCUGGUCUUAGCAAAAAUGAAAUGGGUGUAGAUAAGGAUCAAAUUUUAAUUGAAGAGGGUGAAAGUAAUUUUUCACUGCAUGACAAAGAUGAAUGUUCAGAUGACCCUUUUGGUGUUUAUGAAACGUUAGAAAAAUGGAAAAUGAAGAUUUAAUUGCUGAGAAAUUAGAAAAACCAAAAAAAAAAAUUCUGUCAGGGGGCAUUUUCGGAAUAUUGAGGCAGAAGAACCUGAUGCAUCUGUUCAGGUUUCGAUUUAGCAAAAUGCUGUCAAAAAUUCUACAUUGGUUCAGCAGAAUUUUGCUCGUCCAAAUGCAACUUCACCAGAACUUGAAGCUUCGUUGCCAUCAGCAUUUGUACAACAUACAAAUGUUGUUUUUCCUACGGUAGUUUCUGUUCUACCUCUUCCAUCGAAAGUCUAUUCGGAACCGAUUUCUGUCUGUACACCUGUGAAUGAUCUGAAACAGCAUAGACCUGAAAAUAGUGAAGCACCAUUGGGUUUUUCAGGGGGUUUCGGAAAAUUAUCGAGAGUGCAAGAUUCAGAGGAGGAUCUUUCACAUCCUCCAGGUUUUUCUGAUCCAUGCCACUCUAAUUUUGGUGGUAAUCAAAAUAUUUCAGAUGCUUCUUUUAAUAAUCAAUCAUUUCUAAUUGAAUUGAAAAAAACCAUGGACAUGGGUGAAUCAAUGGGCUAUGUUAUGGAAGGGUGUUUUGAAAGGGUGAAAGAAAUUAUUGAAGGUCACGGGAUGUGUAUUAAUAAUCCAUGAAUUGUCUUUCAUUAAACAUUCAAGGAGCCGUUUAUGUAGAUAAGCGAGGGCGGGUUAGAAAUUUAUGUCAUCUUCAUAAAGUAAAUUUUCUAGCCAUUCAAGAAACAAAAAUGGAAGUUAUGGAUUUAUUGUCGGUUCGGUCGUUUUGGUGGAGUGAUUCUUUUAUGCAUGCUUUUUCUCCAUCUCGUGUAGGUUCGGGUGGUAUUCUAGCUGUUUGGAACCCGCAUUUUAUUUCUCAGAAACAGAUGAUUAUUGGUGAUUGGUUUGUUGUUGUUGAGGCUGUUUGGACGCGGUUGGGUUUGGAUGUUAUGUUUUUUGUUAUUUAUGCGCCCCAAGGGGCUGUUUGUAAAAGGAAUCUGUGGGCUAACAUUUUAGAGAUGGUUGUUUCUUUUCUGGGAGAGUGUAUUCUUAUGGGCGAUUUUAAUGAAGUUCGGGAUGAGUUGGAGCGAUUGGGGUCUCGUUUUAAUUCGAUGAAUGCUAGAUAUUUUAAUGAUUUUAUAGAAUACGCUGAUUUGGUGGAUGUUCCUUUAGGAGGGCCGAAAUUUACUUGGAGCGAUAGAUGGGGUUCGAAAUUUAGCAAACUCAAUAGAUUUCUUAUCACGGAGGGUUUAUUGCAUAAUUUUCCUCAUAUGACGGGCUUGGUUUUGGAAAAGAAUUUACUAGAUCAUCGUCCCAUUAUUUUGAUAGAGCAACCUGUUGAUUACGGUCCUACUCCUUUUCGGAAUUUUCACUCUUGGUUUGAAUUAGAUGAUUUUGAUGGGAUAGUACGUGGCUCUUGGUUGCAAUUGGUGGUUGGGUUGGUGGAUAUGAACCCUUGGUGUAACAUCCCCCUCUGACACGUAUCACAAUAUUCUCCACUUUAGGCUCCCUACACGAAAACUUCCUAGGGGGGAUGUUACAAAUGGUAUCAGAGAUGGUGCACGGGUCGAUGUGUUCGAUGAGGAAGUCGAACCCUAUAAUGGGCGGUGAAGGUGGGUUAUACCUGAUCCCAGAUUGGCUUGGAAGGAGAACGAAACAUUUCCUUAGAAGGGGUGUGGAUAUCUUCCUUGUCACAACACGUUUUAAAGCUGUGAGGGCAGCAGAUCCCAUAAGAACUCUAAAGUUAAGUGUGCCCGAGCAAGAGCAAUCCAGGGAUAGGUGACCCCCUGUGAAGUUUUCGUGUCGGGAGCCCAAAGCGGACAAUAUUGUGAUACGUGCUAGAGGGGGAUGUUACACUCGGGUUAUUUUUAAGAAGAAACUUCAGCUUCUUAAGUCUAAUCUGAGGGUGUGGAAUUCUAGUUCUCGACUCCAGCUAUCUACCAAGAGGAAAGAGUUACAAGUUAAGAUCGAGGCCCUAGAUGGGAGUCUUAUGAAUGAUGUUGGUUCGGCUCGUUUGAGAGAGCAACAGAUCACUCUUUUAAAGGAGUUGGUGAAUAUGAAUCAUCUUUCUCAUAUUAACCUUGUGCAAAAAGCUAAGAUCAAGUAGAGCAUAGAGGAAGAUGAGAAUUCAAGUUUUUUUCAUGGUAUCCUCAAUCGUAAGCGACGACAACUUACAAUUUGGGGUUUGUUGAUUGAUGGGGUGUGGGUGGUUGAGCCAAAGCGAGUGAAGGAGGAAUUUCGUAGUUAUUUUGAGUCAAUGUUCUCAAAGCAGAGUGGGUGGCGACCUAAGAAUGAAGCCCAUUUGUUUAGAACUCUUUAUUUUAUGCAAGUUCAUCAUAUUGAGGCUCCUUUUACUCAUGAGGAAAUCAAAAGGGCUGCUUGGGAUUGUGGUUCGUCUAAAGCUCAAGGACGUGAUGGUUUUACAUUUAGUUUCCUUAAGUGAUAUUGGAAUCUGGUAGAAGAUGAUGUGGUGGCUUUCGUGUUCCAUUUUUACCAACACUCUUCCAUUCCGAAGGGGUGUAAUGCUUCUUUUUUUAUUGUGAUCCCAAAAAUUAGAGACCCGAAAACAACCUUGGAUUUUAGACCUAUUAGUCUCAUUUGGUGCCAAUAUAAAAUUAUUGGUAAAAUUUUGGCUAAUAGGUUAGGGAUGUGAUUGAUAGUCUUGUUAGUUCGGAGUAGUCAACCUUUAUUAGAGGAAGACAUAUUCUUGAUGUUCGGUUUCUCCUCAAUGAGGUGGUGGCUUGGAGAAAGGCUUAAAGAAAUCCAUUAAUGAUGCUCAAGGUUGAUUUUCAGAAGGCUUAUGAUUCUCUUUCUUGGGAGUAUCUUCUUGAGAUUAUGCAACUUAUGUUGGAUUAGGUGUCUAAGCCCAUAACUAUAAUUGGGAUGUACUUGACUCGAUAGUAGCAUGGUCCUUUUGGGUUGCCUUCACCAUAGCAACUGAUAGGAUGAAUUAUAGAGAAAGAGGUUAAUUAAUGAUUUAUUAAUAUAUUAUAAGAGUAAUAUAUUAAUUGAGAAAUUAUAUUAUUUAAUUAGUAUUGAUCAGAAAUUAAUUUGGUGAUCAAAAGAGACUGAUUAAAUAUAAGGGGACUGAUAAUGCAAUUAUCUAAUAGUUGCAUGUUGGGCUUGUGGUUGCCUUGUGGAAGGGGGUGGAUGAAUUCUAUGUGUAGCCCACAUAGAUUUCUUCUAUAGGAGUCCUUCUGGAAGGAUUUACUGGACUGCUUAAGGCUUAAACAGUCAUAUUAGGGUUUUACCUGAAACCCUAGCAGCUUAGCUAUAAAUACACCCCAUGGCUUCAUGAAAUCGGCCCUAUGCUUUCUUAGAGAACCCUAGCCGACUUCUAGAGCUACCCUUCUCUCUUUUGUUCUUCCUUGUUGCUAGUGGUGUUUGUGACUCCAGUAGAGGUGCAACAAUUGAGGCACUAAGCUCUUAAAGGUCAAGAUCAACAAGCUACAAGAAAGAGUAUUCUUCUUACUUUGUUUAAGUCAUCAAUUUCAAAAAUUUUAUGCUAGAUUAGGGUUUAGGCUUUAGAUAAUUUAUUGCAUGUAUAACUUGAGAAAAACCUAGAUCCAAAGCAUUAGGGUUGCAUGUACACCAUAGGAAUGUUUUAGUGCUUAAAAUCGAUCAGUGGUAUCAGAGCUUAAGUGUUUUUUGGUUAUAUUUGAUGGCAUGGUUAAUUGUUCAAAGCUGAAAGCAAUCGAACUCUGGACUCUGCCAAAUGAACUCAACGAGUCUAAUGUGGAACUCGACGAGUUCAGGCAACUCAACGAGUCCAGGGCUGACUCGAUGAGUUGAGUCGUCUGUUGGUAGAUUUUUCAGAUUUCAAGCUUAAAUUAGAUUUUUCUGAUAUGGUAAUGAAUAUGCUCAUCUAAUUGAAAGAUAAAUGUCAAAUUUUAAGAUAAUUUUAAGAUUAUAUGAUAAAUUAAUUAUUUGUAAAAUUUGAUUGAAUUUAUCUUACCAAAUAAAAUUGGAUUAGGUCAAAUUUUGAUAAAGAUAAAAUUAUAUGAUUAUUUUAAUUAUUUUAAAAUUUGAACUAGAAGUUCUGAAAAGUUUAAAUACUUGUCCUUAAGUUUUGGAAUUUAAAAUUUGAUUAAAAGGUUUUAAUUAUGAAAUAUUAUAUUCUAAAACCCUAGUGUUUUAAAAGUUUAAAAUACAACUCUUAUACUAUUAUAAUAUUAAAAGCUUAAUACUUAUGUAUAUGUAUAAGAUGAGUCAGUCUUACCGUUAGUAGGCCUCAUUCACGAAGCCAAUCUAUAAGGGGUAUAAGGAAACUGCCUAUAAAAUGGCUGUUGAAUGGGUGUCCACUCUCACACACCGCUUCCUUGAUUGGUGAAGGGUCGUUAGCCGAACGGGUAGGAUAGGACAACUAAUUCUUCAUUAAUAAAUUAAUAAGUAUAAUGAAUAUUAUAAAGUAACUUAAUGUUUUUAUAAAUUCUCAAUCUUAGUUAAUUUAGGAAAAUGUGAAAAUGAUGCUAUUCUAUGAAAUUACACAUUGCACCAUGCCAAGUCGUUAAUGGAGCGUGUGUGGCUAAUCGGCACACUAACUUGGACUAACAAGGGUGGCAAAGGGUAGCUCGAGAAUUAUCAUAGAUCAAGGGAGCGUGUGUGGUUAACUAACACAUUGAUUAGGUGACAAAUGACUCGAGAGUGCCAAGCUAAUUUGCAUGGUUAUUCACACCUUGUUUGUGAUCCUCGGUAUCCCAGUCACAAACUUGAAGGGCAUAAUCGAGAUUAAACAUGUCAUUGAACAGUUCAAUGAAUCUCAAAAGAAUAUAGGAAUUUCAUUUCAUUUAAAACCUAAUUCUUAAUUUCGUUUUUUGUGGUGGAAUUGGUAAAUCGUCAUUUACCUACCUUCAAAUAUUUGCAAUUGGAUUUCGGCAUCCCUCUUCCAAAUUGUGAAAUAUUGUGUUGGGUACGAGCCUUAAUAUUUCAUUUGGGUGUUAUAUUAAGGAUUCUUUAUCUAAUUUAAACUUUGUUCUUUUUCUUUUCAAUGUUUGGACCAAACAACACUUCUAGCUUAAACUCCAACUCAUCUAGCUCAUUUUCUCUCAUGAACAUUUAUGCGAGGGUCACCUUUGAUGGAUCCAACUUCAAUGACUGGAUUCGCAACAUUCGAAUGGCAUUACGCUAUGAAGAAAAGGAAUAUAUUCUCGACAACCAACUCAACGAGAUCAAUGAAACUAAAUCUACUCCUAAACUGAUAACUGAGUAUAAGACCCAUGAGAAGGACGCAACAAAGGUGUCGUGUAUCAUGGUCACCACUAUGACUCCUGCGCUCUAGCGGUUUUACGAGGACUACUGGCCUUAUGAGAUGUUGCAAGAACUGAUGGAAAGGUACCAUCAAAGUGCACGUCAAGAGAGGUACUGAAACAUCCCAAAAACACAGUCUGAAAAUUUCGUUUUAAAUCGGUAAUAAAACCAUAUUCAUCAAACGUCAUAUAAGAAUCAUAAACUACAUAUCUCAAAAUAUCAUAACAACUGUCAAAUAUAUCAGAGUAUAAACACCCCAGGCUGAACAAAUGGUGUGUGCACUGCAAUCUUCCCGAGCUCCUCUUUUGAAAACUGAGUACCUGAAACCAAAACUAAAACUGUAAGCAUGAAGCUUAGUGAGCUCCCCCAAACUACCACAUACCAUACAAUAACAUAUAAAGCACAUACUGGGCCUUGCCCACUGCAUCGGACCGAAGUCCGGAAACUGCAUCAGACCGAGGUCCGGAACUGACCGGGUCCUUGUCCCCUGCGUCGGACCGAAGUCCAGAACUAACUGCAUCGGACCGAAGUCCGGAACUGACUGGGACCUUGUCCCCUGCAUCAGACAGAAUUGUGCGGAACUAACUGCAUCGGACCGAAGUCCGGAAACUGCAUUGGACCGAAGUCCGGAACUAACCAGGGCCUUGCCCUCUGCAUCGAACCGAAGUCCGGAACUGACUGAACAUAGCAUAUCGUAACUUAUCAACUAGCAUGAAUACAUACACUGCAUACUGCAUCAGAACAGAGUCUGGGAUACAUAACACAAAACAUGCUUGAAUCACAAAGACAUCAAGCACUCUAACUACUGCAUCGGACGGAGGUCCGCAACUAACUGAACAUAGCAUAACAUAAUCAUAAAGUAUAAUAUAAACACAUAUACCUCAUACUGCAUCGGACCAUAGUCCAGAACACAUAACUCAUACCAUGUAUGUAUCACAAAGACACCAAGCAUACUGAACUACUGCAUCGGACUGUAGUCUGAAACUACUGCUAACUAAACGGGUCGGCAUUGUGGUCGUAGACCCGUUCCUACUGGAAGGAAACUCACCUCACACUACUGAAGUCCUGUAGACACAACCCCACACUGCUGAAGUUCCGCAGACUCAACCCCAGCUGCUAGAUGAUAGAUUCCUAGAUUACUACAUUACCCUUAGAUUGGCUUACCCAAGCCCAAGGCCCAAUCCAAAAGCCCAAAGUCAACUAGGGAUCAAAGCCUAACAUAUGGCCCAACUUUCCAAAUUAGGCCCAAACCUCUACAUGGACUUCCCUUAAGGCCCAAUUGUUCAGUCCAGUCCAACAUGUCUCAUUCUAAGGGCCCAAUAUCAUACAACCAUCUAGGCCCAAACUAUGGCCCAAUUUUCCAAAUUGUGCCCAAUCCUUCAUAUGGGCCUUACUCUAAAGCCCAACUAAUUACUCUAGUCCAUUUGAUUAUUCUUGGAUGGCCCAACACAAACCCCAAGUGAAAUUAGGGUUUCACAUAAAAUGACGAUUAAGGUUAAGUGUUUCUUACUUAACCCGUUAAGGACUUAAUCCGUUAAGUCCUUUACUCUACUAGAUAAAUGAUAUGGAGAAAUUGGACUUAAUACACAUGUAAAUUCAGCCAUUUCCGUACAUUAUAUUAACUUGAUAUCCUCAUGCAUAAUUUGAUAUCUGCUUUAAUUCCCAUAUCGAUUCAAGUAUCAAAAGAUACUUCAACUUCAUGUUUAUAUAACAACACUUGAGGUUACCUAAGGGAAACCCAAGUACCCCGAAACAAAUUUGGGCCACCUGAAAAUUUUUUGGGAUACCCCUUUACUUUAACUCUGGCUCUGCCACUGCAUCCAUAUACUUAGAAUUACUAUGUAUAUAUAAUAGGUGUGUUGUGAUAGUAUCUAUAUAUGUAUUAACUUUGGAUGGUUAAAUCCAAAGAUAUGCAAUAUACCAUAUAACGGGUAUGUUAUGGUAGUAUCUAUGUAUGUAGUAACUUUGGAUGAUAUAAAUCGAAUGUGGUGAAAUAUACCAUAAAACAAUGUCUUAUGGUAGUAUUUACUAUUUAUGUAUACGGUGCAAUAGAGAUUUAGUAUCAUUAGGUGUAAGGUGACAUAUAGUGUACUACAUAAUGCCUAUUUUGUGACAUUAAUCGGAGUAUUGAUGAUCCUUAUAAUGGCUCUCAAGGCAAUAUCCAUUCGAUGUAAAAUGCCAUUGGUGUUGAUAAAUAUUUAAUAUUAUGGUGGAUAUUAUUAGGGGACGUUGUAGUGAACCUUCAUGGCAAAAUACAUUAUUGAUAAUUGUGGAGUUACUUUGAAAGAUAUUGGGAGGUGGGACUUGUAUAUUAUUAGUUAAUUUCGUGUAAUUAACCAUUGCAGAUAUUUGAGGAAAUUAUGUAGUAAUAUUUAAUGAGUAUUUACUGAAUAGUUUGAAAGGCGCUUUGGAGUUUUAUUGAGUUGUUGAAUAAACUGAUAUAAUCGAUAUAUGGAGUUAUUAUAUGUAAUGUUGUCGAUGUUGCUUACUAAGCUCUUUGUAGCUUACAUUUUUAGUUAUUGUAUACCUAUAAGGAAACUCAUUAAAGAAAUGAUGAAUUAUAGAAGAGAGGUAGUAAUAUCUGGCUCGUAUCAUUGUAUUUGUAAUUCUUUUAUGCGAUCUUUUUGAUAACUAAUUGUAUUGAAUUGUUAUUAAAAUAUACACCAAGACGAUUUAUAAAUUGAAAUUUUUUAGGGGUUUUAUACUAAACUCUUUGUAUAAGAUGCUCUCUUUGUGCACCUCGAGACUCUAGUAGAGUCGGCUACAAUUUAAAACACACACACACACACACACCUUGCACCCAUCGACUUCAUCAAGUUCUUAAGGUUUUCUGUAUACCAGAUUCAAAUAUGGUUUUACUAAGAUGAUUCAACUAGCAUCUAAAAUGUGUAGAUAUUUUUAAAAUCAAUUUCUGUGCUACCUGGGAUAGAUUUAACUAAUAUUCUCAGUUGUGUUAUUGGUUCAUCGUUUAAGUAACAUGAUUUAGUGAACCAACACAGAGUUACUAGAAUCCCUAAUUCUCAGAGUUAAUUUACAAGUUUGUUUCAAUAUAUUCUCCAAGCGAAGUGAUUGCAGAUUCCCACUCCUUUAGCAUGGAUGAAGAGCAGUUGCCUAACCAUAAAUUCAUAAACAAGAUGGAACUAUAUGACUGUUAAAAAGAUUUGCUUCUUAAUGUUCACAUCAUAAUCUGUUCCUAUAACUGAUGUCUACUUGGAUCUGAGCCCAUUUAUUUCAACUGUUGUCAAAAUGUAUGUUUAGUCAUACACAUGUCAUAUAAUACAAAAUUUCUGUAGUGAGCUAUAUGUUCUAAGUAGCCCACAAAGAUUAGCAUUAUACAGAACUUGUGUUGUGUAUGCUAGAAAACACGUUUAAAAUGUACAAAACUGUGGUUAACAAUGCAGAAAAGUGAUAGCAGUGCAAAGAGGUGCAACAUGUGCAGAGAAUUGCUAAUGCUAUCAUGUCAAAUGGAUACGUAACAAUGUAAGUAUUUGUAUCGACUCUUCGUACAAACAUCUCCAAGACACAUCUGAUUAGAGCAUUUUGAAACUAUUUCUACCAUCAGAGCAGUACUAAUUUUCACACAAGCAAAACCACAAACACCUUGCGUGCAAAUUUAUCAACCAUUUUCCAUACUCUUCAAAGUCACGUGUUUGAGCCAGCAGUUGGCAACUCACAAACAGGUCGAGGUGGAGAUGGAGGCGGAGGCUAGUGUCUAUGUUUAUCAUAAGCCCACUGUUAAAAGAUCCAUGUUAAGGAUAAUUCUAUAACAGGAAUGAUACCGAGUAAAUUGGCAGAUAGUAGGGGGUGUUUGGCUAAGCUUUUGAAAGGCAAAAGUCCUUUUAGGAAAAGUUGCAAAAAAUCAGGAUUCUGUAACUUUUCCAAAAAGUACAUUUUUCCUUAUAUAAAAAAGUAACUUUUACAACAUUGCCAAAUAUCUUUUGCCUUUUUAUCUUUUCCUAAAAACUAAAAGUUAUUUUUAAAGAUAAAACAAGCACCCCGUAGUAGAGCUUACCCUUGGUUUCUUCUUCUGUUUUUCUUCAUCUGUUUUUUUUACCUUCAUUUCUUCUUGUAUCAAUGCAAAUGCUUCAUCAAUUAUUUCUUCUUCUGUUUUUAUGAUAUUAUCAGAAUUGAGAAACAAUUUAAGUGACAUAGUAUUGAAUGAAAUGACAUAACCAUAGAUGGAAAUGUUUUAAGUAAAAUUAAGAAGAAAUUGAUGUAUCUGUUUUGUUUGAAAAUGAAAAAUUACGUUCAUUCUUGUAUCAAUGCGAAUUCAUUCAUCAAUUAUAGCUCCUAAUGCCAUUGGUAUGAAUUCAACUUUGGAAUUAUGAAAACUACUCGCACUAUCAAUACUUACACCAAUCAUUUACGAACAAGUUAAAAAGUAAAUUACUAAAAUCGUUCCUAUGGUUUUGUCAAAAUUUCAUGUUUGGUCCCUAACUUUUUCUUUGCACUCGGACCAUCCCUAUGGUUUGAUUUCGUUGCGUUUUUCGUCCCUAUGGUUUGGUCAAAAUUGCACGUUUGGUCCUUAAUUUUAUGUAUGUAAGGGACGAAAAACGCAACAAAAUCAAACCAUAGGGACGAUCCGAGUGCAAAAAAAAAAGUUAGGGACCAAACGUGAAAUUCUAACCAAACCAUAGGGACGAUUUUAGUAAUUUACUCAAGUUAAAAUUAAAAAAAGAAUUAAACUAUAAGGAUCUGUGACUCUGCAGAUAGCAUAAAAGAAACCAACCUUACACACCCGAUGGCAUAUGCAUUAGCAUUGAAUGCUACAAUUGUGAAUCAUAAGGGUGGGUCAUGAAUCCUGCAAAAAUAAAUCAACAUAAGUUUUUCAUUCCAAAAUGACUACCGGAUACAUCAUGUCAAAUUAAUUAUGUGAGCAAAAUUCAUCAAUUAUUUUACCAAAUAACAAAAGAACACAUAAUUGAACAAUGAAUCAUAAACAGUAACACGCAUAUCAUGGUCACUCCAAAGUACACUAAAUAGAAAUACCAAAUAUUCUCUAAAAGGGAAAAACCAUGGAGCUAGUAAAUAGAUGGCAGUGAAGAUAAAUAGCAUUUUUGUUCACAAUUUCACAAAUAUAGAAUCAUAUUUAGCUGUGUCAAAAUCGAUCCACUUAAUAAAAAUUCCAUCCACUUAACCAUAAUGCCUUAAUGGGUUUAAUCAGUGUGUUAAUCGGCAUUGUCAUAUGGGUACAAUAGUAGGUUGAUAUUAGGCAGUACAUAAUCAUAAUGAUUCAUUAUUUGAACGUAUUUAGCCUGUUUGUUUGUUCACCGUUAAUUUUCGAUAUUUUACAACGUAAUAAUGUACUCAUUUCUAGAUGUUUGGUUUGGUAAACAGUUUAAUUCAGUAAGCACGCCAUGUUAACAAACAAAUAUUGAGAAACAAAUAAAACUUUUGUUGUAAAAAUACAUAGGUACUUGGAUUGAGAUAAUAUUUAAAAAAUUUGUUCGAUUUACAGUUAUUUAAUUUUAUACAUUACGAAACAAAAACAAGUUAAAAGACAUAGAGAAGGCCGGACCUUCACAAUAAGAUAUAGUCAUCCUCGUAGAUGCAGGGGAAUUAGGGGAACGACGCGCCAAUAGGAGACUCCUAUACUAGUCUUUUUUUUUUCAGAUUCGGGCAUUCAUUAAUUCCCAAACUCAAAAGCGAAGGCAACAGCUUUUCUGGUAGAUCCAUCAUCUUUCGGCACUUGACAAUGAAGAGAUGCUGGAGAAAGGUGAGGUGUUGGAGUCCCGUUGAAAUUGAUUCCAAUUUCUCAAAUCAUUCUAUGCGAAGAGAAGUAAGAGAUGAAGGAAAAAGACCGGACAACCGACUAAAAUCAGUCACUUCUUCAUAUGGUCCGCCAUAUAGAUGUAGGUUAAAAAGUGAGGUUGGAAAACUCUAUGGGCCCCACUCUGACAUGGGCUUCUUCAAUCCUCCUAUGGUAAGAGGACCCAGUUUUGGAGGCCAAAGCCCACCAGGAAAGAAAGCAUCCAUACUUGUACAGUUUUUUAUUUGCAAAUGUGUUAACCAAUAUUUUAAAACCCGGGUUGACCCGACCGGUUCAACUGGUUGGACCGUGAUCCGGGGUAGAAAGCGGGUUAAUUGAGAACGGUUUUUUGUAAAAAUACGGACUUGAUCGAACCGGCCGGGUUUCCCCUAAACCGCGGUUCGACCGGUUAUGUUGAACCGGUUAAAACCGGAUUGACCCGUUUUAAUAGAACUUUGAUAGUUGGAUACAAGUAGCGGACGCCAAAACAACGAAUUGUUUGCGGUUUCUUUAAUGUUUUUCAAUGUUUAAACUUUGUGGACAUCAAAUUAUUGGUUUUAUAUGUUUAUGCAUUAUGUAGGAAAGUAAAAAUAUAUAAAAAUAAAAAAAGACCAUAAACAGGGUUGACCCGACGGUUCAACUGGUUGAACCGGUUAACCCGUGAACCGGUUAUUACACCGGGUCAACAAAAAACCCGGGCUUUAAAACAUUGGUGUUAAAGAGGCAAGAUGCGGCAACUCAUGGUCAGGAAAUGGAAGUGAAUCCAGACUUGGACACUCUUCUAUUCUGAAUACGGUCAAAUGGAUGAAGUACUUUAAUUCAUUCAUCGAUUUAAGUUUCUUGCAGUUCCAGAUGGAAAGUGACUUGACGUUCUGCCCUCCUCCUGUUGGGAAAGACACAAACGUAAUUGAUUUGAAUCACAGGUAAAAAUAAGCAAUGACUCAAGGCUAUCUGGACAACUGGAAUGUUGUAAGGGAAUGGUGUAGCGUUGGGCGAGCACCAUGGUACUUGUUUUAGUGACAAGGCGGCCAAGUAGAUUUCCUUGGAUAAGGAAAGGGAAAAGUAUGUAGCUCCGAGAGGGAGUGUAAGUUCACGGAAGCGAAAGCAGUAGCGCGGAGGUAUGAUUGAGGUGUUCCAAUCAUGGUUAUUGAGCAGAGUGUUUGCGGCGGUGGUAUGGAAUCACAUCCGGGUUGGAUAUCUGCGGAGGUCACGGAAGGAGUUCCGCGAGUGUAGAGCCAAAGAGGCUCUGAAGGGAUGCAAGGAUGGAGCCUUGGAUUCCUAGUUUGGUGUGAACAAGGAAUUAUGCUUGUAGCGGUAAUUCAUCCUGGGGGGAUGUUUGGAGGUGUCGUCAGUGCGUCGGGUUUUCCCAACCCGAGAAUGCUAGAGCUAGUUCAGCAUGUGUAUGUGAUGGCAGAGAAGAACUCAUGGGAGUUGCUCUAAAGCUGAAGGAUGUGUUGUCCUGUCAACAUGGAAGGGAUAGAGUUGGACUCAGUAAGGGAGCAGGUUAAGUCUUAGUAGUGAAUUCGGCGAAGGAUAUAUCUGACGAGGAAAAUGAUAGCAGUGUGGUACCGGGUCGGGAUCCUGGUGGUUCAAGGUUAUAUCUAGCUCGUAAGAGUCAAGUGAUUGUUGUGAUCUGGAACGAGUGAAGUACCAUGGAGUGGUACUCGGUUGAUAAAUGUGGUUAUCAGAGGAUGAAACCGGUGGCUGGCUUGAGGCGGUGGUCAGGACAUCGCAGGGGAAGAGUUGGGUUUCGGGUUUCGAUGGUAGUGUUUUGAGGAACCUGAUUUGGUUAAUGCUAGGUGGUGGAUUGCGAGAAUAAUUAUUGGAAUUGUGUGUUGCAGCAGGCUUCGGGGACGAAGCCUAAUUUAAGUGGGGGAGAAUUGCAACAUCCUGAAAAUUCAAAAAUAAAGUUGAAGGGCUAAAAGUGUAAAUAAGAAGGUCGACUCGGCGAGUCGAGUCACGUUUCAAGUCGCGUGAUAAGUGACCAACUCGGUGAGUCGCAUGUGUAGACUCGGCGAGUUGGUGCUGUAUGGAGAAAACCCUAAUCCCGGGGGUUGAGCCCUAUAUAAAGAACAUAAUACCCACUCCCCAGCCUCUUUACAUUCCCUUUGAGUUCCAGAGGCCCUAAAUUCGUGUGAGCUUUCCUUUGUGAGUAAUUAGAGCCUUGGAGGAAAUCUUGGAAGGGAAUUGAAGAGCAAGAAGAUUUGGAGCAAGGGGCUUUGCAGAGAUUUGGUUCAUUCUCCAGUAGGAGCUUGCAUUGGAGGUAAGAGAUCUGUUCUUGAGCUUUUGUGCAUCUAUAUUUAUCAAUUAUGGGAUUUUUUGGAGCAUAAAUGAGGUUCAUCUCGAGUUUAGUGUAAGAUCUGAGGUUGCUACCUCAGAUCUAGGAUUGUAGUGGUCCAGGAAGCCAUAAAGUUCAUGCCCAAGAGUUGUUAGUGAAGCCUUCUUGUCCCAAACCCUAGCCUAAGAGUGUUCUAUGCUUAGAUCUCUUUGGAUUUACGUAAAGUUUGCAACUUUACGUGAGGAAUAGCUUGUGGAAGGGUAGAUCUAUGAAUUGGAGCCCCUGCAUGGCUUGGAAAGCCACUUAAUGGAUUAAGAGCUAGUGGUACUUGGCGAGUUGCAUGAAGAUAGGCACGAACUCGGUGAGUUUGAAGAACAACUCGGCGAGUUGGAAGAACAACUCGGCGAGUUGGUUGAAGAUAGCCUUGGACUCGGUGAGUCUGUUCGUGAGGUCCUAACCUUUCCUGGUUUAGUUGUGAAUCGGUGAGUCAAGGGACGACUCGGUGAGUUGAGCAGGAAGUGACUCAGAGUUCGUGGGACUCAGCGAGGCUUAGGGCGACUCGGUGAGUCUUGGGGCGACUCGGCGAGUUGGGUCACGAUAUGGGAGUUUUCAGAGUUGAGGGACUCGACGAGUCAGCAGGCUGACUCGGCGAGUAGUGUCAGUCAGGAAGUUUGACUUUGACUGAGGACUUUGACUUUAACCAAGAGUUGACCAGUUGUCUUCCAAGGGUAAUUUGAUAGUUUUUGGUAUUUAUUGAGUUCGGUCUUUUGGUAUUGUUAGUGGUGGAGUUUGUGUCAGAGGUUGGAGCAGCGUGAUCUUAUCUUUUCAGUCAGCAGUUGCAAGGUGAGUUAUCCUCACUAUAUCGAUAGGGUCUAAGGCACCAAUGUCGGCCCUUUAUUGGAUUGUAAUCUGGGUAUCGUUGUUAUGUUGUUGCUUUGCUAUGUUUGCAUCCUGGUAGUUAGGAUGGUAUAUGUUAGAGACCUAGUUAAGGUCGGUAUCUUGGUAUAUAGGAUGAUGCUAUGCUAGUGACCGGUUAGGUCGGUAUCCUGUUUGGAGUAUGUUAUGUUAUUUGAUCUGCUAGAUCGGUUUGAUUGGAUGUGAAUUGUUAUAUGAUUGUAUGUUUAUGUGCACAUGGUUGUCGGACUGGGGUUGGGUUGAUGCGGGUCCUGCUUUGUGCUGUAGGCCAACACACCCAGGGCGGACCGGUUAUCCCGAAGGCCAGCCAGCGGUCCGGAUAGGCUGUAGGCCCCACAACGCUGGAACAGACGUGCAGAGGCUCGGAGAGUGGACCAGGCCGACUGAAGGCCCGGUGCGGGCGGACCAGUCAUACUGUAGACUUAUAGAGUGGACCAGGUGGGUGGAAGUGCCGGUGUGGGCGGACCAACCACACUGCAGACUCGAUGGAUAUCGAUAGACUCGGAGGGUGGACCAGGUGGACUGAAGGCCCGGUAGGGCGGACCAGUCACACAGUAAACCCGAAGUGCAUGGCUGUUCUGUUCGGUUAUGUUAUGUUAUGCAUGGUAUAUGUGGUUGGUAUUUUAGGGGCAUCUCACUAAGCUUCCGGGCUUACAGUUGUGGUUUAAUGUUUUUCAGGUACUUCAUGAGACCGUGGCAAGGCGAAGGCGUAAUCGUACCGCUCCUCAUGUUUAUGUUUUACGAUAUGGUUCUGGGAAGACUCUGAUAAUAAUUGUAUUGAAAACCUUUUUGUAAUGACUUAACGAAACUGAGUUGCUUUUGAAAUAUUUAAAUUGGCUUGAAUUUUUAGAGUGUUACAAGAACAUUUGUUCACCAAGGAAUGUGGAAACAUAUGAACAGUGCCGCUGGAUAAAAGAAGUUCACGAAGAGGCAUUUGCAAUAAAAAAUUUCAUCAUGAACCAUAACAUGAGGCUCUCGAUUUUCACCAAGUUUACUCCUCUUAGGCUGCUUUGUAUUGCUGACACUCGCUUUGCCAUCAUCAUUGUGAUGCUUAAGAGAUUGAAACUUAUCAAAAGGGGUCUUCAAGCUAUGGUCAUAAGCGAAGAAUGGUCUUCUUAUAGAUUAGAUGACACUGAGAAAGCAAACGCUGUGAAAGAAUAUAUUUUAAAUGAUGAUUGGUGGGAUAAAGUAACAUAUAUUCUUAGUUUCACUGGAGCUAUAUAUGAGAUGAUUAUAGCUUGUGACACUGACAAGCCAUGUUUACACUUGGUCUAUGAGAUGUGGGAUUCUAUGAUUGAGAAAGUGAAGAUUGAGAUCUACAAGAAAGAAAAACGUCCGACAUCUCAAAUAAGUUCUUUUUACGACGUUGUGCGACGUAUUUUAGUGGCUCGAUGGGCGAAGAAUAACACUCCCCUACAUUGUUUAGCUCACUCUUUACAUCCAAGGUUUAAGAUUUUAAAUUAUACACUUGAUUUGUAUUAUAUAUUUAUGUUUUAACUUUUGGAUGUUUGUAGAUAUUAUAGUGAUGCAUGGUUAAUGGAGGAUUCUACAAGAUGCGCUCCACAUAGGGAUGGAGAUGGGAUAAGGGAGAUGUGGGGCCAAUAGGAGCUUCUUCUAAUGCUCCUUUCUUUUAAAUUUGGGCAUCUAUCGAUUUUCAAAGAAAAAAAGUGAAGGAAACACCUUUUCUGGUAGAUGUAACGUUUUUGGGGAGUUGGAAACAGAGAGAUGUUGGAGAGAGGUGAGGUGUUGGAGUCUCCCUUUGAUUUUCAAAUUCCUUUUUUCCUUUAUGGAAACAGAAGCAAGAGAUGAAGGAAGAAGAUGUGACAAUUGAUUACAGUUUUUCACAUCAUUAUAUAGUCCGCGAUAGAGUAAAUUACACGAAUGGUCCCUAUGGUUUAGGGUAAUUUGCGCGUUUGGUCCCUAACUUAUUUUUUUAACUCGGAAGGGCCUUACUGUUUGUUUUUGUUACGCGCUUGGUCCCUAUCUUACCUAAAAAGACUAUUAUGCCCUUGAUUUUUUUAAUUUAUUUAAAUAAACACACCCCUAAUCCCACCCUCUCACCUUACCUCACCUACCCCCAUCAUUUUUUCCUUUUGAAAUAAUAGUCAUUUUAGAUAAUACAGGGACCAAACACAUAACAAAAAUAAACAGUAGGGAUCAAACGCGUAACAAAAACAAACCAUAGGGACCUUCCGAGUUAAAAAAAUAAAUCAGGGACCAAACAUGCAAAUUACCCCAAACCACAGGGACCAUUCGUGUAAUUUACUCGUCCGCGAUAUAAUAUUAAGUUAUCUAGUGUAGGGGUGUUCAAAACCGAAUAUCCGAAAAUUUGGAUAUCCGAAUUUCAGAUAUCCGAAAAUUCAAAUAGUGUAUUAUUGGUAUCCGAAUCCAUAUCCGAAAUUUCAGAUAUCCGAAUUUUCGGAUACGAAUUCGGAUAUCAAUACGGAUAUCCAAAUUUUUUUGGCUUUUUUGUUAUUAUCAAAUAUCGAUUAACUUAAAAUAACCUAUUUUAAAAUAUAUUAAGUUGUUAAUUGUCUAUAAGAUGCAACUCAACCCAACAGUUACAAACCACUUGCAAUUCAAAAGAAAAAAGACGUUGAACCAUCUUAUAACAAAAAUAUAAAUCAUACAUUCCAUAUUAAAAGUAAACCUAUUAAUUAUAUAAAAGCAUUUAGUUUACCUUGUGAAUAAUAAAUAAAAUAUUAUAAAAAUAAUAAAAAAUAAAUUUUUGGAUAUCGGAUAUCCGAAAUAUUCAAAAUUUUAGAAAACGAGUAUUUGUAUCCGAAAGUGAUAGCAGUACAAAGAGGUGCAACAUGUGCAGAGAAUUGCUAAUGCUAUCCUGUCACUUGGAUACGUAGCAAUGUAAGUAUCUGUAUGACUUUUCGUACAAACAUCUCCAAAACACUUCUGAUUAGAGCAUUUUAAAACUAUUUCUACUGUCAAAGCAGUACUAAUUUUCUCACAAGCAAAACCACAAACACCUUGUGUGCAAACUUAUCAACCACUUUCCAUAGUCUUCAACGUCCCUGUGUUUGAACCAGCAGUUGGCAACUCACAGACAGGUCGAGGUGGAGAUGGAGGCGGAGGCUAGUUUCUAUGUUUUAUCAUAAGUCCACUGUUAAAAGAUACAUGUUAAGGAUAAUUUUAUAACAGGAAUGAUACAGAGUAAAUUGGCACAUAGUAGUAGAGAGCUUACCCUUUGCAAUUUUUCCCCCAUUAUUUCUGUUGUUUGAUCAUUACAAAUUGUCCAAAAAGAUCAUGCUUAUAAAUUUAUAAUCCAUCUCUAAGAUUUGAUCCCAGCUAUUCCCUUGACACCACUGCCAAUCCACUUUGCUGUGGAUUUUUGCAGAUAUGUGGUUGAAGGUGUGAUUCUUCUAAUGGCAAUCUUGUCCACACCAAUGAAAGUGCCAAGCACCAUUAACCCAGCGAUUGGUGUUUAUAUGGCAUUUAGCUAUUAAGAUUCAUAAAUUCCAAGCUCCUACAUCUCCAAAUUUAUGAAAAACAAACAGAAGUCAGAAAGUCUAUAAUGAGAAGUUGUUUAUUCGGAAAUGACUACCGGAUACAUUAUGUCAAAUAAAUUAUACGAGCACAAUUCAGCAAUUAGUUCACCAAAUAACAAAAGAAAACAUAAUUGAACAAUGAAUCAUAAACAAUAAAACACAUAUCAUGGUCCCUCCAAAGAAGUACGCUAAAUAGAAAUAUCAAAUAUGCUCUGAAGGAAAAAACGUGGAGCUAAUAAAUAUAUGGCAGUGAAAGAUAAAUAGCCUUUCUGUUCACCAUACUUCACAAAUGGAAAGUGAUUCGUACACAACAAUUUUUUUAUCAUACACAAUAAUUUAUGCAUUAUAUAGUUGUACAAUACAACAUUUUAAAACAUUAAUUGUUGUGUAUGGAAAAAAAAAUUGUUGUGAACGGAUGAAAAUUACAUCAACUUAAUGAAAAUUAAGUCAACUUAACCUUGAUGGGUUUAAUUAGUAUUAAUGCCGGUCAGAAGUCAUGCAUAAGACUACAUUAAAUUAGGCGGUAUAUUAUCAAAAUGACUCUGUGAUUUGAAAGUAUUUAACUUGUUUGUUUGUACUACAUUAAGUUAUUAUUAUUAUUAUUAUUAUUAUUAUUAUUAUUAUUAUUAUUAUUAUGCUUGUGAUUUCAUAUUGAAGCUGUACAACUUUAAAAGACAAUGAUAACUUUACAACCAAUCCUAGUCCACCAUACACCAACUUAAUUCAUUUUGCAAUCUAUUGUGGCACUCUCACGUUUUAAAGCCCUAAUUAUAUUAAAUCAGUAAACAUACCAUGUCAACAAACGAAUAUCCAGACAUAAAUAGAACUUUUAUUGAAAUACAUCCUUGGAUAUUUAAAAUGUUGGUUGAUUGGCAGUUAUUUAAUUUAUACAUUAUGGAACUAAAAGAAGUCAAAAGACAAAAGGCAUAGAUAAUGGCGCACCUUCACAAAAAAAAUAUACUCAUCCUCGUGGAGGUGUGGGGUUAGAGAGACGAUGGGCCAAUAGGAGCCUCCUAUACUAGUCUUUUUUUUCAGAAUUGAGCAUUCACUAAUUCCCAAACUCAAAAGUGAAGACAACUUUUCAGGUAGAUCCAGCAUCUUUUGGCACUUGACAAUGCUGAGAUGCUGGAGGGAGGUGAGGUGUUGGAGUUCCGUUGAAACUGAUUCCAAUUUCUCAAAUCUUUCAAUUCGAAGCGUAGUAAGAGAUGAAGGAAAAAGACCGGACAACCGACUAAAAUCAGUCACAUCUUCAUAUGGUCCGCCAUAUAGAUUUAGGUCAAAAAGUGAGGUUGGAAAACUCUGUAGGCCCCACUCUGACAUGGGCUUCUUCAACCCUCCUAUUCCAAGGGAACACAAUUUCGGAGGCCAAAGCCCACGAAGAAAGGAAGCAUCCAUACUUGUACAGUUUUUUACUUCCAAAAAUCUUAACGAGGCAAGAUCCAGCAACUCUUGGUCAGGAAAUGGAAAUGACUCCAGACUUGGACACUCUUCUAUUCUGAAUGUGAUCAGAUGGACGAAGUACUUCAAUUCAUUCAUCGAUUUAAGUUUCUUGCAGUCCCGGAUGAAAACUGACUUGAGAUUCUGCCCUCCUCCUGUUCGGAAAGACACAGAUGUAACUGAAUCACAACGACUAAUAAACAAUGACUCAAGGGUAUCUGGACAGCUGCAAUGCUGUAAGCUGGCACAAAGAGAUACCGACAACCACCUAAGAGAUGUUAGGUUGCUCCCACAAUUAUCCUCCUCUUUCUCUCCUAAACUCACCAAAUUUGAACAAUAACGUACCUCCAACCUCCUUAAAUUCGCAAGAAGCUUACCUGCCUCUGCUUCAGAUUCCCACAGGUAUCUUAUUUCACUACACCUUUCUAUCGUUACUUCUUCAACUUCCCCAAGAUACUUCAUAACACCUCCCCACACCUCAUGAGUAAGACCUGAAAUAUCAUGUAAUAUCAACUUGGUGACUGAUGAAGCGACAUGAACCAGGCUUGUCAACACACCAUGACCACAUCCUUUUACUGUCAUAACUCUGAGUAAAGGUAGUUUUUCAAGUGAGACUUCAACCAGAUUAGGACAAAAUAGAAUAAUAAGCUCUUUAAGGCAUGGAAACACUGCUGCAUCUACAACCCCAUUGUUAUUGAUUGACCAUUCCUUCCAUGAUGGCAUAGUAUCAAAAGUUAGAAUUUCAAGGGAAGGGAAUGCAACACCUGUUCCAAGCAACUCCCAACCCACAACUUUCACCUUACUCAUCUUCCCAAUAUACAACUCCUUAAGUGAUGGUAGUUGCCCAAGUUCUGGUAGAGAUGUACAUUCUUCGCACCCAUAUAUUGACACGUGAGUCAACCCAAGAAACGAAGGAUCCCCAACCCAAUUAGGAAACUCUAUAACCGCAUAUGACACAAUUUUAAGCUUCUUCAAACUAUCAGUUUGAGGCUUCAACUCUGUAAGGACCUCCUUAUCAUGUGUCUCCUUUCGAAAAACGUUUAACCCGGUAUCACUAUGACACAACCUAAGCCCCUUUUGCAAUAAUCCAUAACCCCAAUCCAACUCCAACUCACUAAGCCUUUUUUGUGAUAAGUGUGCAUUGCAUGCCUCCAUUGCAUUUUGUACAUUGCCCAGCCCCCAAAUGGAAAUUUUCCCAUGGAGAUUUUGCAAGUUCUUAAGCUCGGUUAUUGCAAAUCCGUUUUCACCUCCAAUUAUGAUCUUGGAGAGAGUUUGUAGGCCUUUCAACUCACCAAUCCCUAAGGGCAUCUUCUUCAAACCUGGAGUAUCCCUAAUGUCCAAAUGCCUCAAAUUUUUAAGCUUUAAGAAGCUGUUGGGCAAGUUAAUUAAACUUUUACAGCCAAAAAGGAUCAAUGUCUGGAGAUUAUAAAGAUUGCAGACAUUUUCUGGUAAAAGCUUGAUAUCAGUUCGAGAUAAAUUCAGAUACCGCAAGUGCUUUAGACUGCCAAUGAAUUCGGGUACCUCGCUUAUGCUAAGAUUACUCAAACUUAGGACCCUUAACAAUGGUAACUCCUGAAGUAAGUUCUCCAGGACCUUGUUUGAUAAGUAGAAUCUUUGCCAACUGUCUAUCACCCCAACAGAUACCGCUAUCAACGUUCUCAAACUUUUAGCUCCUUUGAGUGGCUCGAACCUUCCGGAAACCAUGUAUUCCUCACGAACAAAUGACAGAUGGCGGUACUUUUCGAAUGAUUCAUUCCUAUGUUCUUUCUCCGUCCCAAUGUCUACCCUUGAAAAAAACUCCCCAGCAACAGAUGUGGCCAAGUCACUCAUGAGAUCAUGCAUCACAAACAACGAUCUGUCAUUUGGUGCAGGUUGAAAAAAUGACCUUGACCACAACGCAUUAAAAUACUCGAGACCCAAGCGUUCCAUUGUCUUGUUUGUCGUUGAUUGCAAAAAACCUUCUGCCAUCCACAACAAAAUCAACUUCUCCUUGUCAAACUCAAAGUCCUUGGGGAACAAGGAGCAGUAUGCAAACAACUGCUUCAAACAUGGAGAGAGAUCAUGGUAGCUUAAUUUGAGAGCCGGAACAAUCCCAUCUCCCUUUUCUAGACUCCAUAUCUCACUAUUCAGCACUUCUUUCCAGUCUUCCUCAUCUAUUUUUGUCCUUAAUAACCUUCCAAGUGCUUUCAAAGCCAACGGCAACCCAUUACAUUUUCUAACAAUACCUUCACCAUGUGGUUUAAGUAGCGGAUGUGAAUCAAAGUUUUUUUCUCCCAAUGCAUGCUGACAAAAUAAGGAUAAAGCACUUUCAUCUGAUAGAAUAGGCAAAUGAUAAGGUUCAUUGUUACCAAGUUGGGUUAACAACGACAUCUUCCUGGUUGUCAUGAUAACUUUACUUCCGGGUGCCCCUGCAAGAAAUGGCCCUGCUAGGAUUUCCCAAUCCGUAUAGCUUUCACUCCACACAUCAUCUAAAACAAGCAGAAAUCGCUUAUUUGAGAUCUUCUCUCUUAAAGCUACUUGCAGCAGAUUUAAAUCCUUAAAUACUUGGUUUCCCCCACCUAUUGAUUGAAAAAUAAUACUGCUUAUAUUGAAAAUAUCAAACUCAUCAGAAACACAGACCCACGCCAUGAGUUCAAAACGAUCCUUCCCUUGCAUCUCAUCAUACAAAAGUCUAGCGAGAGUGGUCUUACCUACCCCACCCAUACCAACUAUUGGCACGAUGCUAACGUUUCUAUCACAUGGUUCAUAUAGCUUGAGAAGCAACGCUUCCUUAUCAUCUUUGCGCCCAACAAUACUAGAUGGAUCUACCAAAGAGGUCUCUAACCUUCUAUUUCUAUGUUUUGGGCUUUCACCUAUCACACUUAAGCCAAGCUUAUAUUUUUCCUCAAACAGUUCUUGUAACUUGAUGGUGAUAUUUUCAAACUUGUCAUGCAUCCUAGCACUUGGUAACAGCUUUCUUACCUUGCUUGAGGUUCCAGAUUCCUCUGUGAACUCACGAUGCAUAGCUUCUGUUGACAAUUCGUCAAGUAGAUCGUCUAUGUCGUAAGCCAAAUGUUGGAGACUAUUCAGCCAUUCUUUAACAGCUUCCUGACGUAUUUCCUUCUGAGAAGCAUCAUUAAGCAGAUCUUUGAUCUUGAUUAAUGACAUCUUUAAUUUUUCCACGUCAUCGUCAUCGAUUUUCUUGAAACGAGCAAACUGCCUGAAGGCUUCGGAGGCCAGCUUGUCACAGAACAAAGAGUACAGGGCAGAAAUGAUUCCAGCCAUUGCUUACGGUGAAGGCGUAGGUAUGAAUGAUAGAGAUGAAGAUGAAGUGAGCGUGACUUUUGAUUGAAAAGAACGAUCCAAGCCCUAGUUGUCCAUUGUUUUUUGGUCAACGCCUUUUUGCCACCGCUUUACUUUUAAAUAGUCCAGCGGAUCAUCAAGGACAAGUUUAUGUUAUUUUUGAUUGGUCCUCCUAAAUACACGAAUGAAUUCGUGUAGUGCAUAAAAUUUAGUAGUUUUACUUGACUUACGUCAAAUCAAUUUCAUUUGUCAAUUAUUUUUAUUUAAAACCUUAUAACUUAAAGCAAUAACAUAUUUGGCCCUUUAACUUUAUAAUCCUUCGUUCCAAUCCAUUUUAGUUGUAAAUCACUUUUAUUUGAAAUCUUAUAUGGCCCAUUAACUUUUAAAUAUUGUCAUUUUAUCUUUAUAAUAAUAAUAAUAAUAAUAAUAAUACAAGAAAAUUUCUGAAUAGCUACGGAAAAUAUUUACGGAAUCAAAAUCCGUAGCAAUUUUAGUAUGGAAUAUGUUGCGGAAUGGCUUGUCGUAGCUAUAAUGCUACGGAAACGGUUACGAAAUUGUAUUGUAUAGCUAAAUCCUAAAUAGCUACGUAAAGUUUCUACGGAAUCAUGAUCCGUAGCUAUUCUACUAUAAAAUAUGCUACAAAAUGAUUGGUCGUAGCUAAUUUGCUACAAAAAUAACUACGGAAUUGCAGUCCGUAGCUAAAUCAUGAAUAGUUGUUACGAAAUCGAAACCCGUAGCUAUUUUACUAUAAAAUAUGCUAUAUAAUUUUUUGUUGUAACUAGUUCGUUAUGGAACUUAUUGUGGAACUCAAAUUGUAACGAAUAGAUGUCGUAGAAACUAUCAUAGCAAAAUUGCUAUGAAAUUAUAAUUUCGUAGCUAAACAGUUUGCUACAAGAAAUAAAACUACGGAGUCUAAUUGAAAUUUUAUGUAGCGAAUUCCAUAGUUAUUUGGCUUUAGCUACGAAAUUUCAUGUUUUUGCUAUGGAAUUUUUCCAUAUUUAAAUCGUUUACAAAUAAUUAAAUAUAUAGGAUUAUUGACUCGGUUUCCCUGUAAAACAAAAGUAUGAGGAAAAAAAUUAACUUGAUGGGAAACUGUUUAUGCUGCUUUGGCGUCACAACAGAUCAUUACGGUCUGAUGGAUGGAAAACUGUUUAUGUUGCUCGUGUGAAUUCAUACAUUUCUCCAUUUGCAACACACAGUAAUUGUAACAAUUCUACAGUUAUAAUAUCUGAUAAUUAAUAAAAUCAAGUUUAUGUUUUGUUGUUUAUAAUUAUUAAGAUCUUUAACAAAAUUGUUUUUUUUUUCCAUUGAUAAAUUUUAGAAAGAUUCUUUUCAUCUCGCUUUUAAAAUUAUACAAAUAUUAAACAUAAUUGGUUUCUAAUAACGGUCAAACCAUAUGGUUAAAUGGCUAUCUGAUUAAAUAGUCGACCAUUUGAGUUAUCAAUUUAUAAUAGUUAAUAAUUGAAUAAUGAGUUAUCAAAAUCUUUUUUGGUAACUAAUCCAUAAGUUUAAAUAUAAAAUGUUUAUUUAUAGAUAUAAAUUAUAAAAAAUAUAUAUUAACUAAAUAGUUUAUUCAGUUUUAUUAGUUUAACCAAAUAAGGUAUCUUUAUUUGGUUAAUCAAACCGAAUAAACCAAAUAUCCGAGUAACUCGAGCCAAAUCAACCAACCAUCAUUUGGUUUUGUUCAGUUAUUCAAUUUAAGCUAUUUUUAUCACACCCUUUUAUUUUAUGAUCAUGAUACAAAAAUUUUAAAAUAUCUUUUUAUUUGUUUAAUACAAAUAAAAUGACUAUUUUGUUAACGUCUAUAGUAUACAUACUAAUUCUUAGAGGUUUUCAUUGAAAAAAAAAAUAAAAGUAACAACCAUCAUUAGUAAUUAGCAUAUACAUCAUGUGAAAUUAAAAAAAAAACAUUUGGAAAAUGAUAAGAAAAUUAGGACUAUACAAAAACAUAAUAAAAUAAAUUAAAAACCUAAACUAGUAACUUAAUUAUUAUUUGAGUUUAAUUUUAUUAAAAAAAAUUAAAAAUUUUAUUAAGUUAAUAUUAUAUCAUUUAGAAGUUAUCUUUUGCAAUUUAAUAUAUUAAUUUAAACUAAAAUAAUAAUAUAAAAUAUAGUAUAGAGAUUGAAAUGGUAAAAACAACAUAUUGAAAGUUUAAUAAAAAUGGAAGGAUAAGAACUGCAAAUUGAUAUUGAUUGAAAUAGUAAAACAAACCUGUUGAAAACUUAAUAAAAGGAUCCUCCUAUUCGCACGAAACAAAUCGUGUAAUUGUUUUGGUAUUUGUGCCUGAAGUUUGAAAACUGACAAUUUGUCACAACGNCCUAUACUUUUUCGACUUUUAAAAAUUCCCUAUAUUAAUCUAUUCUAUUAGAAAUAUGUUCAUAUGUGUAUGAUAAUAUUUAAAAAUAUAUAUACAUAAUUUUUAACCUAUAGUAUGAGUCUAAUUCAUUUGUAAACUCAAUCAACAUUUAAAAAUUAGUUUUUAAAAACUCAAUUAGUAUUUAAAAUUAAUUGAUGUUUUAAAAAAUUAGCAUUUAGAGUUGGUGUUUAAAAGCUCAAGUAGUGUUUAAAAUUAACAUUUACAAACUCAAUUAACGUAUUAGAACUCAAUUGGCGUUUAAAAACUCAAUUAGUGUUAAUUAGAAAAUUACACUUUCAUAAGUUUAAAAUUAUACAACUAUUGAAGCAUCAUAAACCGUUAUUAAAUUAGUGUUUUUUUUUAACAUGGGAAAUCCAUCGGCAUUUUGUUUUUUUAAUAUGUAUAUAAAUAAAAAAGAAAGCUAUAAAUAAAAUGGGAAAAAUACAAAUCUAGCAAUUUUUGUUAAUUACUUAUCAAAAAAUAGCAAAAGAAAAUAAUACUUAGCCAAAAAUAGCCCUUAAAAAGGUUGUCAACUUUUGGUUGACUACGGUCAACAUUGUUGACUAUUAUUUUAUGCCUUAAAGUAGUGUUUCGUGCUAAUAGGCUACUGUUUCACAGACUCAUUUACUUUUUCAUGGCUCAUUAGCCCAAAGUAGUGUUUCGGUUAAGCUACGGUAUCCCAAACCGUAGGUUUUUUCACAAAAAAGUAGAGGAAACCCCAAAAACAGUAGAUUUAAAAAAAAACGUAUUUUCCCCCCAAAACCGUAACCUACGGUUUGGGAUACCGAGCUUAACCGAGAGGAAACUAUAGGUUUCCCUAAACCUACGGUUUUGUAUGUUACAAAUGAAAAAAACAAUUCUUUUAUACAAAACACGAAAUAGUAGACGAUAUGGCGAAACAGUAGACGAUUUUAGAAACCUAUAGUUUCAUGGGCUAUAUUCGGACAUACUAAUUUUUGGCUAAAAAUUGAUAAUCACUUCCUUAAUUUGGUUAGAUUAGUAAUUACCCCUAAAUAAAAGUAUAUUUUGUUGAAAUAAUGGAUGUGUGGAAUAUAUUUUAAACAAGUAAAAGGUGAAUUUUGAAAUACAUAGUUAAGUAGAAGGGUGACAAAUGAAAAUUCCUAUUAUGUAAACAGUUUGUUUAAAUUUAAAAAUAAAAUUUGACUGAAUAAACAGAAUCAAUCAAAUCAUCGUGCAUUUAGACUUUUGUUCGUGUAUAUAGAAUUACCCUUUUGAUUAAGUAUUAAACAUAAAAUUUUAUGAAAACUAGAUGAAAUCUCAUAAAUGAUUCCUUAGUUUGUCAAAGACUAUAAUUUUAGUUCAAAUUUUUUAUUUGUAUCAAUUGGGUCAUUGUGGUUUUCAGUUUCGCAAAAUCAAUCCAUCUUUCGUUCAGUCUGGUCUAUAGUUAGACUUUUCUUUAUGACAUUGUACCCUUGAACCAAAUUUGCAAUUGAUUAUUUAUUAGAGUAAAUUACAUGAAUCGUCUUUUAUUCAAGUGUCAAAAGAUAUGUUCAGUCUCUCUUUCAAAAAUUAACUCGGAUUAUCAUUGUAUUUUUUUUUUCAAUCGGGUCGUCCCGGCGGACAUAAAAUGACUAAAACAUGCUAGUCUUCAUUUGUAUUAAGUUGUUCUUAAGCUAUUAAGACAUAUACUAAAAUAUGCUUAAGUAGAAGCAGCUUAUAAGACCUUAAACUCUACACUACUCAAAGCAAGAGAGGAGAAGGAAAAGCACCAUGGUGCUCUCGGUUUUUCAAGAAGAAAAAGAAAAAAAAAAUACUAAAUAGUUCAAGCCUCAUCUCUCCUUUAAUACUCAUGUACUUAGAUGAAAGCCCAUUCUUUCAUUUAAUGAGAUCAUGAUUUACAGGCAACUCAUGAAGUAUAAGAACAUAAAAGUCAAAGAAACAACCACCAUAUCUCCCUAAACAUGUAGUAGGAAAGAGUAUGAGUGGAAUCCACAUCAUCACUCUUAUAAAUAUAAAUCAUAUAUAAAAUGGUCUUUUAUAAGUCCAAUAUUAUAUACAUGACAUUUUAAUCAUACCAUAUGUAACGUCUUAAACACCAAGGUAAACGUUUUUCAAAUUUUAAAAGGAAUUAAAAGUCAUUUCAUAAAAGUUAAACACCAUAAAUUCAUUCUUUUACAACAUGGAGUCAAAAUCAGAGUAUCAAAUCAUAAAGUCUAUUGGAUUUUGUGUAUUGUCACGCCUUCGCUGUCACAAUUGGAAAUUUCAAGUCCAAAAGCUAAGCUAAAGGAGUCCUGUAUAUGUAAUCGUUAUAGUUAUACUAUUAUUGCGUUCUUGGUAAUGUAAUCUUUGAUAAUUAGACUACCCUGAAGCCUCCUAAGUCAAUGCAAACCAAUAAGAAAUUAAGUUAUGUCAAGACAUUAGCCAUAUUACAUAAAGCAAAUACAUUAAAGUUCAUAUGCACUUCAGGACUAUGAACUUUUCCCUAGAAACAAACAUGAUCGUGAACCACCAUAAACUUCAAAAGAAUGGCCAUGAACACCUAAGGAGAAGGAAUCUAGGCCGUGAACAACUUUCGAGGGGCCACUUUGGCCGUGAAUUACUUAGCUAAUCAAAACCUUGACCAUGAACACAUUCCUAGGCAUCAUAUUGAGCGUAAAAUCCUCCCCAUGAGCACCUUUAGGCCGUAAACCCCUCCACAUGAGCAUAUUAGGUUGUAAACUCAAAAGAGAAAAGGAAUAUGGAACCGUGAACUCCUUUUCAAUUCAAGGUGUUUAGGGAUUGUGAGCUGUAAUUGAUUAUUUCCAAUACAAAUCUCAGUAACCUAUGCAUUGCCUACCAGCAAACCAAGCACAUACCAAAUCAAUUUCCUUAUUCUCGUAUAAAGGGGGCGUAAACCCCAUUUCUCAUUCCACAAACAUAUUUCACAUUCUGUGAGAUCUCAGUAAACCAUCCCAAUGAUUCAACCACGAACUCCAGAAGCCAUUUCUUCACAACUCCUAAUAUUUAGUAAGUAAUUCGUGCCUAGCUAGAUAUUUCAUACAUUUAGUUGUUACAACUCUUUUUAAUCACACAUAACUUCAUGUGUUAACAACAUUAGGAUACCAAAAUAUCCAAGGGAUUUGUGACAUCCCCUAAUUUCUCGGCCAGAAAAGACCGAUUUAAUUUAUGUUUUUUAAAAUAAAAUCAGAGAAAUCUUUUUAAAAGAUGUUGCGGAAUUGGUCCCCAAACAAAAUAUGAUAAAAGUUUAUCAAAACCCUUCAUUAAGAAGGUAUAUGUUUUCCAUAUAUAUAUAUAUAUAUAUAUAUANAUGUCAUGUUCCGAUACAGAUCAAAAGCAUAAACAAGACAUUAUAAGCCUUUCAACAGUUAUUUACAACUACUGGCCUAUAAUCCAAAAAUCUCUCGUUGUCCUCCGACUAUGCUCGGGGUCCACUACCUGUAACAUAAAAAGCUGAGUGGGUCAGGCUUGGGAGCCUGGUGAGCAUAUAGGGUUUUCAACCCACAAUAAUAAUAAACUUACUAAGUUCAUCGAUCAACAAUAACCCUGAUUACCCGUUCCCGUUAUCCUCACUUUACGUCCCUAAACACUUAUCACAAGGGACCUAGCCUAAAGAAUAUCAUCAGGAUGGACACUACUGCUAAGGGGUUUCCUCAGCCAUACAUGUCCUAAAGGCAACCAUGAGGGGGAUGGAGUACAGCGAAUGAACACUCUCAGUUCAUUAACACCUACAGGUUGCGGACCUGCGAAUGUUUCCCACUAAACUGUCUAGAAAGUCCAUGGUCAUCAUCCAAACUCCGCUAGAUGACUGGAUCUCAAAACACAUUGAGGCCUAUCAUCAAUUUUAUUUUAUCACACAUCACUAUCUACCCAUGUUCUACCCAACAUAUUUGUAGAUAAAAAUACUUAUGUAGUUUAAAACUUGUAUAAAACAUCAACUCAGCAGUUACCUCAAAUAAACAAUUAAUAUAUCUACACAUAGCACGUAUUAUAAGGUAAAUACUUCAUAUUUAUGUGUAAAAUGAAAGUGACUAUACACUCACUUGGUUUGAUGAUAAUCGGGCAAUAAUUCGUUUCCUAAAACGAUCGUUUCUAAUAAAACCGGGAGUUUUAUUGAGAAACCGGGCUUUGCAAAAGUCGGGCUUCGAAACCGAAAAGAUAAAUUUUCCGGGCUUCUCGGGCACUCCGUGGAGUACUCCGGGCUUUACAAUCGAUAUCGGGGCUUUGCGGGAUGUUAAGAUGAAGAAAAUAUGGGUUUAGGGGUUAAAAUUGACAAAUUUUCAAAGUUACCCGGGAGGUCUCGCACCCUUCUAUUUAUAGGGGCGAGGCUUCUAAUCGGACGGUCAGGAAGAAGACACGCCUCGUAGAUCCAAGGGUUCGCAGGGAAGGCUUGCACGAGGGUAGCAUGUGCGAAGGGCUCGGUGUCGGCCUUUGAUUGGACUGCGGUCUACUAGUCCACAUGCGAGGUUCGGAGGCUAGGCAAUGCGAGGCUCGGUCCAGCUGCGAGCUUCGGUUGGGCCUCCCUUUGGUCGAAUCAGAAGAGGACACGGGGCGACACGGGGCAGUCUCGCAUGCGAGGGAAGGCAACACGUCUUGCCAGGUGGCUCGGUGAAUCAGAAGGUUCCGGAUACGUGGCACAUGCGAAGCGAGGACACAUGGCACUUCCGGGUGAAGCUUAUCUAUGCGAAAUUUCUCGAAUUUUGUGCCAAAAUCUUCUAAAAUUCAUAACUUUCGCAUACGGGCUCCAUUUUUGACGUUCUUUAUAUGCACGCGUAGCUAAAAUUACGCUCUACAACUUCCAUUUAGACUUCGUCGGUUAAUUUUGACUUUAAAUUUUAUAUUAUUAUUUUUAACAGACCGGGACAGGAAAUUCGUUAAAAAUUCAUAACUUCUUCAUCCGACAUCCGUUUUUGUCAGACUUUUUACUGUUGUGCUCCUAAUGACGAGACCUUCAAUUCUAGUUUAGGUUGUGUCGGCUAAAAAUCGCUCGAUCUAAAUUUCGAGUUUUUAGCUGUCUACUGCUAAGAUGAAACUUCGAAAAAUCAUAACUUCCUCAUAUGAAGUCAGAUUUGGGCGUUCUUUUUAUCGAACUUCUCAGUUUGACAAAUACUACGACUUUGUUUUAGAUUACUAAGGCUAAAAAGUAGUUUAUCAAAAACUCACUUUUUACGACAUUCAGCACCAUGUCAGUUUUGUCGCGAAACUUCGACAGGUCAUAACUUCUUCGUUAUAACUUGGAUUUUAGUAUUCUUUAUAUCCUCGAAAUUCUUGUUUCGAGCACUAAAACUUUAUGUAAAGAUAUCAGGCUUAUCUCAUACUUUAAUAUUGACACUUAUUUUAUUCUUAAUUAAAUAAACGCUAAUAAUUAAGCAUAAAACACAUAAUUCACAUAAUAUUCACAUAAUUCCUUUUCAUUUCUUCAAAAUGAGUUACAAAGGUUAACCUAGACUAUCACCUCAAUAUAAAUGCCUAGGCUAGAAACACGAGUGUUACAAUUCUCUCCCCCUUAGGAUGAUUUCGUCCCCGGAAUCACAUAUCACCAAACAACUGCGGGUAGCGACUCAUCAUGUUACUCUCUGUUUCCAAAGUGAGAUUUGGUCCAUUCAUAUGUUUCCAACGCACAAGCACUAAAUCGACCAUCGUGCGUCGCAACUUCAUAGUCUUACGGUUAAUGAUUGCCUCAUGUUCUUCGAUCAACCUCUUAUUUUCAUCUAACCUUAACUCAGAAGUUGGAAUUAUGUCGGGCACAUCUCCCGUGAACUUUCUCAAGUAACACACAUGAAAGGUGUUAUGAAUACCCUCCAGUUCUUCCGGUAACUCUAGCUUGUAAGCUUGAUUCCCGAUCCUCUGAAGAACUUUAAAUGGUCCAAUAAACCUUGGACUCAACUUCCCUCUCUUACCAAAUCUUAUAAGUCCCUUCCACGGCGAGACUUUAAGUAAAACCGAAUCUCCAACAUCGAAGGAUAUCGGUUGUCUUUUCUUGUCAGCAUAACUCUUUUGUCGAUCUUGAGCAGCUAACAUCCUUUCCCUUAUCACUUUCAACUUUUCAGCAGUCUCAUGGACUAUUUCAGGUCCCAUAAACUGCUUUUCCCCAGCUUCCAGCCAACAUGAUGGCGUUCGACACUUUUCCCCAUACAAAGCGUGAUAAGGUGCCAUCUUAAUGCUUGAGUGGAAACUAUUAUUAUAGGAGAAUUCUACUAGAGGUAAGUGUUCAUCCCAGUUACCUUGGAAUUCUAGGGUACAUGCUCUCAGCAUAUCCUCCAAUGUUUGAAUUGUUCGUUUGCUAUGACCAUCGAUUUGUGGAUGAUAAGCUAUACUUAAACACAACUUGGUGCCCAAUUCCUCUUGUAGACUCCUCCAAAACCUUGAGGUAAAAUGGCUGUCACGAUCGGAUACAAUUGUUAGCGGAACACCGUGAAGCCUCACAAGUUCCUUCACGUAAGAAUUCGCAGGUUUAUCCAUAGACCAUUUCUCUUUGGCUGCUAUAAAAUGCAAACUCUUAGUGAAGCGAUCAACGACCACCCAAAUCAUGUCGUGACUGUUCCUUGUUCUGGGCAGUUUAGUCACAAAAUCCAUGGUGACGUCUUCCCAUUUACCCAUGGGUACGGGUAAAGGUUCUAAACUCCCAUACGGUUUCUGAUGUUGUGCCUUAACCCUAGCACAAGUUACACACUCGGCCACAUACUUAGCAACAUCGAGCUUCAUCGUCGGCCACUAAUAAUAGGGUUUUAGAUCCCUAUACAUUUUUGUACUGCCGAGAUGAAUCGAGUACAUGGUCUUGUGAGCUUCUUUCAUCAAAAGAUCUCUUACUCCGCCUGUCUUAGGUACCCAAAUCGUAUCUUGGAAUACCCUCAACCCUUGGUUGUUUGUACUGAAUACUAAAGUUUUGCCCAAGCGUUCUUCCUUUCGGUCAUUUGUCUCUAAAUCUCCCUCUUGAGCUUUCUUUAUACUUUCCACAAUUGUCAAGACAACUUCAAUUCUCAACGCUCUUGGCCUUUUCUUUUCAAGGUUUACCUUCCGACUGAGAGCAUCAGCAACAACAUUUGCUUUACCAGGGUGGUAAAGUAUCUCACAGUCGUAGUCCUUGAGUAACUCUAGCCAGCGUCGUUGCCUCAUGUUCAAUUCCUUCUGAUUAAAGAGAUAUUGGAGACUCUUAUGAUCAGUGAAAAGUUUACACUUUGUGCCAUAAAGAUAAUGCCUCCAUAUCUUUAGGGCGAAUACUACCGCUGCCAACUCCAAAUCGUGAGUGGGGUAGUUCUUUUCAUGCUCCUUCAAUUGCCUCGAUGCAUACGCUAUCACUUUAUCCCUUUGGGUCAGAACACAACCUAACCCAACUCCAGAUGCAUCGCUAUAAACUGCGAAGUCAUCAACUCCUUCAGGCAAUGAAAGAAUCGGUGCUUCACACAAUCUCUUCUUCAACUUCUCAAAGGCUUCCUUAUGCUUCUCAUUCCAAGCAUAAGUGGCUCCUUUGUGGGUCAAAGCUGUUAAUGGAGUAGCAAUCGAAGAAAAGCCUUGGAUAAACCUUCGGUAAUAUCCAGCUAAUCCUAAAAAGCUUCGAAUCUCCGUAGGACUUUUUGGUUGUUCCCACUUCAUUACAGCUUCAAUCUUUGCUGGGUCAACCAUUAUUCCUUCUUGGUUAACCACAUGACCUAAAAAUUGGACUUCUUGAAUCCAAAAUUCACACUUGGAGAACUUUGCAUACAACUUCUCCUUUUUCAGGACUUCUAGCACUUCACGCAGAUGCUUUUCAUGCUCCUGCUUGCUUUUCGAAUAAAUCAAGAUAUCAUCUAUGAAUACUAUCACGGAUUUAUCUAAGAAUGGUUUACAAACCCUAUUCAUCAAAUCCAUGAAAGCUGCUGGGGCAUUGGUUAGUCCGAACGACAUAACCAAAAAUUCAUAGUGUCCAUAUCUUGUUCUAAACGCAGUCUUUUCGAUAUCCUGCUCUCUCACCUUUAGUUGAUGGUAUCCCAACCUAAGAUCGAUCUUCGAGAAAUAGUUCGAACCUUGUAACUGGUCGAACAAGUCAUCGAUCCUUGGCAACGGGUACUUGUUCUUUAUCGUCACUUUGUUUAGCUCUUUGUAAUCGAUGCACAUUCUAAUGCUUCCGUCUUUCUUCUUUACAAAUAACAUAGGGGCUCCCCAGGGCAAUGAACUAGGUCGAAUGAAACCUUUGUCCAAUAACUCCUGAAGUUGUGUCAUAAGUUCUUUCAUUUUUGUUGGUNCUUUCAUUUCGGUUGGCGCUAAUCGAUAAGGUGCUUUCGCUAUCGGCGUCGUUCCUGGUAACAAGUCGAUACGAAAUUCUACUUGUCGAUCAGGGGGCAAUCCGGGAAGAUCUUCGGGAAAGACUUCCGGAUAAUCACACACCACUGGAAUAUUCUGCACCUCCUUCUUUUCCAUCUUAGCAUCGAUCACGAACGCUAGAUAUGAUGUACAUCCCUUGGCCAAACACUUUCUGGCUUUCAUUAGGGAAAUGAUUCCAGAGUUUACUCUGCGUUUGUCUCCGUACACCAUAAACGACUCUUUCCCUGGCGGGUUUACUUUUACUAUCUUCUUUCUACAUAGUAUUUCUGCAUCGUUGGCGCUAAGCCAAUCCAUUCCUAAAACUAUGUCGAAUCCAUUUAACUCGAUAGGCAAUAAUUCCUCUUGGAACUUAUUCCCAUCCAAGUCAAUGAGGAUGUUUUUCAUACGAUGGCUAACAGGUACAAACUUGCCACUAGCAAUCUCGACUAAUAAGGCAUUAACUAGCCUAUCUACGGGAAAAGCUAGCUUUCUACCAAAUUCAUGCGAUAUAAAGGAGUAAUUGGCUCCAGAAUCAAACAAAAUUUGGGCAGGCAAUUCGUUUACGAGAAAGGUACCUGAAGCGACAUCGACUUCUUCUUUUGCAGCUUCAACUGUCAUCUGAAAGGCUCUCGCCUUCGGCUUUGGUGGUAGAUUCGGCUUUGCGGCAUCCUUCCUCUUUGGACAGUCUUUAAGAACAUGCCCUACUUCGUGGCACUCAAAACAUACCCUCUUGUCGGACAGACACUGUAACACCGUAAAUUUCAAAAAUAAUUUUUCGCAUUUUUAUAAUAACAUAAUUCAUUUAAUAUUCAUAAAAACACCCAUGUUUUAAAUACAAUUCAUGUCAUACAAAAAUCCCAAGAUCUCAUAACAUAAAAUCUCGUGUGUGUGUACUGAUCAAGCCAGCGCCUUCCCACGGUCGUCACUAGUACCUGAAACAAAUAACACCAAAACACUGUAAGCACAAAGCUUAGCGAGUUCCCCAAAAUAUCACAUAUAACACAUAUUAGCCACUCGAGGCUAUAACUCUAUGGGUCGUACCCCGAAACUCUGUGAACCCUCAGGUUAUAACUCUGUAGACAUGCACAACAUAAAUCACAUAGAAUAAUGCAGCGCAACACAUAACACACGCAUAGCAUACAAGCAUUGUAUCACAUAACUCUAGUUGCCUACUCAAGGUAAAGUAUAGUGAGAAGACCCACCUCGUGUAUCUCGAUAACCCGCAAAUCCCUAAAAUCACUUGUGCUCGUUCCUCCGCACUAUAAUCUUCCUAUAAUACAAGACUAAUCCUAUCAAGUCAACAUUGGUCAACUCUAAUCAACGGUCAACUUUGACCGGACUCGACGAGUGCACCAAAGCAACUUGGCGAGUCUAACGCAUUCACUGACUCCCUCGGAUCUUUCUUGGCACGUCAAGCACUCCCCUAACUCGACGAGUUUCCACCUGGCUUGAAUCGCACGAUAACCACGACUCAACUCGCCGAGUCUCAAGAACAACUCGGCGAGUUCUGGCUUGACUCAACCCUAUAUUAACUCUUCCUGACUCACUGGGUUAUCCCCCAACCCGACGAGUCCACUCACUGAACAUAUUACAUGAAACCCCAACCCUACUCUUCGAGUCCCAAGAACAACUCGGCGAGUUCAUGCCAUGCACACACUUUUAUUGACCUUCUGAGGUCAGAUCUGCUUUCCCAAACCCUAGAUCUAUCCUUCCCAAGCAUGAAUGUCACGUAAAGUUCGAAGCUUGAUGCUUGUUUAACCCCCACAAGGCAUCAAAAGGAUAUUUUGUCCCAAAAAUAACCACCUAGGUCCAAAGACUCCAUAAUCACCCAAAAAGCUCCAAUGGUUAAGGUCUCUGGACCUCUUUGAGUCCAGAUCCAAGGCACAAACUCGAAAAAGGACUAUUUGCUUCACAUAAUCACUCUGCAAAAGGGGUAUAAAACCCUAACUCUAAAGAUCAUCCCUAUAACUGAAGGAGAUUCGAACCCUUACCUCAAAAUGAAGCCUCUGGAAUACAAAGGCCCAAAAGUGACUUCCUCUUGCCACCCUCCUCUUGCUAAAGAAGGAAUACAAAGGCCCAAAAGUGACUUCCUCUUUCCCAAAAUGAACUAGCUCUCUUAGGGUUCUCUCAAGGGACUAGUAGCCGCAAAUAGGAGGCUAUAAGUGCCUUUAAAUAGGCUCCAAACCCGGGGAAUUAGGGUUUCAUUAAACAGCGUCAACUCGCUGAGUCCAGACGCGAAUCCUUGCCCAAAUCGCGAUCCUACUCGACGAGUUUGAGCUCCAACUCGCCGAGUCUCCUCACAAAAUACUAAAAAUAUAAAAAUGAAUAAUACCUGGGAAUCCGGGCUGUUACAAUUCUCCCCCACUAGAACUAGACUUCGCCCUCGAAGUCUCGCUCUGCAAAUAGCUCCGGAUGCUGCUCGCGCAUCUCACCCUCCGGCUCCCAAGUCAUAUCGGAUCCCUUCCGAUGCUGCCACUGGACCAAAACCAAGGGUACCUCCUUGUUCCUCAGAACCUUGAUUUUCCGAUCUUUGAUUGCCACUGGUCUCUCAGCAUAAUUCAGGCUCGCAUCCACCUGAAUAUCCUCUAAUGGAACCACUACCGACUCGUCGGCUAUACAUUUCCGCAAUUGCGAAACAUGGAAAGUGUCGUGAAUCUGCCCCAACUCUGCUGGCAAUUCCAAUCGAUAGGUUACCCUGCCUAUCCUCGCGAUCACCCGAAAUGCACCAAUAUAUCGGGGCCCCAACUUGCCCCUCUUCCUGAAUCGAAUCACUCCUUUCCAAGGAGAGACCUUCAGGAGCACAAAGUCGCCGACUUGAAACUCAAGCGCAGACCGGCGUCUGUCCGCAUAGCUCUUCUGUCGACUCUGAGCGGUCAAUAACCUCUGUCUAACCUGCUGGAUCUGCUCUGUUGUCUGAAGUAUGAUCUCAGUGUUGCCCAUAACAUGCUGUCCGACUUCUCCCCAGCAAAUGGGCGUCCGACACCUCCUCCCAUACAACAGCUCAAAGGGUGGCAUACCAAUGCUCGAAUGAUGGUUGUUGUUGUAAGAAAACUCUGCUAAGGGCAAGUACGUAUCCCAACUUCCCCCGAAAUCCAAUACACAUUCCCGGAGCAUGUCCUCGAGUGUCUGAAUCGUCCGCUCACUCUGUGCUUCUGUCUGGGGGUGAUAUGCGGUACUAAAAUGCAGCCUAGUACCCAGCUCCUCAUGAAACUUCUUCCAUAAUCUGGAAGUGAAACGUACAUCUCGGUCUGAGACAAUCGAGAUCGGCACCCCAUGCCGAGAUACCACUUCCCUCACGUACAUCUCUGCUAACUUUUCUGCGGAGGAGCUCUCACUAAUAGCAAGGAAGUGAGCGCUCUUCGUCAAUCUGUCCACAAUCACCCAAAUUGCAUCAACUCCCCUCGCAGUCCUUGGCAACUUGGUGAUAAAAUCCAUGGUAAUCUGUUCCCACUUCCAUUCGGGAACCUCCAACGACUGCAACCUACCAUGCGGUCUCUGGUGCUCGGCCUUAACCCUNUCCAACGGCUGCAACUUACCGUGCGGUCUCUGGUGCUCGGCCUUAACCCUACAACAGGUUAAGCACCUCUCAGCAAACCACGUAACAUCCCUCUUCAUACAGGGCCACCAAUAUUACUUUCUCAGGUCCAAAUACAUCUUAGUGGCCCCAGGAUGGAUCGAUAAUUUCGACCGAUGAGCCUCUUCCAUCAAGAUGGUAUGUGUCCCUCCCACAAACGGUACCCAAAUCCGCCCCUGAAAUGUCAUAAGUCCCCGACCAUCGGUAACAAACUCCGAUACUAAUCCUACAACUUGCUCUUUCUUCUGGUUCUCUGAUCUCGCUGCCUCAGCCUGUGCUCCACGAAUGUUGUCCAACACCGGAGCCAUCACGGUCAAACGCAAACAGACACCUCACAACGGGGCGCUCUUCGCCCUGCGACUCAGGGCGUCGGCUACCACAUUAGCCUUGCCCGGAUGGUACAGGAUCCCAACUUCCCCCGAAAUCCAAUACACAUCCCCGGAGCAUGUCCUCAAGUGUCUGAAUCGUCCACUCACUCUGUCCGUCUGUCUGGGGGUGAUAUGCGGUACUAAAAUGCAGCCUAGUACCCAGCUCCUCAUGAAACUUCUUCCAGAAUCUGGAAGUGAAACGUACAUCCCGGGCUGAGACAAUCGAGAUUGGCACCCCAUUCCGAGAUACCACUUCCCUGACGUACAUCUCUGCUAACGUUUCUGCGGAGGAGCUCUCACUAAUAGCAAGGAAGUGAGCGCUCUUCGUCAAUCUGUCUACAAUCACCCAAAUUGCAUCGACUCCCCUCGCAGUCCUUGGCAACUUGGUGACAAAAUCCAUGGUAAUCUGUUCCCACUUCCAUUCGGGAUCCUCCAACGGCUGCAACCUACCAUGCGGUCUCUGGUGCUCGGCCUUAACCCUACGACAUGUUAAGCACCUCUCAACAAACCACGCAACAUCCCUCUUCAUACAGGGCCACCAAUACUCCUUCCUCAGAUCCAAAUACAUCUUAGUGGCCCCGGGAUGGAUCGAUAAUUUCGACCGAUAAGCCUCUUCCAUUAAGAUGGUACGUGUCCCUCCCACAAACGGUACCCAAAUCCGCCCCUGAAAUGUCAUAAGUCCCCGACCAUCGCUAACAAACUCCGAUACUAAUCCUACAACUCGCUCUUUCUUCUGGUUCUCUAAUCUUGCUGCCUCAGCCUGUGCUCCACGAAUGGUGUCCAACACCAGAGCCAUCACUGUCAAACGCAAACAGACACCUCGCAACGGGGCGCUCUUCGCCCUGCGACUCAAGGCGUCGGCUACCACAUUAGCCUUGCCCGGAUGGUACAGGAUCUCACAAUCAUAAUCCUUAACCACAUCUAACCACCUCCUCUGCCGCAUAUUUAGGUUGGGCUGAUACAUCAAAUACUUCAGACUCUUAUGGUCCGCCUAUAUUGUACAUCGAACCCCAUACAGAUAGUGAUGCCAAAUCUUGAGAGCAAACACCACUGCCCCUAACUCUAGGUCAUGGGUGAGAUACCUAAUCUCAUGUGGCUUCAGCUGCCUCGAUGCGUAUGCUAUUACAUGCCCUCUCUGCAUCAGCACCGCUCCCAUCCCCAGGAUCGAUGCAUCACAGUAUACCACAAAGUCCUCCAUUCCCUCCGGGAGGGCUAACACCGGGGCCUCGCAUAACCUUUGGCGAAGCGUCUCAAAGGAGGCCUGCUGCUCGAGGCCCCAUGAAAAAGCUACACCCUUCCGGGUCAAUCUGGUGAGUGGUACUGCGAUCUUAGAGAAAUCCUUGAUAAAUCUACGACAAUAACCGGCCAACCCUAGAAAACUCCUGAUCUCGGAGGGUGACCUCGGCACCUCCCAUCUCAUCACUGCCUCAACUUUGUCCGGGUCGACCAAUAUCCCUUUCUGGUUAACGAGAUGUCCCAGGAACUGGACCUCUCGCAACCAGAAAUCACACUUGGAGAAUUUGGCAUAAAGCCUCUCCAAUCUCAGAACUCCGAGGAUCUCCCUCAAAUGCUCCUCAUGCUGCUCCCUAGAUCUCGAAUAUACCAAGAUGUCAUCGAUGAAUACAAUCACUGACCGAUCCAGCAUCAGCCUACACACUCUGUUCAUGAGAUCCAUGAACACUGUCGGGGCAUUGGUGAGCCCGAAAGUCAUCACCACAAACUCGUAAUGCCCAUAACGUGUCCUGAAUGUUGUCUUCUGGAUGUCCUCAUCUCGCACCCUCACCUAAUGGUAUCCAGACCUCAAAUCGAUCUUGGAGACCCAAGAUGCUCCCUAUAACUGAUCGAACAAAUCGUCGAUCCUCGGCAACGGGUCACGGUUCUUGACCGUCAGGUUUUUCAANACGAUAAUCAAUGCACAUCCGGUGUGAACCAUCCUUUUUCUUGACAAAAAGGAUAGGCGCUCCCCACGGUGAGCUGCUCGGCCGAAUAAACCCCUUUCCCAACAGCUCCUGAAGCUGUGAGGACAACUCUUGCAUCUCUGAAGGUACAAGGUGAUAAGGCACCUUGACAAUAGGCGCGGCUCCCGGAACCAAGUCGAUACUGAACUCCACUUGCCUCUCAGGAGGCACACCCGACAACUCCUCAGGAAAGACAUAUGGGGACUCACGCACUAUCAGAACCUCAUCCACUGACCUCGGUCUCUCGGAAUUAACCCGCGUAUCCAUAACGUAUGCCACAAAACCCUUACAGCCCUGUUGUAGACACUGCGUCACCCUAGCUGCUGAACAAAACCCCGAUCUAGAACGUGUACCCUCGCCGUACACCGUAAGAACUCCCCCACUAGGGUCUCGUAUGGUCACCAGUUGUCGCUUGCAGUUGAUAACCGCACCGAAUUUGCUCAACCUGUCCAUGCCCACAAUGACACAGACAUCACCCAUCGCAAUAGGAACCAAAUCAAUCAGGAACUCAACACCGAAAAUCUCGAGUAUGCACCCGCAGAUCACCUCUGUGGCAUAUAUCACCCUCUCUUCAGUUAUGGAAACUCUCAGAGGCCGACUCAGCGCUGCGCGACUAGCACUAAUAUGCUGACUAAAAGCCAAAGAUACAAAAGACCGACUCGCACCUGAGUCAAAUAACACCAAGGCAGGUACAGAAUUCACAAGAAAAGUACCUACACAUAACAUAAUAUAAGCAUAAUAUCUCAAUUAUCAAAAUAAAUACACGAAAGAAUACAUACCAGCCACGACAUUGGGCGCUGCGCGGACCUCCUCCGCGGUUAACUGAAAGACUCUCCCUCGUGCCCUCGGUGCCUCGGCCUUCACUGGCCUACUAUCGGUAGCUCUGAUGGUGGCAGGGGCAGAUCCCUGAGGUGCUCCCUGAGAUGAUCCUCGCAAUUACGGACACUCUGCCUUNGCAGUCCUUGGCCAUAUGCCCCUCCUUGCCACAUUUUUAGCAAGAUCCAGCUCUACAUACUCCAUCAUGACCCUUGCCGCACUUUCCACAAGUGCGGCCCUUCUGGCUCCCAGAUUUAGGAUCAGCGGGCUUGGCCCGCUAGUCGCCGAUCCCUCACCUGAGACUCCGCCUCCUCCCUGGCCUGAGUCUCUAGCUCAAUCUCCCUCUUCCGGGAAUUUUCCUGAAGCUCGGCAAAUGUUCGGUACGAGGAGUUCGCCACGAACUCCUGAAUGUCUCGCCUCAAAAUACUCAAAUAUCGGCUCAUGCGUGCCUGCUCUGUGGACACGUGCUCAGGGCAGAACAUCGCCCUCUCGUGGAACAUCCUGGUAAUCACUGUAACAGACUCAGUACCCUGCUUGAGGGUUAGAAACUCUUGGGCCAAAUGCUCCCUCUCCACCUGGGGAACAUACUCAUCUCAGAACAUGGCAGUGAACCUUUCCCAGGUCACUGCUGCAAGCUCAGCAGGUGAAAAGUGCACUGUCACAAACUUCCACCAGUCCUUCGCUCCCAAGCGAAGCUGGUUCAGCGCGAACCGGACUCUCAAAUGCUCAGGAGAUGAGCAAGUGAAGAAACACCCAUCCAUGUCUAAAAUCCACCUCAUAGCCGCCACUGGGUCCUGGGUCCCAUCAAACUCUGGCGGUUUCGUGUUGCUGAACUCCCAGAAUAGCAACGCAUCACCACCCUGUGGCCUCGCAGCAGCAACAGCUGAAGUGGCCGCCGCAACAACAGCCUCAGAAAGAGCAGCAUAACACUCAUCGAAAGUCUCAAUCAGCAUGGUCUUAAUAGACCCGAACAUCUUUGGUAUCUCUGCCUUGAUGGCCGCAGGCACCUCCUCGUGGAUGAUCCGGCGGAUCUGCUCAUCACUAGCCCCACUGCUCUCUGGCAUAAGACGUGACCUCACCAUGAUCUACCUUUGAAAUACAACAUCCAUUCGAGCAUACUCACACUCGAUAACUCUUCCCUCCUUGAUCCUUGGCAUUCCGAAGGUUCUUACUUGAACUGUACACCGCCCCAGUGCUUUCAGUAGUACGGGCCCAAUACUACUGUCCACACCGUUUCAGUAUACACCCCAAAUCCUCCUCGUCGGAUCCCAAAUUCCAAGUACUCUAUCACUCUCUAACAUAUCUCUAAUAAGCUCCUCGCUGCUACCUAUUCACUCUCAAGCAUCUCAUAACAGCUCACCUCUCCCUAGGCUAAGGCAUCACAAAUCAGGGCACUCUAGUCCUAAUAGGAAUACCUAGCCUACUCUAGCAAGAGAAUACAUCAUAUCAAUCUCAUAAACAUAUAAUAUAAGGGUAUUUUGGGAAUUCACCGUUCGGGCGCUGACUGAUCGUACAGACGUUUCUACUCUGGGUUUCUCUAAAAUCUUAUACUUCUUUUAGAAAAUUUGGUUCUCUUUUGAAAAUAUUUUCCAAAUCCUCAGUUUGAGUUCAAAUACUCCCGAAGGUGUACCCGAAUCCCUCAAACCAAGGCUCUGAUACCAACUUGUAACACCGUAAAUUUCAAAAAUAAUUUUUUGCAUUUUUAUAAAAACAUAAUUCAUUUAAUAUUCAUAAAAACACCCAUGUUUGAAAUACAAUUCAUGUCAUACAAAAAUCCCAAGAUCUCAUAACAUAGAAUCCCGUGUGUGUGUACUGAUCAAGUCGGCACCUUCCCACGGUCGUCACUGGUACCUGAAACAAAUAACACCAAAACACUGUAAGCACAAAGCUUAGUGAGUUCCCCAAAAUACCACAUAUAACACAUAUUAGCCACUCGAGGCUAUAACUCUAUGGGUCCGUGCACCCGAACUCUAUGAACCCUCAGGUUCUAACUCUGUAAACAUGCACAACAUAAAUCACAUAGAAUAAUGCAGUGUAACACAUAACACAAGCAUAGUAUACAAGCACUGUAUCACAUAACUCUAGUUACCUACUCAAGGUAAAGUAUAGUGAGAAGACUCACCUCGUGUAUCUCGAUAACUCGCAAAUCCCUAGAAUCACUUGUGCUCGUUCCUCCGCACUAUAAUCUUCCUAUAAUACAAUAUAUCUCUAAUUAACACUUUUACAACAAAAGGUUGACUAAUCGUAUCAAGUCAACAUUGGUCAACUCUGGUCAACGGUCAACUUUUACCGGACUCGACGAGUGCACCAAAGCAACUUGGCGAGUCUAACGCAUUCACUGACUCCCUCGGAUCUUUCUUGGCACGUCAAGCACUCCCCUAACUCGACGAGUUUCCACCUGGCUUGAAUCGCACGACAACCACGACUCAACUUGCCGAAUCUCAAGAACAACUCGACAAGUUCCGGCUUGACUCAACCCCAUAUUAACUCUUCAUGACCCACUGGGUUAUCCCCUAACCCAACGAGUCCACUCACUGAACAUAUUACGUGAAACCCCAACCCUACUCUCCGAGUCCCAAGAACAACUCGGCGAGUUCAUGCCAUGCACACACUUUUAUUGACCUUCUGAGGUCAGAUCUGCUUUCCCAAACCCUAGAUCUAUCCUUCCCAAGCAUGAAUGUCACGUAAAGUUCGAAGCUUGAUGCUUGUUUAACCCCCACAAGGCAUCAAAAGGAUAUUUUGUCCCAAAAAUAACCACCUAGGUCCAAAGACUCCAUAAUCACCCAAAAAGCUCCAAUGGUUAAGGUCUCUGGACCUCUUUGAGUCCAGAUCCAAGGCACAAACUCGAAGAGGGACUAUUUGCUUCACAUAAUCACUCUCCAAAAGGGGUAUAAAACCAUAACUCUAAAGAUCAUCCCUAUAACUGAAGGAGAUUCAAACCCUUACCUCAAAAUGAAGCCUCUGGACUUUGGAUUUUCUGUAAUCUCACCUCCUCCUUGCUCUUGCCACCUUCCUCUUGCUAAACAAGGAAUACAAAGGCCCAAAAGUGACUUCCUCUUUCCCAAAACAAACUAGCUCUCUUAGGGUUCUCUCAAGGGACUAGUAGCCAUAAAUGGGAGGAUAUAAGUGCCUUUAAAUAGGCUCCAAAACCGGGGAAUUAGGGUUUCAUUAAACAGCAUGGACUCGCCGAGUCCAGAUGCGAAUCCUUGCCCAAAUCGCGAUCCUACUCGGCGAGUUUGAGCUCUAACUCGCCGAGUCUCCUCACAAAAUACUAAAAAUAUAAAAAUGAAUAAUACCUGGGAAUCUGCGUUGUUACAGACACAUGUUGGCAUAAUGCCCAGCCUUUCCACAAUUGAAGCAAGUCACCUCCUCACCAUAUCUCCCAGAGUGAUUUUUCUUGCACUUCUCACAACAUUUCACUUCACCUCCUCCUCCUCCAAACUUCUUGGACUUAGAACAUUUGCUUUUCUUGUUGGAACCUGAAGUUCCUUCAAAUUUUCUCUUUUCACCAACUUCUGGCCUCUCCAGACCCUUUUCUCCGAUCUGAACCUCGAUAUUCUUAGCAGCCAAGAUGGCGGCUUUCAAAGUGGUUGCUUGCUUAACCAUCGGACCAAAGUCUGCUGGUAAUCCGACGACAAACUUGUUGACCUUAGAGAGUUUAGUUGAAACUAGAUGAGGAACAAGCUUCAUCUUUUCCAUAAAACUAGUAGUAUAUUCAGUAACGCUCAUAUUUCCUUUCUUUAAAUUCUGGAACUCAUUGUUGAUUUCCAGAAGAUCCUGCUUAGAGCAGUACUGCAAUUUCAAUUGUACCACAAAAUCUUCCCAAGACAUCUUACUAGCCUCACCCUUGGGCAUCGAAUCAGCUAGUAACUUCCACCAGCUCAACACACCAGACUUUAACAGAGGGAUUGCAAGUGCGGUCUUUUGUUUGUUGCUGCACUCGCAACUUUCAAACAUCGUCUCCAUUUCGGAGAUCCAAUUCAUGACUUCCACCGGUGUCGGACUCCCAGAUAGACACGACGGUUUAGAUGCCAUGAAAUCUUUGUAUUUGCAUCCGCGUCCAUCAACUCCUCCAUCCUGGUUGUUUUGUCUAACUAUCGGUGGGUUGGCUUGACCAAGAGUCCCACUGUAGUUCCCUCCUACUGAUUGCCCUUCAUUCAAUACGGGCUGUUCAACAGGCAUCGUGGUCUCUUCCCUAUGCUGUUGUAGUAAUCGCCUUGUCUCCUCCAUUUGGAGAUCUAACAUCAUCUGUAUCAUUGCUUGUAUCCCAGCCAUCGUCAUUGGCUCAGGUGCAGCUCCUACAACAGGUACUUGCUCAACUACUUGAGGUUGAGGCUGUUGAUCCCUGUUUCCAUUUGCAUUUGCAGCUCCACUACGAGUUCUGGCCAUUACAAUCUAUAUAACGAAUAAGGCGAAUUUAGGUCUUUAUCCUUGUUAGACAUGUCAAUUCCCUUAUCACUACGAAACGUUUACAUGUAAGUUCUAAUCUCAUAAUCGUACUCUUAGAAUCCUACACACAUAAGGUUUCCAGAUCCGGUCGACAACAGACCAUAGAUCCGAACAAAUAAUGGCACACAUGGCAAACACAUAGCAUAUAUCACAUAAGGGCAAUUUAGGCAUCUUCCCUAACAUAAACUAGUGCUUGUGUCUAAAAUAUGGUAGACACUCAUCUCACAGUCAUCACUUAGCAUUCUAAGUUCAAGUCUAGAAAUUCUACAAUUUCUUAGUUCGCUUAAACUAAUGCUCUGAUACCAACUGUGACAUCCCCUAAUUUCUCGGCCAGAAAAGACCGAUUUAAUUUAUGCUUUUUAAAAUAAAAUCAGAGAAAUCUUUUUAAAAGAUGUUGCGGAAUUGGUCCCCAAACAAAAUAUGAUAAAAGUUUAUCAAAACCCUUCAUUAAGAAGGUAUAUGUUUUCCAUAUAUAUAUCAAAACCUCGGGAUGUCAUGUUCCGAUACAGAUCAAAAGCAUAAACAAGACAUUAUAAGCCUUUCAACAGUUAUUUACAACUACUGGCCUAUAAUCCAAAAAUCUCUCGUUGUCCUCCGACUAUGCUCGGGGUCCACUACCUGUAACAUAAAAAGCUGAGUGGGUCAGGCUUGGGAGCCUGGUGAGCAUAUAGGGUUUUCAACCCACAAUAAUAAUAAACUUACUAAGUUCAUCAAUCAACAAUAACCCUGAUUACCCGUUCCCGUUAUCCUCACUUUAUGUCCCUAAACACUUAUCACAAGGGACCUAGCCUAAAGAAUAUCAUCGGGAUGGACACUACUGCUAAGGGGUUUCCUCAGCCAUACAUGUCCUAAAGGCAACCAUGAGGGGGAUGGAGUACAGCGAAUGAACACUCUCAGUUCAUUAACACCUACAGGUUGCAGACCUGCUAAUGUUUCCCAUUGGACUGUCUAGAAAGUCCGUGGUUGUCAUCCAAACUCCGCUAGAUGACUGGAUCUCAAAACAUAUCGAGGCCUCUCAUCAAUUUUAUUUUAUCACACAUCACUAUCUACCCAUGUUCUACCCAACAUAUUUGUAGAUAAAAAUACUUAUAUAGUUUAAAACUUGUAUAAAACAUCAACUCAACAGUUACCUCAAAUAAACAAUUAAUAUAUCUACACAUAACACGUAUUAUAAGGUAAAUACUUCAUAUCUAUGUGUAAAAUGAAAGUGACUAUACACUCACUUGGUUUGAUGAUAAUCGGGCAGCAAUUCGUUUCCUAAAACGAUCGUUUCUAAUAAAACCGGGAGUUUUAUUGAGAAACCGGGCUUUGCAAAAGUCAGGCUUCGAAACCGAAAAGAUAAAUUUUCCGGGCUUCUCGGGCACUUCGUGGAGUAUUCCGGGCUUUACAAUCGAUACCGUGGCUUUGCGAGAUGUUAAGAUGAAGAAAAUAUUAUUUUUGGGGUUAAAAUUGACAAAUUUUCAAAGUUACCCGGGAGGUCUCGCACCCUUCUAUUUAUAGGGGCGAGGCUUCUGAUCGGACGGUCAGGAAGAAGACACGCGUCGCAGAUCCAAGGGUUCGCAGGGAAGGCUCGUACAAGGGUAGCAUGUGCGAAGGGCUCGGUGUGGGCCUCUGAUUGGACUGCGGUCUACUGGUCCACAUGCGAGGUUCGGAGGCUAGGCGGUGCGAGGCUCGGUCCAGCUGCGAGCUUCGGAUUGGGCAUCCCUUUGGUCGAAUCAGAAGAGGACACAGGGCGACACGGGGCAGUCUCGCAUGCGAGGGAAGGCAACACGUCUUUCCAGGUGGCUCGGUGACACAUCAGGUUCCAGAUACGUGGCACAUGCGAUGCGAGGACACGUGGCACUUCCGGGUUAAGCUUAUCUAUGCGAAAUUUCUCGAAUUUUGUGCCAAAAUCUUCUAAAAUUCAUAACUUUCGCAUACGGGCUCCAUUUUUGACGUUCUUUAUAUGCACGCGUAGCUAAAAUUACGCUCUACAGCUUCUAUUUAGACUUCGUUGGCUAAUUUUGACUUAAAAUUUUGAUAUUCUUAUUUUUAACAGACCGGGACAGGAAAUCCGUUAAAAAUUCAUAACUUCUUCAUCCGACAUCCGUUUUUGUCAGACUUUUUACCGUUGUGCUCCUGCUCCUAAUGAAGAGACCUUCAAUUCUCAUUUAGGUUGUGCUGGCUAAAAAUCGUUGAUCUAAAAUUCAAGUUUUUAGCUGUCUACUGCUUAGCUGAAACUUCGAAAAAUCAUAACUUCCUCAUACGAAGUCAGAUUUGGGCGUUCUUUUUAUCGAACUUCUAGGUUUGACAAAUACUACGACUUUUGUUUAGAUUACUAAGGCUAAAAAGUAGUUUAUCAAAAACUCACUUUUUACGACAUUCAACACCGUGUCGGUUUUGUCGCGAAACUUCGACAGGUCAUAACUUCUUCGUUAUAACUCGGAUUUUGGUAUUCUUUAUAUCCCCGAAAUCCUUGUUUCGAGCACUACAACUUUAUGUAAAGAUAUCAGGAUUAUCUCAUACUUUAAUUUUGACGCUUAUUUUAUUCUUAAUUAAAUAAAUGUUAAUAAUUAAGCAUAAAACACCUAAUUAACAUAAUAUUCACAUAAUUCCUUUUCAUUUCUUCAAAAUGAGUUACAAAGGUUAACCUAGACUAUCACCUCAAUAUAAAUUCCUAGGCUAGAAAGAUGAGUGUUACAGGAUUCAUCCAACAUUUCAAGUGUUCUAGGCUCCAAUUUCUCACCCCACCUCUUCAACCACACUUUCUCCUACCCAAGGUGAGCUUCAAAUCCCUCUUUUGAGUUUCAUUGUUUUUGGGGGAUGAUACAAGUCAAGGGUCUUGUGAAAUCAUUGCAUAUUUGCUUGUCUAUAAUUGUAUGUUGUGAUGUAUGUGUGUUAAUAUCAUGAAACUCCUUAUAGAAGUCCACAAUUCGAGAUUUUACAACAUCUAUGAACUUCUCUUGAUGAUUUAGUAUACGAGACCAUGAAUCAAAAACACUAACAUGCAAAUGGGGGUUUUUAUAAAGACUUUCAUAAUUAGCUCUAAAACCAAUAAUAUCUGUUUCCAUAAGCAAUACAAUAUCACUGUAUAUAUUUAUUUCAAUGUUAUUUAAAAUAAAAAGUUAUAAUUAUAAUUAUAAAAAUAAAAAAUUAUAUUAAAUAAUUACCCUGGAUUUCCUUGAAGAUUGAGAAGCCAUUCACAAACAACAUUUUCUACUUGUGUCAAACUAGGUUUAAAAUCUAUUAACCUUUCCUUAAAUGUUGACUUAUAAACAUAAGAAAUCUUCAUUUGUUUCUUUCCUUUGACAUCCACUACUGAUGUUGCUUCUUCAUUUAUAUCUUUAGGUUUGCCUGAAACAAGUUUUGAUGGUCCUUCUAAUGUACCCAAAGGGGGUGCAAAAGAAACUGGACUAGCAUCAAUAACAUCAACAUUUGGAAUAAUACACUCUAGACCAGCACUUGGUGUGCUUUUCCCAAAAUAACUAUAUCCUUAAUCUUUUUCUUUGUCAUCUGUUCAGAAGAAAUUUGAGUUUGAGAUGACUUCUUGGAACCUUCAGAAUCUUCACUAAAUCCAAGACUAAAACUUGGAACAAUAUCAUUUUUCAAUGAUCGAGUCUCAUUUGAAUCCUUCUUUUUAUUUGAACAAUCUUCAACAUUUUCUACCCAAUAAAAUUAUAAAAAUCAUAUGUGAAUAAACAAUAAUUAUAAACACAAUUAUAUAUAAAUAAAAAAUAAUUAUAAACAAAUUACCUCCAUCUUUAUUUUUAUUUGAACAAUCUUCAACAUCUCCACCUUCUCCAUCCUUCUUUACUACAAUAACUGUAUCAACAGUAUGAUCUGAAAUUAUUUUAUUCUUAUGAUCAUCCUCACCCAAAUUUACAGUCGCUAAAUUAUUAAAAUCAUAAAUGAAUCAUGUAUAUAACACAUACACACACACACACACACAUAUAUAUAUAUAAUGUAUUAAAAAUACAUAAAUAAAUACUUACCAUCAUCAACAUCAGUCAAAUUUAAAUUCACAUCAUCUUCAACUAGUUUCUGAUUUAGACAACCAUUAGUACCUAUAAAAUUCAAAUAUAAAAAAUUAAAACAUAGAUGAUUAAACUAUAUAUAUAAUAAUAAAAUAUGCCUACCUUAAUCCAAAGUUUUAAGAAAACUUUCAACAACUGGAUCGCUAAUAAAUUGACUAAAAGAUUCACCUUCUUGGCUAUCAAUUAGACCCACACUCUUAGUAACAUUUUCGACAACAGAAUUUAAAUUCAUGGCCUCUUCGUUAUUACAUCCACUUCCAUUUCCUUGUUCAUCAUCUUCAUCAUCAUCACCUUUACCUUCAACAUGAUUUUUACGAAUAUUUCCCUCAUGUGAACCACUUCCAUUCCCCUGACCACUAAAACAUUUCCCUUGAUCAUAAUCUUCAACAUUUUCAUCAUCAUUAAGAAAAUCAUUCCCAUAAUCUUCAUCAUUAACUUGAACAAAACCAGGUGUUAAUAUCGGUUCUUUCUAUUUUUGUGAAACAUAAUGGAAAACAAAACUUUUUGUGCUUAAAUCUUCAACAAGAAAUAAUAAUUUCGAAUUUUUCAAAUUUUGACUUUGAGGAAACUUCAACACUCCCUCAACUAUCUUUACAACAAAAUCCUUUUUCAAAUCCUCCAUCUUCUGAUACAUAUAUGAAAUUUUACUUUCAUACACCUACAUAAGAAUAAAGAUACUUACAACUAAAAUACUUAAACAUAAAAAGUCAUAAAUGAAUAAACUAAUUAAAUCAUAAAUGAAUAAAACUAUAGAAUUACCUCCACAUCACUAACUUUAUUAACUUCAAAAUCUUCUUCAUCCUCAUCACAUAAAUCCUCUUUGCCGUCAGAUUCAACCUCAUCACCACCAGAUUCCUCCUCAUUAUACUCAAAUUCUUGAAAUUCUUCUUCAACAUAUGCUUCAUUAACAUGUUCACAUCCAAAUCCUCCACUCUCUUCAAAAAUAUCUUCAAGAAACCUUAUCUUCUCUGACAUCCAAUUAAGAAAACAGUUGGACGUUUAUGUGUGAUUUGCAAAUGAUCAAACUUGAAAGUAUCCACAUACAACAACUGCAAAAACAUAUAUAUCAUCAUAACAUAUAUAACAUCAUAUACGAUUUUGAUGUGUAAUAUAUAAUUAAACAAAAAUUAUACAACAUAAUCAUAUGUAGUAAAAUCAUAUAUGAUUUAUUACAAAAACAAACAUAUUUUUACAACUAAAAAGAAUAAUUAAUAUCAAAAAAUAGCUCACGUACCAUAAGGUAUGUUGUUGUUCCAUAAAAGAAAGAAGAUUAUUUCUCUGGAUUGUAAACCUUCUUCAUCCUUACAAAAUAAUCCACAAUGUAAUCGCACCAGUCAAUGCUACUUAAAUCAGUAUCUCUUCUGAUUAAAUACAAUGGAUUCAGAUUACAUUUACCCAUGCUUGUAGACUCACCGAAAGUAUUAAUAAAAAGAACCAAAAAAUUGAUUAUGUAGUUGUCAUCUGUAGCCCUAGUUUGAACAAGUUGAUUCUUUAGUUGUUUCAAUCUCAAUUUAUCAAUAUUCUCAUAUUGUUUCUUCCACUCAAACACACAACUCUCUUCAUUAUUCUCCGAAAUGUAAUCCAUGUUUGAAAGUAAUGAGCCACCAGAUGGUAAUCCUAGCAUCUCUUGAAUAGACUUACUAUCAACACUAUCUUCACAAUUAUCAAACUCCACCUUCAAAGAUUCAAAAUUAAAACGGUCAAGAACAUAAUAAACAAUCUUCAACGGUACGUCAAUCAUCUCCAUACCUAAGAUACUCCCAAUCCCAUAGCCCUAACACAAUCCUUCUGCUCUCUAUUUAAACCUUGAAUAACACCCAACAAUGACCCGGGUGAACAUCUAUUCUUUAGUGAAGGAAAUUCUUUUAUAACAGCAACUUUUUUUUAUCUUUCUUCAAAACUUUAGUUUCUCUCUUUGGUUUCUUUGAAGAUCCAGGACGACUCUGAAAAUCUAAAUCAUCUUUAUCGGAUAGUUCACGUUUCUUACUUACAGGUUUGACCUUAACCCCCAGUUCACUUUUAGUUGUUCAAUAACUGUUUUUUUGGAUGUCUUUGAACGUGUUUGCAACACCUCAUUCGCUUUUUCUCUUUUGGAAGAUGAUCGUGUCUUCCUUGAGCUAUCCACAUUCCCUUUUUAACUACAAUUUUCAUUACAAACAUAGUGUUAUUAAAAAAUAAAACAUAUAUUUAUCAUUACUAUUCACUAAUGAUUAUAAACAGACAUAUAAAAUCAUUUAUGAUUAGAACAAUAAAUAAAAAUACAACUAAAUGUUAUAUACAAUCCACUUAAAAUAACCACAAAAUCAGUUAUGAUUACAAAAAUAACUAUAUAUUCAUGUUUGAUACAUAAAAAUACAUUUAUCAUUACUAUUUAACAAUGGUUAUAAACAAACGUAUAAAAUCAUCUAUAAUUAGAAACAAAAAUAAACAUAUAACUAAAUGUUAUGUUCAGGACACUAGAAAAAUCAAAAAAUAAGUUAUGAUUACAACAAAUAACUUCCAACAUUAAGUUACAUGUUUAUUUAUACUUCUAAUCAUAGUUGAUUUUUUUUGAACUGUACCUUCGGAAAUAACACGACUUCUACCGCAUUCGAUAUUUUUUUGAUUUUUGAAUUUUUUUCGAACAUAGUUUCUCUUGAAAUCCUUAUAUGUGAAAAAAAAAUAAACAAAAACUUACAUCAGAAAACACCACAAACAAACAAACAUAAUAAAAAACAUUACGAGACAAUAAUCAAAAUCAAGUUAAAAUGACAAAAAAAACCUACUGAAUCAAAACAAAAAAAACACCAUUAUCAACAUAAAAUGACAUUUAACUAAUUAAUAAAAACAUGCAUAGUUUGUAAAAUUCAUAGCCUGCAAAAUCCAUAUCAAUCUUUUUAAAAUUACAACAAUAGCCCCACAAUCGUAAAUUAACGGCGUUAGUUUAAUAAGUUACCAAUAUAAUUACAAAUAUGUCAUCGCAUAGUUUCAGAAACAAACAUAAGGACAUCAAACGGUUAUACACAUAUCUCACAAUCUCUAAUGUUUUUUAUCUCAAGGGAACCACCAUCUAUAUAUAUAUAUAUAUAUACAGAGAGAGUUAGGUUUAAAUGUUUAUAGCAACUAUUGUGUGCAUGAAUGUACCAAUAGAAAUUAAUAAAAAAAAUAAAUAAUUAAAUAAAUAGUAAAAUGGUAUGAUAGUAAUCUAACACUAUUUAAUUAUAGUAGGAAUUUUAAAACAUUUAAUAUCUCCUAAAAAUAGGGAAAUCGGUAUUAAAAUCCUUUUACGCGUCUUUUUCAUCUUAGUAACCCUACACCAUCGGUUUUUCCUUAGCCGUACAUCACCAACACCUUCAGCCACAUGCUCAUUCAAUCGUCGUCUAAAGAAACUCGAUGACCCUCUUCACAGCCAGUGCUACACCACCCGCUGUCAUUCCCCUGUUAUUACGGUGUGGAUCUUGUUCAAAAAUUAAUCAUCUUAUUUCUACCGGUGUGAUUAACUUUUGAUCUUCAUUUUUUGAUUUUAUAAAAACUGGUUUUGGAUGAUUAGCUGCCACCAAUACCAUUGAGGGUUUAUCGAUCAAUACAAUAGCUUUCAUGGUUUUUCACUUUCAUCUUUUUUUUUUUUGGUUUUUCUUCCCUUUUCUAAUCCGGAAUUGUUCACCUUGGUAGCAGGGGCCAUCGUAUCCUUCAAUCAGGUAAUCGUCUCAUUUCUUUUAAUUUUAAAAUAUCGUUCAGUUGCACCCUAUAACUACUUCUCCUUUAAUUUGGGAUUCCUUUGUUUUUAGGUGGGGCCAAUUGGAAUUAUACAAUAGAUGAAUUAGGCUACAUGGGAUUGUAAGUUUCAUUUAAUCCAUUUUUUUAAUGUAUUUCUUGAUAUGUGAAUUGGAACUUGAAUAUCUUGGAACAUACACGACAUAUAUAACAUAUUGUUCACCAUUCUUUAAAAAUUUGGUUAUAUUGUUCAAAAAAUAAUGUGUCAAUUGCAUUGUUUAAGAAUUCUUCAAACUGUAGUGGUACAUGUCAUUUGUCUUUGAUGAAAAGGGUUAAGCUAGCAUUCUGUCAAAAUUUGCAAACACAUGGAACACUUUCUAUUGCUAUAAUUUACACAAGUUGUAGGUGCAAACAAAGGUGGUUUUUUACACCUGGUGGAAUAGAUACUAUCUAUUUGGACCUUUUUACCCUUGCAGGGCUUUCUUCCUACAUAUUGCCCCCUUAUUGUGUUCCAUGUGGUUUGGAUACUUGUUUUUUUUCUUGUAACAGGAUUUAUUAUACGUAAAGAGAAACUGGAUAGGAAUAUAAUGCAUUUGGAAUACAUACAGGGAGUCUUCAUCCUGGUGCUUUCAUAGAUCAUCAUUUUUCACAACAAAAAACUUGUGAGCCGAAGAUGGUUUAUAUAUUCCAAUUGUUUUUUUUUCUUAGUCACCUUUUGUGUUAACAUGAUCUUUUCAUGCAUUUAUAUUUCAAAUGUUUUUGUUCGUUGGGUCUAUUCUUAAUAAUACAAAUUCUUUUAAUAAUAUACAAAACCACUCUGCAAGAAUAGUUUAUUGUGUAAGAAUAUUAUUGUUGUAUUCUAAUAGAAUAGUAGUUAAUUAUUUAUAUGUUUAAUGUGCAGUUGUUACAAGUGUAUCACUACAAAAUAUUUGGUAAUGAAUUUUUCAUAGAAAUGGUUUGAAGAAUGGCUUGAAAACCUGAUGUAAAAGGCUUGAAGAAUGAAUUAAAGAAUGAUCACACUCAUUGUUUAAUAAUGUUGUUACUUUUUAAAAAUUACACUUGUUAUUCUUUCACAAUAUUGUUAUUAUUCAAUGAAUCAGAAUCAUACAAUGUAAUUAUUUGGUAUAUUAUUAGUUCAAGAAUCGAUUUUGUGUAUUCUUUCAUAAUGUAUUUACUAGUUUAUGGUUGGGAUUCUGUCAUUCUGAUAGAAUAAAAUCGAAAAUAUAUUUACUAGUUUAUGGUUGGCAUGCUGUCAUUCUGACAGAAUAAAAUCGGAUUUUUAAAUUUGAAUUAAUUUAAAAUAUUCAGAUUUUUAAAAAUAAAGGAAUUAAUUAUCCAAAAAAUUCGAAAAUUUCCUUUUUUAAUAUAACCUAAUUGACUAAAAUACCCUUAUGCUGAAAAUUGUUUAAUAAUAUGGUACAUGUUAUCCUAUUCUAAUAUCAUAGACCCUUAGAUCAUGACAUUUGAUUAUAUUCCAUCCGGUGAUCCAGAUCUGUGCAAUCUGGAACACAAUAGUUAAUAAAUACAUAAUAACCUAAGCCUAUAUAUAUAUAUAUAUAUAUAUNAACAUGAAAUGAUGAUUUUUCCCACAUAAUGAGAUUUUUAUGUUAAAAAAGACAUUUAGGACCCUAUAAAAAAAUUCCAAAAAUUAUAAGAUUUUUCUUAGAUAUCCUUUGUAUAGAAAAGUAGGAUGUUACAGUUUUAGCGGUACGUCUUAACAUUUUUUUUAAUCAAAUUGGUUAUCCCUUCGUUUAAAAAACAAGGAACUUUUGAGUUGAUACAUGGUGUAAUAUAUAAAAAUCUUUGAAAAAGUGGGAGUUUUAGGUACGUCAUGACAUUUUUUUAAUGGUUCUUCCUUAGUGUAGAAAAAAAAAUGAAAAUUUUAAGUUGGUACAUGUUUUAAUAUAUAAAAAUCUUUGAGUUAUGUAAAACGAGCUAAAAGAUAGUCUAAUAAAUAUAUCUUUGAGUUGUGGUCUACUAAGCCUAACAUCUAUAUUAUAACCGUGUAAUAUCGCUAUAUAAAGGGACAAUGAUUUAUAUGGGUAACUAUGUUUCAAAAUUGUUCAAAAAAUACCAUUCAAGUUUGAUGUAUCCAAAAAACACCAUCCAAGUAAAGCAUUUGUACAAAAAACACCAACGAAGUACAUUUUGUGUUCAAAUUUGACCUUGUGGUAACCGGAUAUUACCGGAAAAAAUAACUAAAGGAAAAAAAGAAAGAGGAAAUGACUCAAAGGGGUAACUAUGUUUUAAAAUCAUUCAAAAAACACCAUCUAAGUAUACUUUUGUACAAAAAAACACCAACAAACUAUAUGUUUUGUUCAAAUAUUACCUACCGGUAACUAACUCUUACAGGUUAAAUGAUGACUUGGCUUUAACUAUUAUGACAUGACAUAAUAAUUGUCACAACUAGCAAUUUAGGGUUGAGAUUGUGAUUCAUGUAGAAAAUAAUUUCCUCUAUGUAACCUUGCAACAUCAAAUUAAUGAAAUUCAAACUACAAUGUUAUUUGAAUUCAUGUGAGCGUACAUAUAAAAUCCAGUAGAAAUAGCCUCUUACAAGCCCAAAAAUUGAUCCAAUAGCUAAGCCCAAUCGAUUUUGGGCCUUGGCCCAAGAAUUCUAAACCCAACACCCUAUUGGACCGAAAACCUUUCUUUGGGCCUUAUUGGGUUGGAAACUUUUCUUUGGGCCUUAUUGGGCUGAAAAUUUUUCUUUGGGACAUAUUAGGCCGAUAACCCUUUUAUUGGACCCAAUUAAACCCAAAAAGCCGAUACGUACUCCAAAACGAAAACCCUUCUAUCUUUGGGCUUUAAUAGACCGAAAACCUCUUAAUGGGCCAAGCCAAAACCAAAAACCCAUUUAAGAAUCCCAUGAAAUCCGAAAACCCAAAAAGGCCUCUUUGUCUCACUAGUGUAGCUGAUUUUGGUUGCUCUAAGUAUGCUUAUAUAGUAUGUUGCAUUAGGGUUACACCAUGUAAACCCUAAUGUAACAUGGCUCUUCAUUUCCAUAACCCAUGGGUUUGUAACUCCCAUGGAGCAUCCUAUGGAACUUAGCCCAACUAGAUAAUCCACGGAGCAUCUAGCCCCUACGAUGCUUGGAAACGCCAUACGAAUAGCCGCUCCAGUAUCUUAAACGCCUAGGAAACGGAAACGCCAGUGAAACGGUCGGGAAACGUUUCUGGCAAAUAUCAGUAAUCCCUAAAAUGUUUCUCGCACGUUUCGUUCACCUUUCCCUUUUUUAUUUUUAUUUGCAUGGGCUUUUAAUAUGUAGAAAUAGAGUAAUGGGCUUAGUCCUAUGUCGGUUGCCAAUGCUAUUACCCUACAAUUAGUCAAUCAGUCAAUUAGAAUUUAGAAGUUUGUAAACGUAAGGCUGCUGCGUACUCUUUUCAUUGGUUCUCAUCGACUUUUAUAGUUUUUUUAUUGCCUCUCUGUGUCGUCGAUCAAGAAGACAAGAACAAGAAAAAAAUUCAAAACUCAUUCACACAUUCACCACUCACCAAUUCGAUUAUUAUGGCUUCUUCUCAAGAACAAGAAACACAAGGAUCAUCUACAUCAUUAGACCAACCUCCAUUGUGGGACUUUGUGACUAAACUUGAUAAACUUGUUGGAGCAGGAGGAUGUUGGAAGUUCAAGUGUAACCUUUGCAGUGAAACCAGACAAGGAUCAUAUUCUAGAGUUAGAGCACAUUUGCUUCGCAUAAAAGGUAAUCUAUUAUUCAAAUUAGUGUGUGUGUGUCUAUGUAAUUUUCGAUUUUUGAUUUAUGUUGUUGACUUAUUGUAUUGAUUCAUGAAAAAUUGUAAAGAAAAAAAAUUAGAGGCAACGAUUUUUGUUUCGAUUCAUCAUUCAUGUAUUUGUUGUAAUUUUUUUAUUCUUGUUAUUGUAUUGAAGUAUUGAAAUAUUGAUUCAUUAAAAAAUGUAAUGAAAUAAGAGGCUGUGAUUUUUUUUUUGAUUCAUGUAUUUGUUGCACUUUUGAUUCAUGUUAUUCAAUAGAACUAUUUAUUCAUGAACAAUGGUAAAGUGAAAUAAAUAAGAGGUUUUUGAUUCACUUUCUUGUUUUGAUUAAUGUAAUGUAAUUGAAUUUAUAAUGUUAGUGAUGACCUUAUUUUUUUCAUGUUGUGUAAUUGAGAAUGUCAAUGUUAUUAUGUUGUUUAAUAUAGGUACUGGGAUUUCUAUUUGCGAGAAAGCAAUAACAGCUGACAAACUUAACAUCACACAAUUAGAAGAUGCAUAUGAAAAGAAGAAAACUGAGUCACAAGCGAAAGAAGUCCAGUUGCCAUGUGAAGCUGGUGUUGGAUUUAAGAAAAGAAAAGGUAUUCCAAGACCUAUUGAAAGAGCUUUUGGUGUAGAAAUUAGGGACCAACUGGAUCAAAAAAUAGCUAGAAUGUUUUAUACCGAAGGUUUACCUUUUAAUCUUGCAAGAAAUCCACACUAUGUCAGGGCUUUUCAGUUUGCUGCUAACAAAAAAAUUGAUGGUUAUGUACCUCUUGGUUAUAAUAAGCUAAGAACAACAUUACUACAAAAAGAAAAAGAUAUUGUUCAAAAGCUAUUGGAGCCACUUACGUCUACAUGGAAAGAAAAAAGUGUGACUAUUGUGAGUGAUGGUUGGAGUGAUCCUACAAGAAAACCUCUAAUCAACUUCAUGGCUACCUCAGGUAAUGGUCCUUUGUUUCUAAAGGCAGUAAAUUGUUUUGGGGAAGUGAAAGAUAGAUUUUUUAUUGUCGAAGUGAUGAAGGAAGUCAUACAUUGAAUUGGUCAUGAAAAUGUUGUGCAAAUAAUUACUAACAAUGCAACAAAUUGUAAGACGGAUGGAGAGAUUAUAGAGAGUCAAUUUCCUCACAUUUAUUGGACACCAUGUGUUGUUCAUAAGCAUAAUCUCGCUUUAAAGAACUGUAACAUCCCGGAAAUUUAGAAGUAAAGUUGAAGGGCUAAAAGUGUAAAUAAGAAGGUCGACUCGGAGAAUCAAGUGGUGUUUCAGGUCGCGUGAUAAGUGACCAACUCGGCGAGUCGCAUGGGUAGACUCGGCAAGUUGGUGUUGUAUGGAGAAAACCCUAAUCCCGAGGGUUGAGCCCUAUAUAAAGAACAUAAUACCCCCUCCCCAGCCUCUUUACCUUCCCUUUGAGUUCCAGAGGCCCUAAAUUCGUGUGAGCUUUCCUUUGUGAGUAAUUAGAGCCUUGGAGGAGGAAAUCUUGGAGGGGAAUUGAAGAGCAAGAAGAUUUGGAGCAAGGGUCUUUGCAGAGAUUUGGUUCAUUCUCCAGUAGGAGCUUGCAUUGGAGGUAAGAGAUCUGUUCUUGAGCUUUUGUGCAUCUAGAUCUAUCAAUUGUAGGGUUUUUGGAGCAUAAAUGAGGUUCAUCUCGAGUUUGGUGUAAGAUGUUGCUACCUUAGAUCUAGGAUUGUAGUGGUCCAGGAAGCCAUAAAGUUCAUGCCCAAGAGUUUUUAGUGAAGCCUUCUUGUCCUAAACCCUAUCCCAAGAGUGUUCGAUGCUUAGAUCUCUUUGGAUUCACGUAAAGUUUGCAACUUUACGUGAGGAAUAGCUUGUGGAAGGGUAGAUCUAUGGAUUGGAGCCCCUGCAUGGCUUGGAAAGCCACUGAAUGGAUUAAGAGCUUGUGGUACUCGGCGAGUCACAUGGGUGUACUUGGCGAGUUGCAUGAAGAUAGGCAGAAACUUGGCGAGUUGAAAGAACAACUCGGCGAGUUGGUUGAAGAUAGCCUGGGACUCGGCGAGUCUGUUCUUGGACUCGGCGAGUCUGGUCGUGAGGUCCUAACCUUUCCUGGCUGAGCUGUGAAUCGGUGAGUCAAGGGACGACUCGGUGAGUUGAGCAGGAAGUGACUCAGAGUUCGUGGGACUCGGCGAGUCUUGGGGCGACUCGGUGAGUUGGGUCACGAUAUGGGAGUUUUCAGAGUUGAGGGACUCAACGAGUUAGCGGUGUUAAUAUCGGUUCUUUCUAUUUUUGUGAAACAUAAUGGAAAACAAAACUUUUUGUGCUUAAAUCUUCAACAGGAAAUAAUAAUUUCGAAUUUUUCAAAUUUUGACUUUGAGGAAACUUCAACAUUCCCUCAACUAUCUUUACAACAAGAUCCUUUUUCAAAUCCUCCAUCUUCUGAUACAUAUAUGAAAUUUUACUUUCAUACACCUACAUAAGAAUAAAGAUACUUACAACUAAAAUACUUAAACAUAAAAAGUCAUAAAUGAAUAAACUAAUUAAAUCAUAAAUGAAUAAAACUAUAGAAUUACCUCCACAUCACUAACUUUAUUAACUUCAAAAUCUUCUUCAUCCUCAUCACAUAAAUCCUCUUUGCCGUCAGAUUCAACCUCAUCACCACCAGAUUCCUCCUCAUUAUACUCAGAUUCUUGAAAUUCUUCUUCAACAUAUGCUUCAUUAACAUGUUCACAUCCAAAUCCUCCACUCUCUUCAAAAAUAUCUUCAAGAAACCUUAUCUUCUCUGACAUCCAAUUAAGAAAACAGUUGGACGUUUAUGUGUGAUUUGCAAAUGAUCAAACUUGAAAGUAUCCACAUACAACAACUGCAAAAACAUAUAUAUCAUCAUAACAUAUAUAACAUCAUAUACGAUUUUGAUGUGUAAUAUAUAAUUAAACAAAAAUUAUACAACAUAAUCAUAUGUAGUAAAAUCAUAUAUGAUUUAUUACAAAAACAAACAUAUUUUUACAACUAAAAAGAAUAAUUAAUAUCAAAAAAUAGCUCACGUACCAUAAGGUAUGUUGUUGUUCCAUAAAAGAAAGAAGAUUAUUUCUCUGGAUUGUAAACCUUCUUCAUCCUUACAAAAUAAUCCACAAUGUAAUCGCACCAGUCAAUGCUACUUAAAUCAGUAUCUCUUCUGAUUAAAUACAAUGGAUUCAGAUUACAUUUACCCAUGCUUGUAGACUCACCGAAAGUAUUAAUAAAAAGAACCAAAAAAUUGAUUAUGUAGUUGUCAUCUGUAGCCCUAGUUUGAACAAGUUGAUUCUUUAGUUGUUUCAAUCUCAAUUUAUCAAUAUUCUCAUAUUGUUUCUUCCACUCAAACACACAACUCUCUUCAUUAUUCUCCGAAAUGUAAUCCAUGUUUGAAAGUAAUGAGCCACCAGAUGGUAAUCCUAGCAUCUCUUGAAUAGACUUACUAUCAACACUAUCUUCACAAUUAUCAAACUCCACCUUCAAAGAUUCAAAAUUAAAACGGUCAAGAACAUAAUAAACAAUCUUCAACGGUACGUCAAUCAUCUCCAUACCUAAGAUACUCCCAAUCCCAUAGCCCUAACACAAUCCUUCUGCUCUCUAUUUAAACCUUGAAUAACACCCAACAAUGACCCGGGUGAACAUCUAUUCUUUAGUGAAGGAAAUUCUUUUAUAACAGCAACUUUUUUUUAUCUUUCUUCAAAACUUUAGUUUCUCUCUUUGGUUUCUUUGAAGAUCCAGGACGACUCUGAAAAUCUAAAUCAUCUUUAUCGGAUAGUUCACGUUUCUUACUUACAGGUUUGACCUUAACCCCCAGUUCACUUUUAGUUGUUCAAUAACUGUUUUUUUGGAUGUCUUUGAACGUGUUUGCAACACCUCAUUCGCUUUUUCUCUUUUGGAAGAUGAUCGUGUCUUCCUUGAGNNNNNNNNNNNNNNNNNNNNNNNNNNNNNNNNNNNNNNNNNNNNNNNNNNNNNNNNNNNNNNNNNNNNNNNNNNNNNNNNNNNNNNNNNNNNNNNNNNNNNNNNNNNNNNNNNNNNNNNNNNNNNNNNNNNNNNNNNNNNNNNNNNNNNNNNNNNNNNNNNNNNNNNNNNNNNNNNNNNNNNNNNNNNNNNNNNNNNNNNNNNNNNNNNNNNNNNNNNNNNNNNNNNNNNNNNNNNNNNNNNNNNNNNNNNNNNNNNNNNNNNNNNNNNNNNNNNNNNNNNNNNNNNNNNNNNNNNNNNNNNNNNNNNNNNNNNNNNNNNNNNNNNNNNNNNNNNNNNNNNNNNNNNNNNNNNNNNNNNNNNNNNNNNNNNNNNNNNNNNNNNNNNNNNNNNNNNNNNNNNNNNNNNNNNNNNNNNNNNNNNNNNNNNNNNNNNNNNNNNNNNNNNNNNNNNNNNNNNNNNNNNNNNNNNNNNNNNNNNNNNNNNNNNNNNNNNNNNNNNNNNNNNNNNNNNNNNNNNNNNNNNNNNNNNNNNNNNNNNNNNNNNNNNNNNNNNNNNNNNNNNNNNNNNNNNNNNNNNNNNNNNNNNNNNNNNNNNNNNNNNNNNNNNNNNNNNNNNNNNNNNNNNNNNNNNNNNNNNNNNNNNNNNNNNNNNNNNNNNNNNNNNNNNNNNNNNNNNNNNNNNNNNNNNNNNNNNNNNNNNNNNNNNNNNNNNNNNNNNNNNNNNNNNNNNNNNNNNNNNNNNNNNNNNNNNNNNNNNNNNNNNNNNNNNNNNNNNNNNNNNNNNNNNNNNNNNNNNNNNNNNNNNNNNNNNNNNNNNNNNNNNNNNNNNNNNNNNNNNNNNNNNNNNNNNNNNNNNNNNNNNNNNNNNNNNNNNNNNNNNNNNNNNNNNNNNNNNNNNNNNNNNNNNNNNNNNNNNNNNNNNNNNNNNNNNNNNNNNNNNNNNNNNNNNNNNNNNNNNNNNNNNNNNNNNNNNNNNNNNNNNNNNNNNNNNNNNNNNNNNNNNNNNNNNNNNNNNNNNNNNNNNNNNNNNNNNNNNNNNNNNNNNNNNNNNNNNNNNNNNNNNNNNNNNNNNNNNNNNNNNNNNNNNNNNNNNNNNNNNNNNNNNNNNNNNNNNNNNNNNNNNNNNNNNNNNNNNNNNNNNNNNNNNNNNNNNNNNNNNNNNNNNNNNNNNNNNNNNNNNNNNNNNNNNNNNNNNNNNNNNNNNNNNNNNNNNNNNNNNNNNNNNNNNNNNNNNNNNNNNNNNNNNNNNNNNNNNNNNNNNNNNNNNNNNNNNNNNNNNNNNNNNNNNNNNNNNNNNNNNNNNNNNNNNNNNNNNNNNNNNNNNNNNNNNNNNNNNNNNNNNNNNNNNNNNNNNNNNNNNNNNNNNNNNNNNNNNNNNNNNNNNNNNNNNNNNNNNNNNNNNNNNNNNNNNNNNNNNNNNNNNNNNNNNNNNNNNNNNNNNNNNNNNNNNNNNNNNNNNNNNNNNNNNNNNNNNNNNNNNNNNNNNNNNNNNNNNNNNNNNNNNNNNNNNNNNNNNNNNNNNNNNNNNNNNNNNNNNNNNNNNNNNNNNNNNNNNNNNNNNNNNNNNNNNNNNNNNNNNNNNNNNNNNNNNNNNNNNNNNNNNNNNNNNNNNNNNNNNNNNNNNNNNNNNNNNNNNNNNNNNNNNNNNNNNNNNNNNNNNNNNNNNNNNNNNNNNNNNNNNNNNNNNNNNNNNNNNNNNNNNNNNNNNNNNNNNNNNNNNNNNNNNNNNNNNNNNNNNNNNNNNNNNNNNNNNNNNNNNNNNNNNNNNNNNNNNNNNNNNNNNNNNNNNNNNNNNNNNNNNNNNNNNNNNNNNNNNNNNNNNNNNNNNNNNNNNNNNNNNNNNNNNNNNNNNNNNNNNNNNNNNNNNNNNNNNNNNNNNNNNNNNNNNNNNNNNNNNNNNNNNNNNNNNNNNNNNNNNNNNNNNNNNNNNNNNNNNNNNNNNNNNNNNNNNNNNNNNNNNNNNNNNNNNNNNNNNNNNNNNNNNNNNNNNNNNNNNNNNNNNNNNNNNNNNNNNNNNNNNNNNNNNNNNNNNNNNNNNNNNNNNNNNNNNNNNNNNNNNNNNNNNNNNNNNNNNNNNNNNNNNNNNNNNNNNNNNNNNNNNNNNNNNNNNNNNNNNNNNNNNNNNNNNNNNNNNNNNNNNNNNNNNNNNNNNNNNNNNNNNNNNNNNNNNNNNNNNNNNNNNNNNNNNNNNNNNNNNNNNNNNNNNNNNNNNNNNNNNNNNNNNNNNNNNNNNNNNNNNNNNNNNNNNNNNNNNNNNNNNNNNNNNNNNNNNNNNNNNNNNNNNNNNNNNNNNNNNNNNNNNNNNNNNNNNNNNNNNNNNNNNNNNNNNNNNNNNNNNNNNNNNNNNNNNNNNNNNNNNNNNNNNNNNNNNNNNNNNNNNNNNNNNNNNNNNNNNNNNNNNNNNNNNNNNNNNNNNNNNNNNNNNNNNNNNNNNNNNNNNNNNNNNNNNNNNNNNNNNNNNNNNNNNNNNNNNNNNNNNNNNNNNNNNNNNNNNNNNNNNNNNNNNNNNNNNNNNNNNNNNNNNNNNNNNNNNNNNNNNNNNNNNNNNNNNNNNNNNNNNNNNNNNNNNNNNNNNNNNNNNNNNNNNNNNNNNNNNNNNNNNNNNNNNNNNNNNNNNNNNNNNNNNNNNNNNNNNNNNNNNNNNNNNNNNNNNNNNNNNNNNNNNNNNNNNNNNNNNNNNNNNNNNNNNNNNNNNNNNNNNNNNNNNNNNNNNNNNNNNNNNNNNNNNNNNNNNNNNNNNNNNNNNNNNNNNNNNNNNNNNNNNNNNNNNNNNNNNNNNNNNNNNNNNNNNNNNNNNNNNNNNNNNNNNNNNNNNNNNNNNNNNNNNNNNNNNNNNNNNNNNNNNNNNNNNNNNNNNNNNNNNNNNNNNNNNNNNNNNNNNNNNNNNNNNNNNNNNNNNNNNNNNNNNNNNNNNNNNNNNNNNNNNNNNNNNNNNNNNNNNNNNNNNNNNNNNNNNNNNNNNNNNNNNNNNNNNNNNNNNNNNNNNNNNNNNNNNNNNNNNNNNNNNNNNNNNNNNNNNNNNNNNNNNNNNNNNNNNNNNNNNNNNNNNNNNNNNNNNNNNNNNNNNNNNNNNNNNNNNNNNNNNNNNNNNNNNNNNNNNNNNNNNNNNNNNNNNNNNNNNNNNNNNNNNNNNNNNNNNNNNNNNNNNNNNNNNNNNNNNNNNNNNNNNNNNNNNNNNNNNNNNNNNNNNNNNNNNNNNNNNNNNNNNNNNNNNNNNNNNNNNNNNNNNNNNNNNNNNNNNNNNNNNNNNNNNNNNNNNNNNNNNNNNNNNNNNNNNNNNNNNNNNNNNNNNNNNNNNNNNNNNNNNNNNNNNNNNNNNNNNNNNNNNNNNNNNNNNNNNNNNNNNNNNNNNNNNNNNNNNNNNNNNNNNNNNNNNNNNNNNNNNNNNNNNNNNNNNNNNNNNNNNNNNNNNNNNNNNNNNNNNNNNNNNNNNNNNNNNNNNNNNNNNNNNNNNNNNNNNNNNNNNNNNNNNNNNNNNNNNNNNNNNNNNNNNNNNNNNNNNNNNNNNNNNNNNNNNNNNNNNNNNNNNNNNNNNNNNNNNNNNNNNNNNNNNNNNNNNNNNNNNNNNNNNNNNNNNNNNNNNNNNNNNNNNAAAAAAAGACAAACUUACCCAUGAACUGACUUUUUGUUAGGCUUUGAAAGUUCUGAACAAAUUGACCCAAGCACUUUAAUGUCUGAUAGAGGAAUAGAAAGUGAAAAGUGAGUGUACAAUCACAUAAAUGGAAAGUUUGACUUAUAAGUUAAAAUUUAUAAAAUAGAGUUGACCUGUGGUGAGGAAACAUUAGCAUUAAUUUUUUAUCAUUUUUUAUCUUAGUAAGCUUAUUUACACUUUAAUGAAUAGAUUGAAAAUGAAUUUGUUACUUUCUUUCAUAAUGAUCAAAAACUACCUCAAUAGAUAUGGAAUUAAAUUACCUUGCAAUAGAGGAAGCUGACAUAUGCCUUCUUUCAUAUUCAUUAGCUAGGCAGGUAAAAAACUGCAAAAGAGUAAAUUUCUAGUGAGGGCCAUAAAUUCACAGUCAUGUGUACGUCAGGUGAUGUUAUAAGGUCUGACUUAGGUGAGAUGGCUCUUUCAAGCAUUUCGUCAAACAGUUGGAGUGCAUAGCUCCUCCCCUUUCUUUUUUGAUCUAUUUAUUGGAAUUAUCACCACUUUGAGAGCAUACAACUCCAUUCUUCUUUUCAAAACAUAUAAUUCAGCAAAUAAGUUAACAUAUAAGGGUAGGAAUACGAACUUAAGACUAAAACUGAAAACAAAAUGACAAACCCCAUCUCUCUUUGUAAUCUUGAAUUGGCUCAAUAGCUAGAAAAAAAAAGAAUUAAAAUUGAUCAAAAACUACCUCAAUAGCUUAUUUACAUCACAUAUAAGAGACUAUAUAACGUUAGUUUAAAUAGUUGGUUCUUGAUUUUAAGAAGUUAUUUUUGUAACCUAGUUGUAUAUAUUAAUAAUUGGAUACCUGUUACAUGUGGUUGAUAGAUAGCUUCCCAAACAGCAGCUAGUUCUAAGCCAAUAGCUAUAAGCUGAAACGUGAAAUAAAGUUGUUUACAGAGAUGAGAAGUAGAUACAGGAAAAAAUCAGAGGCAUAAAGUAGAAAUUGACAAUACUAGAUGAAAUCGCACAUUUAGGGAAAAAUCAUAAUCCUUUUUCUUGAUUGAGAAGAUGAAGUCGAGAUAUGAAUGAGAAAUUGCGUGCCCCCUUAUUUGUUGAAUGACUGAAGAAAUAGGGCAGGGUAGAAGCGUCCUUUUCAUACCUUAGUGCAAUCAAACCUUGGGCUUGUAAACCUGAGGAGUCUUAGUAAAUGUAUUAGGGUGGGGAAGAGGUGGAACGGUGAGCCUGAGGAGUUGAUAUCUAAUCUUAUGUACCAAUGGUGAUAUAUGUCAUUCUUCUAUGACGAGUAUGAGAGAUAUUAUUUGAUAGGUGUGUAGUCGCCGAUGUUCUAGCCUGAGGAGUCACAACACCAUUACUAUUUCAAAUGUGUUAUGUUUGAUUAGGGUUUGCACAUAGAAGGAAGUGAAAGUCGAUCGGAGAGGAAGGGGUUUGCAGAGAGAAAGAAGGGAGAGAAUGAAGUCGAUUUUGGAGGGUAGAGAGCAGAGAGGAAGAGGAAGCGGGUGUUCAAAAUUUUGGGGGAUUUAGUUUCCCCCCUUACCUAUCAAGGAGGCGCGUUUAUUAAAAUUAUAAAGCGACAUUUGUAGAGGACGCUCUUUUUAUUAUAGGUGCCCUCCGUGUUUUUAAUAUUUUUACACCAGACACUAAUUUAAGGGCACUCAGUAAUGCGCGACCUAAAUCCUUAAAAUUUUUGAAGAGAUGACACUUUUUUAAUGUCGCUCUCUAAUGCGUAACAUAAAUCAAAGAGCGUCGUGUUUUGCGCGUCGUAAAAGGCCUUUUUUCUUGUAGUGAUUGUAAACCUUCUUCAUCCUUACCAAACAAUCCACAAUGUAAUCGCACCAGUCAAUGCUACUUAAAUUAGUAUCUCUUCUGAUUAAAUACAAUGGAUUCAGAUUACAUUUACCCAUGCUUGUAGACUCACCGAAAGUAUUAAUAAAAAGAACCAAAAAAUUGAUUAUGUAGUUGUUAUCUGUAGCCCUAGUUUGAACAAGUUGAUUCUUUAGUUGUUUCAAUCUCAAUUUAUCAAUAUUCUCAUAUUGUUUCUUCCACUCAAUCACACAACUCUCUUCAUUAUUCUCCGAAAUGUAAUCCAUGUUUGAAAGUAAUGAGCCACCAGAUGGUAAUCCUAGCAUCUCUUGAAUAGACUUACUAUCAACACUAUCUUCACAAUUAUCAAACUCCACCUUCAAAGAUUCAAAAUUAAAACGGUCAAGAACAUAAUAAACAAUCUUCAACGGUACGUCAAUCAUCUCCAUACCUAAGAUACUCCCAAUCCCAUAGCCCUAACACAAUCCUUCUGCUCUCUAUUUAAACCUUGAAUAACACCCAACAAUGACCCGAGUGAACAUCUAUUCUUUAGUGAAGGAAAUUCUUUUAUAACAGCAACUUUUUUUAUCUUUCUUCAAAACUUUAGUUUCUCUAUUUGGUUUCUUUGAAGAUCCAGGACGACUCUGAAAAUCUAAAUCAUCUUUAUCGGAUAGUUCACGUUUCUUACUUACAGGUUUGACCUUAACCCCCAGUUCACUUUUAGUUGUUCAAUAACUGUUUUUUUGGAUGUCUUUGAACGUGUUUGCAACACCUCAUUCGCUUUUUCUCUUUUGGAAGAUGAUCGUGUCUUCCUUGAGAUAUCUACAUUCCCUUUUUAACUACAAUUUUCAUUACAAACAUAGUGUUAGUAAAAAAUAAUACAUACAUUUAUCAUUACUAUUCACUAAUGAUUAUAAACAGACAUAUAAAAUCAUUUAUGAUUAGAGCAAUAAAUAAAAAUACAACUAAAUGUUAUAUACAAUCCACUUAAAAUAACCACAAAAUCAGUUAUGAUUACAAAAAUAAUUUUAUAUUCAUGUUUGAUACAUAAAAAUACAUUUAUCAUUACUAUUUAACAAUGAUUAUAAACAAACGUAUAAAAUCAUCUAUGAUUAGAAAUAAAAAUAAACAUAUAACUACAUGUUAUGUUCAAUACACUAAAAAAAUCAAAAAAUCAGUUAUGAUUACAACAAAUAACUUCCAACAUUAAGUUAUAUGUUUAUUUAUACUUCUAAUCAUAGAUGAUUUUUUUUUGAACUGUACCUUCGGAAAUAACAGCACUUCUACCGCAUUCGAUAUUUUUUUGAUUUUUGAAUUUUUUUCGAUCGUAGUUUCUUUUGAAAUCCUUAUAUGUGAAAAAUAAACAAAAGCUUACAUCAGAAAACACCACAAACAAACAUAAUAAAAAACAAUACGAGACAAUAAUCAAAAUCAAGUUAAAAUGACGAAAAACCUACUGAAUCAAAAAAAAAACACCAUUAUCAACAUAAAACGACAUUUAACUAGUUAAUAAAAACAUGCAUAGUUUGUAAAAUUCAUAGCCUUCAAAAUCCAUAUCAAUUUUUAUAAAAUUACAACAAUAGUCCCACAAUUGUAAAUUAACGGCGUUAGUUUCAUAAGUUACCAAUAUAAUUAUGAAUAUGUCAUCACAUAGUUUUAGAAACAAACAUAAGCACAUCAAACGGUUAUACAUAUAUCUCACAUUCUCUAAAUUUUUUUUUAUCUCAAGGGAACCACCAUAUAUAUAUGUAUAUAUAUAUAUAUAUAUAUAUAUAGAGAGAGAGAGAGAGAGUGAUAGGUUUAAAUGUGUAUAGCAACUAUUGUGUGCAUGAAUGCACCAAUAGGAAUUUAGGAAAAAAUAAAUAAUUAAAUAAAUAGUAAUAAAUAGUAAAAUGGUAUGAUAGUAAUCUAACACAAUUUAAUUAUAGUAGGAAUUUUAAAACAUUUAAUAUCUCCUAAAAAUAGGGAAAUCGGUAUUAAAAGCCUUUUAAACGUCUUUUUCAUCUUUGUAACCCUACACCACUUGUUUUUCCUUAGCCGUACAUCACCAACACCUUUGGCCAUAUGCUCAUUCAAUCGUCGUCCAAAGAAACUCGAUGACCCUCUUCACCGCCAGUGCUACACCACCCGCUGCCAUUCCCAUGUUAUUACGGUGUGGAUCUUGUUCAAAAAUUAAUCAUCUUAUUUCUACUGGUGCGAUUAACUUUCGAUCUUCAUUUUUUGAUUUUAUAAAACUGGUUUUGGAUGAUUAGCUGUCACCAAUACCAUUGAGGGUUUAUCGAUCAAUACAAUAACUUUCAUGGUUUUUCCCUUUCAUCUUUUUUUUGGUUUUGCUUCCCUUUUCUGAUCCGGAAUUGUUCACCUUGGUGGCAGGGCCAUCGUAUCCCUCAAUCAGGUAAUCGUCUCAUUUCUUUUAAUUUUAAAAUAUCCUUCAGUUGCACCCCAUUCCUACUUCUCCUUUAAUUUGGGAUUCCUUUGUUUUUAGGUGGGGCCAAUUGGAAUUAUACAACAGAUGAAUGAGGCUACAUGGGAUUGUAAGUUUCAGUUAAUCCAUUUUUUAAUGUAUUUCUUGAUAUGUGAAUUGGAACUUGAAUAUCUUGGAACAUACACGACAUAUAUAACAUAUUGCUCACCAUUCUUUAAAAAUUUCGUUAUAUUGUUCAAAAAAUAAUGUGUCGAUUGCACUGUUUAAGAAUUAUACUGUAGUGGUACAUGUCAUUUGUCUUUGAUGAAAAGGGUUAAGCUAGCAUUCUGUCAAAAUUUGCAAACACAUGGACCACUUUUCUAUUGCUAUAAUUUACACAAGUUGUAGGUGCAAACAAAGGUGGUUUUUUACACCUGGUGGAAUAGAUACUAUCUAUUUGGACUUUUUUACCCUUGGAGGGCCUUCUUCCUACUUAUUGCCCCCUUAUUGUGUUCCAUGUGGUUUGGAUACUUGUUUUUUUUCUUGUUACAAGAUUUAUUAUACGUAAAGAGAAACUGAAUAGGAAUAUAAUGCAUUUGGAAUACAUACAGGGAGUCUUCAUCCUAGUGCUUUCACAGAUCAUCGUUUUUCACAACAAAAAACUUGUGAGCCGAAGAUGCUUUAUAUAUUCUAAUUGUUUUUUUUCUUAGUCACCUUUUGUCUUAACAUGAUCUUUUCAUGCAUUUAUAUUUCAAAUGCUUUUGUUCGUUAGAUCUAUUCUUGAUAAUACAAAUUCUUUUAAUAAUAUUCAAAACCACUCUGCAAGAAUAGUUUAUUGUGUAAGAAUAUUAUUGUUGUAUUCUAAUAGAAUAAUAGUUAAUUAUUUAUAUGUUUAAUGUGCAGUUGUUACAAGUGUAUCACCACAAAAUAUUUAGCAAUGAAUUUGUGACAGAAAUGGUUUGAAGAAUGGCUUAAAGACCUGAUGGGAAAGGCUUGAAGAAUGAAUUAAAAAAUGAUCACACUCAUUGUUUAAUAAUGUUGUUACUUAUAAAAUUACACUUGUUAUUCUUUUAGAAUGUUUUUAUUAUUCAAUGAAUCACAAUCAUACAAUGUAAUUAUUUGGUAUAUUAUUAGUUCAAGAAUCGAUUUUGUGUAUUCUUUCAGAAUGCAUUUACUAGUUUAUGGUUGGGAUUCUGUCAUUCUGACAGAAUAAAAUCGAAAAUAUAUUUACUAGUUUAUAGUUGGCAUUCUGUCAUUUUGACAGAAUAAAAUCGGAUUUUUAAAUUUGAAUUAGUUUAAAAUAUUCAGAUUUUUAAAAAUAAAGGAAUUAAUUAUCCAAAAAAUCCGAAAAUUUCCUUUUUUAAUAUAACUUAAUUGACUAAAAUGCCCUUAUGCUGAAAUUUGUUUGAUUAUAUGGUACAUGUUAUCAUAUUCUAAUGUUAUAGACCGUCAGAUCAUGGUAUUUGAUUAUAUUCCAUCCGGUGGUCCAGAUCUGUGCAUUCUGGAACACAAUAGUUAAUAAANGAUUUUUAACAAAUAAUAAGAUUUUUAUGUUAAAAAAACAUUAGGACCCUAUAAAAAAAAUAAGAUUUUUCUUAGAUAUCAUUUGCAUAGAAAAGUAGGAUGUUACAGUUUUAACGGUACAUCUUAUCAUUUUUUUUAAUCAAAUUGGUUAUCCCUUGGUUUAAAAAUAAGGAACUUUUGAGUUGAUACAUGGUUUAAUAUAUAAAUAUCUUUGAAAAAGUGGGAGUUUUAGGUACGUCAUGACAUUUUUUUAAUGGUUCUCCCUUAGUUUAGAAAAAAGAAAUGAAAAUAUUGAGUUGGUACAUGUUUUAAUAUAUAAAAAUCUUUGAGUUAUGUAAAACGAGCUUAAAGAUAGUCUAAUAAAUAUAUCUUUGAGUUGUGGUCUACUAAGCCUAACAUCUAUAUUAUAACCGUGUAAUAUCGCUAUAUAAAGGGACAAUGAUUUAUAUGGGUAACUAUGUUUCAAAAUUGUUCACAAAAUACCAUUCAAGUUUGAUGUAUCCAAAAAACACCAUCCAAGUAAAGCAUUUGUACAAAAAACACCAACAAAGUACAUUUUUUGUUCAAAUUUGACCUUGUGGUAACCGGAUAUUACCGGUAAAAAAUAACUAAAGGAAAAAAAGCAAGAGGAAAUGACUCAAAGGGGUAACUAUGUUUUAAAAUCGUUCAAAAAACACCAUCUAAGUAUACUUUUGUACAAAAAAACACCAAUAAACUAUAUGUUUUGUUCAAAUAUUACCUACCGGUAACUAACUCUUACAGGUUAAAUGAUGACUUGGCUUUAACUAUUAUGACAUGACAUAAUAAUUGUCACAACUAGCAAUUUAGGGUUGAGAUUGUGAUUCAUGUACAAAAUAAUUUCCUCUAUGUAACCUUACAACAUCAAAUUAAUGAAAUUCAAACUACAAUGUUAUUUGAAUUCAUGUGAGCGUACAUAUAAAAUCCAGUAGAAAUAGCCUAUUACAAGCCCAAAAAUCGAUCCAAUAGCUAAGCCCAAUCGAUUUUGGGCCUUGGCCCAAGAAUUCUAAACCCAACACCCUAUUGGACCGAAAACCUUUCUUUGGGCCUUAUUGGGUUGGAAACUUUUCUUUGGGCCUUAUUGGGCUAAAAAAGUUUCUUUGGGCCAUAUUGGGCCGAUAACCCUUUUAUUGGACCCAAUUAAACCCAAAAAGCCCAUACGUACUCCAAAACGAAAACCCUUCUAUCUUUGGGCUUUAAUGGACCGAAAACCUCUUAAUGGGCCAAGCCAAAACCAAAAACCCAUUUAAGAAUCCCAUGAAAUCCGAAAACCCAAAAAGCCCUCUUUGUCUCACUAGUGUAGCCGAUUUUGGUUGCUCUAAGUAUGCUUAUAUAGUAUGUUGCAUUAGGGUUACACCAUGUAAACCCUAAUGAAACAUGGCUCUUCAUUUCCAUGACCCAUGAGUUUGUAACUCCCAUGGAGCAUCCUAUGGACCUUAGCCCAACUAGAUAAUCCACGGAGCAUCUAGCCCCUACGAUGCUUGGAAACGCCAUACGAAUAGCCGCUCCCGCAUCUGGAACGCCUAGGAAACGGAAAUGCCAGUGAAACGGUCAGGAAACGUUUCCGGCAAAUAUCAGUAAUCCCUGAAAUGUUUCUCGCACGUUUCGUUCAUGUUUCCUUUUUUUAUUUUUAUUUCCAUGGGAUUUUAAUAUGCAGAAAUAGAGUAAUGGGCUUUGUCCUAUGUCAGUUGCCAAUGCUAUUACCCUACAAUUAGUCAAUUAGUCGAUUAGAAUUUAGAAGUUUGUAAACAUAAGGCUGCUGCGUACUCUUUUCAUUGUUGCUCAUCGACUUUUAUAGUUUUUUUUAUUGCCUCUCUGUGUCGUCGAUCAAGAAGACAAGAACAAGAAAAAAAAUUCAAAACUCAUUCACACAUUCACCACUCACCAAUUCGAUUAUUAUGGCUUCUUCUCAAGAACAAGAAACACAAGGAUCAUCUACAUCAGUAGACCAACCUCCAUUGUGGGACUUUGUGACUAAACUCAAUAAACUUGUUGGAGCAGGAGGAUGUUGGAAGUUCAAGUGUAACCUUUGCAGUGAUACCAGACAAGGAUCAUAUUCUAGAGUUAGAGCACAUUUACUUGGCAUAAAAGGUAAUCUAUUAUUCAAAUUAGUGUGUGUGUCUAUGUAAUUUUCGAUUUUUGAUUUAUGUUAUUGACUUGUUGUAUUGAUUCAUGAAAAUUUGUAAAGAAAAAAGAAUAGAGGCAACGAUUUUUGUUUCGAUUCAUCAUUCAUGUAUUUGUUAUAAUUUUUUAUUCAUGUUAUUGUAUUAAAGUAUUAAACUAUUGAUUCAUUAAAAAUGUAAUGAAAUAAGAGGCUGUGAUUUUUGUUUUGAUUCAUGUAUUUGUUGCACUUUUGAUCCAUGUUAUUCAAUAGAACUAUUUAUUCAUGAACAAUGGUAAAGUCAAAUAAAUAAGAGGUUUUUGAUUCACUUUCUUAUUUUGAUUAAUGUAAUGUAAUUGAAUUUAUAAUGUCAAUGAUGACCUUAUUUUUUUCAUGUUGUGUAAUUGAGAAUGUCAAUGUUAUUAUGUUGUUUAAUAUAGGUACCGGGAUUUCUAUUUGCAAGAAAGCAACAACAGCUGACAAACUUAACAUCACACAAUUAGAAGAUGCAUAUGAAAAGAAGAAAACUGAGUCACAAGCGAAAGAAGUCCGGUUGCGAUGUGAAGCUAGUGUUGGAUUUAAAAAAAGAAAAGGUAUUUCAAGACCUAUUGAAAGAGCUUUUGGUGUUGAAAUUAGGGACCAACUGGAUCAAGAAAUAGCUAGAAUGUUUUAUACCGGAGGUUUACCUUUUAAUCUUGCAAGAAAUCCACACUAUGUCAGGGCUUUUCAGUUUGCUGCUAACAACAAAAUUGAUGGUUAUGUACCUCCUGGUUAUAAUAAGCUAAGAACAACAUUACUACAAAAAGAAAAAGAUAUUGUUCAAAAGCUAUUGGAGCCACUUAGGUCUACAUGGAAAGAAAAAAGUGUGACUAUUGUGAGUGAUGGUUGGAGUGAUCCUACAAGAAAACCUCUAAUCAACUUCAUGGUUACCUCGGGUAAUGGUCCUUUGUUUCUAAAGGCAGUAAAUUGUUUUGGGGAAGUGAAAGAUAGAUUUUUUAUUGUCGAAGAGAUGAAGGAAGUCAUACAUUGAAUUGGUCAUGAAAAUGUUGUGCAAAUAAUUACUAACAAUGCAACAAAUUGUAAGGCGGCUGGAGAGAUUAUAGAGAGUCAAUUUCCUCACAUUUAUUGGACACCAUGUGUUGUUCAUAAGCAUAAUCUUGCUUUAAAGAACUGUAACAUCCCGGAAAUUUAGAAGUAAAGUUGAAGGGCUAAAAGUGUAAAUAAGAAGGUCGACUCGGCGAAUCGAGUGGUGUUUCAGGUCGCGUGAUAAGUGACCAACUCGGCGAGUCGCAUGGGUAGACUCGGCGAGUUGGUGUUGUAUGGAGAAAACCCUAAUCCAGGGGGUUGAGCCCUAUAUAAAGAAAAUAAUACCCCCUCCCUAGCCUCUUUACCUUCCCUUUGAGUUCCAGAGGCCCUAAAUUCGUGUGAGCUUUCCUUUGUGAGUAAUUAGAGCCUUGGAGGAGGAUUUCUUGGAAGGGAAUUGAAGAGAUAGAAGAUUUGGAGCAAGGGUCUUUGUAGAGAUUUGGUUCAUUCUCCAGUAGGAGCUUGCAUUGGAGGUAAGAGAUCUGUUCUUGAGCUUUUGUGCAUCUAGAUCUAUCAAUUGUGGGGUUUUUGGAGCAUAAAUGAGGUUUAUCUCGAGUUUGGUGUAAGAUCUGAGGUUGCUACCUCAGAUCUAGGAUUGUAGUCGUCCAGGAAGCCAUAAAGUUCAUUCCCAAGAGUUUUUAGUGAAGCCUUCUUGUCCCAAACCCUAUCCCAAGAGUUUUCUAUGCUUAGAUCUCUUUGGAUUCACGUAAAGUUUGCAACUUUACGUGAGGAAUAGCUUGUGGAAGGGUAGAUUUAUGGAUUCGAGCCCCUGCAUGGCUUGGAAAGCCACUGAAUGGAUUAAGAGCUAAUGGUACUCAACGAGUCACAUGAGUGUACUCGGCGAGUCGCAUGAAGAUAGGCAGAAACUCGGCGAGUUGGUUGAAGAUAGCCUUGGACUCGGCGAGUAUGUUCUUGGACUCGGUGAGUCUGGUCGUGAGGUCCUAACCUUUCCUGGUUGAGCUGUGAAUCGGUGAGUCAAGGGAUGACUCAGUGAGUUGAGCAGGAAGUGACUCAGAGUUCUUGGGACUCAGCGAGUCUUCGGGCGACUCGGCGAGUUGGGUCGCGAUAUGGGAGUUUUCAGAGUUGAGGGACUCGACGAGUCAGAGGGCUGACUCGGCGAGUAGGGUCAAUCAGGAAGUUUGACUUUGACUGAGGACUUUGACUUUGACCAAGAGUUGACUAGUUGUCUUCCAAGGGUAAUUUGGUAAUUUUUGGUAUUUAUUGAGUUCGGUCUUUUGGUAUUGUCAGUGGUGGAGUUUGUGUCAGAGGUUGGAGUAGCGUGAUCUUAUCUUUUCAGUCAGCAGUUGCAUGGUGAGUUAUCCUCACUAUAUUGAUAGGCUCUAAGGCACCAAGGUCGGCCCUUUAUCGGAUUGUAAUCUGGGUAUCGUUGUUAUGUUGUUGCUUUGCUAUGUUUGCAUCUUGGUAAUUACGUUGGUAUAUGUUAGAGACCUGGUUAAGGUUGGUAUCCUAGUAUAUAGGAUGAUGCUAUGCUAGUGACCAGUUAGGUCGGUAUCCUGUUUGGAGUAUGUUAUGUUAUGUUAUCUGCUAGAUCGGUUUGAUUAGAUGUGAAUUGUUAUAUGAUUGUUUGUUUAUGUGCACAUGGUUGUCGGACUAGGGUUAGGUUGAGGUGGGUCCUGCUUUGUGCUGUAGGCCAACACACCCAGGGCGGACCGGUUAUCCCGAAGGCCAGUGAGUGGCCGGAUAGGCUGUAGGCCCUAUGAGGGCGGACCAGACGUGUCGCGACUCGGAGAGUGGACCAGGCCGACUAAAGGCCCGGUGCGGGAGGACCAGUCAUACUGUAGACUCAGAGAGUGGACCAGCUAGGUUGAAGGCCCAGUGUGGGUGGACCAACCACACUGCAGACUCGAUGGAUAUCGAUAGACUCGGAGGGUGGACCAGGUGGAUUGAAGGCCCGAUAGGGCAGACCAAUCACACAGUAGACCCGAAGUGCAUGGCUAUUCUGUUCGGUUAUGUAAUGUUAUGCGUGGUAUAUGUGGUUGGUGUUUUGGGGGUAUCUCACUAAGCUUUCGGGCUUACAGUUGUGGUUUAAUGUUUUUCAGGUACUUCAGGAGACCGUGGCAAGGAGAAGGCGUGAUCAUACAGUUCCUCAUGUUUAUGUUUUACGAUAGGGUUCUGGGAAGACUCUGAUAAUAAUUGUAUUGAAAACCUUUUUGUAAUGACUUAACGAAACUGGGUUGUUUUUUGAAAAUUUUAAAUUGGCUUCAAUUUUUAGAGUGUUACCAGUUGGUAUCAGAGCCUUGGUUUGAGUGAAUUGGAGGAACAUUCAUUUGAAUAUAGUCUCAAAUCAAGGAGAGUUUUCAAAGGAGAAAUUAAAAUGGUUUUCAAAAUGAGUAAAAGAGGACGCGGAGGUACGAUCAGCCGAAGCUAGUAAGUAGCCCCUAAAUACCAUGCAAGUUAUUUGUUUAUGUAAUAUGAUAGAACAACAUGCUAGUACUAGGCUAGGGAUCUUCAAGAAUUUCAUGAUAGUGUUGCCUGAUUUGUGAUGCCUGCUAGCCUAGGGUUUCUUUCUGUAUGAGAUAUCCAGUGUUCCUCUAGGAGUGAGGGUUGAGUGCUUGGUAUGCCUGUUCUUCACUAGGAUGUUGUCGUGAUACUUGGUAUAAAUAUGGGUAGGUGAGGAAGGUAGUAUGGGCCCGUACUACUGAAAGCACAUGACCCAUACGCGUAUCAAGGAAGUCACAACCCUAGGGCGGUGUUGAGAGUCGGCUCCCGGGUUAGUGGGAGGUAUCUGAUGUUGCGGUAUUUUCUUUCAGUAUGGUGGUUGCAAGGCAUGCUGGGAGCGGAUCCGGAUUAGGAUCGGGAGCAAGAAAGGGCGGUCAGGGUGGGUCAGCACCACCCGAGGUUAUCGGUCAGACGAGCACAAAUGAGUUGAAUGCUAGGAUUCGUGAGAUCCUACAUGAUGAGGUUGUUGCGAUGUUACGGGCUGAGUUGCCGGAACUGUUUGGGUCGAUCAAGACUGCUAUGGUUAAGUAUUUUGAUGACCGUUAUGCAUCUCUUACAGAGACGGCUACCGCGGCAGCUACAGCGGCUGUAGCAGCGGCAGGGGGAGGAGCUGGUAGAGGUUUUCAGUAUCGGGACUUCGAUAAUACGAAGCCCUUACCUUCGAUGGAGUUCAGGACCUGAUUGUUGCUAUGAGAUGGUUGUCAGACAUUGACGGGUGUUUCUUCACGUGCUCAUGCCCUGAUGAUCAGAGGGUGAGUGUGAUCUGAACCUUUUGAGGCUCGAGGUGAAGGAUUGGUCGAGGUUGACCACGGGAUCGUAUUCGGAUGUGCAGCGAGUUGCGGUUUCUUGGGAUCAGUUCAGUGAGAUGUUCAGUACCCGCUAUGUUCCACGAGUUGAGAGGGAGAGAUUAGCUCAGAAGUUCCUGGAGCUGAAGCAGGAUUCCGAGUUGGUGACGGAGAUCACAAGGAUGUUCACUAAGAGGGCGAUGUUUUGCCCUGAGUUUGCUUCUGAACAAGCCCAGAUGUCCCGAUAUUUGAGUAUGCUGAAGAGGGAUAUCAGGCAGUUUGUGUCUAUGAAUAGGUGCGAGACAUUUUUGGAGUUGCAGGAAGCCGCUAGGCGGUGGGAGUUGGAGAUCGAGUUACAGUUGAGAGAGCAGAGGCAGGCUCCGGUAUAGUCGCAACCGGCGCCGAACAGUCUAAGACCGUUGAUGUCAGUUCGAGCAGUCAGAGCAGACGCACUUGUGAGAAGUGCGGGAAGGGUCAUGUCGGAGCUUGUAGGUCCGAUGGUGCGUGCCACAAGUGCGGCAGAGAGGGGCACUACGCGAGGGAUUGUCGUCAGUCAGCCCCAGUCCAAGAUAUGAGGAUUUGCUAUCAGUGUCAUCAGGUUGGCCACAUGAGGGCCAACUGUCCACAGCUAGUUGGGAGGUUGGUGUAGGCUCCAACACCGGCCACAUUAAGGAUUACGGGUGGAGGUCAAGGUGGAGCAGAGCCCCUGAGGGCUUAGGGUCGUGCUUUUCAUCUUACAAUAGAGGAGGUCAAGGCAGUUCCGGAUGUAACUACGGGUACGUUUCCUUUUUGAUAUUUUGUUAUCCUGUGAUUAUUAUGGAGUAUUGUAUAUCUGCUAGUUUCGUUGUGUGAUUUUUGGUAUUGUAUCUGUUGCUCCUUGAGGAUUAUGGUAUGGUUAAGGGUUUGGCAUUGGGAGUGUUGUUGGUUAUCAUCCAUGGGGAUUAUUAGUGGGAAAUCAGGCUUUUGGUCUGAAUCUCGGGUAGCAUCUGCAGUUUGAAGAGUGGUUAGCUGAAGGUCGGGCUUCUUUCAAGUCCGAGAUGAUCAGUGUUGAUAUGUGAUUUUGUGAAGGUUGUUUGUUCUAGUGGGAAUCAGUUCGCGUGUAAAGGAAUGUGCUGUGCAGGGAUGUUAAGGGAGGUCGGUUAUGGCGACUGGUGGUUGAUAGUCAGAGCUCUAAGUGGGGAGAAUUGGAAAAUUCUCUGGAAGAUCGACAAGCAUGAGAGGUUGAUUAGCUGUCUGGGAUUCAACAGCGGUUCUAUCAACCAAGAGCGUAGGCUGGUAUGAGCAAGUGACAGGCAAGCGGGGCAGGUUACAGACCAAGGGUUUUGUAAAAAGGGUGAUUUAGUGUGGAAGGCCUAGGAUUAGGCCGGAAUUGAGUAUGUAGGAUGGAGUUAGAGUUCGGAACCCCCGAGAGGGCUAGACCUGUAUGCAUGGAAGAGUUUUCCAAAGGGAUAAUUUGGGAUGAUAAAUGUUGGAAUAGUGUCUAAGGCUGCAACUAUAUUAGGCAAGUAUUUGACUCGAUUGUACAUGGUCCUUUUAGGUUGCCUUCACCAUAGCAACUUGACAGGAUGAUUUAUUAUGAGAGAAUAGAUAUUAUUAAUAUAUUAUGAGAAUAAUAUAAGGAAUAAUAAUAUUGUUAUUUGAUUAAUAUAAGUCAUAGAUUAAUUAGUAUUAAUUUGGUGACUUAAAGAGAUUAAUUAAAUAAGAGGGUAUAAAUUGUCAAUUGUUUGAUAGUUACACUUUGGGCUAUGAAUCCUUAAGAGAUAGGGUAUGGCCGAUUUCUAGGGCUAGGAUAAGCCUCAAAUCGUCCAAGGAUUAUCUAAGGAAAGGAUUAGGAUUGCUUAGAGUCUAAGUUAUCCAAUUAGGGUUUAAGGGUGAAACCCUAGGAGCCUUACAAGUAUAAAUAGACCCCUUGGGAUAGGGAAAUCGACAUCUCUUCUACAGCAAGAAAACCCUGGCCGAUUUCCUCCUCUCUCCUCUCUCUCAAAUCAUUCUCUUUGCUAGUUGGUGUUUGUAAGCCAUUAGAGGAGUGACAAUUGUGACUCUAAAGCUCCAAGAAAACAAGAUCAAACAAGAGAUUCAAAGGUAAACUUCUAGAUCUGAUUUUGUAUUGUUCUUAUACCUAAUUAGUCNNNNNNNNNNNNNNNNNNNNNNNNNNNNNNNNNNNNNNNNNNNNNNNNNNNNNNNNNNNNNNNNNNNNNNNNNNNNNNNNNNNNNNNNNNNNNNNNNNNNNNNNNNNNNNNNNNNNNNNNNNNNNNNNNNNNNNNNNNNNNNNNNNNNNNNNNNNNNNNNNNNNNNNNNNNNNNNNUUUCAUAUUUAUCUUAUGGAAACUUACCUUUAUCAUAUUAGAUCAACCCAAAUCCGAUUUUAUGAUAUAUAUGACUAUAUUUUUGAUCUAAUUGAAGAUAUUUAUCAAUUAAUAAAAUAUUUAAUUUCCUUAUAUGAUAAUUAUUAAUUAUUUUGAUUAAAUUGGUAAAUUGUUUUUUCAAGAAAUCAUAAAUAAAUCAAAUAUGGAUAAUUAUGUGAUUAAUUGUUAAUUUGAAUUAUUUGUUGUUUGAUCCUUUAUGUUUUAAAUGUUUAAAAAACUUGCCCUCAAGUUUUGAAAUUUAUGUUUUGUGAUUAAAAGUUUAAUUUAGACAAUUUAAAUUUCAAACCCUAGAAUUUUACAAGUUUAAAAUCCAACCCUAUACUAAUAUAAUAUUACAAGAUUAAUAUCUAUAUAUGUAUAACUUAAAUGCUAGUCUUACCGUUAGUAGGCCUCAUUCACGAAGUCGCUCUAUAAGGUGGGUAUAAGGUUGUGGCGUAUAAAAUGGCGCUUAAUGGAUGUACACUCACACCCACCGCUUGAUUGAUCGGUGGAGGGUUGUUAGUCGAACAGGUAGGAUAGGGCAACCUCAUCCUCUCAUUAAAAUUUCCCAAUCUUAGUUACUUUAGGAAAAGUGAAUUGAUGCAAUCCCAUGAAAUUACACUUUGCACCUUGCUAAGAAGUUAGUGGAGCGUGUGUGGUUUACCGGCACACUAAUUGGUUCUAAGCGAAGGUGGCAAAGGGUGAUUCAUUGUUUAUCAUAGUUCGAAGGAGCGUGUGUGGUUUACCGGCACAUCGAAUAUGUGAUCGUUGCAAUGAAGGCACCAUGUGAAUUUGCAUGGUAGUUCACCCCCGCUUUGUGAUCCUCGGUAUCCCAGUCACAAACAAGAGGGGCAUAUCGAGAUUUAAACAUGCCAUUGAAAAGUUCAAUGAAUCUCAUCCAAAACUAGGAAUUCUCAAUACAUUUAGGACUUAAAGUUAUGUUUUUCAUGGUGGAGAAUUAGUGAAUCAUCAUUCACUUACCUUCAAAUUGUUUGCAUGUUAGAUUACGGCAUCCCUUUUCUAAUAUGUAAAUAUUGUUGUUGGAUCCUAGCCCUAAUUUUUCUUAUUGGGUGAUAAUUAGGGAUUCAUAUUCUAAUCUAUCUUUGUCCUUUCUAUUUGUAGAUGUCGAACGCAAACAACGCUGCUGCUAGUUCUUUCACAUUGAUGAGCCUUUGUCAAAAGGUCACUUUCGAUGGGACGAACUUUAGCGAAUGGAUAAGAUACAUUCGCACCAUUGCUCGCUAUGAGGACAAGGAGUAUGUCCUUGAUGAGAAGCUCGAGAAAAUCAACCCUGAAAUCGCUACUCCGGCUGAAAUGACCGCUUUUGAAACUCACGAGCGUGAUGCAACGAAGGUACAUUGCAUCAUGAUAGCCACUAUGAACUCCGAAUUCCAAAAGUCCUAUGAGGACAUGUACCCGUACGAGAUGCAUCAAGACUUAUUGGAGAGAUACCACCAAAACGCGAGACAAGAGCGUUAUGAGAUUUUCACUAACAUGAUUUCCGCUAAGAUGGGUCAUGGAGAGUCUCUUACCGUGCACCUGCAAAAGAUGCAAAGGUAUGUCGACCGCCUUCGCAAGUUAAAUGUUGACUUUGGGGAAGACUUGGCGAUCGACAUGGUGCUUCACUCUUUGCCUCCGAGGUACAAUCAAUUUAGGAUGACCUACCACAUGAACAAAGAGGAGGUCACCCUAAGCAAACUCCAAGGUCUCUUGAGGGUCGCUGAGAGCAACUUCAAGGACAAGUCUGUUGCACCAACUCCCAAUCCACCCGCUGCUCCUGUCUUGGCUAUUGGACAAGGAAAGGGAAAGAAGAGGAAGGCUUCGUCUAAGAACUAUCGCAAGGUUAAAGCCCGAGAUGGUGCCUCUUCUAGUGGGACCAAAGUUGAUCCUGCUAAGCCCUGCCCUAACCCAAAGGAGGCAGAGUGCCACCACUGCCACAAGAUAGGACAUUGGAAGAGAAGCUGCCCAGAGUACCUGCAAGCCAUCAAGGAAGGAAAGAUCAAGCCAUCUUUCGCAGGUAUAUACACAAUUAAAUCUAACGAUUCUAAUCAUGCUAUUUCUUGGGUUCUUGAUACCGGUUGUGGUUACCACAUUUGUUCUAAUGUGCAGGGACUAAGAAGAAGUAGGGAUGUGGAGCAAGGAAGGAUCAAUCUAAUCAUGGGGAACAGAAGAUCGUCGCCUGUGACCAAGAUUGGAGUGUAUUCUUUAGUGCUUAGGAAUAGUUUAUGUUUAGAUUUGAACAAUUGUUGCUAUUCGCCAGAAAUGGCUAGAAACAUCAUUUCAUUUCAUGGUUUAUUUAGACAAGGUUUUAGAUUUUCUUUUAAUAAUGAGAAUGGUUCUAUUUUGGCUUAUCUAAAUGGUGUCUUUUACUUUGAAGCUAUACCAUGUAAUGGAAUUUAUGAAACUGUUAUGAUUGUUGAUAACUUAGGAAAUGAUGUUUUGAACAUAGAUUCUUCCACUAGUAUGGAUAAAGCAUCCUUGUGGCAUUGUCGUCUUGGACAUGUCAACAAGAAACGCAUAGCCCAACUCCAAAAGGAUGGAGUGUUGGAGUCAUUCGACCUUAGGGAAGAUGACACAUGCGAGUCUUUAUUACUUGGAAAGAUGACUAAGUCACCAUUCGCUGGAACGUGCGAAAGGGGCGAGGGUCUGUUGGACCUCAUACAUACCGAUGUGUGCGGAUCGUUUAGAUCUACCACGAAGGAUGGAAACCGCUUCUACGUGACUUUUACCGAUGAUUAUAGUAGAUAUGGGUAUAUCUANUAACAUAAAUUGGAGACUUUUGAAAAGUUUAAAGAGUUUAAAGAUGAAGUCAAGAAUCAAUUAGGCAUGAAGAAAAAGAUGCUCCAACCAGAUAGAGGCGAGGAGUAUCUUAGUAUUGAGUUCCACGACUACCUCAAGGAAUGUGGAAUAGUUUCACAAUUGACCCCUCCUAGGACACCACAACCUAAUGGUAUGGCUAAGAGGAGCAAUCGAACCUUGUUAGACAUGGUUCGUUCCAUGAUGAGUCGAGCUUCUCUUCCAAUUUUGUUCUCGAGGUAUGCCUUAGAUACUGCCGCCCAUAUCCUUAACCGAGUCCCUACUAAGAAGGUUUCCAAUACACCUCACGAGAUGUGGAUGGGGAAAGCUCCUUCGUUGGCACAUAUCAAGGUUUGGGGUUGCGAGGCUUUCGUAAGACGAGAUACUCACGACAAGCUCGAACCUCGAAGUGAGCGAUGUAUUUUCAUCGGCUACCCGCAGACAUCCUUUGGAUAUCUCUUCUAUAGACCGAAGGACAAUGUUGUCUUCGUUGCGAGGAGAGGAGUUUUCCGAGAGCGAGAACUCAUAAGCCAAGGAGACAGUGGGAGGCAAAUCGAGCUUGAAGAGAUUCAAGAGUCGAUAGAUGAAGGAACCUCUACCGCUGGCACUCAACCCGAGGAGGAAACUCCGGUUGAACCGAUUGACGAAUCCUUACCUCUUAGACGUUCCGAUAGAGUUAGAGUUCAACCCCAGUUUUAUGGUUUUCAUAUUACUACCGAAGGGGACACGUAUAUUAGUGAUGGUACACUAAUAAAUCUUGAUGAACCUAAUAGCUAUAAGGAAGCCAUGGCAGGCCCGGAGUCUGCAAAAUGGAAAGAGGCAAUGGAUAGCGAGAUCCAAUCCAUGUAUGAUAACCAAGUUUGGAAUUUGGUUGAUUAUGUGCCCGGACGUAAGACCGUUGGGUGCAAAUGGAUCUUCAAGAAGAAGACCGACGUGGAUGGAAACGUACACACAUAUAAAGCGCGAUUGGUUGCGAAGGGCUUUACUCAAACUCCCGGAGUUGACUAUGAUGAGACCUUCUCACCAGUUGCGAAGAUUAAAUCUAUUAGAGUGAUGCUAGCAAUUGCCGCAUUUCAUGAUUAUGAGAUUUGGCAAAUGGAUGUCAAGACCGCUUUCCUUAACGGAAAGUUGGCUGAGGAUGUUUACAUGGCUCAGCCAGAGGGGUUUGUGGAUCCGAAGCAUCCGAAUAGAGUGUGUAAGCUUGAGAAGUCCAUUUAUGGACUUAAGCAAGCGUCUCGCAGAUGGAAUCUUUGCUUCGAUGAGAAAGUCAAAGAGUUUGGAUUUGUACGAAGCGAAGACGAAUCUUGUGUAUAUGUCAAAGCCAGUGGGAGUAUAGUAAGCUUCCUCGUUCUAUAUGUCGAUGACAUAUUACUCAUAGGAAACGACAUCCCGACUCUGCAGGAGGUUAAGUCCUGGCUCGGGAAGUGCUUCGCUAUGAAGGACCUCGGAGAGGCUUCUUACAUUUUGGGAAUAAGGAUAGUAAGAGAAAGAAGUAAGAGACUAAUUGGACUUAGUCAGAAUACUUACUUAGAGAAGGUACUAAAACGUUUUAGUAUGGAAAACUCAAAGAAGGGAGAACUACCGAUACAAAGUAAUGCCAAAUUGAGUAAGACUCAAAGUCCGAGUACCGAAGCUGAGAUAGCAGAAAUGAGCCGAGUACCAUACGCUUCCGCAGUUGGCUCAAUCAUGUACGCUAUGACUUGUACUCGCCCUGAUGUAGCCUUCGCUUUGAGCAUGGUUAGCAGAUAUCAAGGGAAUCCUGGCAGAGCACAUUGGAUUGCGGUGAAGAAUAUCCUUAAGUACCUUCGGAGGACGAAGGAAUGGUUCUUAGUCCUCGGAGGGAGUGAUGACUUGAAGGUGCGAGGGUAUAGUGACGCCAGUUUUCAGACCGACAGGGACAACUACCGUUCGCAGUCGGGCUGGGUCUUUACCCUAAAUGGAGGAGCAGUGACAUGGAAGAGUUCCAAGCAGGAAACCGUAGCUGAUUCAACGUGCGAAUCAGAGUACAUUGCAGCGAGCGAAGCGUCGAAGGAGGCAAUAUGGCUAAAGAACUUCAUCGGUGAUCUUGGAGUUGUACCUGCCAUAAAGGAGCCCAUGGAGAUUUUCUGUGAUAACGAAGGAGCGGUUGCCUUGACCAAGGAACCGAGGGAUCAUGGUAGAUCAAGACAUAUCGACAGAAAAUAUCACUUCAUUAGACAUCGUGUAGAAGAAGGACAACUCGUAGUGAAGAGGAUAUCAUCAGAAGAUAACCCAGCAGAUCCGCUUACGAAGGGACUGAGUAGGGUUAAGCACUUGCAGCAUGCUAGGAGUAUUGGGCUGAAGGAUGAUAUUAGCAUAGAUUAGAUAGUAUUAGAAACGUGUAAUAGAUAAAUGUAAUUAACAUUUGAUGAUUAAAUAAAGGAGUUUUAUUUAUGAGUAAUGUUACUGUCUUAUGUUAAUUGUUUAACUAUUGUUUCACUUUGCAUGUUUUGACUUCCAGAAUAAUUGAGUUUAUUAAGAAUAAUCGAAUUAUUCAAAUUGUCCACAAUCGUUCAUAUGUUGGAAGUAGAUAUGAAUGAAGAUUGUCAUGAAUUGGUGUGUAGAUUGUCUAAAUGGUGUUAGACAUAGCAAAAGAUUGCUGCAACGUUCAUGAGUGCUUAUGAACUAGUUUUGAGCAUUGGAACAAACCCGCGCUUGCUGGAAUCACCUUAUGGAAUAUGAUAUAAAAGGGUGAUCGCAAGACGAUAAUAUCAUAUAGUCUUAAAACCUAGAUAUAUGGUUUGUUAUUUGUUAAUUGAUUGUACAUUGAUAAUGCGAAAACGCAUCAGUAACUCGGUGUUAUAAAACGCAUUGUUGUGUAUAGUUGAUUAAUGAAUAAGUAAAUGCAUAUAAGUCGAAGUUUAUCUGUAACUUUUAUCCUAAGAAGGUAAAAGCGAUAUCUCGGCCGCUCGAUGAUUUGAUUUGACUUAUGUGUUGGGCCCGGUCAGAACUGAAUUGAUGUGUUCGAUUAAGUUCUAUGUCAAAUAAAUCGGCGAUCGAGAAACCAAAUGCUAGACUAAUCAUUCCAUAGAAUUGUCAGCAUGAUAUCUAACAGAGGACUGUACGAUCCCUUAUCUAAAGGACAAGAUUGAUUAGAUCAGAUUUGGACAGCGUCUUUGAGAGCUACGAUUGCAAAUUGGAUUGUACUUGUGCAUAUAGUUACUAGACUUAUCCAAGUGGGAGACUGUUGGAAUAGUGUCUAAGGUUGCAACUAUAUUAGGCAAGUAUUUGACCCGAUUGUUCAUGGUCCUUUUGGGUUGCCUUCACCAUAGCAACUUGACAGGAUGAUUUAUUAUGAGAGAAUAUAUAUUAUUAAUAUAUUAUGAGAAUAAUAUAAGAAAUAAUAAUAUUGUUAUUUGAUUAAUAUAAGUCAUAGAUUAAUUAGUAUUAAUUUGGUGACUUAAAGAGAUUAAUUAAAUAAGAGGGUAUAAACUAUGAAUUGUUUGAUAGUUACACUUUGGGCUAUGAAUCCUUAAGAGAUAGGGUAUGGACGAUUUCUAGGGCUACGAUAAGCCUCAAAUCAUCCAAGGAUUAUCUAAGGUAAGGAUUAGGAUUGCUUAGAGUCUAAGUUAUCCAAUUAGGGUUUAAGGGUGAAACCCUAGGAGCCUUACAAGUAUAAAUAGACCCCUUGGGAUAGGGAAAUCGGCAUCUCUUCUACAGCAAGGAAAACUUGGCCGAUUUCCUCCUCUCUCCUCUCUCUCAAAUCAUUCACUUUGCUAGUUGGUGUUUGUAAGCCAUUAGAGGGGUGACAAUUGUGACUCUAAAGCUCCAAGAACAAGAAGAUCAAACAAGUGCUUCAAGGUAAGCUUCUAAUUCUGGUUUUGUAUUGUUCUUAUACCUAAUUAGCCAUUAGAAGUCUUGGAUUCAGUGCAUGUUUAAUUAGAGAAACUUAGAUCCAAACAUUAGGGUUUGUAUGUGCACAUAGGAAUGUUCAUAUGUCUAAAACCCAUCAAUAAAUGCUAGUCGAGAGGUCCGGAUAGACUGAAGGCCGGUGGGCAUACCAGUCAGGCUGAAGGCCCUGGAGGGCGGUCCAGACAUGCUGAAGGUUCUGAGAGUGGUCUAGAUUGGCUGAAGGCUUGGUAAGGCGGUCCAGUCAUGUUGAAGACUUCGCAUGUGUCAAUAGAUAUGUAUGAAGAGAUGGAAUGAGCAUGUUGCGAUAUGAUAGCAUCAGAAGGUCUGGCCCCGGGCAUUGAUCAUGAUUAGUGGAAGGUAGUGCAUGGACUUGAGAGUACUGGCGAGCAGAUUUAGAGCAUGUGUGGUGCAUGGGAUAGCAGUUAUGCUAUAAGGGAAUGGUGUAGCGUUGGGCGAGCACCAUGGCACUUGUUGUAGUGACAAGGCGGCCAAGUAGAUUUCCUUGGAUAAGGAAAGGGAAAGGUAUGUAGCUCUGAGAGGGAGUGUAAGUUAAUGGAAGCGAAAGCAGUAGCGCAGAGGUAUGAUUGAGGUGUUUGAAUCAUGGUUAUUGAGCAGAGUGUUUGCGGCAGUGUUAUGGAAUCACAUACGGGUUGGAUGGCUGCGUAGGUCACGGAAGGAGUUCCGCGGGUGUAGAGCCAAAGAGGCUUUGAAGGGAUGCAAGGAUGGAGCCUUAGAUUCCCAGUUUGGUGUGAACAAGGAAUUAUGCUUGUAGCGGUAAUUCAUCCUAGGGGGGAUGUUUGGAGGUGUCAUCAGUGCGUCGGGUUUUCCCAACCCGAGAAUGCUAGAGCUAGUUCAACAUGUGUAUGUGAUGACAGAGAAGAACUCAUGGGAGUUGCUCUAAAGCUGAAGGAAGUGUUGUCAUGUCAGCAUGGAAGGGAUAGAGUUGGACUCAGUAAAGGAUCAAGUUAAGUCUUAGUAGUGAAUUCGGUGAAGGAUAUGUCUGACGAGGAAAAUGAUAGCAGUGCGGUACUGGGUCGGGAUCCCGGUGGUUCAAGGUUAUAUCUAGCUCGUAAGAGUCAAGUGAUUAUUGUGAUCUGGAACGAGUAAAGUACCAUGAAGUGGUACUCGGUUGAUAGGUGUGGUUAUCAAAGGAUGAAACCGGUGGCCGGCUUGAGGCGGUGGUCAGGACACUGCAGGGGAAGAGUUGGGUUUCGGGUUUCGAUGGUAGUGUUUUGAGGAACCUGGUUUGGUUAAUGCUAGGUUGUGCAUUGCAAGAAUAGUUAUUGGAAUUGUGUGUUGCAGCAGGCUUCGGGGACGAAGCCUAAUUUAAGUGGGGGAGAAUUGUAACAUCCCGGAAAUUCAUAAGUAAAGUUGAAGGGCUAAAAGUGUAAAUAAGAAGGUCGACUUAGCGAGCCUAUGGAUAGACUUGGCGAGUCGAGUCACGUUUCAGGUCGCGUGAUAAGUGACCAACUCGGCGAGUCACAUGGGUAGACUCGGCGAGUUGGUGUUGUAUGGAGAAAACCCUAAUCCCGGGGGUUGAGCCCUAUAUAAAGAACAUAAUACCCCCUCCCCAGCCUUUUUACCUUCCCUUUGAGUUCCAGAGGCCUAAAUUCGUGUGAGCUUUCCUUUGUGAGUAAUUAGAGCCUUGGAGGAAAUCUUGGAAGGGAAUUAAAGAGCAAGAAGAUUUGGAACAAGGGGCUUUGCAGAGAUUUAGUUCAUUCUCCAGUGGAAGCUUGCAUUGGAGGUAAGAGAUCUGCUCUUGAGCUUUUGUGCAUCUAGAUCUAUCAAUUGUGGGGUUUUUGGAGCAUAAAUGAGGUUCAUCUCGAGUUUGGUGUAAGAUCUGAGGUUGCUACCUCAGAUCUAGGAUUGUAGUGAUCCAGGAAGCCAUAAAGUUCAUGCCCAAGAGUUGUUAGUGAAGCCUUCUUGUCCCAAACCUUAUCCCAAGAGUGUUCUAUUCUUAGAUCUCUUUGGAUUCACGUAAAGUUUGCAACUUUACGUGAGGAAUAGCUUGUGGAAGGGUAGAUCUAUGAAUUGGAGCCCCUGCAUGGCUUGGAAAGCCACUCAAUGGAUUAAGAGCUAGUGGUACUCAGCGAGUUGCAUGAAGAUAGGCAGAAACUCGGCGAGUUUGAAGAACAACUCGACAAGUUGGAAGAACAACUCAGCGAGUUGGUUGAAGAUAGCCUUGGACUCGGUGAGUCUAUUCGUGAGGUCCUAACCUUUCCUGGUUGAGCUGUGAAUCGGUGAGUCAAGGGACGACUCGGUGAGUUUGAGCGGGAAGUGACUCAGAGUUCUUGGGACUCAGCGAGUCUUCGGGCGACUCGACGAGUUGGGUCGCGAUAUGGGAGUUUUCAGAGUUGAGGGACUCGACGAGUCAGAGGGCUGACUCGGCGAGUAGGGUCAAUCAGGAAGUUUGACUUUGACUGAGGACUUUGACUUUGACCAAGAGUUGACUAGUUGUCUUCCAAGGGUAAUUUGGUAAUUUUUGGUAUUUAUUGAGUUCGGUCUUUUGGUAUUGUCAGUGGUGGAGUUUGUGUCAGAGGUUGGAGUAGCGUGAUCUUAUCUUUUCAGUCAGCAGUUGCAAGGUGAGUUAUCCUCACUAUAUCGACAGGGUCUAAGGCACCAAUGCCGGCCCUUUAUUGGAUUGUAAUCUGGGUAUCGUUGUUAUGUUGUUGCUUUGCUAUGUUUGCAUCAUGGUAGUUAGGAUGGUAUAUGUUAGAGACCUGGUUAAGGUCAAUAGCUUGGUAUAUAGGAUGAUGCUAUGCUAGUGACCGGUUAGGUCAGUAUCAUGUUUGGAGUAUGUUAUGUUAUUUGAUCUGCUAGAUCGGUUUGAUUGGAUGUGAAUUGUUAUAUGAUUGUAUGUUUAUGUGCACAUGGUUAUCGGACUGGAGUUGGGUUGAGGCGGGUCCUGCUUUGCGUUGUAGGCCAACACACCCAAGGAGGACCGGUUAUCCCGAAGGCCAACGAGCGGUCCGAAUAGGCUGUAGGCCCCACGAGGGCAGACCAGACGUGCCGAGGCUCGGAGAGUGGACCAGGCCGACUGAAGGCCCGGUGCAGGCGGACCAGUCAUACUGUAGACUUAGAGAGUGGACCAGGUGGGUUGAAGGCCCGGUGUGGGCGGAUCAACCACACUGCAUACUCGAUGGAUAUCGAUAGACUCAUAGGGUGGACCAGGUGGAUUGAAGGCCCGGUAGGGCGGACCAGUCACACAGUAGACCCGAAGUGCAUAGAUAUUCUGUUCGGUUAUGUUAUGUUAUGCGUGGUAUAUGUGGUUGGUAUUUUGGGGGUAUCUCACUAAGCUUUCGGGGGCUUACAGUUGUGGUUUAUAUUUUUCAAGUACUUCAGGAGACUGUGGCAAGGCGAAGGCGUGAUCGUACCGCUCCUCAUGUUUUUGUUUUACGAUAUGGUUCUGGGAAGACUCUGAUAAUAAUUGUAUUGAAAACCUUUUUGUAAUGACUUAAUGAAAGUGGGUUGUUUUUGAAAUAUUUAAAUUGGCUUGAACUUUUAGAGUGUUACAAGAACAUUUGUUCACCAAGGAAUGUAAAAACAAAUGAACUAACAUAUGAACAGUGCCGCUGAAUAAAAGAAGUUCACGAAGAGGCAUUUGCAAUAUUAAAUUUCAUCAUGAACCAUAACAUGAGGCUCUCGAUUUUCACCAAGUUUACUCCUCUUAGGCUGCUUUGUGUUGCUGACACUCGCUUUGCCUCCAUUAUUGUGAUGCUUAAGAGAUUGAAACUUAUCAAAAAGGGUCUUCAAGCUAUGGUCAUAAGCGAAGAAUAGUGUUCUUAUAGAUUAGAUGACACUGAGAAAGCAAACGCUGUGAAAGAGUAUAUUUUGAAUGAUGAUUGGUGGGAUAAAGUAACAUAUAUUCUUAGUUUCACUGGAGCUAUAUAUGAGAUGAUUAGAGCUUGUGACACUGAAAAGCCAUGUUUACACUUGGUCUAUGAGAUGUGGGAUUCUAAGAUUGAGAAAGUGAAGAUUGAGAUCUACAAGAAAGAAAAACGUCCGAAAUCUCAAAUAAGUUGUUUUUACAAUGUUGUGCAUCGUAUUUUAAUUGCUCGAUGGGCGAAGAAUAACACUCCCCUACAUUGUUUAGCUCACUCUUUACAUCCAAUGUAUAAGAUUUUAAAUUAUACACUUGAUUUGUAUUAUAUAUUUAUGUUUUAACUUUUGGAUGUUUGUAGAUAUUAUAGUGAUGCAUGGUUAAUGGAGGAUUCUACAAGAUGCGCUCCACAUAGGGAUGAAGAUGGGAUAAGGGAGAUGUGGGGCCAAUAAGAGCUUCUUCUAAUGCUCAUUUCUUUUGAAUUUGGGCAUUUAUCGAUUUUCAAAGAAAAAAGUGAAGGAAACACCUUUUCUGGUAGAUGUAACGUUUUUGGGCAGUUGGAAACAGAGAGAUGCUGGAGAGAGGUGAGGUGUUGGAGUCUCCCAUUGAAACUGAUUCCGGUUUCCCAAAUUCCAGUUUCCCAAAUUCCUUUUUUCCUUUAUGGAAACAGAAGCAAGAGAUGAAGGAAGAAGAUGUGACAAUUGAUUACAGUUUUUCACAUCAUUAUAUAGUCCGCGAUAUAAUAUUAAGUUAUCUAGUGUAGGAGUGUUCAAAACCGGAUAUCCGAAAAUUUGGAUAUCCGAAUUUCGGAUAUCCCAAAAUUCAGAUAGUGUAUUAUUGGUAUCUAAAUCCGUAUCCGAAAUUUCAGAUAUCCGAAUUUUCGGAUACGAAUUCGGAUAUCAAUAUCGGAUAUCCAAAUUUUUUGGCUUUUUUGUUAUUAUCAAAUAUCGAUUAACUUAAAAUAACCUAUUUUAAAAUAUAUUAAGUUGUUAAUUGUCUAUAAGAUGCAACUCAACCCAACAGUUACAAACCACUUGCAAUUCAAAACAAAAAAGACGUUGAGCCAUCAUGUAUUAAAUGUUAAAACAUUUGUAACCACAAUUAGACUCAUUGUUCGGAUAGACCUAAAAAGAUAAAAACAUUUCGCUCUUAAUGUCCUAAUAAAUAAAACAUAACCACCUUAAAAAAAACUAUAAUUUCAGUUUUAGUUGCAAGUCAUCAUAUGUAUCGAUUUUGAAAGUAAUCCUAUAAGCUCCUUUAUAUUUGUUUUAUGUGGAAAAAGAAAAGACACUUCCAUUUGUCAUGAAGAUUAUGUUCAUCUGUUUCAAGUUAAUAAUAUUAUUAGUUAACAGAUUCGUACUUAACAUUUUGCCUUUUCAAAAUGUUCAUAACCAUCUUAUAACAAAAAUAUAAAUCAUACAUUCCAUAUUAAAAGUAAACCUAUUUAUUAUAUAAAAGCAUUUAGUUUACCUUGUGAAUAAUAAAUAAAAUAUGAUAAAAAUAAUAAAAAAUAAAUUUUUGGAUAUCGGAUAUCCGAAAUAUUCAAAAUUUUAGAAAACGAGUAUUUGUAUCCGAAAGUGAUAGCAGUACAAAGAGGUGCAACAUGUGCAGAGAGAGAAUUGCUAAUGCUAUCAUGUCACAUGGAUACGUAACAAUGUAAGUAUUUGUAUGACUUUUCGUACAAACAUCUCCAAAACACUUCUGAUUAGAGCAUUUUAAAACUAUUUCUACUGUCAAAGCAGUACUAAUUUUCUCACAAGCAAAGCCACAAACACCUUGUGUGCAAACUUAUCAACCACUUUCCAUAGUCUUCAAAGUCCCUCUGUUUGAACCAGCAGUUGGCAACUCACAGACAGGUCGAGGUGGAAAUGGAGGCGGAGGCUAGUUUCUAUGUUUUAUCAUAAGCCCACUGUUAAAAGAUCCAUGUUAAUAAUAAUUUUAUAACAGGAAUGAUACUGAGUAAAUUGGCACAUAGUAGUAGAGAGCUUACCCUUUGCAAUUUUUCCCCCAUUGUUUCUGUUGUUCGAUCAUUACAGAUUGUCCAAAAAGAUCAAGCUGAUAAAUUUAUAAUCCAUCUCCAAGAUUUGAUCCCACAUAAAUUACAAACUCCUACAUCUCCAAAUUUAUGAAAAACAUACAAAAGUCAGAAAGUCUAUAAAGAGAAGUUGUUCAUUCGGAAAUGACUACCGGAUACAUUAUGACAAAUUAAUUAUACGAGUACAAUUCAGCAAUUAUUCACCAAAUAACAAAAGAAAAAAUAAUUGAAAAAUGAAUCAUAAACAAUAAAACACAUAUCAUGGUCCCUCCAAAGAAGUACACUAAAUAGAAAUACCAAAUAUGCUCUGAAAGGAAAAAACAUGGAGCUAAUAAAUAUAUGGCAGUGAAAGAUAAAUAGCAUUUCUGUUCACGAUAAUUCACAAAUAUAGAAUCAUAUUUAGCCGUGUUAAUAUCGAUCUACUUAAUGAAAAUUACAUCAACAUAAUCUUAAUGGGUUUAAUUAGUAUUAAAGCGGGUCAGAAGUCAUGCAUAAGACUACAUUAAAUUAGGCGGUAUAUUAUCAAAAUGACUCAUGAUUUGAAAGUAUUUAACUUGUUUGUUUGUACUACAUUAAGUUAUUAUUAUUCUUAUCCUUGUGAUUUCUUCUACAACUUUAAAAGACAAUGAUAACUUUAGUCUUCACAACCAAUCCUAGUCCACCAUACACCAACUUAAUUCCUUUUGCAAUCCAUUGUGGUACUCUCACGUUUUACAGCCCUAAUCAUAUUAAAUCAGUAAACAUACCAUGUUAACAAACGAAUAUCUAGACGUAAAUAGAACUUUUAUCGAAAUACAUCCUUGGAUAUCUAAAAUGUUGGUUGAAUGGCAGUAAUUUAAUUUAUACGUUAUGGAAGUAAAAGAAGUCAAAAGGCAUAGAUAAUGGCGCACCUUCACAAAAAAAUAUAGUCAUCCUCGUGGAGGCGUGGGAUUAGAGAGACGACGGGCCAAUAGGAGCCUCCUAUACUAGUCUUUUUUUUCAAAUUUGGGCAUUCAAUAAUUCCCAAACUCAAAAGUGAAGACAACUUUUCAGGUAGAUCCAUCAUCUUUGGGCACUUGACAAUGGUGAGAUGUUGGAGGGAGGUGAGGUGUUGGAGUCCCGUUGAAACUGAUUCCAGUUUCUCAAAUCUUUCUAUGCAAAGCUUAGUAAGAGAUGAAGGAAAAAGACCGGACAACCGACUAAAAUCAGUCACAUCUUCAUAUGGUCCGCCAUAUAGAUGUAGGUAACCAAGUGAGGUUGGAAAACUCUGUGGGCCCCACUCUGACAUGGGCUUCUUCAACCCUCCUAUGGUAAGGUGACACAGUUUUGGUGGCCAAAGCCCACCAGGAAAGGAAGCAUCCAUACUUGUACAGUUUUGUAUUUGCAAAUGUGUUAACGAGGCAAGAUUCGGCAACUCAUGGUCAGGAAAUGGAAAUGACUCCAGACUUGGACACUCUUCUAUUCUGAAUGUGGUCAGAUGGAUGAAGUACUUCAAUUCAUUCAUCGAUUUAAGUUUCUUGCAGUUCCAGAUGGAAAGUGACUUGAGCUUCUGCCCUCCUCCUGUUGGGAAAGACACAGAUGUAAUUGAAUCACAGGUAAAAAUAAACAAUGACUGAAGACUAUCUGGACAGCUGCAAUGCUGUAAGCUGUCACAAUCAGAUACCCACAACCACCUAAGAGAUUUUAGGUUGCUCCCACAAUUAUCCUCCUCUUUCUCUCCUAAACUCACCAAAUUUGAACAAUAAAGUACCUUCAACCUCCUUAAAUUCGCAAGAAGCUUACCUGCCUCUGCUUCAGAUUCCCACAGGUAUCUUAUUUCACUACAGCAUUCUAUUCUUACUUCUUCAACUUCCCUAAGAUACUUCAUAACACCUCCCCACACCUCAUGAGUAAGACCUGAAAUAUCAUAUAAUAUCAACUUGGUGACUGAUGAAGCGACAUGAACCAGGCUUGUCAACACACCAUGACCACAUCCUUUUACUGUCAUAACUCUGAGUAAAGGUAGUUUUUCAAGUGAGACUUCAACCAGAUUAGGACAAAAUAGAAUAAUAAGCUCUUUAAGGCAUGGAAACACUGCUGCAUCUACAACCCCAUUGUUAUUGGUUGACCAUACCCCCCAUGAUGGCAUACUAUCAAAAGUUAGAAUUUCAAGGGAUGGGAAUGCAACACCUGUUCCAAGCAACUCCCAACCUACAACUUUCACCUUACUCAUCUUCCCAAUAUACAACUCCUUAAGUGAUGGUAGCUGCCCAAGUCUUGGUAGAGAUGUACAUUCUUCACACCCAUAUAUCGACACGUGAGUCAACCUAAGAAACGAAGGAUCCCCAACCCAAUUAGGAAACUCUAUACCCGCAUAUGACACAAUUUCAAGCUUCUUCAAACUAUCAGUUUGAGGCUUCAGCUCAGUAAGGACCUCCUUAUCAUGUGUCUCCUUUCGAAAAACAUUCAACUCAGACAACCCAAAACUCACAGCAAACUCCAACAUAUGAAGCCUCUUUUGCAAUAACCCAUAACCCCAAUCCAACUCUAACUCGGUAAGCCUCUUUUGUGAUAAGUGUGAGCCGCGUGCCUCCGUUUCAUUUUGUACAUUGCCCAACCCCCAAAUGGAAAUUUUCCCAUGGAGAUUUUGCAAGUUUUUAAGCUCGGUUAUUGCAAAUCCGUUUUCACCACCAAUUAUGAUCUUGGAGAGAGUUUGUAGGCCUUUCAACUCACCAAUCCCUAAGGGCAUCUUCUUCAAACAAGGAGUAUCCCUAAUGUCCAAAUGCCUCAAAUUUUUAAGCUUUAAGAAGCUAUUGGGCAACUUAGUUAAACAUCUACAGCCAAAAAGGAUCAAUGUCUGGAGAUUAUAAAGCUUGUAGACAUUUUCUGGUAAAAGUUUGAUAUAAGUUCGAGAUAAAUUCAGAUACCGCAAGUGCUUUAAACUGCCAAUGAAUUCGGGUACCUCGCUUAUGCCAAGAUGACUCAAACUUAGGACCCUUAACAAUGGUAACUCCUGAAGUAAGUUAUCCAGGACCUUAUUUGAUAAGUAGAAUGUUUCCCUCUUUCUUAUCGCCCCAACAGAUAAGGCUAAUAAUGUUCUCAAACUUUUAGCUCCUUUUAGUGGCUCGAACCUUCCGGAAACCAUGUAUUCCUCACGAACAAAUGACAGAUGACGGUACUUUUCGAAUGAUUCAUUCCUAUAUUCUUUCUCCAUCCCAAUGUCUACCCUUGAAAAAAACUCUCCAGCAACAGAUGUGGCCAAGUCACUCAUGAGAUCAUGCAUCACAAACAACGAUUUGUCAUUUGGUGCAGCUUGAAAAAAUGACCUUGACCACAACGCAUUAAAAUACUCGAGACCCAAGCGUUCCAUUGUCUUGUUUGUCGUUGAUUGCAAAAAACCUUCUGCCAUCCACAACAGAAUCAACUUCUCCUUGUCAAACUCAAAGUCCUUGGGGAACAAGGAGCAGUAUGCAAACAACUGCUUCAAACAUGGAGAGAGAUCAUGGUAGCUUAAUUUGAGAGCUGGAACAAUCCCAUCUCCCUUUUCUAGACUCCAUAUCUCACUAUUCAGCACUUCUUUCCAGUCUUCCUCAUCUAUUUUUGUCCUUAAUAACCUUCCAAGUGCUUUCAAAGCCAACGGCAACCCAUUACAUUUUCUGACAAUACCUUCACCAUGUGGUUUAAGUAGCGGAUGUGAAUCAAAGUUUUUUUCUCCCAAUGCAUGCUGACAAAAUAAGGAUAAAGCACUUUCAUCUGAUAGAAUAGGCAAAUGAUAAGGUUCAUUGUUACCAAGUUGGGUUAACAACGACAUCUUCCUGGUUGUCAUGAUAACUUUACUUCCGGGUGCCCCUGCAAGAAAUGGCCCUGCUAGGAUUUCCCAAUCCGUAUAGCUUUCACUCCACACAUCAUCUAAAACAAGCAGAAAUCGCUUAUUUGAGAUCUUCUCUCUUAAAGCUACUUGCAGCAGAUUUAAAUCCUUAAAUACUUGGUUUCCCCCACCUACUGAUUGAAAAAUAAUAUUGCUUAUAUUGAAGAUAUCAAACUCAUCAGAAACACAGACCCACGCCAUGAGUUCGAAAUCAUCCUUCCCUUGCAUUUCAUUAUACAAAAGUCUAGCGAGAGUGGUCUUACCUACCCCACCCAUACCAACUAUGGGCACGAUGCUAAAGUUUCUAUCACAUGGUUCAUAUAGCUUGUGGAUCAAAGCAUCCUUUUCAUCUUUGCGUCCAAUAAUACUAGAUGCAUCUACCAGAGAGGUCUCUAACCUUCUAUUUCUAUGUUUUGGGCUUUCACCUAUCACACUCAAACCAAGCUUAUAUUUUUCCUCAAACAGUUCUUCUAACUUGGUGAUAAUAUUUUCAAACCUGUCGUGCAUCCUAACACUUUCGGGUGAGAUAGUAAACAUACUUGGUAAGAGCUUUCUUAACUUGCUCGGGGUUUCAGAUUCCUCUGAGAAUUCACGAUGCAUAGCUUCAGUUUCCAAUUCGUCAAGUAGGUCGUCUAUGUCGUAAGCCAAAUGUUGGAGACUAUUCAGCCAUUCUUUAACAGCUUCCUGACGUAUUUCCUUCUCAGAAGCAUCAUUAAGCAGAUCUUUGAUCUUGAUUAACGACAUCUUUAAUUUCUCCAUGUCGUCGUCAUCGAUUUUCUUGAAACGAGCAAACUGCUUGAAGGUAUCAGAGGCCAGCUUGUCACAAAACAAAGAGUACAAGGCAGAAAUGAUUCCAGCCAUUGCUUGUGGUGAAGGCGUAGGUAUGAAUGAUCGGGAUGAAGAUGAAUUAAGUGUGACUGUGGAUUGAAAAGAACGAUUCAAGCCUUAGUUCAGUUAGUUGUCCAUUGUUUUGGUCAACGUCUUUUUACCACUGCUUUACUUUUGUACUACCUCCGUCCCAAAUUGAUAGUCCACUUUUGACUUUUGAAGUCUUUUUCCUUCAAUUUUGACCUUAAAUAUUUUUGUUUUUUAUAGAUAAUACUUGAUGCAAAAUAUAUGAAUGGAUUAUAUUUUAAAUGUUUUUUCAUUGUUAUAAGUUUUAUCAAGUAAUAUAUAACACAAAUAAAACUAUUUAAGGUCAAAGUUGAAGAAAAAAGACUUCAAAAAUCAAAAGUGGACUAUCAAUUUGGGACGGAGGGAGUAUUAUAAAUAUAAAGUGAUAUUUCCACUAGUAAUUUUAAAUUUUUAAUUCAUCCACUUAACAAAUAUGUAAUCAUUUUAUAUAUAAAGUGAUAUUUCCACUUGUGAAUUAAAAUUUUUAAUUCAUCCACUUAACAAAUAUGUAAUCAUUUUAAAUAUAAAGUGAUAUUUCCACUUGUGAUUUUCAAUUCUUAAUUCAUCCACUUAACAAAUAUGUAAUCAAAUGACUCAACAAAUUUUCACAUCUCUGUUCCUAUAACUGAUGUCUACUUGGACCUGAGCCCAUUUAUUUUUAACUGCUGUCAUACACAUGUCAUAUAAUACAAAAUUUCUGUAGUGAGAUAUAUUUUCUAGGUGGCCCACAAAGAUUAGCAUUAUGCCAUUAUACAGAACUUGUGCUGUGUAUGCUAGAAAACACGUUUAAAAUGUACAAAACUGUUGCUAACACUACAGGAAAGUGAUAGCAGUACAAAGAGGUGCAACAUGUGCAGAGAAUUGCUAAUGCUAUCAUGUCACAUGGAUAAGUAACAAUGUAAGUAUUGGUAUCGACUCUUCGUACAAACAUCUCCAAAACACUUCUGAUUAGAGCAUUUUAAAACUAUUUCUACCAUCAGAGCAGUACUAAUUUUCACACAAGCAAAACCACAAACACCUUGCGUGCAAACUUAUCAACCAUUUUCCAUACUCUUCAAAGUCACGUGUUUGAGACAGCAGUUGGCAUUUGGCAACUCACAAACAGGUCGAGGUGGAGAUGGAGGCGGAGGCUAGUGUCUAUGUUUAUCAUAAGCCCACUGUUAAAAGAUCCAUGUUAAGGAUAAUUCUAUAACAGGAAGGAUACCGAGUAAAUUGGCACAUAGUAGUAGAGCUUACCCUUGGUUUCUUCUUCUGUUUUUCUUCAUCUGUUUUUUUUUUACCUUCAUUUCUUCUUGUAUCAAUGCAAAUGCUUCAUCAAUUAUUUCUUCUUCUGUUUUUAUGAUAUUAUCAGAAUUGAGAAACAAUUUAAGUGACACAGUAUUGAAUGAAAUGAUAUAACCAUAGAUGGAAAUGUUUUAAGUAAAAUUAAGAAGAAAUUGAUGUAUCUGUUUUGUUUGAAAAUGAAAAAUUACGUUCAUUCUUGUAUCAAUGCGAACUCAUUCAUCAAUUAUAGCUCCUAAUGCCAUUGGUAUGAAUUUAACUUUAGAAUUAUGAAAACUACUCGCACUAUCAAUACUUACACCAAUCAUUUACGAACAAGUUAAAAAGUAAAUUACUAAAAUCGUUCCUAUGGUUUUGUCAAAAUUUGGUCCCUAACUUUUUCUUUGCACUCGGACCAUCCCUAUGGUUUGAUUUCGUUGUGUUUUUCGUCCCUAUGGUUUGGUCAAAAUUGCACGUUUGGUCCUUAAUUUUAUGUAUGUAAGGGAAAAAACACGCAACAAAAUCAAACCAUAGGGACGAUCCGAGUGCAAAAGAAAAGUUAGGAACCAAACGUGAAAUUCUAACCAAACCAUAGGGACGAUUUUAGUAAUUUACUCAAGUUAAAAUUAAAAAAAGAAUUAAACUAUAAGGAUCUGUGACUCUGCAGAUAGCAUAAAAGAAACCAACCUUACACACCCGAUGGCAUAUGCAUUAGCAUUGAAUGCUACAAUUGUGAAUCAUAAGGGUGGGUCAUGAAUCCUGCAAAAAUAAAUCAACAUAAGUUUUUCAUUCCAAAAUGACUACCGGAUACAUCAUGUCAAAUUAAUUAUGUGAGCAAAAUUCAUCAAUUAUUUUACCAAAUAACAAAAGAACACAUAAUUUAACAAUGAAUCAUAAACAGUAACACGCAUAUCAAGAUCACUCCAAAGUACACUAAAUAGAAAUACCAAAUAUUCUCUAAAAGGGAAAAACAAUGGAGCUAAUAAAUAGAUGGCAGUAAAGAUAAAUAGCAUUUUUGUUCACAAUAAUUUCACAAAUAUAGAAUCAUAUUUAGCUGUGUCAAAAUUGAUCUACUUAAUAAAAAUUCCAUUCACUUCACCUUAAUGGGUUUAAUCAGUGUUAGUACUCGGUACUUAAAUCAUAUGGGUACAACAGUAGGUUGAUAUUAGGCAGUACAUAAUCAAAAUGAUUCAUUAUUUGAACGUAUUUAGCCUGUUUGUUUGUUCACCAUUAAUUUUGGAUAUUUUACAACGUAAUAAUGUACUGAUUUCUAGAUGUUUGGUUUGGUAACCAGUUUAAUUCAGUAAGCAUGCCAUGUUAACAAACAAAUAUUGAGACACAAAUAAAACUUUUGUUGUAAAAAUACAUAGGCACUUGGAUUGAGAUAAUAUUUAAAAAUUUUGUUCGAUUUACAGUUAUUUAAUUUAUACAUUACGAAAUAAAAAGAAGUUAAAAGACAUAGAGAAGGCCGGACCUUCACAAUAAGAUAUAGUCAUCCUCGGAGAUGCAGGGGAAUUAGGGAAACGACGGGCCAAUAGGAGCCUCCUAUACUAGUCUUUUUUUUCAGAUUUGGGCAUUCACUAAUUUUCAAACUCAAAAGCGAAGGCAACAACUUUUCUGGUAGAUCCAUCAUCUUUGGGCACUUGACAAUGCUGAGAUGUUGGAGGGAGGCGAGGUGUUGGAGUCCCGUUGAAACUGAUUCCAAUUUCUCAAAUCUUUCUAUGCGAAGAGAAGUAAGAGAUGAAGGAAAAAGACCGGACAACCGACUAAAAUCAGUCACAUCUUCAUAUGGUCCGCCAUAUAGAUUCGGCAACUCAUGGUCAGGAAAUGGAAAUGACUCCAGACUUGGACACUCUUCUAUUCUGAAUGCGGUCAGAUGGAUGAAGUACUUCAAUUCAUUCAUCGAUUUAAGUUUCUUGCAGUUCCACAUGGAAAGUAACUUGAGCUUCUGCCCUCCUCCUGUUGGGAAAGUGACUUGAGCUUCUGGAGGAAUCCUAAUCACCUCCAGCUAACAUGAUCAACCCUUCCACACCUGCAGCAGCCUAAACCCUUGGAGUGGCAGACUCCCUUGUGCACUCCCCCAUACAUGUUGCACUGCCUCUAGCCCUGUUGUCCUUUCACCCGAUGAUCAGAAGUCUUGGGUCUCUCCUCGGGACCCUCUACUAUACACACCUGGCAUGACCCUCUCUUCCCAUGGUACUCUAAGUCAAUCUCGCAUCUGCAACCCUUACGUAUCUAUGACAUCCCCAUUUUCACGGCCAGAAAAGAUUGAUUUUGUUUAUGCUUUAUAAAAAUCAGAGUAUCUCUUUCAAUAAAAACGUUGCGGAAUUUGUUCCCAGAAAAACAUCAUAAUUUCAUUAUCAAACCAUUUUCGAAGAAAUAUAUUUUUAUUCCUUUUAAAACAUUUGGGAUGUCGCAUCAAUACAGAAACAUAAGCAUAAACAUAACUUACAUUCAUUUACACUAGUGAUCUAUAUCCCCUUAAUCUCUUAGUGUAAUGUAACUUCACAUCAUCACCCGUGACACAAGUAAACUAAGUGAGUCAGGUUGGGAAACCUAGUGGGUACAUAGGGUUUUCAACCCACAAUAAUAUAAUUAUUAUGCUUAAUCAUCAAAUAAUUAACCCAAUUACUCAUCCCCAUUAUCUUCUUUAUUCCUAAGUACCUUCCCUAAGGAUUUAUCCUAAGGAUUGUCUCCUACAUCAUAUUUACAUCUCAUCUCCUUACAUCACAUUUCCUUAUAUGUUUGUUCCUAAGGACUCCCCUAAGGAUCAUUGCCUACAUCGCAUAGACAGUAUUGAUUCAGGGAUUACUCCCUCAAUACGUGCCAAACAAGGGUUAGGGUAUCAUCGUAUGAAUACGUAGAUACAACAUCGCCUGAACUCGUAAUUCAUAGUAAGGGGUCAGAGUAUCAUCGCAUGAAUACGUAGUUACAACAUCGUCUAAACUCGUAAUUCAUCACUUAUAGGCUAUGAGUCUGCUGGUGUUUCCACGAGGUUGUCUAUAAUAGUCCAUGGUCGCCAUCUAUACUCUGGUAGACGACUACAUCUCUAAAUUGCUGGACAAGGUUAUAGUAUCUUUCAUCUUACAUGACUGAUUCAUCAUCACCUAUCUAUCCUCAUCUAAUUAUCAUCACCUAUCUCGCAUCAUUUUAUUUAAUCACACAUCAACUAUUUCAUCUACCCAUGUUUUAUCCCAACAUAUUUGUAGAUAUCAAAUAAAUAUAUAGUUUAAAUCAUUUAAAACAUGUAUAAAUUCAUUCAUCCAGCUAGAUAGCAAGUAUCCAGAUAAUAUGCAGACAUGACAUGUAAUUUAUAUAAAAUACUCCAUAUCUAUGUGUAAGAUGAAAGUAACUAUACCCUCACAGCACAUAAUUUAUAUUAAAUACUUCAUAUCUAUGUGUAAGAUGAAAGGAACUAUGCACUCACAACACAUAAUUUAUAUUAAAUACUUCAUAUCUAUGUGUAAGAUGAAAGGGACUAUGCACUCACUUGUUAAAGUGAUGAUUCCAAACUCGGACAGCGCUUCGCUUCUUAACAAUAUAAUUUCCUUCGACGAAACCUAGUAUUAUUACCACUAGAUUUUAGUCUAAUAUUUACCGUGACUAAUUAUUAGUCUUAGCAUUAUUAUUAUUAUUAUACGGUCCUAAUAACAUUACUAUAUUUAAAUAAAAGUUAUAUUAUAAAUAGUGUAGGCGUAGCUCACUCACAACGGAUUUUUAUUAUAAAAAAAAAGGGCUUCGCUGGAGCAGCGUUUCCGAGCCGAAAGCUUUUCUUCUCGGAGCCAUCGGGCGCUCCGGGGCUUCCUUAUCACAAAGAAAAUCAUCUCAUACAUAGUCACCUACUAGUGGGCCGGCAUUGGUGCCUUAGACCCACCUCUACUGGAAGGUAACUCAACUCACACUGCUGAAGUCCCGUAGACAUAAUCCCCAGCUGUUGGAUGAUAGAUUCUCAAAGUGUUAAUAUCAAAACACCAAUUAAUAAUUGGGUUCCAACACAUAACCACAAAUACAUAUGUGGGGGUAAAUUCUACUUUACCCCUAACUUAGCUUUAUUCAAGCCCAAGUCCCAAUCCAAAGGCCCAAAAGUCAACUAUAAGUCAAAGCCCAACAUAUGGAAAAUUGGGCCCAAACCUUUACAAGGUCUUACCAUAAGGCCCAACCAUUUAUUUCAAUCUAACAUUCAACAUUAUAGUGGCCCAAUAUCACAUAAUCCUAAAGGUCCAAACUAUGGCCCAUCUAUGGCCUAAUUUUCCAAAUUAGGCCCAACUCCUCAUAUGGGCCUUACAUCGAAGCCUAUUAAUUAUUCUAGUCUAUUUGCUUGAUCUUGGAUGGCCCAUUAAUAAUCUAAUCAUCAAGGCCCAAUAAAAGGCCAAACAAUAAACCCAAGUGAAAUUAGGGUUUUCACAUAAAAUGACGAUUAAGGUUAAGUGUUUCUCACUUAACCUAUUAAGGACUUAAUCCAUUAAGUCCAUCAUUCUUCUAAAUAACUCGUAUGGUGUGAUUGGGCUUAACACACAAUUACAUUCCCAUGGCCCAAAUGUGGGUCCCGAUAAGUCCAACCCAUAAAUCCAAUAUUAGGGUUUUCUAAACCCUAAUUAGGGUUUCCAACCCCAUCUUAGUCCUAUAGGCCCAAUAGCUAGGUCUUUUGACUAGUUAAGGUUCAUUAGGCCCAUUAGAGUUAACUAGGUCCAUUAGUCAUGUGUUUGGGCUUUUUAGGUCAACUAGGGCUUCAUUGGUCCCAUUGAGGUUUAUUAGGCCCAUUAGGGUUUUAGUCCCUUGUCCAAACAUCUAAACGAGUCACAAUCCAAAUAAGGCACAUUGCCAGUCGACACUGUGGCCGAUGGCGGUAGCAGGCGGCAGCCACCACCUCACGGUGGUGGUUUUUAGUUUUCCUUUCAUUAUUCCAAUUUGUAAUUACACUUUACAAUGCUAAAUCACAAAUAAACACACACACAUACACACGGUAGUGCAUGGUGGCAGCCACCACUUUACAGUGGUGGUGGUGGUUGUUCUUAAUUUCCUGGCCAGACAAAACCACUCACGAUACACACACAAUAGAAAUAACACACACACACACACACACACACACACUUCAGACUUCACUAUACAUUGCAGCCACCCACUUGGUGGCUCACAGCGGCAAUAACAAUGAACUUAGGAUGCUAGGCACCACCUCACGGUGGUGGUGGUGAUUUCUUGUGGUUUCCAGUCAAGCACACACACUAACCAGCAAUCCUUGCUUGGAAAACGAACCCAACACCCACCUGUGGUAGGUGGCGACGCUGACAGCAACCCAGGAAGGCAGCAGCAGCGGGGAACCGCAGUGCGUACGGCGGCUAAAGCAGCNNNNNNNNNNNNNNNNNNNNNNNNNNNNNNNNNNNNNNNNNNNNNNNNNNNNNNCACAACGGCGGUGUGAGCUGUAAUAGUGGCAACAGACGAAGGAAUGCCCGCCAGCGGAUGAGAGCUUGACAUUGCGACCGCAAACUAAUCAAAAAACGAAUGGAGGAUGGUGGCAACAACGCUGGAGACGAAGUGGGGGUAUAAGGAUGAAGAGGUGGCAGCGAACGUCGGCCACUGUGGUGCCUACAACCGGCAACAGCCACACGAUGGUGAGAUACCCGACUGAUCUACGUCCUAAGGUGGGUCCUUGACCCGCACAACACCGGAGCAAUAACGGACGUCUUCAACUUGGUGGCUCCCGGCUUCGNNNNNNNNNNNNNNNNNNNNNNNNNNNNNNNNNNNNNNNNNNNNNNNNNNNNNNNNNNNNNNNNNNNNNNNNNNNNNNNNNNNNNNNNNNNNNNNNNNNNNNNNNNNNNNNNNNNNNNNNNNNNNNNNNNNNNNNNNNNNNNNNNNNNNNNNNNNNNNNNNNNNNNNNNNNNNNNNNNNNNNNNNNNNNNNNNNNNNNNNNNNNNNNNNNNNNNNNNNNNNNNNNNNNNNNNNNNNNNNNNNNNNNNNNNNNNNNNNNNNNNNNNNNNNNNNNNNNNNNNNNNNNNNNNNNNNNNNNNNNNNNNNNNNNNNNNNNNNNNNNNNNNNNNNNNNNNNNNNNNNNNNNNNNNNNNNNNNNNNNNNNNNNNNNNNNNNNNNNNNNNNNNNNNNNNNNNNNNNNNNNNNNNNNNNNNNNNNNNNNNNNNNNNNNNNNNNNNNNNNNNNNNNNNNNNNNNNNNNNNNNNNNNNNNNNNNNNNNNNNNNNNNNNNNNNNNNNNNNNNNNNNNNNNNNNNNNNNNNNNNNNNNNNNNNNNNNNNNNNNNNNNNNNNNNNNNNNNNNNNNNNNNNNNNNNNNNNNNNNNNNNNNNNNNNNNNNNNNNNNNNNNNNNNNNNNNNNNNNNNNNNNNNNNNNNNNNNNNNNNNNNNNNNNNNNNNNNNNNNNNNNNNNNNNNNNNNNNNNNNNNNNNNNNNNNNNNNNNNNNNNNNNNNNNNNNNNNNNNNNNNNNNNNNNNNNNNNNNNNNNNNNNNNNNNNNNNNNNNNNNNNNNNNNNNNNNNNNNNNNNNNNNNNNNNNNNNNNNNNNNNNNNNNNNNNNNNNNNNNNNNNNNNNNNNNNNNNNNNNNNNNNNNNNNNNNNNNNNNNNNNNNNNNNNNNNNNNNNNNNNNNNNNNNNNNNNNNNNNNNNNNNNNNNNNNNNNNNNNNNNNNNNNNNNNNNNNNNNNNNNNNNNNNNNNNNNNNNNNNNNNNNNNNNNNNNNNNNNNNNNNNNNNNNNNNNNNNNNNNNNNNNNNNNNNNNNNNNNNNNNNNNNNNNNNNNNNNNNNNNNNNNNNNNNNNNNNNNNNNNNNNNNNNNNNNNNNNNNNNNNNNNNNNNNNNNNNNNNNNNNNNNNNNNNNNNNNNNNNNNNNNNNNNNNNNNNNNNNNNNNNNNNNNNNNNNNNNNNNNNNNNNNNNNNNNNNNNNNNNNNNNNNNNNNNNNNNNNNNNNNNNNNNNNNNNNNNNNNNNNNNNNNNNNNNNNNNNNNNNNNNNNNNNNNNNNNNNNNNNNNNNNNNNNNNNNNNNNNNNNNNNNNNNNNNNNNNNNNNNNNNNNNNNNNNNNNNNNNNNNNNNNNNNNNNNNNNNNNNNNNNNNNNNNNNNNNNNNNNNNNNNNNNNNNNNNNNNNNNNNNNNNNNNNNNNNNNNNNNNNNNNNNNNNNNNNNNNNNNNNNNNNNNNNNNNNNNNNNNNNNNNNNNNNNNNNNNNNNNNNNNNNNNNNNNNNNNNNNNNNNNNNNNNNNNNNNNNNNNNNNNNNNNNNNNNNNNNNNNNNNNNNNNNNNNNNNNNNNNNNNNNNNNNNNNNNNNNNNNNNNNNNNNNNNNNNNNNNNNNNNNNNNNNNNNNNNNNNNNNNNNNNNNNNNNNNNNNNNNNNNNNNNNNNNNNNNNNNNNNNNNNNNNNNNNNNNNNNNNNNNNNNNNNNNNNNNNNNNNNNNNNNNNNNNNNNNNNNNNNNNNNNNNNNNNNNNNNNNNNNNNNNNNNNNNNNNNNNNNNNNNNNNNNNNNNNNNNNNNNNNNNNNNNNNNNNNNNNNNNNNNNNNNNNNNNNNNNNNNNNNNNNNNNNNNNNNNNNNNNNNNNNNNNNNNNNNNNNNNNNNNNNNNNNNNNNNNNNNNNNNNNNNNNNNNNNNNNNNNNNNNNNNNNNNNNNNNNNNNNNNNNNNNNNNNNNNNNNNNNNNNNNNNNNNNNNNNNNNNNNNNNNNNNNNNNNNNNNNNNNNNNNNNNNNNNNNNNNNNNNNNNNNNNNNNNNNNNNNNNNNNNNNNNNNNNNNNNNNNNNNNNNNNNNNNNNNNNNNNNNNNNNNNNNNNNNNNNNNNNNNNNNNNNNNNNNNNNNNNNNNNNNNNNNNNNNNNNNNNNNNNNNNNNNNNNNNNNNNNNNNNNNNNNNNNNNNNNNNNNNNNNNNNNNNNNNNNNNNNNNNNNNNNNNNNNNNNNNNNNNNNNNNNNNNNNNNNNNNNNNNNNNNNNNNNNNNNNNNNNNNNNNNNNNNNNNNNNNNNNNNNNNNNNNNNNNNNNNNNNNNNNNNNNNNNNNNNNNNNNNNNNNNNNNNNNNNNNNNNNNNNNNNNNNNNNNNGGGGUGGCAACCGACGAACGGAGCCACUGAAACGAUCCACACAACGGCGGUGUGAGCUGUAAUAGUGGCAACAGACGAAGGAAUGCCCGCCAGCGGAUGAGAGCUUGACAUUGCGACCGCAAACUAAUCAAAAAACGAAUGGAGGAUGGUGGCAACAACGCUGGAGACGAAGUGGGGGUAUAAGGAUGAAGAGGUGGCAGCAGACGUCGGCCACUGUGGUGCCUACAACCGGCAACAGCCACACGACGGUGAGAUACCCGACUGAUCUACGUCCUAAGGUGGGUCCUCGAUCCGCACAACGCCUGAGCAAUAAUGAAACGACCCAAAAUUACAACCCAAAAAAAAUUUUGUUUUUAAUAUAAUUAAAACCGUAAUCAGAGUACCAUAUAAUAAAACCAUGCGUGAUGUAUUCCAAAACAUAAUAAAAUACUGUGCGGAAAACUGUAUCAUACUACAUCAAAUCAAACAACUAAAUCAAUCCCAGGCUAAAGCUGAGGCGGUGGUGUGUGCGAUGCCGUCAUCCCGAGCUCUUCCCUUUGCUUGCGGAAGUACCUGAAACCAAAACUGAAACUGUAAGCACGAAGCUUAGUGAGCUCCCCCAAAAUACCACAUACCAUACAAUAGCAAUAUCAUAUAAACACAUAUCGGGCCUUGCCCACUGCAUCGGGCCGAAGCCCGGAAACUGCAUCGGACCGAAGUCCGGAACUGACUGGGACCUUGUCCCCUGCAUCGGACCAAAGUCCGGAACUAACUGCAUCGGACCGAAGUCCGGAACUGACUGGGACCUUGUCCCCUGCAUCGGACCAAAGUCCGGAACUAACUGCAUCGGACCGAAGUCCGGAACUGGCUGCAUCGGACCGAAGUCCGGAACUGACUGCAUCGGACCGAAGUCCGGAACUGAGCAUAGCAUAGCAUAUCAUAACAACUAGUAUGAACACACAUACUGCAUACUACAUCGGGCCGUAGCCCGGAACACAUAAAACGUAGCUCACAAAUCCUGUCUGAGCCACGAAGGCAUCGAACAUACUAACUACGGCAUCGGAUCAAGUCCGGAAACUACUGCUAACUGGACGGGCCGGCAUUGUGGCCUUAGACCCGUCCCUACUGGAAGGAAACUCACCUCGUAAACUGGCGACUGAGUGUGUGGCUCUGAAAGCUAACGGUUGCUGCUCCUGAAUCACCUCGGCUACAAGUCCAUGAACACACUCAAUCAAAUACUAAACACUGCACUUGGGGUAAAAUGACUCUUUUACCCUUGGUCAAAGUCAACUUACUUUUGGGGCUGACUCGCCGAGUUGGGCCACCCAACUCGCCGAGUCCUACUCUCACUUCUCAGUUCUACACGCUGCUACUCGUCGAGUGUGGCAUCGACUCGACGAGUACCCUCUUGAUCCAAGAACUCAGACAAUCUUCAUCCGACUCGCCGAGNNNNNNNNNNNNNNNNNNNNNNNNNNNNNNNNNNNNNNNNNNNNNNNNNNNNNNNNNNNNNNNNNNNNNNNNNNNNNNNNNNNNNNNNNNNNNNNNNNNNNNNNNNNNNNNNNNNNNNNNNNNNNNNNNNNNNNNNNNNNNNNNNNNNNNNNNNNNNNNNNNNNNNNNNNNNNNNNNNNNNNNNNNNNNNNNNNNNNNNNNNNNNNNNNNNNNNNNNNNNNNNNNNNNNNNNNNNNNNNNNNNNNNNNNNNNNNNNNNNNNNNNNNNNNNNNNNNNNNNNNNNNNNNNNNNNNNNNNNNNNNNNNNNNNNNNNNNNNNNNNNNNNNNNNNNNNNNNNNNNNNNNNNNNNNNNNNNNNNNNNNNNNNNNNNNNNNNNNNNNNNNNNNNNNNNNNNNNNNNNNNNNNNNNNNNNNNNNNNNNNNNNNNNNNNNNNNNNNNNNNNNNNNNNNNNNNNNNNNNNNNNNNNNNNNNNNNNNNNNNNNNNNNNNNNNNNNNNNNNNNNNNNNNNNNNNNNNNNNNNNNNNNNNNNNNNNNNNNNNNNNNNNNNNNNNNNNNNNNNNNNNNNNNNNNNNNNNNNNNNNNNNNNNNNNNNNNNNNNNNNNNNNNNNNNNNNNNNNNNNNNNNNNNNNNNNNNNNNNNNNNNNNNNNNNNNNNNNNNNNNNNNNNNNNNNNNNNNNNNNNNNNNNNNNNNNNNNNNNNNNNNNNNNNNNNNNNNNNNNNNNNNNNNNNNNNNNNNNNNNNNNNNNNNNNNNNNNNNNNNNNNNNNNNNNNNNNNNNNNNNNNNNNNNNNNNNNNNNNNNNNNNNNNNNNNNNNNNNNNNNNNNNNNNNNNNNNNNNNNNNNNNNNNNNNNNNNNNNNNNNNNNNNNNNNNNNNNNNNNNNNNNNNNNNNNNNNNNNNNNNNNNNNNNNNNNNNNNNNNNNNNNNNNNNNNNNNNNNNNNNNNNNNNNNNNNNNNNNNNNNNNNNNNNNNNNNNNNNNNNNNNNNNNNNNNNNNNNNNNNNNNNNNNNNNNNNNNNNNNNNNNNNNNNNNNNNNNNNNNNNNNNNNNNNNNNNNNNNNNNNNNNNNNNNNNNNNNNNNNNNNNNNNNNNNNNNNNNNNNNNNNNNNNNNNNNNNNNNNNNNNNNNNNNNNNNNNNNNNNNNNNNNNNNNNNNNNNNNNNNNNNNNNNNNNNNNNNNNNNNNNNNNNNNNNNNNNNNNNNNNNNNNNNNNNNNNNNNNNNNNNNNNNNNNNNNNNNNNNNNNNNNNNNNNNNNNNNNNNNNNNNNNNNNNNNNNNNNNNNNNNNNNNNNNNNNNNNNNNNNNNNNNNNNNNNNNNNNNNNNNNNNNNNNNNNNNNNNNNNNNNNNNNNNNNNNNNNNNNNNNNNNNNNNNNNNNNNNNNNNNNNNNNNNNNNNNNNNNNNNNNNNNNNNNNNNNNNNNNNNNNNNNNNNNNNNNNNNNNNNNNNNNNNNNNNNNNNNNNNNNNNNNNNNNNNNNNNNNNNNNNNNNNNNNNNNNNNNNNNNNNNNNNNNNNNNNNNNNNNNNNNNNNNNNNNNNNNNNNNNNNNNNNNNNNNNNNNNNNNNNNNNNNNNNNNNNNNNNNNNNNNNNNNNNNNNNNNNNNNNNNNNNNNNNNNNNNNNNNNNNNNNNNNNNNNNNNNNNNNNNNNNNNNNNNNNNNNNNNNNNNNNNNNNNNNNNNNNNNNNNNNNNNNNNNNNNNNNNNNNNNNNNNNNNNNNNNNNNNNNNNNNNNNNNNNNCCUGGGUGGAUAGAAAAUCGAGACUUAUGAGCCUCGUCCAUCAAUACCUGCCGUACCCCACCCCAGUACGGUACCCAUACCCUACCAUGAAGCGUCAACAAACCCCGACUGUCGUACUCAAAUGAAGCUACUCGGCCUACUAUCCUUUCACACUUCUGCCUCUCCUCCUUGAGGCCCUCCAUCUGAGCCUCCUUGAUCCGCUCCAACAGUGGAGUGAUCACUGUCAUCCUCAUACACAGAUCUCUGAUAGGGGCCGUCGACACCUUGCGGCUUAGGGCGUCGGCCACCACGUUGGCCUUCCCUGGAUGAUAAAGGAUCUCACAGUCAUAGUCCUUCAGCACGUCUAACCAUCUCCCCUGUCUCAUGUUUAAACUUGGCUGAUCCAUAAGAUAUCGCAAACUCUUGUGAUCCGUGUAAAUAGUACAGCGGACCCCAUAAAGGUAAUGUCUCCAAAUCUUGAGGGCGAACACAACUGCCCCCAGUUCCAAAUCGUGGGUAGGAUAAUUAGCCUCGUGAGGCUUCAACUGUCUCGAGGCAUAAGCUAUCACAUGGCCUCGCUGCAUCAAAACUGCUCCCAUACCUGUGAUCGAGGCAUCACAAUAGACUACAAAGUCCUCUACUCCCUCUGGCAAGGUAAGGAUCGGAGCCUCGCAUAAUCUCUGCCUGAGGGUCUCGAACGCUGCCUGCUGCUCAGGCACCCAACGAAAUACCACCGACUUCUUGGUCAGUCGGGUGAGCGGCACUGCUAUCUUGGAGAAAUCCUGAAUGAAUCUCCGAUAAUACCCUGCCAACCCUAGGAAGCUCCGAAUCUCAGAUGGAGACUUCGGGACCUCCCACUGCAUCACGGCCUCUAUCUUGGCCGGAUCUACCAAAAUACCCUUCUGGUUGACGAGGUGACCAAGGAACUGCACCUCGCGCAACCAGAACUCACAUUUGGAGAACUUUGCGAAAAGUCUCUCCCUCCUCAAAACCUCCAGCACCUCCCGCAGGUGCUCCUCGUGCUGCUCCUGCGUCUUGGAAUAUACCAAGAUGUCAUCUAUGAACACUAUCACUGACCGAUCCAGCAUCGGCCUACACACGCGGUUCAUGAGAUCCAUGAACGCGGCUGGAGCAUUGGUGAGCCCAAAUGGCAUCACCACAAACUCAUAAUGACCAUACCUGGUCCUGAAAGCAGUCUUCUGUACAUCCUCAUCUCUAACCCGCAUCUGAUGAUAACCGGAGCGUAGAUCGAUCUUGGAGAACCAAGACGCUCCCUGAAGCUGAUCAAACAAAUCAUCUAUCCUCGGAAGUGGGUAACGGUUCUUCACCGUUACUUUGUUCAACUCCCGAUAGUCAAUGCACAUCCGAUGCGACCCAUCCUUCUUCCUCACAAAUAAGAUCGGCGCUCCCCAAGGCGAACUACUCGGCCGAAUGAAACCUUUGUCUAACAGCUCCUGAAGCUGUGUAGACAACUCCUGCAUCUCAGGGGGAGCUAGCCGAUAUGAUGCUUUGGCUAUCGGAGCCGCACCAGGAACUAGAUCGAUCCUGAACUCAACCUGUCUCUCUGGAGGUAUCCCCGGCAAAUCCUCGGGAAACACAUCCGGGUAAUCUCGAACAAUAGGAACAUCAUCAAUCGUCGCCUUGCCCUUCUCCCGGGCAUCCAAGACGUAUGCGAUNACCCUGCUGAACAUAGUGCCUCGCCCUUGCGGCGGAACAAAAGAUCGGACCACGCUGUGGCCUCUCGCCCUGAAUCACUAACUCUCCCCCACUGGGAGUGCGAACCCUCACUAGCUGAAGCUCACAAUCAAUCACCGCCCCAUUGGGGCUUAGCCAAUCCAUGCCCACGAUAACUUUAUUCCCUCGCAGGGGAAUAGGAACCAGGUCCACUGAAAACUGCUCAUCGAAUAUCUGAAGAGAACACCCUCUAUGCACUCUGCCGACCCUCACGGUCCUAUCAUCUGCUAUCUCAACCUCUAACGGACAAUCCAGCUCCCCUGGAGCUCCGCUAAAUUUCUUGCUAAGCGCAAGCGAUACAAAUGAUCGGGUAGCUCCCGAAUCGAACAAUACCAAAGCAGAAAUGCCGUUCACCGAGAACGACCCUAAAUAAUGCAUAUCAUCAAGAAAUAUACAAACGAUAAUAAUAAUAAUCAAAUGGUGAAGGAAAGAUACAUACCCGUCACCACAUCAGGAGUCGCUCGCGCCUCCUCUGCUGUCAUCUGAAAUGCCCUGCUCUUCGCUGCUGGUGCAUCAGAUCGGCCCUGCCGGCCAUCUGUACCUCAAGGUGNNNNNNNNNNNNNNNNNNNNNNNNNNNNNNNNNNNNNNNNNNNNNNNNNNNNNNNNNNNNNNNNNNNNNNNNNNNNNNNNNNNNNNNNNNNNNNNNNNNNNNNNNNNNNNNNNNNNNNNNNNNNNNNNNNNNNNNNNNNNNNNNNNNNNNNNNNNNNNNNNNNNNNNNNNNNNNNNNNNNNNNNNNNNNNNNNNNNNNNNNNNNNNNNNNNNNNNNNNNNNNNNNNNNNNNNNNNNNNNNNNNNNNNNNNNNNNNNNNNNNNNNNNNNNNNNNNNNNNNNNNNNNNNNNNNNNNNNNNNNNNNNNNNNNNNNNNNNNNNNNNNNNNNNNNNNNNNNNNNNNNNNNNNNNNNNNNNNNNNNNNNNNNNNNNNNNNNNNNNNNNNNNNNNNNNNNNNNNNNNNNNNNNNNNNNNNNNNNNNNNNNNNNNNNNNNNNNNNNNNNNNNNNNNNNNNNNNNNNNNNNNNNNNNNNNNNNNNNNNNNNNNNNNNNNNNNNNNNNNNNNNNNNNUCCAGCGUUUUACAGCUGGACCGGCUCACAAACUGGCGGAUAUCACUCCGCAACAUCUCAUGAUAACGGGCCUUCUUCAUCUCCUCAUCGGCUGCAUACUGAGGAACAAGAAGAGCCCUCUCCCUGAACUUGGCGGUGAUCUCCGCCACUGACUCGGUAGUCUGAGUAAGAUCCUGGAACUCCCUGGCUAGCUUCUGCACCUCAAUGACCGGUGCAAUCUCCGCCCUGAACCUGGUAGAUAAAUCAGUCCAGGUCAUAGCAUCCAACGCCGCAUCAUCCCCGAUGGCGUGUCCGACCUCCUCCCACCAAUCCCGUGCCCUGUCCUUCAGUAGAUAGGACGCCAAUCUGACCUUGUCCCCCUCGGGACACCUGCUAGUGCGGAAGGCGUUAGCCACAUCUGCCAACCAUCUAGUACUCGCUAUGGGGUCCCGCGCCCCAUGAUAGUCUGGAGCUCCGCACGCCCUGAACUCCCUAGAUGUAAGAGUGCGCGACCCCAUCACGGCCGCCAUCUCAGCAUGGAAAGUACUUAGUCUCUCAUCCAUCAUCUCUAAAAUACCCUCCUUGAUCGAACCGAAGAUCACAGGAGUCUGCUCCAAUAUGAUGCGGGUAACCUCAGAAGAAAGGAACUCUCUGGUCUGCUCAUCCAUCUGCCCGACCUCCGGGCCUGAUCCCGAUCCUGAUCCCCCUCCGGCAUCUGAGCUGCUGCCUGCUGGUCUCGGGCGCAAAACUACCAUUCUGAAACAUAUCAUAACAACAUCAGAACACUGAAAUAUCUCAAGGGAUCAUGAUACUACUACUAGCUUCCUGGUCUUGUCUUGGCCUUCCUUAAUUCGAGUACGGAUCCUCUGCUUUCAGUAGUAUGGGCCCCUACUACCUUCCACAUCUAUCCGUACUUUCCUCAGGAACUGCCUUGACUCCACCAAGUCACUUCUACCACUGCUAUUCUCUGCUACUCUCAUCCUAGGCUUGCCCUAGGGAAACUUCAAGCUCAACGCGACUGGUCCUCAGCUGCUGUAGGUCUCCUCAUAAUGCCAGUUAGCCACCACCUAAACACCAUCACAUGUGAUGAGGGUCAGAUAAUCCUUCAAGUAAAGGAUCCGUCCCUACAACGGUUGGACUCAAACAAGAGCUGCGCAGUAGAGCCAGUUCCAACACUUCUGGGAUUAUUCAAACCUGAUCACAUGUGGUGUGACGUGUUCACCUAAUGGCUAACUCCCACUACUCAGAAUCCCACUAAGCACGAAGCAAGUAGCAUUCGGACACGGGAAACAGACUCAGGCAAAACUAUUCUUAUAACAAGAAACUGCACUAGCAUAGAAUGCUAAGCUCGUACUAUCAGGCAUAACCUAAACAGGCUAUCCUACUGCUGUAUACUCAAUUCUAGCAUGCAAUACUCAUAAAGCUGUAACACAUAAACAGGCACAUAAGGCAUUCUCCUAGAUCCUUAGCCCUAUACUAGCAUGCUGUUCUACUGAAACUGAAACUGAACAAAUAAUUUGUAUGGGUAAUUUGGGAGUACUUACUUGAGCUCGGCUGACCGCAUGCACACACCUCUAUCUUGUUAAAACAAUUCUUUCUUUCUAAGUGUUUUCAAAAUUCUGUUUGUAAAACAUUUUUAUUUUAUUAAAAUCUUUUAUUUCCCUUAGUUUGAGUUCAGAUACACCCGAAAGUGUAUCCGAAUCCCUCAAACCAGGGCUCUGAUACCAACUUGAAACGACCCAAAAUUACAACCCAAAUUUUUUUUUUUUUAAUAUAAUCAAAACCGUAAUCAGAGUACCAUAUAAUAAAACCAUGCGUGAUGUAUUCCAAAACAUACUAAAAUACUGUGCGGAAAACUGUAUCAUACUACAUCAAAUCAAACAACUAAAUCAAUCCCAGGCUAAAGUUGAGGCAGUGGUGUGUGCGAUGCCGUCAUCCCGAGCUCUUCCCUUUGCUUGCGGAAGUACCUGAAACCAAAACUGAAACUGUAAGCACGAAGCUUAGUGAGCUCCCCCAAAAUACCACAUACCAUACAAUAACUAUAUCAUGUAAACACAUAUUGGGCCUUGCCCACUGCAUCGGGACGAAACCCGGAAACUGCANUUGAAACGACCCAAAAAUACGACCCAAAAAUUUUUGUUUUUAAUAUAAUCAAAACUGCAAUCAGAGCAUCAUAUAAUAAAACCAUACGUGAUGUAUUCCAAAACAUAAUAAAAUACUGUGCGGAAAAACUGUAUCAUACUACAUCAGAUCAAAACAUCUAAAUCAAUCCCAGGCUAAAGCUGAGGCGGUGGUGUGUGCGAUGCCAUCAUCCCGAGCUCUUCCCUUUGCUUGCGGAAGUACCUGAAACCAAAACUGAAACUGUAAGCACGAAGCUUAGUGAGCUCCCCCAAAAUACCACAUACCAUACAAUAGCAAUAUCAUAUAAACACAUAUCGGGCCUUGCCCACUGCAUCGGGACGAAGCCCGGAAACUGCAUCGGACCGAAGUCCGGAACUGACUGGGACCUUGUCCCCUGCAUCGGACCAAAGUCCGGAACUAACUGCAUCGGACCGAAGUCCGGAACUGGCUGCAUCGGACCGAAGUCCGGAACUGACUGCAUCGGACCGAAGUCCGGAACUGAGCAUAGCAUAGCAUAUCAUAACAACUAGUAUGAACACACAUACUGCAUACUACAUCGGGCCGUAGCCCGGAACACAUAAAACGUAGCUCACAAAUCCUGUCUGAGCCACGAAGGCAUCGAACAUACUAACUACGGCAUCGGAUCAAGUCCGGAAACUACUGCUAACUGGACGGGCCGGCAUUGUGGCCUUAGACCCGUCCCUACUGGAAGGAAACUCACCUCGUAAACUGGCGACUGAGUGUGUGGCUCUGAAAGCUAACGGUUGCUGCUCCUGAAUCUCCUCGGCUACAAGUCCAUGAACACACUCAAUCAAAUACUAAACACUGCACUUGGGGUAAAAUGACUCUUUUACCCUUGGUCAAAGUCAACUUGCUUUCGGGGCUGACUCGCCGAGUUGGGCCGCCCAACUCGCCGAGUCUCACUCUCACUUCCAGCUCAUACUCACUGCGACUCGUCGAAUGUGGCAUCGACUCGACGAGUACCCUCUUGAUCCAAGAACUCAGACAAUCUUCAUCCGACUCGCCGAGUCGUAUGAACAGACUCGCCGAGUUGUUCUUGAUCCCAAAGAGAUUGCCUUGGACUCGCCGAGUUGUAUGAACAACUCGUCGAGUCCCUCCAUCACUGAGUCUACCCUCAACUCGCUGAGUCCACUCUCUAACUCACUGGGUGCACUCGACACUGCUAAAAACGAAGGAAUCGGGGACUCGCGACCCGACUCGCCGAGUCGCUCAUCCCGACUCGCCGAGUCGCUGCCAUGCAGCUAGUUUUUACUCGAUUUCUCUUGAAUCCAACACAUGCAAAAGAUAGAUCUGGGUCCAAUAAGCUGUUUUACCACGUAAAGUUUCCAACUUUACGUGCACAACCUCAUGAAUAAGGGAAAUAAGGCUAAAAGAUGCACAAAAUGAGUAGAUCCAUGGCUAAUAUGCAAUGUAACUCCAAAAAGACAGUAGAUCUGGGCUCUACAACACCCCAACAUUCAGAUCCAAAGGUAUUUCGACUUAUUAAGACAUUCAUGCAAACAUAAAGCUUGGAACAAACAUCAAAUAGCUCUUAGAAGAGCUCUAAUGGAAGUUUAAAGCAUCUAACAAGAAGGGAACUCCGAAAAUACCUCAAUAAACUCAUAUUUGCCCUUGGAUCUUUGCACCACAACUUGUUUCCAAGCUUCUUUCCUCUUCUCCUUCUUCACACCUUCACAAAAAUGGCACCAAAACACUUAUAAGCUCUCAAGGGAGGAUUAGGGUUCUCUCACUGUGUUCUCAGGGUGAAAGUGGCGAGAAUGAGGCUAUAAUGGGGUUUAAAUAGUGGGCAAACCCGGGGAUUUAGGGUUUCACCCAGACGGACGGACUCGCCGAGUCCGGGAUAUGGACUCGCCGAGUCCCCGGCUCCCGCGUGCACAAAAUGCGCGACCCAACUCGGUGAGUCAGGCUAGAACUCGCCGAGUCCCUCUUGAAACUUAGACAAUUAACAAUUAAUUAACAUACCGGGAACGGGUCGUUACAAAUAACGAACGUCUUCAACUUGGUGGCUCGUGGCUUCGCUGUCGACUGGAAAAGAUGAUGGCGAUAGAGCAACGGCAGAGGGAGUGAGAGUGGUGAAGAUGGCGGUUGAAGGUGAUUCUUUAGGUUUAGGGUUUGAUAACGGCAACACAUAGUAUAUAUACCUGGUCCCAAGACAAAUUUCCAUAAUGCCAAGAAUAACCCCUCUCUUCACAUUUUCUUUCAAAGCAAGGCCGACACUUACCAUUUAAACCCUGAAUCCAUAAAUUUCUUUCAUAAUAAGUCCGGAUUUACUAGACAGCCCCCAUCUUCUAAAAUCUUUACAAAACUAAUCCAAAAUUUACAAAACCACCCCUUGCUUGACAAAUUCUUUUCAAUUAAAGUCCAUAAUUUACCAUUUAGCCCUAAACUUCUAAAUUUAUGACAAUUAGACUUGAUAGACCAUCCUUUUACAUAUAAUUAUUUAUUUUAGGGCUACUAUUCUCUCAUUAGUUUAUUUAUAUAUUAAAUAAAUACACAGGGUGUUGUGUUACAAGCAGGUUUUGAAUAUGAUAGGAUAAAUUGUAAGAGUUUAAAACCCUUGAGGAUUUAUUUGGAGCCUAUAACCCUAUUGGUUCUUUUUCCAUCUCAUAACCAUCCAUAUGCUCCCUUUCUCUCCUAUAUACAAAAUUCAUAACCCCACGCCUAGACUUACUGGAUUUCGUAUAAACCCUAAUUUAGGGUUUCUCCUUAUUAGCUUUUGGUGUUUCUGACCUGACUACAUUUGAGGGAAACCAUUAGACACCACUGAUAUGUUCUUUAUGGUCAUCGAUCUGCAGAUUUGUAUAUCAAGGAAGAUUAGCAACGAUUGAUUCUUACGUCGUAAAUCACUAGAUGUUGCUUGGAAACCAUCAUACACCUAACCCUAAAAUCGUCGUUACCAUUUUCAUUUUGCAAACCAUAGAUGGUAGUGGGCCGGUGGGGUGUUGACUUAAAAGGGUGGCUGUUUUUUUUAAUUAAAAUAAUAAGAAAUUAAUUAAAAAAGGAAUCAAUUAAAGGCAUAUUUGUCAUUUCAAGUAUGGUAUGGACCAAAACUAUGGAGAAAAAAAAAAGAUAACCAUUAGGACCAAAACCAUACAAAGAAUCCAAACUUAACUUUUGCACCAUACUUUUUAUGACAACCUGAAAUUUAUUCCGUCAUUGUAACCCAUUUCCGUUAAUAAAAUUUAUUUUUAUUAAAAUUUUCCAUUAACUUUUGGGUUAGGCAAAUAAAUUAAUGUUUUAUUUUAUUUUCUUAAGUUUCGGAACGAAAUAAAAUCACGUGAAAACACCCUCGAUAUUUAUUUGGAAAAUUUUUAGUUACAACUAAGUCGGGUUACGACAAUUUAAUCGGGUAAAAUUGUAAACCCCAUUUAACGUCGGUAUCGGGUAGAUUUCCUCUGGGCCACAAACUCAAGCCUUAUAUAAAGGAUGAGUAACCUUCACUUAAGCUUUUUCCCACCUCCUCAAAACUUUCUCUCUCUACACUCUCUCUAAAACUCGAGUUUUGAUCCAAAAAAUGCCCCUUCAAGCUCCAAAAGCAUAAGUGAUCUAUCCUAGCUUAUUGUUUGACUUGUUAAGAAUGAAAAUAUGUGUUUAAACCAUCCAAAACUCUCAAAAUCAUGUGUUUAUGGUUUGGGAACACCUCCCAAAACCGUAAACUCCUAUAAGAGGGUUUUGAAUCCCCAAAACCCUUCCAAAUCCCUUCUAGUGCUUAGAUAUGACUUAAGGACUUGCAUGUACGAGUCUAGAACACCAAAAUCAUGUCAUUUGGGUAGUAAACAUGAGUUUACGGCCCAAGAACAUUCUUGGACCGUAAACACACCUUCAUAGACCAUAAACACCUUUUAAGGUGUUAAAUUGCCCCUUAAACACCUCCAAAACCUUCCAUGAGUGCCUAGAACCUUAUAUUCCUUCAUGUGAUGCACCAAAUCAUGCACAAAUGAGACACACUUGAGUUUACGGUUUGGGAAGGUCUCCCAAAACUGUAAACACCUCCAAAGGGUGUUUAAGUUCCCUUAACACCUUGCAUGGCUUAUAUUUAGGUCUAGAACAUUGCAUGCUUAACCUACAACUACCAAAACACAUGAAGAAUGAACCAAGCAUGAGUUUACAGCUGUAAACUCAUGUGUUUACGACAGUAAACUCCCCAAGUGUCCUUCAAGAACCGUAAACCCCUUUUCCAAGGUCAUUUCAAGUCCCAAUCACUUCCUAAGCCAUGGAAUCAACCCUAUAACCUUCCCUUAUGCAUUAUAAGACCUUUGGACACCCAAAAACACCCCAUCCAUGAGUUGACGGCCAUAAACUCAUGGGGGAUAUGGUCUUUGGACCGUAAACACCCCUAAGGGUUUACACUUGAAGAGUAAACUCCUUAUCUAGGCCCUACACUCCUUAGAUGCAACCCGUAUCACUUCCAACACUUGAGAUAAAGUGUUUUCGUGCAUCGGAGUGUAUUAUCUCACUUAAUUAGUAGUUCAAAGUCUAAUUAGAUACAAUUGUGUAUCACUUCAUGUUACAUAGGAUCCUCGCGUGUGUUCAAGCCUUAAACUAACACUUAGCAUCCUAACCGGCACAUUUCCCGUCUGGUGAGUUCAUACCUCUACACAUUUUUCCGUGUUUUUCAUGUUUUCAGGGGGUGGGGAAUACAAGCAAAAGUACAAGGAAAUCUUGUACUCAAACUUAUUAUUUCGUAUGAAAUGUUCCAUGUUCAGUAUGUUUAUAACAUUGAUAACCGUAUUAACCAACCGUUUGACUUGUAGAGUUAGUUUUCAAACUAAUUGCGAAACCCAAUAUAAAAUGUUAUAUUUUAUAUUUCACAAAUGAUUUUCCACAUCAUUACUAUUAAAAUCAUUAAUCUUAGAACUUUUGAUACGUCCUCUGAAACACUCCACAGAGAUACGGGAGUGGAGGACCGCCUUUGUAACUAGAAUCUAAAACAGGAUUUUCCGCAUUAUUACUUGUAAAUUCGCUAUUCUUAAGAUUGGAGACACGUCCUCUGUAACACUCCACGGAGAUACGCGAGUGGAGGACCGCCCCUGUAACCAGAAUCUCUUAGAAGGAGAGUGUGACGUGAGUGUAUAUAUCUAUACGGGGCUGACUACCCCGCACCUUGCUGCUAGCUACAGUGGGACCGGUAGGUCUACGGGUGACAAAAAUUAUAAAAUGAUACUGGCCUUUUGCCAUAUCUAGUUUAUCGUAUGGUUAUGGAACUCGCAACUUAGAUAAUGGAGAUUUACUUUUAAGUAAUAAAGAACUUAGUAAAUUAAUACUCUUAGGAAAUUAGUUUACAACCUACUUAUUAGUUUUAUAUACGUGUUAAAACUAAUGUACUUUUCAAGGAUAACUGGACUUUCAGGAUACUUCACUUAAACGCUACAAGUAUGGUAGAUACUUGUACACUGCAUUCCAAAUCGAUAACCAACCACCAACUUUUAAGGAAAAUAAGGGUUUUUCCUGGGAUAACUUAACUUCUCUUAACCGGGUUGUUUAACAAAUGGAUAACUAAAUUUCUCUUAUAAGAAAAUAUGGGAUUUUCUUGGAUAACAACUUUUUCAUAAAACCAAAGGAAAACUUAUUCUUUCACUAGAAAUAAACCGCUUAUGAACUCACCAGCUUUAUGCUGAUAUUUCUAAAACUGCUUGUAUUCUCAGGUUUCCAAUAGACAGGUAUCUUGCGUUCUUUUGGAGAAGACGGAGCGUUCAGACGUCUCGUCUUUACUUUUGUUCGUACUGAUAUAUAUAAAACAUGUAUUUUUUUACUUUCAAACAAAUGUAAAUAUUCCUAUGUAAUGUAAUGGUUGUGUUACUAUGCUUACUAUGUACAUUGAUUGUGAUAUUUUACAUAACAUCCUCUGCCCCGGAACGUUUCCGUCAUCGGUUUCGGGGUGUGGUACUUUUUUGGACCAAAACCACAGACUUUUGACAACCACAAUGAGAGUUUGUAAUUUUAUGAAAUUUAUAACAUAAAAGUUAAAACAAGAGUCAGAUAAAGAGAAAUAAGAACCAUGCAUCCACACUAAACCUACACUAAACCUGCACUACAAAUGGCUGGAUAUACUUGCGAAGAAGCAUAUGCACAAAUCAAUGCAUCACUUGUGAAGGUAAAAUGAAUAAUGCCAAUUUUGCACUCACAUUUCUAUGCUGAGAUUUGAAAUUGUAACAAAAAUCUAUAAUGAAGAGGAUAGGGAAAAAAAAUCAUGCAAAUAACACUCAACAGGAGUUAGAUAACAUGAAACAAGUUUUUACAUGCUGAUCUAUGAAUAACUGAACUUAAAAUACAUUGAUCGACUGUACAUGCUUCUUCAGUAGUGCUAUUUGGCCCUCUCUUCUCAUUCUUAAAUAUCUUCAUAUUCCAAAGAAAAAAAAACAGAAACCAGAUUCGCCUUUCUUCACAAUCCUGCUGAAGCAACUGUUUCAUCACCAACACAGAUCUCGCUUUUGUAACCUUAAUCAUCACAAACAACAGUUUUUCCCUUGUCUCUUCUGCUGUUUUUCUGUUAUUAGAAUUUAGAAACAGUUCAUGUCAGUUAUAUAGUAUUGUAUAAAAUAAGUUGUAACUCAAUAUAGUGUAAUCAAGAUACCAUUCCUAUGUUAGAUCCAGUUGUAAUCAGUAAAGUGAAGAUGAGAUUCAUGUAUUUGUUUUCCUGCAAUUGUAACUGUUUCUAAUUUGUAUUGUGAAGUCUAAUAAUUGAAGCAGUGAUUAAAGACUCUAUCACUACAAAUAUUGUUCAGCCACAACAAACAGAAUGGUGAAAAAUAUUUGGUGGGAGCAUCAAAUUGCAACUAUUUUGAAAACCAUGGACAAUUAUGAUAACUCCCACAAAUUUCAAAAUUGGCUGAAAUGAAUAAUUACUUUCAUUAUUGUAUUAAUGCACCCCUUCAUCAAUCGAUUGCUCCUAGUGUCAUAGAGUUAUGGAAACUACUCAAAAUUUCAUACUUACAGAAAGCCUUUGCAAAGAUACAUUUACAAAAAAAAAAAAAAAACAAAUUAAAGACAUUCAAACAAGGAACAUGAAUGUCAAUAUAUAAUGUGAAAAGAUUAAGCAACUACAUGAGCAACUGAAAUCAGUAAGCAAUUUUGUACCUAAUUGAGAUUUAGUGAAACGACCCAAAAUACGACCCGAAAAUUUUUGUUUUUAAUACCAUCAAAAAUAUAAUCAGAGUAUCAUAUAAAUAAACCAUGCGUGAUAUGUCCCAAAAAUAUAAUAGAGUACUGUGCGGAAACUGCAUCAUACUACAUCGAAAACAAUAACUAAAUCAAAUCCAGACUAAGCUGCAGCGGUGGUGUGUGCGAUGCCGUCACCCAGAGCUCUUCCCUUUGCUUGCGGAAGUACCUGAAACCAAAACUGAAACUGUAAGCACGAAGCUUAGUGAGCUCCCCCAACUUACCACAUACCAUACAAAACAUAUAAACACAUACUNCCCUCUGCAUCGGACCGAAGUCCGGAAACUGCAACGGACCGAAGUCCGGAACUGACUGGGACCUUGUCCCCUGCAUCGGACCAAAGUCCGGAACUAACUGCAUCGGACCGGAGUCCGGAACUAACUGCAUCGGACCGAAAUCCGGAACUGACUGCAUCGGACCGAAGUCCGGAACUGACUGGGACCGUGUCCCCUGCAUCGGACCGGGGUCCGGAACUGGCUGAGCAUAGCAUAGCAUAUCAUAACAACAUACUGCAUACUGCAUCGGGCCGUAGCCCGGAACAUAAAACACAUAACACAUAGCACAUGAAUUAUGUCUGAACCACGAAGGCAUCAAACAUACUAACUACUACAUCGGACCGAAGUCCGGAAACUACUACUAACUGGACGGGCCGGCGUUGUGGCCUUAAACCCGCCCCUACGGGAAGGAAACUCACCUCGUAAGCUAGCGGAUGAGUGUGUGGCUCGGAAAGCUAACGGCUGCUGCUCCUGAAUCUCCUCGGCUACAAAUCCAUAAACACACUCGAUCAUUCACUAACACUACACUCAGGGUAAAAUGACUCUUUUACCCUUGGUCAAAGUCAACUUACUCAGGGCUGACUCGCCGAGUCGGGAUACCCAACUCGCCGAGUCCUAGACUCUCCGCUCAACUCUUACACGCUGAUACUCGUCGAGUGUGGCAUCGACUCGACGAGUACCCUCUGGAUCCAAGAACUCAGAUGAUCUUCAUCCGACUCGCCGAGUCAGAUGAACAGACUCGACGAGUUGUUCUUAAUCCUCAAGGAGAUUGCCUUGGACUCGCCGAGUUGUAUGAACAAACUCGCCGAGUCCCUCCAUUACUGAGUCUACUCUUAACUCGCUGAGUCCACUCCCUAACUCACCUCGUACACUCGACACUGAAGAAACUGAAGAACUCGGGACUCGCGACCUGACUCGUCGAGUCGUUCCUCCGACUCGCCGAGUCGCCGCCAUGCAACAUAUUUUUACUCGAUUUCUCUUGAAUCCAACACAUGCAAAUGAUAGAUCUAGGUCCAUUAAGCUGUUUUACCACGUAAAGUUUCCAACUUUACGUGCACAACCACAUGAAUGAGGGAAAUAAGACUAAAAUAUGCACAAUAAGGGUAGAUCCAUGGCUAAUAUGCAAUGUAACUCCAAAAAGGCAGUGGGUCUGGACUCUACAACACCCCAACACUCAGAUCUAAAGGUAUUUCGGCUUAAUAACACAUUCAAGCAAGCAUAAAGCUUGGAACAAGCAUCAAAUAGCCCUAAAAGAGCUCUAAUGGAAGUUUAAGCAUGAAACCAGAAGGGAACUCCGAAAAUACCUCAAUAAGUUCACACUUGACCUUGGAUCUUGGCACUAGAACACGUUUCCUUGCUUCCUUCUUCUUCUCCUUCUUCACCCCUUCACAAAAUGGAACAAGAUCACUUAUAAGCUCACAAGAGGAAGGUUUAGGGUUUCUCACAGUGCUCUCAGGGGGAAAGUGACGAGAUGGAGGCUAUAAUGGGGUUUAAAUAGUGAGCAAACCCGGGGAGUUAGGGUUUCACCCAGACGGAUGGACUCGCCGAGUCCAGGAUAUGGACUCGCCGAGUCGCCGGCUCCCGCGUGCCCAAGAUGCGCGACCCGACUCGGCGAGUCAGGCUAGAACUCGCCGAGUCCCUCUUGAAAACUUAGCCCAAAACAAAUUAAUUAACAUACCGGAAACGGGUCGUUACAAUUCUCCCCCACUUGUUUCAGACUUCGUCCUCGAAGUCUGCUACAACUGGAUCUGCGAAUAACUCCGGGUAGUGCGUUCUCAUUUCUUCUUCAGCCUCCCAUGUCCAUUCAGACCCCUUCCGGUGCUGCCACUGCACCCUUACCAGCUGGAUCACCUUGUUCCUCAAGGCCUUGGUCUUCCGUUCCAGAAUUGCUAUCGGCUUCUCGAUAUAAUUCAGGCCGCUAUCAACCUGGAUGUCCUCCAAGGGAACGACUGCUGUCUCGUCCACUAAACACUUCCUCAACUGCGACACGUGGAAGGUGUUGUGUAUCAAACUGAGCUCCUCAGGAAGAUCUAACCGGUAAGCAACCCGACCCACCCGGGCCAAAACCCUGAAAGGACCAAUAAAUCUGGGGCCCAAUUUGCCCCUCUUCCGGAACCUGAUGACACCUUUCCAAGGUGAGACUUUCAGAAGAACCAUGUCUCCUACCUGGAACUCCAAGUCUGAACGCCUCUUGUCGGCGUAGCUCUUCUGCCGACUCUGCGCAGUCUGCAGUCUACUACGGACCUGCUGGAUCAGUUCCGUCGUCUUGAGCACCACUUCAGUGCUCCCCAUAACCCGCUGACCGACCUCGCCCCAACAAAUCGGGGUCCUGCACUUCCUGCCAUAUAACAUCUCAAAAGGAGGUCGAUCAAUGCUCGCAUGAUAGCUGUUGUUAUACGAGAAUUCCGCUAAGGGAAGAUACGUAUCCCAACAGCCCCCAAAAUCCAGAACACAUGCCCUAAGCAUGUCCUCGAGAGUCUGAAUCGUCCUCUCACUCUGCCCGUCAGUCUAAGGAUGGAAAGCGGUGCUGAAAUGGAGACGAGUACCCAUCUCGUCGUGAAACCGCUUCCAAAAUCUGGACGUGAAGCGAACAUCUCGGUCCGACACUACCGAUACCGGCACUCCAUGACGUGCCACAAUCUCUCGCACAUAGAUAUCGGCUAACCUUUCCGCCGAUAUACUCUCCUGGAUCGGAAUAAAAUGGGCACUCUUCGUCAACCGAUCCACCACUACCCAUAUCGAAUCUACUCCACGUGCGGUCCUGGGAAGUUUGGUGAUAAAAUCCAUGGUGAUGUCCUCCCAUUUCCACACGGGAAUAUCCAACGGCUGCAUCUUGCCGUGAGGUCUCUGGUGCUCCGCCUUGACCUUCCGGCAGGUCAAGCACCUCUCAACGUACCAAGCGACGUCCCGCUUCAUGCAGGGCCACCAAUAAUCAGGUCGGAGAUCUCGAUACAUCUUCGUCGCCCCUGGAUGGAUAGAAAAUCGAGACUUAUGAGCCUCGUCCAUCAAUACCUGCCGUACCCCACCCCAGUACGGUACCCACACCCUACCAUGAAGCGUCAUCAAACCCCGACUGUCGUAGUCGAACGAAGCUACUCGACCCACUAUCCUCUCGCACUUCUGCCUUUCCUCCUUGAGACCCUCCAUCUGAGNCUGAGCCUCCUUGAUCCGCUCCAACAAAGGAGUGAUUACCGUCAUCCUCAUACACAAAUCCCUGAUAGGGGCCGCCGACGCCUUACGGCUCAGGGCAUCGGCCACCACGUUGGCCUUCCUUGGAUGAUACAGGAUCUCACAGUCAUAGUCCUUCAGCACGUCCAANNNNNNNNNNNNNNNNNNNNNNNNNNNNNNNNNNNNNNNNNNNNNNNNNNNNNNNNNNNNNNNNNNNNNNNNNNNNNNNNNNNNNNNNNNNNNNNNNNNNAUGACUCAAUGAGUCAUAAACAAUAAAACACAUCUCAUGGUCCCUUCAAAGAAGUAAGCUAAAAAGAAAUACCAAAUAUGGUAUAAAAGGAAAAACUAUGCAACAAAUAAAUAUAUGGAAGUGAAAGAUAAAUAGCAUUUCUGUUCACAAUAGUUUCACAGAUAUACAAUAAUAUUUAGCCGAGUCAAAAUCGAUCUACUAGAUGAGAAUUCCAUCUACUAAACCUUAAUGGGUUUAAUUAGUAUUAAUUCCGUUUAAAAAUCAGUGCUUAAAAGUGCUACUAAUAUUUAAUUGUGGAUCUAAUUGAUCAAAAGAUUCAUGUUUUGCACGUAUUUAAACCGCUUCAAUAAGAUAUUAUUAUUAUCAUCGUCAUUCCAAAUGGAAGUUGUGUAAUUUUAACAGACAACAACAAGUGUACACACCAACCCUAGUUCACCAUUUAUUUUGGAUAUCCGAAUGGAAUGAUUUUUUAAUUUCAAAGUAUUUGACUUGUUAACCAAUUUAAAUCAUUUUGCAGGCCAUUGUGACACUUCCAUGUUGACAACCCUAGUCAUAUUAAAUCCACGUUAACAAAAAAGUAUUGAGUCCCAAAUAGAACUUUUAUUGAAAAAUACGCUUGGAUUAAGGAGAUAAUAUUUAAAUUUUUUGUUUGAUUGACGGUUAUUUAAUUUAGACAUUAUGAAACAAAAAGAAGUUAAAAUACAUAGAGAAGGACACACCUUCAAAUUAAAAUAAAGUCAAUCCCAGAGGCAGGGGAUUAGAGAGACGACUGGCCAAUACGAGCCUCCUAUAUUACUCUUUGUUUUCAGAUUUGGGGAUUCAAUAAUUCCCAAACUCAAAAGCGAAGGCAGCAACUUUUCUGGUAGAUCCAUCAUCUUUGGGCACUUGACAAUCCUGAGAUGUUGGAGGGAGGCGAGGUGUUGGAGUCCCGUUGAAACUGAUUCCAGUUUCUCAAAUCUUUCUAUCCAAAGAGAAGUAAGAGAUGAAGGAAAAAGACCGGACAACCGACUAAAAUCAGUCACUUCUUCAUAUGGUCCGCCAUAUAGACUUAGGUCAACAAGUGAGGUUGGAAAACUCUGUGGGUCCCACUUAGACAUGGGCUUCUUCAACCCUCCUAUGGUAAGGUAACACAGUUUUGGAGGCCAAAGCCCACCAGCAAAGGAAGCAUCCAGACUUGUACAGUUUUUUAUUUCCAAAUGUGUUAACGAGGCAAGAUUCGGCAACUCAUGGUCAGGAAAUGGAAAUGACUCCAGACUUGGAAAUUGCUACAAAGGGUUUCUGAUGUUUGUCAAAAGGCCAUAAAGGACUCUGGUCUAAGUGCAGAUAAGAUACAUAGUAUUGAGGUUGUUGGUUCUGGAUCCCGCAUACCUGCUAUUAUGAGAAAGUUAACUUCAGUUUUUGAUAAAGAACCAAUGAGAACACUAAAUGGAAGUGAAUGUGUUGCUAGAGGAUGUGCUCUUUCAUGUGUGAUGCUUAGCCCCACUUGCCGAGUCAAAGAUUAUAAGGUUUUUUCUUAUACUCUUAUAUAUAUAUAUAUAUAUAUAUNNNNNNNNNNNNNNNNNNNNNNNNNNNNNNNNNNNNNNUAUAUAUAUAUAUAUAUAUUCAAAUUCUUGGUGCAUGUCUGUUCUUGUGUUUUUGAUGAAGAACUUCAAUUCAUUCAUCGAUUUAAGUUUCUUGCAGUCCCGGAUGAAAACUGACUUGAGCUUCUGCCCUCCUCCUGUUGGGAAAGACACAGAUGUAAUUGAAUCACAGGUCAAAAUAGUCAAUGACUCAAGGCUAUCUGGACAGCUGCAAUGCUGUAAGCUGGCACAAAGAGAUACCCACAACCACCUAAGAGAUGUUAGGUUGCUCCCACAAUUAUCCUCCUCUUUCUCUCCUAAACUCACCAAAUUUGAACAAUAACGUACCUCCAACCUCCUUAAAUUCGCAAGAAGCUUACCUGCCUCUGCUUCAGAUUCCCACAGGUAUCUUAUUUCACUACACCUUUCUAUCGUUACUUCUUCAACUUCCCCAAGAUACUUCAUAACACCUCCCCACACCUCAUGAGUAAGACCUGAAAUAUCAUAUAAUAUCAACUCAGUGACUGAUGAAGCGACAUGAACCAGGCUUGUCAACACACCAUGACCACAUCCUUUUACUGUCAUAACUCUGAGUAAAGGUAGUUUUUCAAGUGAGACUUCAACCAGAUUAGGACAAAAUAGAAUAAUAAGCUCUUUAAGGCAUGGAAACACUGCUGCAUCUACAACCCCAUUGUUAUCGGCUGACCAUACCCCCCAUGAUAGCAUACUAUCAAAAGUUAGAAUUUCAAGGGAUGGGAAUGCAACACCUGUUCCAAGCAACUCCCAACCUACAACUUUCACCUUACUCAUCUUCCCAAUAUACAACUCCUUAAGUGAUGGUAGCUGCCCAAGUCUUGGUAGAGAUGUACAUUCUUCACACCCAUAUAUCGACACGUGAGUCAACCCAAGAAACAAAGGAUCCCCAACCCAAUUAGGAAACUCUAUACCCGCAUAUGACACAAUUUCAAGCUUCUUCAAACUAUCAGCUUGAGGCUUCAGCUCAGUAAGGACCUCCUU
rnacentral:lncRNA from 1 species